rnacentral:lncRNA from 1 species
GGGGAAUGUGCUCAGUGUUUAACACACGCUCAGGUCCCUACCAUCCAAAAUAACUUCUAUUGGCCCAAUUGAACUUUUAAGUAAAUAAUGUUUUUAAGAUGUCUUACCCCUAAAUUAUCAGUACACUGUGGUUCAACUAAGCCAACAUAAAAUUAUUCCCUGCAGCAUAACGUAUCUGUAAUACCUUAUCUAAUCAAUUCGAAUUCUAAUGCAUUCCAUGGCUGAUCAAGGAUGCUAAAAGGAAAUCUAUCGAGCAACAAAAGAGAAAGAGAGACCCAUUGCAGCAGCGCAGAUAUAUAAACAAAGGGUCAGUUCUGGAAGCAUUUUGAAGAGUGUGAAAGAACAACAACGGAAGGCAAUUAAUUAGGUCUUUUGUAUGAAAGGAUCUCUAGACAAAGCAACCACCAAAUAUGCCAAGCCUUGAGCAGAGCAUGUGCUUACGAUCGUGUGAUAGGCUUAGUGGUAAGAUAAUAUGAACCAAAUGCCAUCCAAAUGGCACCAAGUUCACAUUGGUGGUGGAAAACUGUGCAAGGAGCCACAUUGCAGGUUCAAUUUACCCAAUUGCGGGCCUUUAAAAUGCAUAUACCAUAGCUAAACAAAAUGGGGUUCACAUAGACUCAGCACUUGAAUUACAUUAAAACAAAUAUAGAUAUGUAAAAACAUGUACAUAUGACCACAUAUGUACACAUGUUGCCAUGAGUGUUUGUGUGUGUGAGUAGUUGUUUCAUGCAGAAAGAUUAGCCAGAGGAUUAGAAUAGGACAUACUCAAUAGCUCCACCAUGAACGCCAAUCGAAUAAAGUUCCUCUGGCACUCUGCCAUCCAGCUGAUUAUCAUUCAAAAGCCUGUGAAGAAAUGCAUAACAUUAGAAAAUUAAGAUCAGACUGUACAUAAUAUCUCAUAAUUGACGUGUAAACUGAUUUCACAUAAAGCCAUAGCUUUCCUAACAACAGUACAAAGGUCUCCACUAUUCUAACAAAGUCAAGUGGGUUAUCCAGAGACAGGUAAAAGCGGAUAUAAUGGCCUUGUAACCUCUAAAAGUGAAAGGAUUAGGCUUGAAAUUGACGAGGAAGAUGAAUGUGGCUAUCUGAUUGCGUUGCCAAUUCAUGUAAAUUGAUCCAUAAGCCAAAAAGAUACUAAAAGCUAUUCCAAAGUGAACUUCCGCUGUUCCAAUACUGAUUUAGUUUUUUCUUUUUAGCGGGUGAAAAACUACUCCUGGUAAAUGGUAGGCACUAUUUUUAGUUAAUUUUCCAUUUGCCAAAGAAAACAAAACAAAGCUAAUGUUCCAAAAACAAUACCACUUUCACUAUAAAUUCAAAAGAAUUGAUAAUGUAGCAACAGUUAUUUCAAACUUCCCUCUUUAAGCUACACUAAUUUUUCCUAAAUUUUCCUGGGUAUGUGACCCAAAUAAAAGAUGUACAUCCAUUUUCAAACAGGACAGGGUUUAACUAUUCGUGCAAGAACAUACAUGAAAAGACAGACAACUUACACAAGUUGCAAAUUAGAAGAAGUUAGACUAUCGGGUAUGGACCCCGUGAACUUGUUGUCUGAUAGAUCCCUGCAUCAACAACAUAACAACAAAAGCAAUUAUGUCCAGUAGAUACUCAGAUUUCAUUCUGAUCAAUAUUAGUUGACUUCUAGCAUAUUGUCAUUCCACCUUCGAGAAUUAAUGAAAAAACCGUUAAAGACAUGAGAUAAAACUUUUUAGCGUUCAUGCACUUUAAAAAUCUAAUAUGCAAGUGAUAUAAUUUCACUUAAGUGCAACUCUUGUAAUAAAGCAUGGUCAAGUAGCAAAACAUUGCACAUUGGUUGGAGUUUCAAUUCAAUCGUAUUCACUGUAGCCAUAUUUUUAAAACCAGGAUCAGAAUAUGUAAUCUUACAGCUUCGCAAGAGACUUUUGACCCAAUCCUUCUGGCAAACCUCCACCCAAAGAGUUAGCACUUAAAUUCCUGCAUGUCGAAAAGAUGUGUCCGUUUGGUAAAUCCUAGCAUAUAAGAAUCAAUAUUUGGUAGACUCCAGCAAAAAAACAACUAAAGACAGAAAUGAAGUUAAAAAAAGUGGCUUUGUUCUCAGCUUGUAUUUGCAUUCUGUCAUGCAAGAGCAAUCCUUAUGAUGACGAAACUUACUCUCUCAAGAAUACAGCUUAUAUAUACUCCCAACACAAAUGGAUGAAAACAUGAAUUGAGAGGAAAUAUUUUUGCCCAAUUGAGGACGUUAUGCAUAGUUGAUAAACAUGAAAAGAGAAAAUUGACUGGAACUGUAGAUGAGGAAAGAUUAUCCCUUAAAAUAGAACUGAUUGGGAUGCCACCAAAAGAAAGUCAUUUUCAAGUAGCUUCUUCAAGGAAAUGUAAGCCAUACUGGUAUAGACACCAGCAAGCAUAGGAAUGAUAGAAGACCAUGAAUUGAUACGAAAUUCACUUUGAAGAUGAUAAGAAUGAUAUUAAAACCAAAACACAAAAAGGCCGAAAGAAACUAUGCAUCCAGAAAAUGUUAUUCCAUGUGUUUGCAGGUGAUACAAUAUUCUUCAAAUGUGUACAUGCAGUAAAGCGCAAAAAUGUGAUACGCACAAGCUCACCAAAUUCGAUAGGAGAGAAAUCUGAUCGCUAAUAUAACCCUUCAAGCCUCGGUUUCCAAGAUCUCUGAAAACCAAAACAAGAAAAGAGAGUUCAACUGAGAUAUAAUCCACAAGAAGAAAAGUUAACCCUACUUCACCAUGAAAAUCUUUGUUCUUGAACACAAAUGAAUUUUUAUUCAUUGAAUUAACAUUCCUCCAACCACAUGGAUAAGUAAAUCUCCACAAAAGAAGAAUGCAUGCACAAAAUUAACUAAACCCCUUUAAAGCACUAAAGCUAGUCCUAGUAAAGAAAGCACCACAAGUGAUAAAAUCCACAAAGUCAACGUUUGAAGAUCAGUAACAGCCAUUUGGACUUACUUUAAAUGAUUGGGUAUAAGAUAAUGAUACAAAGUCAAUUAUUUGAUGUCAUGAAUUGGUCAAGCAUCCCAACUAGCUACUAAAGCAUGGUUGAGGUCACCAUGAGACACAAUGAUGCUGCUAACCCACCAGUUAUGUGUUGCCUGCUGCCACUUGAAACCAAGGAGGAAAAGCAACAACAGGAAGCAGCUCGAACCACAGACAUGCUCCCAAGUACAUUGUGUGAAGAGAUGGGAUAAGAACCAUCUACAGCAUGCUAUCCUUGGAGGAUUGUCUAUCAGUAUUUAAACUUGACUAGAAAUUCUGCUUAGUAUUUAAAGAAGUACAUUGUCGUAAUUAAAGUUAGCUCAAAAGUCUUUUAUUUCUUUUUUUCUUAUAGUGGAAAAGUAUCUUGUGAGUCAAAUGCAUUUCCUCCUUAAGAGUUAAUUCAAUGGCUCUGUCUAGUGUUCUACUUAGGCAUUGAAAGUUAUAGACAGUAAAUGACAAAAUCAAUAGCAAGAAAGUUAAAUUACAACAUGGAAAACUUUGCCUUAAGUUCACAACCCCUGUUAAUGACAUACAUUCCAAUGCAGAGAGAAAUUACCAAUUGAUUAGUAUCUAAUUAACCCCUGAAGCUGGAAAAACAAAAAUGUUUAACAAAUUUAACAACCACACUCUUAACUCAUAGACCAUAUUUUGAUUAUAUAAGCAUUAUGCUUAAGACUGACUAACACUGCUUACACAAUAAAAAUGAACUUACAUUUGGGACACCACCAGCGCAGACUCAUCCUUUAAUGUAUGACAUGCCACCCCCUCCCAUGCAUCCCAUGUAGUAGGGGCACAUGGAUCUCCAUUCCAACCCAUCCUGUCUGGAACUCGAAGGGACUCCUUCAAUGCACGCAUAGCAGUAGCUGCAGAGAAAAUCCCAACAACUUUUCAAGUCAAAUGCAAAUUAAUUCUACCGGGUCAAAGAUACAAAAUAUCUAAAUACAAUUUUGAAGUCUCAUGUCUCCUAAUUUUCAAACCACAAGAACACUAUGAUAUAGUAAUAAAAACCGAUGCCAAUGAUACACUGAAUCCAUCAAUUUCUAGCCCACUAACAUCGAUGUGAAAAUGCCAACUUUCCUAUUGUUUCUGAUGCCUACAUUUAGAAGAUUGCAAUCAUUUUCCUAAAUCCAAAGCAACAAAGUUCAAAUUCUACAUUCCGUAAAAAUUACAUAAACAACUAUAGAGGUCAACAGAUAUGAGGAACCAAGAACUCCCCUAACAAUUAGCUAAGCAACUGCAGAGGUCAACAGAUAUUCAAAACGAAGAAGAAAAAUGCAAAUAGGCAUGAAUUUCGACAUACCCUGGUCAGGAAGAGUCUUAAGAUCAGCUGGAACAAUAGCAUAAUUCUCAACCCCGCAAAUUGUAGGCGAACCGACGACUGGAACCAGCUUAAUACUCAACAUUGUAUUUGUCAAAUUCUUGACCACAUAGCUCCAAUCAUAAGCAGCAAAACUCCCAACACUCUUAAAAAUAUCCACUCUACUAAUAUUCACAUCAUUCACAAAAAUGUCAAAAACUCUUUGUCCUGCUUUAGUUACACUAACAUCAAUCUCGGCAAAAUGAAACCAUAACAAGUAAUCCAAUUUCGCGUCCACAGGCAAUUCGUACCCCAGAUAAUCCCCGGAUUUUCCAUCCCCUCCUACCAAAAUUGCAGCUGUCUGGUACAAUUUCAAGGGAAAAAAGUUCGGUUCUUUCUCAACAUUGAUGACAUCUCUUAUCGCGGAAAUUGCUCUAAUCUUUCCACGUCUAGGCAAGAAUUUAGCAUCCGAUUGCCACGACCGGCCAAACCGGUCAGUGUCGUUUGAAAACCCGGGUCCCCACUGAACCGAUCCGGACGAAAUCCUCCCGUAAUUCACCAAGAUUGAAGAAUUACUAAAGCCAUUCCCAUUGCCCAAAGUGUAAGCGUCUGUGUCAACUUGGAUAAGCUCCAAAGAAGCAAUGACGGGAGAAUCAGUGGCAAUACUGUAAAAACACACGUCAGCAUCGGAAUCCGAGAUGGUGACAAAAAGAUCCGAGUAGGCCCCGUAUCUCGAAAUGGACUCCGGCCAAGGAGACCUCCAAGAAAACACCAAAGUCCCUUCAACGGCAACGUCGAAGGAGGGGGGAUGAGACUUGCCGUCGUAGUUAUCGUAGGCGAUGAAAGUCCGGAGGAAGUAUUUUCCGGGAGGAACAUCUUUAACACUAUAACAAUUCUUUUUCCCGGAUGAGAUUGGGAAGUAGCGGAGAGUCUUUUCUUGCUGGUGAACAAAGAGGAGUGGCUCGGAAACUACCGCAGUAGCUCCGCCGGUGUAGUACCGGUCGGAAAUCCAAGUGGUGUUGAAGACAUCGGUGGAGUUCGUCAGUCCUCCACAGUCGAUGUGAAGGGAAAAAUCUGUUACGUUAGAAGUAAAAUAUGUAGCAACGUUAGUUAUGACAGUUAAAAGAUUGUUAGUUAAAAUGGUUAAGCUCAAAAAGUGUGGGAGCGUGUGUGAAUGAUGAUAUGGAUGGGAUUACUUACUAUAGGGGUAAGGAAUGGAGAGGGAGAAGGAGACGGUGGGGAGUAGGAGGAGGAGGAGGAGGAGGAGGAGAGGGGGGAGAGGAAGAGGGGACAUGAUGGUGUUUCUGAGAGUGGGUUUAGUGAGUGUAGUGUGUGUAAUGAUGUAAGAGCACUUGUCUGGACAUGGGGGAAAGUGCUGGAGUUUUGGCAAAUUGUUCCCGGAUGUGUUUGGUGGGGGUUUUGGUGGGCGGUGUCUAGGUGUGAGGAGGGAAUGUGGAGCGAUUAGCGGCGGGAAGGGGCGCGAGGGAAGGAAAAUUGGAAAGCGAAGUAAACGGUAUUGAUGAGGACUGCAGGGAAGAAGGAACGAUGAAUUAAUUAUGGCAGUAAUGGUGGUGGCUUGUGACUUUCUCUUUUUGAGGUGGGGUAGAAUUUCUUUGAUUGAACCCUUUUUUUUUUUUUUUUUUUUGGAAAUGCUUGAUUGGACUUUGUGGUUGGGAGGUUUAAGAUUAAAGAAUGGUUUUCGCUACAUUUAUAAUUUUUUUAUUCUUCACUUUUAAAAUUGUUAAUUUUACCUUCCUUACAAAAUUAAUAAAUUUUGAUUCUAACCUAAAUUUUCAACUACUUUUUAGUUUGAAAUCACCACAUAAUCUACGUACAGUCAUAUUUUAUGUACAAAAAGACCAGAUUCCACUUUUUUUAGUGGCAAAAAUAGAUAUGAAUUAAAUUUGAUCUCACUUUUUUUAAGAAAAAAUUAAAUAACUACGAAUCAGAUCCUACUUUUUGAGAGAUAAAAAUAAGUAUGAAUUUGAUCAUUUGUUUAACUAUAAAUAAAUUCUAAUCUUUUCACCUCUAAAAAAAUGAUCAUGCAUGGGCUGUAUGAUGAAUUCAAAGUAAUAGUGGUCAAAAAUCUAAAUUAGGAUCAACUUGAUUUUGUAAUGGACAUAAAAUUACGAUUUUAAAAGUGAGUGAUGAAAAAAAUUCAUUUAAUGUAAUGUAAGGGGAUUCAGAACGAUUUUUUCUUUGUCUUUUGUCUGAGAUGGUAGGGAAAAAGAUAAAGGCGUAAAUUAGUGGUUGCUUUGUGAUUUCAUCUAAUGUAGUGAUGGCCCUGUUGACUUUGUUGGCAUAGUGAUAGGCAGGGACAAUGGAUCCAUAUGGGGUGUUUCCAAAGUUUAUUUUGCUGGUUGGAUUGAUAGGAGCUGAACGUUAUUCUUCAUUUAUUUGACAACAGCAUACGGUGGAUUUUUGAUAAACGAAUUGAGAAGUGUUUUUCGAGAGAGGCUGGGACAAUGGAUUUCCUUGCAUGAGGGGAAUUUGUUACGUAAACAUGCAUGUAUCAGUGCUAGAAAGGCAAAAAGUAGGACUGAUCUUCUUUUUCUUAUCAGGAAAAGAGAGUUAGUAGUAUAAUUUAGAUAAUUAAUAUAAUGUAUAAAUGUAUUAAUAUAAUGUAUAAAUGUAUAAUUAAUAUUAUGUAUAUUAAUAUAAAUGUAUAAAUCUAUUAUAAAUGUAUUAUAUUAUACAUAAUACAUAAUAUAAAUGUAUAUUAUAAAUAUACAUAAAUAUAUAUAAAUGUAUAAUUACAGAAUAUAUAUACAUAAAUGUAUAAUAUAUAUUAAAUGUAUAAUAUAUAAUAUAUAAUAUUUAUAUAAAUGUAUAAUUACAUAUUUUUAUUAUAUAUAAUUUAUAUAAUAAUAAUAUUUAUAUAAAUAUAUAAAAAUAUAUUUUAAAUACAGCAAAAUAUUUAUAAUAUGUAUAAAUAAAUAUAUAAUAUAUAAUAUACUUUAAUAUUAAUAUAAUUUAUAUAUAAUAUACGUAAUUGCAAUAUACACUUUAAUAUAUAUUAAUAUAUAUUGUAAAAAAAAUUGCAUAAAUAUAUUUAUAAAUUUAUAUAAAUAUAUAUAUAUAUAAAUAAAUGUAUUUAUAUAAAUAUAUAAUAUUUAUUUCAAUUGAUAUAAUAUAUAUAAUAUUAUACAUAAUUGAAAUAAAUAUAUUUAUAUUAAUAUUAUAUAUAUAUAGUAUACAUAAUUGAAAUAUACAUAUUAAAUAUGUAUAUUUGGAGUUGUUUUUGAUAUAUUGUUUGGAUAUAGUGUUUUUGGAGUUGUUUUUGAAAUAUACAUUUACUGUAGCAUUUGGAAUGUAAAAAACAGUUUUUCAAAAACAGAAGCAAAAACAAGGAAUCCAAACGAAGCCAUUAUUAUUUUGUCAACACAGGGAGUGUCCCAACCUUCGACCAGACUAAUUUUUCUGCGCUUGUGCACCCCGCCCUCAAAGAUACACAAGACAGUAGAAGGAGUCGAACCCGACCACACGAUGUCAGGAUCUAAUUAGGCGACCCCAGCACCAGCCGAUUCAAUCCCGAGGGCCUUUAGCUGCGUUAUUAGCUUAUCGAUAUAUAUAAGGGUACUAGAGGCUGCCAGGAGACCUACUAAAUGCUCAGCAUGUACUAAAAUAAGACACAAAGGCCAGUUUGUACGUGUAGGCGAAUUAAGUAGCUGAACCAAUGUUAAUCCCCCUCCACUUGUACAUUUGAAAUACCCCGUUGCAACUAAAACUAAUCAUUUGAAAUAGGGUGGGGUCAAAUCCACGCCCUGUUAAUCUAAAUUCACACCCCUAACAUUAAGAUUACAAUAAAUCCCAUAGGAGUUUAAUAAAAACUUUUUUUCAAUACAAAAUCUUGUCUUUCAUAUAACAAAAGAUGUUUAAAAAUCAAUUAUAAAAUUUAGUUAAUUGAAAGUGUUUGAUACCAUCAUCCUAAUUAUUGAUCCGGUAGUAUUUUCUAAAAUUAUAUUUCAAUCAACUUUGAAAUGCAACAUUUCAAAAGGUAAAAAUAUUUUCUGAACACAAUUAAAAAAAGAGAAAAUCUCUCAUGUCCUCUUACAUGAUAAAAAGGGAUAAAAACAUUCUCUCUACUAAAUAAGAAGAAAAAAAUAAAUGUCAUCAAAGUGAAUAAAAACAUCAGAAAUUUUAAGAUCAUUCACAAUGAUGUCAAUUUUAAAUCUAAAUUAGCACUGAAGAGGUGAUUUUUGGUGGGUGGUUGAACCGACCAAAAUCAGUCCCUUCUGAAGUGAGGUGAGGUGUAUCUGCUUAUCCGAAGUGUAAUGGUGGGGCUUCUCCCCUGAGAUCACUCCGACGAUCAAGUUAGUAUGAGAACGAGAAAAGGCAGUAGUCUGUAUGAAUGAACAGUGUGCUUAUUUGUUGGGUGUACGUGAGAGGUAUUUAUAGAGCGGGAGUGGAUGGCAGGACAGAGGGCUCAUGCUAGUGGGACCCAUGUUCUGCCAUUACGGCUCUGUUCCUUGCCAGGAGGUCUGACUCUGACACUGUAGCCGCCUGGGCAGGGUGAUGGGGAGUCCUGCGUAGUAGCCAUUAAGAGUAUCAGUGCUUUUCAGAUAAAGCACUGGUCCCUGAUGAUGUCAGCUGGCUUGACAUCAUCAGCGUACAGCCGAGGUGGAAGUCUGAGGUGCAGGGGUCAUCUAGGCAGUAGACCAGGGACUUGCCCGAGAUCAGGGGCCAUAUUCAACACGAGACCGUGCUCGUGUGAGGGAGGAAGUGAGAUCACCUCGGCAUUCCAUGAGGGCCGAGGUGAGCACCCUCAAGCACCAUCUAUUUUCAUAAAACAAAAGCUAAUUUUUUAUUAAGCAAGUUUCUACCAAACCACGAAAAUGCUAUGGAAUUUUUGAUCAAUUUAGUUAUAAGGGCGUGGAUUUAGAUUAUAAAGGUAUGGAUUUAGCCCACCUUUGAGAUAUUAUAUGUGAUGUUAAAAAUUCUUCUUGGUGUAUUAAUACUGUGACUAAUUUAAAGUGGAACAUUGUAUAUAUCAUGUAUUCUCGAAAGACAUGACUAAGGAACACUUCUAACGAACAUCGUUUACAUUUGUUGUUGUCGAGUGUUUAGAUAGAAGAUAAUCUGGAAAGUUCUGUUAGUAUAACAUCCAAGGUUUGUAAAAUCGGGAUCCUACGUAGGAUCGAUUUUAGUUUCACAGGAUCGGAUCGUAGGAUCGGAUCGUAGAAUCGUAAGAUCCUACCAAAAGCUCUUAAUUGCAAUUAAAGGUUGCAAUUCUUUGAUAAAUUACAAAUAUACCACAAAUAUUUUCAUUUAUUUGCAAAAUGGAGCUUCGUAUUUCACAAAUUUACAAAAAAUUGUAGGAUCGUACGAUCCUACGAUCCUAUACGAUCCUGAACGAUCCUGCACGAUCCUACACGAUCCUGCUACGAUUCUAUGCGAUCCUGCAAAAAAUUAAUAUGAUUUGCGACUCUGCAUACGAUCCGGAUCGAUUUUGGUUAUCCGGAUCGUAGGAUCGUACGAUCCUACGAUCCGGAUCGCGAUUUUGACAACUAUGAUAACAUCGUACUCCCUCCGUCCCGUUUUGUUAGUCUUGUUUUCCUUUUUUGUUUGUCUCAAAUUGUAGCCCACUUUCCCAUUAAGGAAUGUAGUAAUCUUUCAAAUGGUCUAAAAUACCCUUAUUAAAUAUCUUGUUAUUAAUACAUUGUUAUUAAAUACUAACCCACUACAUUGAAUACAUUGAGUUUUUCCAAUACAUAGAUAAAUGAAAAGUCUAUCUUUGUUAUUUAUUGGCACUAUUGGCGGUAAUUGAAACAAUCAGGGUGCACUAUUGGCGGUAACUGAUAUUUAUUGGCACCAUUAGCUGUAACUGAUAUUAAUUGGCACUCUUCGUGAUUAGCAUAAGGGUAUUUUAGGAAAUUAUUAAUCUAAAUGUAUGUUUCCAACCAAAUUAAUUAUAUUUUCUUAAUCUGUGUGAAAAAAAAAUCAAGACUAACAAAACGGGACGGAGGGAGUAAUUCUUUUUUUAUAACGUAAUGUAUAUAAGAAAAAACAUAUUCACGUACUUGACUACCUACCUCUUAUCAGGCCUAUCAUUGUACAAGUUAACUUGUCAAGCAAUUACACAAAUUCAACGAUUGGAUACCAAUGGAACCUGCUUGCUGAUCAUUCACACAAAAGGCAAAUACGAAAUUACAUUGUAUUAUAUCACCUUUACGAGCAAACAAUUACUCUACGUGGGAUUGCUAUUGGUAUAAUAAACUACCAAUAGUCAGAACAAAAUUUCUAUUACCCAUACCAUGCCACAAAACUCAUGUAUAAUUCUAUUGGAAUGACUUAAAAAAAAAAGGGAAUGAGAUUUAAAAAGUGAAAAGAAAAAAAGGAGAUUUAAAUUCAUAGAAUGUAGAUUCUGAAAUCUCAACAUUAGUCAUUAGACUUUCUUUUAACUUAGUUGGGAAUUGUUCAAAGCUCAAAACUGGCACCAAGCUCCCAAUAGCUGGCUCCAUUGCUAGCAUGCUUUCAGAAGGCUAUUCAAUUCCUCAAAAUUUUAGCAUAACAACGAUAAUUAAUUUUACUUGUUAUUGCCUCGGCCUUCAAUAUUUCAACCUUGUGCAUACCUCUCCAUUUGAUAUUUUAUCCAUGCUGGUCCUUUUGGUACCUUAAUCCUUUUUAAUGCAGAUCUGAUGGGCAAAUUUUAGUUGGCAUUUGAGAAGAUGGCAUUCUCCAACUCCUUUCUCUUUUUUUCCAAUUUCCUUCCAAUGAUUGCAGGGAAAAAAAAAUGAAGAAGCCUUAGAGAUGCAUCUCCUUUUUCGUUUGUAUUUGUCUUUCUGCAUAUGAUCUUUCAAGUUACAACCCUCUUGUUUCUUGAAAUAUUAUUGGGAACCAUCCACAAGCCUUCAAGAUUAUACCUUAGCUACGAUUCAUACGAAUUUUCCAGUGUAGUACUUUAGAUGCUGCUGUGACUGGAUUAUUCUUUCCUUUUAGUUCCUUUUUCCCAUCGGAAAUUAACUGUAACUGGAACUACGAACCGAAGCUGACACUUUUUUUUUUUUUUUUUUUUUUAAGGUUUCCUUUUCCGUCUUGCUACCCUUACCUGUAAGUUGUUAUGGUACAAAGGUCCCUUUUUGAGCUAAAUUUAACUACAAAAAAUUAAUAAGGAACCCUAAAAGGUUCUGGUAAAACCAAGAAGAAACAAAAGAUCUAUUUUCAAAUCUUUGAACCCACUUCCAAAAAAAAAAAAAAAAACAAAACUUUGAACCUAAAACUCCCAAACAAGAUAAAACUUCAAAGUCCUCAUUCCUCUUAUUUUCAUAGCACGCAAAACUGCGUAUUUUCCUAGCAAAACCCCGUAUAAUUAGAAAAGGAGUAAGAUUGACUGUGGGGAAACUCGACAUUCCCGAUGCAGGAAGAAAGAAAAUUGAAUGUCUUUUAUGGGUGCUGUGUUCCGUCUGUGGACGGGAACUAAAUUAAAGCCACUAGUCCACAGUCCAUGCACCGAAUCUUAAAGAGGUACCGACAAUUUGCCAUCCAGAUUGACAUUUUCGUGUCUUCAAAAAAAAAAAAAAAGAUUGACAUUUUCGUCUUGAUAAUAUGAAAAUCCCUUGUCAAAGUUCUUGCUAAUUACUCGUUUGGAAAUGGAAAGGAAUCGCGGUAAAACUUUAGUGCAAAUUCAAAGUGUACAUUUUUCACCCUGAAAGGAGUCUAUGGUCAUGAAUAGUUAAUGCUAACAACUAUAUAUAUAUAUAUAUACAUUGAUAGUGUAUAUAUUAUUACCGUUAGAUUCAUGACACAUGUACAAAAGUUAAAGUUCAAAUUCAAAUUUUGUAUAGUUAUCAUUCAUUCAAUACUGAUAAUAUAUACAUCGUUAGUGUAAAAAGUUUAAUCUUAUAUAUAUAUAUAUAAAACAAUGCCAACAACUAGUCUGACUCGAUUUUUAUUUUUGUCAAUGCCAAUUUGGCACGACCUCACUAAGCUCGUAUAACAAAUUAUGAAGUUGUCAAAGAGAAUUUGGUCUUGUUAUUGACUUUUUUGUAAUUCUAUCUUCUGCAUGACUUAAUAAUAUUACCUACUAGCUUAUGUGAUAUGUGCAAUUUUUUUUAAAAGUUUUCUAUAAAGAUAGACAUGGAACAAGGAGAUCACGGAGAUAAACUAGGAAAAGGCCGCCAACCCGCAGAUUUCUUCUAGGGUAAUCAAAGGUAUGUUCAAAGAAAGCUUUCCAUAUGGCAGAAACAGUAUAUGGCCUUUCAUGUGAAACUUGGGUUGGUUCUGAAAUCCAGAGCAAAGUUGACCUCUAUUUUGGCCACCCUGGUGAAAAAACUCUUUGUUGGAGGCCAAAUCUUGAAUAGUUCCACCAUUAUUAAUCACCAACUAUCCCAGGCUGAGUUUGAAGGAUUUAAUGAUCAUUUAAUCAAGAAUCAAUAAAAGAAACAAAAUUGAGCAAUUGUACACUUGAAAUAGUUAAAAAAUCAAGAACAUAGUGAUUUAAUCCGAAAAUAUUUUUAAACCACUUUUAAAGUACCUGUUGGAACAAUAAGACACGAAUGAUCAAUGAAUUAGUUCAUUAAUCUUUUCGAUCUCUAACAAAAUGACAUACGACUGAAGUCAUGCAAAGAGAAUUAAUAGAUUAACUAUAAGCUAAGCUCAAGAUACAAAUUAUUUGUAGCAAAUUUCUUUCCUUGAAAUCAGUUCAAAAAUAGAGAAAAAAAAACAACAAAAACUGGAGUCUAUCUUUUCCUAUAGGUUGGUUGGGUAAAAGGAAGUAGUAAAGCUUAGUACAUGCAUGCACCAUCACUAUACGUUGUCAAUCAUGAAACAGUGGCACUUCAAAGUUCAAAGGGACUGAUCUAAAAGAUUAUUGAUCAGACUGGGAAAGUUAUUUUCUUUUUCCAAUAGUUUCCUUUUAAAUAGAAGACAAUGCAUUGGCAAAUUUCACUUUUCCUUUCUUACAUACCACUCUCCAAAUGCCAAAUUUGAACGCAAACCUGGAAGGUGCCAUUUUUUGUUUUCCUUUUUUUGGCAACUAACAUUACUACUGACCAUGGAAUCCAAUACGCAGCCAGUGGAUUUCUUUGUACCAGCUUUAAGUGCUUUUUCAGACACUUUUAUCUAUAUGCCUCGGUAUGAUGAUGAAACUGUUACAAAAAUAAAACAUUUUGUACCGAACAAUUUUCUUGAACUACGUACUUCCCCGUCUGUGUGUGUUUUUUAUUUUAUUUUUUUUUUUUUUUGGGUUUUGGGAAGAUUUUUUUUUUUUUUCCCUUGAAACAUAUGAUACUAUGAGGAAAUCACAAUGGAUUGGGCGAGAAACAAUGUGAAUGAUUAAUCAGAUGUUUGCCAACCAAAGAUUGUUGCCCUAAACCUGGGCUGGCCCAUUACACAUUUCUCCUUUAAUCCUCAGCCCGCACUCGUGGCACUUUCUAGUCGUACAGAGUUGCUUGCUAGUUCUCCUGGAUGGAUGAAAAUGGAGUCUUCAACAGUACAUGCAAGCAACCCCAAAAAAAAGAAAAAGAACUGAUCUUGAAUCCUAGACUUCCAAUAUAAUUAAUUAUCUAUAUGCUGAAAAUUCACAGAUGAAUAUUUCUACGGGUGCCAAAAAACUAGUAUAUAGAUAAUGCUAUUUACGAGUUCCAAUUUGAGGAUUCCCAAGCAAAGACAUUAUUAGCAUUAGUACGUGGUUUUCUGCAUAUGUGGUCACUUGUUCAGGUAAAUGAUAUCUCCGUGUAACUCGCGACCAAGCCGGGGAACAAAGAGACAGCAUUUCACCUUAAUGGCUUGCAAAAUUAUAUUCAUGGUGGCAAGCAUCUUCUCUUCUACAUCCAUCCAUUUGAGUCUAUUCGAUCUAUGGACACUGAUUGAAGAUGUUCCUCAUAGCCAAGAGUGCAUAACAGUCAUAGAGAGAGGAAGCAUGACUGCAUAUCGAGCACAACUUCAAAUAGCUAGAUCCGUGACAAUAAGAUGCAUGGCUCUCGCUAAGAGAUUUGAUGCAAUGGCAUCUUCUCUUGUAGGGGAAGUGCAUGGACGAAAAAUUAAGUGAUGUCAAAAAUAGUAAUAAGACAGAUGUCCUCGUCACAACUUUCAAUUGUGAAAUAGUGAGAGUUAUGGUGUGAAUAUUAUAUCCAGCAUGUUAAUUGAUUUCAUAUAGACUUGAUCAUACCAAAAUUUUCUUGUCAAUAUAUAAAUGGUGAAUGACAAAUCAUGUGGACUAAUGCAGCCACCUUAAUGAAUUGGAACAUUUCUUUAGAUGGCAAUAUUGACUUUGUUGACAACUAAUUGAUUUUGUAUCAUACAUAGCUCCUUCAUUCACAUACUCUUAAGAGCAGCAGCCCAUCAAGGUGCAGGCGCUUAGCGACAAAAGGUAGAAAUGAUGUCUUGCACAUAACUGAUUCUUAACGUUGGAAAUCCGAGGAUUAAUUACUUUGCAAACUCAAAAAGGUCACCAAAGAUCUUUACGUGUAGAUCUUUACAUGUAUAGCAAGCUGUAGCAAUUUCCUAUUGGACUAAAUGAGAUAUCUAAGGAGGUGGUGCGUAUACUCUUGUCGCUGGGGACAAGUCACAGACCUUCGCUUUAUAUAAGAAAUCAAAUCAAUGUGCGACCACAGCAUAUGAAGGACCAUCAUUGAGGAGAAGGCAAAGGUUGGAUUAGUGUAUAGUGUAUUUGAUGAAGAUGACUUCCUGGACUGCUCUCUGCAGUGUAACAUCUUCCAACUUUAUAUUGUAAAACAUCUCUAUCAAAACCUCCUUUAAUAACGAAAGUAGAAGAGAGAGAGAUCAAUAUGUUCAGUUCUACAGUUAUCCUUUUGUUCCCUGUUUACACCUACACCUCAAUCAUCCAUCCAACCAUAAAUACAUAAAUGGUGAGAGAGAGAGAGAGGGAGAGGGAGAGAGAGAUGAUGAUGAAAGAGGAGGAAGCCCAUAUGACUUGACAAGGGCUCAAAGUUCUCGCUUCUCAGUUGGGAAACGAGCAACGCUGUGAAACAGCAAGAGAGAAAUUUGCUGUUACUUUGGUACACAAUUCUAUGUAUUUUUACCCCCCCAAUUCUCCCUCCUUUACUUAUACCUUGUCUCCUCCGUCCCUAAACAAGCCAAAUUUCAUAUCUUUCAACUCCACGUGUGGAGGGAGAGAACACACAACACAACUCUCUCUGCCUUCAAACUCAUCAGUCAUCACUACUCCUUGCUCUAUUAUCCCUUUCUCACUUGCUCUAUAGCCCUUUCUCGCCUAUUGUCAUACUAAUAUCCCAACAAAAUCCCACAAAAAUCCCAGAUUCUGAACCUUCUCAAAAUCCAUAUAUAAACAAAUAGUUUUGUUUAUUUGCCUAUUUCUUAUGACACAAACCUAAAAUCUGCCUUCCGACGACUUCUAUAAGUUCAUACCCAAUAGCUUAUCUCCAUGCAAAGAAUUCAUUGUUGUUCAAACAUUUCAUCAGGUGAGACUGAUGAGAUUGGCAGUUUGGAGGCUGAUGAUCAAGAUGAUGAUUCUUUAACUCUUCUUUCUCUUGCUCCUCCAGGCCAAAACAACACCUCAAAGAAUCUUCUGGACUGUAGUUUUGAGUACUCCUCAUGCCAACUACCUCAGGAUAACUAUCAACAAUGCCCUAGGACUAGUGCUGAAAAUGGUGUAACAGUGGCACUUCAUAUUGGUCUGCCUACUUCAGAAGCUAGCUCUACUAGUCAUGCUCAUAACUUUGGGGUUCUUCCUGAAGGACAAUACUGGAUUCCUACUCCAGCUCAAAUUCUUGUUGGCCCCACUCAGUUUUCUUGUCCUGUAUGCAACAAAACAUUUAACAGAUACAACAAUAUGCAGGUUAUGGAACUUCUAUGUAAUUCAUUUUCAGUUAUAAUGAGAUCCUAUCAAUGUUCUUCUUUCCCCUUAACUCUUGCAUGCAAAAAUAAACAAAACCUUCAGUAACAAUAGUGCUGCAACUUGCAACUAGUUGGUUGCUACAGUAGUAUGUAGACUUGUUUCGAGAUUUUUGUGGUGAUGAUGAAUAUUUUAUGUGGGCUUAGAUCAAUCUCUUGCAUAACUUUUCAUCCUCAUGAUCCUUCUGUAGAUGCAUAUGUGGGGGCAUGGAUCACAAUACAGAAAAGGGCCAGAAUCUUUAAGAGGGACAAAGCCAGCCUCAUCCAUGCUUAAACUUCCCUGUUACUGUUGUGCUGAGGGAUGCAAGAACAACAUAGAUCAUCCAAGAUCAAGGCCCUUGAAGGAUUUAGGACUCUUCAAACACACUACAAGAGAAAGCAUGGGACAAAGCCAUUUCAGUGCAGAAAAUGUGGGAAGCCAUUUGCGGUUAGAGGAGACUGGAGGACUCAUGAAAAGAAUUGUGGGAAGUUAUGGUUUUGUAUUUGUGGUUCUGAUUUUAAGCAUAAAAGAUCACUCAAAGACCAUAUUAGAGCUUUUGGAGAUGGCCAUGCAGCACAUAGUCAAGACUUGCGUGGAAUUGAAGAAUUAGUAGAAUUAGAAGAAGAUGAUGAAGAAGAAGAGGACAACUACUAAGUAGGGCUAGAUAGACUUAAUUUGUACCCUCGAAAAGUAUUGGGGGUUUUGUUAGUUUGUACCCUAAACAUUAGUAUCUACUAACUUAUGUUUGUUGUCAAUUGACCAGUUUUCGUACAUGAUUUGCACGUUUGUAGUAGGUAAUAAUAAAUUGCACAUUGGCUCUUGUCAAUUUUGACCAAUUUAUGAUAGGAUUUUUUCCUAGUUUUUCAAAACAAAUUGUACACUCAGUAAUAGAUUAGUGUUAAAGGAUUAAAAAACCUACCUUAACGUACAUAAUACACUAGCGUUGUUGAUUUGAGUAUUCAAUGGUCACAAAGAGAAGUUUAGGAGGGUGCAAACUGUGCAAAACUCGAUCUAAUACUGAAAAGGGACAAAGUGGUAUUGAUCAAAAAGAUCAAGAAGUGAUUAAUGUGUGAAGAAUAGAAUAGAAAUGUCGGAUAUGAUUCUGCCAAUGUACAUCCAUUUAUUACAUGUGAACCUUUAGUUGUAGUAGUGGUGGUAGGCUGCUGAAGUCUGAAUAGUGACUAUUUGGCUCUAUGCUUCUGAAUGUGUCUGCGGAUCUAUCAUCUAUGUGUUUGAGGGACUUGAGAGAAGAGAAAGAGAGAAAUAAAAGGGAGAGAAAAAGAUGAGGACAAACAGUAUAAUGAAAGGCACAGUUGCAUGGCAUUAAUGUUCGAAGUGCCAGUUCGAUUAUCUGAUUAAAGUUUGGUUCUUUUCUUUUUUUCCCCACUUUAUUUUUUUGGGCCUUCAGAGUCUGACAGGAGAGUAGAGACUGAGUCUGAGUUUUUUCUGAGGCUUUUGGUCUGAGGGCCUGAGGAGGGCUGAGCUUGGACUAGCACUACUAACACUUUGAUAGAGGCUUUUGUCAGAAGGUAACAAUGGACCACUGGAAGUUUUUCUUUUUGGGGUUUCACCCAAAGUAUUAACUUUCUACCUUUUGGGACGAAACAAACAGAUUUUCGUAAUAUGUUGCCAGAGCCCUGUUUUUGCCUUCUUUAAGUUUAAUAAUGUGGUUGCAUGGGCUCAUAUGCACUCUGAUACUAUAUGGGCUGCUCUCUCAGAUGUAUAUGUCAAGGAUGAGGUCCAUAUCCUGCACUGCAUGCCUUACUUUUCAACAGUUUCACCGUCUUAUCAGUAUUAUCGCUCUACUUUUUUGAUACAUUCAACUUUCUGUUUCCUGUUCUUUCAUUUUUACCCAUUUUUGAGCUGUAAUUGGUAUUCGUUUUUCUCCCUGGUUUGAGACUUAGGCCGCAUAAAACUGGUCCAUUAUCAUUGUUAAAGUUCACUAAUUUUUACUAGUUUCCUUGGCUUGUUAGAACAGCCGUGACAAUUUGCCGUACUUCUGAUUUUAUUUGUUCUUCUUGUUUUUGUGUGCAAGUGUGUCAACUUCAACACACAGACAAAUUCUGGAGUGAGGUUUUCUUAUUGGACAAUAAAUUCAGACUUACUUUUUUCUGAUCAAGAUUUGAUCAGAAUUCUCAGAUGAUGGUUCUAAUCAAAUUAUUUGGUUUGCUGCAGGGAUGCAUGUACUACAGUAUAGUACACAAAAAGUCUGCAUUAUAUGGCCCUUUGGGCUGUCAAGACGCGAACAUUUUAUUGUAAUGAAUAGGAGAAAUGUUUUUGAUCGGAGAAAGAAAAGAAAAAAAGAAAUUACUCUUGUAGGAAACUUUAGCACUGUAGCCUAACAUGUCCAAGAAUUCCUUCUUCUGUUUCAUUCUUUUUUAUACGGUUAGAUUGAAUAGUUGUCAAGCAAAAAGAAUAGUUGUUGGAAUCCCAUCUAAGGAAAAGGGAUGCCUGUAAUCACCUUUAAACAGAAAAAUAUCUGGCGUUUCUCCAACAUUUUAUGAAGCUUAACCAAAGAAGCAACGUGGUGGCCGGGCUUCCUUGUCCCAAGUUUGACCAGUUAAAAAAAAAAUAAAAGGAGAUCUAGAUUAUUUGCUGCAAUUUAAGUCUGAAUUGAUCCCAAGUUGUAUGUAGAAGUGGUCAGGGGUUCUGGGUUUUUAUUUUGAUUAUCGUUUUCUAGCAAUACUCUUGUUCUUUUUAACAAGCCCUUCUGGCAUGAUGGAAAAGAAUAGUUCCAAUGCAAAUUUCUCUCUAUUUUUUCAUGCAUGCAUGUGCGGAUUGCAAGGACAACUCCACCAAGACACCCUCACUUAGAAACAUUUCAUCGAAUGAUAGAAUCUACGAACAUGGCCUCUCUAUCUCUUUUUCUUCGUUUUCAUUUGAGUUAGGCACUCAACUCACAGCUAUACAUACACAUUUUAUUCCCAGUUUUGUCCUAUUACUUCAUGGACUUUCUUCUUUCUUUUUUUUCCCCACUUUUUUUGGUAAGUCAACAAAUUUCUGUUUUGCUGUUCUUCUAGAUGAUAAGGGAGAGAAAAAUAUGACAGUAAUUUCUUCAAAAUCCAAUUCUGACAAUAAAGAUGGGAGACAUAUGGUCAAUGAUGCUGGUAGGAGAGAAAAAAACCAUUCUAAGUAGUACAAACGAUAAACCAGUACAAGCAUUUAUUGGACAGCUCUUGCUGCCAAACUAAUUAAUGCUUGAAUAAUUGUGGCUAUUCCUUGGAUCAACCUCCCUAUCAAUCAGUGAAGUUAGGGAUGGUUGCCUGAGGCUCAGUAGCCUUAGCAGCAGCUGAUGGUUCAGCAGUAGCUGUUGGCAACACUGGCUUAACCACCAACUCAGCUGGCAAAUCCUUAAUUCCCUUUAAAUAAAAUGUAUAGAACAGCUUAAAUGGGAACACAAUCUGCUGCAGCUUCACCACACCCUGCACCCCCUCGAAUACUCCUGAUCCAGCGGUCACAGCCAGAUGUGUGUCCUCGUAAGUCAAAUAUGGCCCCUGGACUGAAUGUGACCGUAGUCACCAAAAUAGAAGCUGUAGAUAGCCUCAUAACGAUCACCUUUCUUCUCAGGAACAUGUUUAUCAGCACACAUAAUCCUGAUGUUAUGCCUAAUCUCUUCUGCAAAUCACCUGUGUAGAGCUUAUUGCUGAAUGGAACUAGAUCACCUAGAGAAUUUGCGUCCUUUUUGCUAAGUCUCAAGUAUGCUGGGCUGCCCCUGUCCCUUUCAUUAAUCUCAUACACAUAUAGUUCUUGAACUUUAGCUGAAUCACAAAGACAUGAUUUUGUGAUGAGCAAUAAUACAUCGUGAAUCAUGAAAUCCAACUAAUUUUAGCUAGUAGUUUCACUGACUACCUCAAAAUUACCGAUAUUACUAUGCCUAGCAAAUCUUUUAUUUCCAAGAACUCGUAUUCAUUUGCUUGGAGAAAGUAGAAUGCAUCUGAUGGACCAUUUUCCUAUGGUUUGACGACAAAAUACUAACUAACUCAUCGAAUCGAAAAAAGAUUUAUUGGUACAGGAAGUACUCACUUGGUUCUGGCUUUGGUUUGCCGAUGUUGAAGAAGAAUGCUUUUGUCGAGCAUCUUUGGAGGGUCUUCUGGCGGAGAAGGCUUGGUGGGUCGUCGAGAUCUGGACAGAUUUAGUUAAAAGUGGAUUUGAAAGCUUAAACGCAAGCUUGUCAUAAUGGAUUCGAUGUUGGAAAGUGAUUCAAGAUUGAAUAGUUUAAGGGAAGAAACUGGUUGAGAGAGCUUGUACUUGCCAUUGAUGAAGUGGAUGCUAAUGGUUAGGGUUGAUCUACGCAAAGUAUAGGUUCAAGAAACAUCCAUCCAGGGGAGCAAUGUGCCUUGAUUUAGAAAGGUAUGUAGCUGGAAGAUUCUGCACCGAUAAAUUAUGCACCAAUAUUAAACGCACGACUUGUAAUUCUGAUUGGUUUAAGGGUACCUAUUGAUGAGACAAUAUAGCUUAAUAGUUUUUUUUUUCUCUUUAAUGUGGAAACACAGGCUGGACUCGUAAAAGUAGUCAAAAGCGGUAGCUGUAGGUGUGGAAAUAAUUAGAAAUUGGAAGAUCAUGGAGGGGGAAAAGUAUGAAUGUAGCAGCAAAAGCCAUAUCAAUCAGAACCUUCACAACAAAAGACAUAUUUGUUAGGUAUCGAUGCUAAAAUCUUGAGCACUGUGCAGAAGCAACAUCAAUGUUUGUUAGGAUCAUCAGAUUAAAAUGUAUAUUAAAGAGCUACAAUUAUUCAAAUGAUUAAAUAGUACAAGAAAAGUUUUCUGUACAUAUAAAUCAUUACUGUUCGUUGCUAUGUAUAACAGCCUUAAGAAUUUCUCACAAAUUGCAAACAUUUCAUAUCCCAAUUUCACCAGCUCUGGCAAUGGCCAUUGACAUGCCGGUAACAAUGCUGUACCUUACUUUGACCAGGCAACAUAUCUGGUGAACGAUGUCCCGAUAAUUGCUUAGCUGCCAGCAAAGUUCUAUAAAUGGUGUUGAUGUGAUCAAAACUGGGAUCAUCACUUAAGGCCUAAUGCUUUUGCCAUCUCAGGGUUGUAUAUGAGAUCCAUGGAUCCCAAGUUAAUGGAGGAGCAGGAGUUUAUUUCCUCCAUUACAUGUAGAAGAAAUGAAGUGUGCAAAAUGAAUCAUGAGUGAUUCAUCUAAGCUUUUGUUAAGAUUUCUGCGCCAGUUUUUGUAAUCAAAAUUGUGUGCUCGAAUUGCGCAGCAGGGCUGCCAUCAGCUGUCAGGGUUGUCCAGUUAUCCUCCAUGUGAUACACUCCGUGUUUCCCAAUGUAAGAAUUGGUUCUGCAGUAAAUUUACAAAACAUAACAGGUAAGGAUUCAAUUCAAUAAAAUUUCACUUUACUGCAAAACACAAUCUAAAGUGAAAAUAUAUCAAGAUAGUGCCGGACUUGCUGAAUAAGCCAAGAUGACAAAGUAAUAGAAAUUAUGGCAAAAAUGUACCAAAAACCUUUCAGCAAGUCCAAAAGGAAGUGAGGAUUUCAUUCAAAAAUAACCUCGUUUAGCAUUUAUGAUCUUUCAAAUUUCCUAGCGAAGUACCGUCAUGGUAUCACCUGAUGUACACUAUCAUUCCUUAUGAAUCCAUAACGGUCUCCCUCUGAUUUCAGGACUUUUUACAUGCAUUUGCGAUGCCAUGAACAAGUUAAUUUAUUAUUAUUGUUGUUGUUGUGUAGUUGUUGUUAAUUAAGCAACAGCAAGUUAGUUCAAUAGGGGAAAAGGUUCAAUAUACUGGUCAAAGCACAUCCAACUGAAUACCAGUACUUGAAGGUACAUAUUGCUUUCUAACAAGGCAACCAUGCACAAGCUCUCCCAAGUAUUUCUUAAAUUAAAACUAUGUUUGUGAUGUAUCGACAGACAAAUAAUAGAAACUGGCCAUUUAAAAGCAUUAUCUACAUUAAAGAGGAAUAUGCUCACCAAUUGUGAAUGUUUGCCCUCAACCAUGAAGCCUGGCUUAUCAUUGCCUGCAAACAACCAAAACAAAAUAAAAGUUGGCAUAACUUUGAAAGUACAAGUAGAAUCCAAAGGAAAAGACAAAUCCAAGUUCAGUAAACUUGAAUUAUAUGUUAUACCAUCUCCAAGCAUAAAACUAGAAUAACAGAAACAAGUUUCCAUUCAAAGCAAGGACACAGCAUAGGAAAAAGACAUACUUCAGAGGCAAGACAUUCAGAAUAAUGAAAAUACAUAGCCUAUUAGAAGUUAUAAAGCAGAUCUAAGGUUUUAAGAUUAUUUUUUAUUUUUAGGUCAUAAUGUGCGGAAAGAAAAGUCAAGGUGUUAUUCUAACUUCUAAAGAUAAUUACUCUUAGAAGAAUAUAAAGCCAACCAUCUUGGCUUGACUCUCAGUCUCCCUACAAAUUGACACAACUUAGAUUCUCCAAAAUCAAUGGUAUGGAUACAUACUCCAUUAUUAUGUCAAUCAAAGAGUUAAAAAGAAAGAAGGAAAUGAUAGGACUUACUUUCUAUAUUUGAAAUAUGCAAAGGCAGAAAUAGCUCUCAGUUUAGAGUUACCAUUUAAGCAACCUAGACAUUUUCCAAAGAAAGAUUAAACAAGACAUUUAGUUUGGACAAAAGAGAUUACUUGAAAAGUUUAGAUCACAUGCAAAUGGAAAGUGCAACCGUAGAUUAAGAUGUACUAUGUUAAGCCAAUCUGCAUUAAUUGGCUUUAAAUAUAAUUCUAGACCACCUAAGGAGGUAUAGCACGGUGCUACCUGAAGAAAGGUGCCACCUCGUCGAUGUUAGAGGAUCUUGAAUUCACCAUAUCAUAUGAUUAUCAUGUUAACAGAACAACAUGUAAUUCACUGAAAUGACAGCUUAGCAAGACCAUUACUAGUCAUUGGUGAAGGCUGAAGCUAGUGCAGUUUUCUUUAGCGACUGUGACAAUUAUACUGAAAGGAUUAACACGAGGGACUACUCACGGUGGUGAAAUAUAAGUGGUUCAGAAUGAAAUACAUUCCCAACACCAUGUCCAACAAAACGGUCCACCACGCCGUAACCAAAUUUCUCAGCAUGCUCACUGCAACGAUAAUUAACAGAGUCCUUAGAGAAGGCAAAAUAUACUUUAAAUUAAAACAACUUUUGUUUUGAGAAAGAUUUGCUCAUAUUUGAACACCUUCUAGUCUAACUAUAGUAAAAGUACAAAAGGUGACACUUUGGAUAUGGACUGGACUUCAUGAGAAAAUGUGUCGGGAUAAAAAAAUAACAUUCUUUUUUUUUUUUUUUUUUGGUCAAAAAGGCAACCUAACAUUAUUCCCCAUUCUCCUAUGCUUCCUUUUGCAUUGUGUGGACUCUUGGGCCAAAAACUUAUCAAGCCAUUCUGGUUUUCAGAUUGUUUCAGAGUCCAGGAGUGGAGCAGAAACCCAUACUGGGGAUAUUAACUGCGGCCAUCUGGCCCACUGAAUUGACCUACGUAUCAAUUGUGGCCUGUAUUGUUCACCUAUCCAUUGAUUCGACCUACGUGUCAAUUGUGGCCUGUAUUUUUUGUAUUUCCCUCCACAAAAAAUACCUGAAAUAACUGUCCCUUUUGAGAAAAUAAAUACAAAAAACAAAAUAAAAAAAAAAAAUCUAAGAAACGGACGACGCCAUGAAAGAAAGCAACAGAGCGCAGUCCUAGGCUAGCCUAAAAUUGCUGAAACAAAAUCUUCAAAACAUAACUCUGAUGAUUUCUUUUGUUUCCCAAGCAUAAUUUUAGGUACUAAAAUUCCUCAUAGAUCCUCGAAACAAUCAUGGCUACGGUUGCCACCAGUGGGGUUGGAUUAAGUGGAGCAAGACUCCAUGCUUUCAACUCCAGCAAACCAUUUUCUCCAUUUCUUGGGAAGAAGCUCAAGAUUAAACCAAUUUCUGAGUCAAUUCAUCCAACAAAGUUUAACCAUGCAAAAUCCAGGAAUCUUCUUGUUUUAGCAUCUGGGGUGGAUUUAAUGAGCUUUGUCAACGAUCUUUUUGUUGGGGUUGGAGUUGGACUUCCAUGUACGGUCAUGGCGUGUGGUGAUAUAAUUUAUAGAAGUACACUUCCAAGCUCAAAUGGUCUCACAGUUACAGUUCCUGGGACGAUUUUAGCACUGGGUGCUUUGUCUUAUUUGUGGGCUACUCCUGGUGUUGCCCCUGGUUUUUUUGAUAUGUUUGUGCUUGCAUUUGUUGAAAGACUGAUUAGACCUACCUAUCGGAAGGUUAGUUGAUUGUCUGGUGAAUUUUUGAUUUUGUAAAGUUUUGAGGAUAAAAUCUUGGAAUUUGGAUAAUUUGAUUUUGUUUUGUGGUGGCAGGAAGAUUUUGUGCUUGGGAAGAAAUUAGGUGAAGGGUCUUUUGGUGUGGUUUAUAGAGCUUCAUGGGCUAAAAAGCCCUCCCCAAAGGUAAAUAUUUGACAGGAACUUGCUAGUAUCAAAGUUUUGUUUAUUGUUUAUGUUAUUUCAGCCCUUUCGGAUUUUUUCCCCUUUAUGUGCUUUGCAUGUAUUAUAGGGAAUAUUGUUGAGGUUAUGCUGGUCCCUACUUGAACUUUGAUGGAAUAUUUUCUUCCAUUCUUUUGCUCAAAUGCUCAGACUUUAUAUAGAACCUAAUCACAUGUACAUGUAUCAAGUUUUUUCCAAACUUUCUUGUCAAUCUGGAAUGAAUGUGUUAUUAGGCCACAGUUUGCAUUAAUAUUAGCUGAUAAAGAUAUCUAGAAGGCAUGUUUGCUAAUUGUUAUUGGUAGCGAUCCUAAAAUAACAAUAGUUGCUAUUGGUUGUCACUCAAAGGGUGGAGAGUUAGUCUUGAAAAAGGCUACUGAAUAUGGAGCAGUGGAGAUAUGGAUGAAUGAACGUUUGCGAAGGGCUUGUGCUAGUAGCUGUGCUGAUUUUGUGUAUGGCUUUCUCGAGGUGCUGCUCUCUUUGCCUAAUGUUGCUAAGUAUGAUUAUAGCAGAGAUAAUAAGACAGCUUCAAGCACAUAUCUAUAACUUUUGCAAAUUGGAUUCAGAGUUCUUCAAAGAAACAAGCUGAAUAUUGGCUUAUAUGGCGUUUUGAAGGGGAAGCCACACUUGCUGAUUUAAUGCAAAGUAGGGAGUUUCCUUACAAUGUUGGUACCACUUCUGUCUCACCUUAAUUCUAAAUCUGUGAUGCAGAACAAAUCUCCUUGAUGGAAUUUUCAAGUAGAUAUAUUAUGAUGUGGAAAUCAUCUGUUCCAUAUGUUAUCCAUUUUGAACAUCACUAUGACUUAUUAUGUGUAUUUGCUUAGGUGCAUAUUAGACGUGCACAAUUCCAUGAAGGCUCACGGUAGCAUAUUUAAGGACAUAGCUGCUGGCCUAAAAAAGUGCCAACUCUUUCGUUUUGUAACUUAUAUAUUCAAUUCAUGACAUGAAUUAUAUGUAUUGUUACAUAAUGACGUAGGCCAACCAUUGGACCAUAGCUGUGCUUAUUGUUCCAUAGUGUAAAGCCCUAAGAUAAUAGGAUUUCCCUCCAAACAUAGCUGUGCUUAUUGUUCCAAAGUGGUAGAGUAACUGAUUCUUAAUAGAAACAAUAAUGUUGUAUUGUGAGGACAGAAGAGAAUAAAACUGUACUCUCUUCAGGAAAAAUUUCAUAGAGCUUGCCUGCCAAAAGGAAAAAGAUUAUAGUUGUCCAUAUUAUGAUGAACUGGUAGGCAAACAAAGAUAUCAUUGGUAGCUCUCCAGGUACAGAGUAACAACGGUGGCCACAAGAACUUCUCAAAGUGACAAUUGUGUUGUCAGGACCAGAAGGGUGUCAAAAUACUAGCUGAGAUUGGUUUCUAUUGAUAGUCUUUAGCCUCUAUCCCAAGCUUUCAGUGAGUUGAAGGUGAAUUUGGCUACCUUUAUGAGUGAAACAGUAGAAAUAGAUUUCUAGAACUGCAAGAAAGAAGAAGAUUUACAAAGAAAAUCAGGAAUUACUGAAACAAGGAGCACAGAAAAGAAAACUUGGAAAUUGAAUGAGAAGUCAAAUAUUUGUUCAACUGAAAAGAAAUGUUUGCUAGUAGGAAAAUUCUUGUCCAAGAAUUAAGAAUCCGUUGUCCAGAUUUCCCCUUCUGGCACUCAAAGGGUAGAGCCUGUAGAUUGACUGCUGAAACUAUGAAUCCUGACUAGACACACAAGAUUAAGAUGGUGACCUCUCCAGCUUUGCUUCAGUUAGAUGCUCUAGAUUAGAAACUGAUUCCUUUUUCACAUGGCAAAGUGCUUCACGGGUGGAUUUCUGAGGUUGAAAACUUUUCCAGUAUAUCCAGGUCUUUGAGUCACUUUUGUUGUAAAAUAUGCCAAAUGAGUCCCCCCCCCCCUCCCCCUCUCCUGGAAAAGAAGUCCUAGUUGUUUAUCUCCCUUUAACCUAUAUUAGCAAUAGGUUGAUCUAACUAUGGUUUUGUGUUCAUUAUCUUGUCUAAAGAAAAGGUCAAUGCUUUUGUACACUUUUUGCAAUGAGUUGCUGAGACGGUCUCUAUAUGACAUAUAAGAUCAAAUUUACAUUUCUAGCCUCUUCUGCUAACCUUAAUGAAGUUUUCGCAAACUUAAAGGUGGAAGCACUGCUUCUCGGGGAGGUUAACAACUUGCCUAAGGCUCUAGAAAGGGAAAAUCAAAUUAUCCAGACUAUUUUGGGACAGAUCUUGUUUGCAUUAGAUGGUCUUCACUCAACCGGAAUUGUCCACAGAGAUAUUAAGCCACAGAACAUAAUUUUCACUGAAGGUGACUGUUUUGUGCCAACCUUACUUAUUAGCAGCUCGCUUAAACUCUCUCUCUAUUGUUUCUUUCAGUUUUUUUUCUUUUUCUUUUCAUUUUUCUUCAUUAAAUGUGAUGCAGGUUCUCGCACAUUCAAAAUCAUUGAUCUUGGAGCUGCUACAGAUUUAAGGGUGGGCAUCAAUUAUAUUCCUAAGGAGUUUCUGUUAGAUCCAAGGUAACUUUUCAGCUCAACAAAAAUCAAUCACUGCCAGGAGCAUGUUGGUUUCUUUUCUAUACACUAAAGUACUCAAACUUGCAAAUAGCUGCUGAUAAAGUACUAAAGUUUCUAGGACAGCCUAAUCUAAUGUCAUUAUCAAACCAAUAAGAAAGUAUCAGUUAGUUACUCAUGAGAAAUCCUGUAAAAUCCUGGAUAUUGACCCAAAUCCUUACCUGGGGUCAUCUACUCAAAUGUUACCUUUUUCAUUAGGAAAAGAAAAUUAUGUUGAGCAAAGUAUCAAUCAACUUCAGUUAUCUCAGAUCAAAAUGUGUAAUAGUCCUUCCCUACACCAAAAUUCAUCCCAGAAUUAGUGGCCAUCUUGGUUCUCUUAGUCAUGUGAAAAUGCUAGGAAAAAUUCACUGCAGGGAUGAGAGGGUUAGAAAAUGGAGCGCUACAAACCUCCACCCCUCCUUUCCCCAAAAACAACCUUUUUAGUCAUACAGGAAAUGUUCUUCGUAGAAAAAGCCAACCAACCAUCAAGUAUACUUUGUUUUUGGGAAGGGAAGAAGAAGAGGGAAGGAGCGAAUUUUUGGGCAAUGGAACAACUUUAAAGUUGACUUCUUUUGUACUUUUGGAAGUCCAUCACAAUUAAGAAUAUUUUUGUUUUCGAUUUCCCAUAAAUUGCAAUAUUAAAUAACCGUUCUUACGUGACUUUCAUAACCAUUUGGUAUCAGGCAGUAGAAGAGUGUAUUUCAUGCUAUGAACUGAUUUAGUUUCACAACCCCAUCGAGUUGAUUUUGUUCAAUACGAUCCACAAAUUUAAAUUAUCACCUCAAGGAGUCAAAUACAUAAUAUCUGAGUUGAAGUUGUAAUAAGUUAUUAUCCCAGUAACAGUUUCAUAUUUGGAAUAUACAUUGGGACUGAAAUCAUUAGGCUUUAUUUGAUCUCUUUACGGAUAUUCAUUGAGCAUUAUCCAGGCUAACAGGAGCUACUUUCUUGAUAGGCUCCAAGCAUCAAUCUAAUUCCAUCAAUUAGAUUCACAUGAUUCCAGACUUUGGUUUAUUUGCACAACAUUAUUAUUUCUCAUUUUCUCCAGGUAUGCUGCACCUGAGCAGUAUAUUAUGAGCACUCAAACACCCUCUGCACCUUCAGCUCCAGUUGCAACGGCACUAUCUCCUGUUUUAUGGCAGGUAUUGUGUCUUCUAUGAAUACUUUCAUCUUCACGCCACUUGAGGUUGAGCGAUACAUUUGACUUACCCCUAAACAACAAUGUCUGAGCAGCUAAAUUUACCAGAUCGCUUUGACAUCUACAGCGCCGGGCUCGUAUUUUUACAAAUGGUAAGUUAGCGAUACUAGUUAAUUAUGACUGUUUCUCCUGGAUGAUGUCCUAGGAAUGCAAGCAGUUACCUAUAGGAGAACAAUAUACUCUUUUCACGAGUAUAAAAAAUGGUCAAUAAGUAGUUGGAAUAUCCUUUGCUGAGAUUGUCAUUCUGUACUUAUUUUCACAUUGUCAUUGACUAACAAACUUCACCAUGUUUAAAAUUCAAACGGAAAAAAGAAAAAUCUUGGAAAGAAUUUUCUGUCUCUGUCUGCAUAUAACAAUGGCACAAAUAUAUGUAAAUGAUGUUUGAUAUUCCUUUUGAGGUUCUGCAUUUCAAAAUUUCCCUACAGAGAAGCUAACUCGAUCCCCAAGUGCGGCAUUGAAGUCUGAAACUAAUCAAGUAACACUAUGAUUGUGGUGAUUGAUAAUUACUGUUUUAUUGCAUUGGGUGUAGUGUUUGAUUGGCACUGCCUUAGUGACUCCCCCUUAUUGAUGAUGAGCUCAUUGCCUGCAGGCGUUCCCUGGACUACGAAACGACAAUAGUCUCAUACAAUUUAAACGUCAGCUAAAGCGAUGUGACUACGAUCUGGUUGCAUGGAGGAAUACAGUAGAACCACGUGCAAGCAAUGAGCUUAGAAGGGGCUUUGAGUUGUUAGAUCUGGAUGGUGGCAUUGGAUGGGAACUUUUAACAUCAAUGGUUCGGUAUAAGGCACGCCAAAGAGUCAGCGCAAAAGAAGCUUUAGCUCAUCCUUACUUUGAUAGAGAAGGCCUAUUGGCCAUGUCCUUUAUGCAGAACCUAAGGAUGCAAUAUUAUCGAGUGACACAACAAGACUAUAGUGAAGCUCUCAAGUGGGUUGUUCGGCUGAUGGCAAAGUCAGGAACAGAGCAGGACGGUGGCUUCACUGAAGCACAGCUUCAGGAGCUCAGGGUUUGUAUAUGCUAAACUGCAUAUUAUGGAUUUUAGAAAUAGUUACACUAUGAGUUACAACUCUCUAUCUGCUUUAUGCAGGAUAUACAACCUAAAAAGAAGUCGAGUGCGCAAAGGAAUGCUCUUGCAUCAGCUCUCAAGCUGCAGAGAAAAAUCAUAAGGACAUUAAAGGAGAGUGUUGAUGAACUUAAUCAAAGGCGAAAGAGCGUAUGGUGGAAUCGGUGGAUCCCAAGAGAGGAAUGAAAUUUGUAAAAAUAGUAAUUUACUUAUGCAUGUAAAUUAUUUUGCAGUCCUCAACCUUAACUUCUCUAGCGGAGUAAAUGAUGUCUAAUAGAGAGUAGAAAAGCAGAUUUUAUAUAAAAAGUAAUGUACAUCAUUCCACUCACACUCGGAUUAAUCCUCUUGUAUGAUAGGAGACGUAUAAAAGAAAAUUUACAGAUAAUCGAUUGUCCCUUCAGUUUUCUGAUUCUGAAUUUCAUACCAUUAUCCUCAGGCAUGCAGAAACACACAUUAACGAAGGCCAAAGAUCAUUCCUGUUGCAUUAUUGUGAGGUUGGUUCUUCUUCCAUGAAGCUGCUUAAUUCAGCCCUUCAUUUCACUUUCUCAAUUUAUUCCUUUUGUAGUAACAUGGAUACGUAGUUCGUUGGAGCUACAAAAAUAGGCAUAUAGAUAGCAUGAUAAUUGACUAAUUAUUUCUGUCUUCCUCACUGGAAUGAAGAUUGUAAGUGGCUAUAAUACGUGUGCAUUCAUCAUUUCCAUAUCCAUCGAAUGGAGUUAGUAGGAAAUGGAACAUCAUAUACAUAGUUUUUUCUUCUUUAAUUUCCUUAACAUUUCUCUUAUUUGCCUCCUUUUCCUAAUCUUGCUUUUCUAUUAGUACUAGUAAUUUCAUCUUGCUUAAUUUGGUGUGUUCGGAAACAAAAAUUUUUCAAAUAUAAUUUUAUUUGUGUCAUAAAAACAUUCUUCAACCACGUUUUUAUAUUUUCAAUUAUCUUUUUAUCUCACAUACAUCAUAUCAAAAAAAGUGCUAUAGCGAUCUUUCUAAAUAAUAUUUUAAGCAAUCUGCCAUCCAAACACACUACGGUAAUUUCAGUUCUGCCACGCUCCAUAAUGCUCAAUUAAAAAUCCUUUCCGGAUCUCAAGGUUUUCACAGCAUACCUGGGAUAUUUCCAGGCAAAAACUGUUAAGGAUGACGAUGAGCCAUGUUAUGGCAUGAGACCUAUCAUUGUGCCAACAAUGUAUUGACCCGUUGUGCUGGAUACGUAUGAGAGUUUCAGAGCUGUGAUAUACAAGUCGGAAUAAUUACAUAUCUAAGCUAAAACUUUAGGAUGAUAAAUGCGUAAAAAAAUAAAAAGGAUAAUGAAUAAGUCAAGCUAAUUCUCUGUUCAUGUUGUGUUCCCUACCCAUAGAGGAUAUAGGGCUUGUUUUCAAAUGAUUCUAAGUAAAUUAAAACAAGAAGAUAAAUGUUUUUAGCUUCUGAUCUGAUUCGAAUUAUGAAAAUCAGAAGCAUCUGUGAGAACUUAUCUACAAAGUUUGAGGUUCUCUGCAGAGCUGACGACUUCAUCCCCGAACUUACAUGGCAAUUCAUGGCUAAGUAAAACUUAAAACUGAGGCCAACGGUGACGGCCAGAUAACCAAAAAUUGGUCUCGUUGUUAGUUGAAAACAUUGGAAGCAAUUCUGACAUGCUUAGGAUAAGUAAUUAUUGUUCGUACAGUUAAUUAACUGUCAUCAACUCACUAUCAAGAAAGAAACCCUUCAGUCCCCACCAUCAUCCUACCUUCCUUCCUCUCCUGAGGGAACUCCAUUUAUGGAGAUUUGAUACGCCCGUAAGAAUACAACUCAUGCACUACUAUGCUUCUUACUACUGAUAUUAUUACCCAUUCGUGCUGGCUUAUGGCAGUUGACACCACAAUUAGGCUACUUAACAUAUUCAAAUCUGCAGAAGUAGCGUCAUCAAUAACUAAUUUACAACUAAGCACUAUUGCUUUGCGGAUGAACUAGCUUUUAAAUAAUUUAGGUGAAUAUACCUACCUAUAUAGAGUUCAAACGUUGGUGGCAGCAAUAAUUAACGAUUAGUAGCAUAAGAUGAUGUCGAGAAUAGCAGGAACAACAACCGUAUCAACCAUGAGAGCUUCACGUGUGACCUGACCUUCUUGUUCAGGCACACAAAAGUCCACUUUUUCAGCCCUUGACAGUACAACACACACCCCACCAUAGUCACUUCAAAGUAAGCCUGGAAGACUCGGAUUAUGGCAUAGUACAAGUUUCUUAAUCAGCACUGUCCCCCUCAGACUUGUUUUCUUUCUUUUAUUGAUAUUUUCCCCUUACCCAAUGUGGUUUUUGGGUCAUAGCCCAUCGUAUGAUUUUAUUGGCAUUUCAAAGUUUUGAUUAGCUUUGGAUAUUUCAUGGUUCAUGAUCAUUUGUUGUUUUAUGCGUGCAUAGAACAAUGACUAUAGCUUACUGAGUCAUCCUGCAUCUAUUUUAAGGACCUGCACAUUGCUUUAUCAUGAGCUAUGGAGCUUGGACUCAAUGUAUCAUGAUUUAACCUUGACUCAGACAUAAUGAAAAUCCAUCAUGGCGGACGAAUUCCCCAUAAGUUAGGUCCAUCUACACGCUUAACAUAAGAUUUGAAAGGAAAAAUUCUUCACUAUGUAAUUGCUAUCAUGCAUUCAAACUCAUCAGUAGAAGAAACGUUUUUCUAUGGCAUACCCUAGUAUCCACUAAAGGAAAGAGCGAAAAAAAAAAAAAAAAAGAGAGAGAAAGAAAAACCAUGUAUUACAAUUAGUUCAAGCUGACUAGAAAAACCAAUAAAACUUUAAUGUCCUAGUCAAGGAGUUGGAGUGUGAAGUGUUACAUUACGUUAUGUAAUUACUUUAUACUCCCUCUCUUUUUUUAUAACUGACGUUUAAGAAAUUUGCUUUUAAGUACUUUUAUCUGUCGUUGUAUUAUCCACAUGCAGCAUUAAUUAUUUUUUCACAAUUUUGCCCUUUUAUCUCUCUUUAUCAAUACAGGACUCUUAAUUACCACUCCUAGUAAUUAUUACUUCUCUCUUUGCUUUUGGCCUAAUAAAACAGCAUCAUUUAAUACUCUAGUGAGAGAAAACAUGAGUGAAUUGGACAAUUAAUGAGGGUACAAAAGGAAAGUAGUGUAUAGAUUUAAACAAUGAAAAACUUUUCUUAAUUGGUGUGCAAAACCUUAAACGUCAGUUAUAAAAAAAGGGAGGGAGUAUAAUGAAGUGUCAUGCGUUAUAUUAUGUUGUUGCUUAAUACCUUUCUUUAUAUCGAGUGAUGAGUUUGAAUUGAAGACAGCUUACGUGAGCUCAGAAACUGAGAAUGGCAGCUUCAAAACUGCUCAAAAGAAAGAACCCCCAAAAAAAGAAAGUAAAAAAAAAUCUUAAAUCAAUAGUUUAUUAGAACUUUAGGUUACUGAAAGCUGGUGUCCUUAGUGAAAUGGGAGGAACACGAGAUAAAGCAAGUGGGUUGGCUUUGCUUGGUAACCUGAUCAUCAAGAUUAAAUUAACCAUUCACUUAAUCGAAUUUUGUGCUGUUUCCCCACUAGAUUUCAGCAAGAAAGGAGUAGUAGAAAAUUCAGCUAUGGUCAUUGCUUGGAAAUGUGGUUUCUUGGGUUCUUAAAUGCUGGUGCAAUAAAAGAGAAUAUGGCGGGGUAAUUGAAGGCUCACGUGAGGCUUAGUUUGACCGUUAUUUUGAUCCGAUUCCCUCGACAAGUAGCGUAAAAAUUCUCGUAAUUAAGCCAAAAUAUGCAGGGCAUACGAUGUUGAAACUUCCUUCCAUUUUUGCAAUUUAAUUCUCUCAAGCAUAUCUUUCUUUGAUCCCUUUUGGUUUUCAAUGUCAUUUUCAGAAUUUUCUAGCACAAAACUUUUUAUGGGUUCUUUGCCUUCAAUUUAUUUUGACAAAUUAUGACAAAAUGUUUCCUACAAAAAAUUCAAUGUCAUUUUACUUUGAGCAGAGUGAUUUCCAUUGGAAUUGUUGAAGACGAUCCUGCAAAGUAAAACGGUGACAAGGCAUCUUCAUUCAGCAAGUUCUUUAAAUUUCUCAUUCAGGAUGUUUUUUUGAUACCCUUAGCUUAGUAGGGUAAAUGCUUUAAUGCCAAUCCGAAUUUACUGAUACUCGUUGUGGCAGUCAACCUAAGAUGACUGAACCCAGAUAUGAUUUCUCCUGUUAAAGAUAUUAUUACAAAAAAAAAAAAAAAAUUCUCAAUAAAAUUGAUUCGUUCUUGGGUCAAUUCAAACUUUUAUUGUUUGCAUGGCAUGCCAACUGUAAGUUUAGUGCUUCAAGAAAAAAGAAAAAUGGAAAUCAAAACUUUGAAUAUAACACUUUGUAUAUCAGUGAUCACUAUAGUGACCCCUACUGAUACAGAAGGCAGAAUUCCUGGAAAAAAUGUUGCCUUGAAGCCGCCACUGCACCCCAUUGUCAUACAUACUGUCUCAGUAACUCCCAGUUAUACAAAGCAAAUACGGGAACUGUUGACUUGAAGUUGCAACCGCACCCCAUUAUCAUACCGAAUUGUCCCAUAUGAAUAAUGCUGAUGGAAAUUUUGCUGGAUUAGAUUGGGAUAAUUCAUUAUAGUAGGCUCUAUUAGGUGGUGCUUUACUUUACAUGUACGUUAGUUAAAAUGGGCAUUUUUUAGUAGGAUCCAACUGAGACCCUCACUUUGUCUGUUUAGGUGGAUCCGACUCAAAUAAGACAUGAACUUAAAUGAGUGUACCAGAAAUAUGCAGGAGAAGGGUCAUUUUGACCAAAAUUAUCACCUCAUCAUCAACACUAUUGCAAGGCAGCUCAUAAACUAAGGAAUUGUGCUACCUUAUUGAAGUAAUGGCUGACCCCUUAUGUUGGUAGGUGAUGCAUGAUAACCAGAGUUGUAUAUAGAGAAUGACAUGGCACUAUGGCAUUGAAUCUACACUUGUACAAAUAUGCAUUAGUAGCGGUAUUUAUUUACUCACUAGUGUUUGAAUAAUUUUAAUCUUUAUUUUUUUUUUCCCCUCCAUGUUGGGGGUUUAUAGCAUGGAAUCCCAAGUGGGUAUGGGACCCUUAUGGUACUGUCUGGUGAGCUAGGGGGCACUGCACACCCCUUGAUGCCCCAUAGUUGGCUCUUUACUCGACCGAGGCAAGUUUGGGCCACACUUGAAACUCCUUAUAUAAAGAGCCCUUCUUGCUCUUUGUUCAUCACUUCAAUUUCAGCAACUUCUUCAUUCAUCACUUGUGAGUUUACCUGCACCAAAGCACAAAGAAGAAAAAAGAACACUUCUUGCAAACUAUUGUAGAGAAGAUGAAGAUGAGCAGCACAAACAUGGGAAGCUCCAAGAGAAGAAUUUCAAGCAGAGGACUAGGAGGGGUCCUAAGAGAGCAAAGGGCUAGGCUUUACAUAAUCAGAAGAUGUGUGGUCAUGCAGCUUUGCUGGCAUGAAUGAAGAGUAUCUUUCUAGUUCUAUCUAGCCUUCAAUAAGAAGGGAUGCUUGUUUCUUUCUUCUUCUUCUUCUUUGAUCAUCUUGGGGAGUGUAAAUAGCAAAGGCCGAGAUUAGUGAGAAAGAAGUUAACAAUUUUGUACUAAUUAUUAAUUGGCUUUAUGAGCCCUCGUGUGUAUACAGUCGGAUAGCUUAAUGGAUUGAAAAAAUCAUCUUUAUCAAUUCAUUGAGUCUUAGUAAUUCUUUUCAUUUCCAUUCAUAUUCUCUCCUUUGAUAUUGUGUGUUAUCAUUUCUGCUGUGGAUUUUUGAAGAUGGAGGACUAGCUAGUUCAUCAGCCAAACUUAAUCAAGCUUUUGCAGGAUGAGGACAUGCCCACAAAAUUGGGUAGCUGAAGUCUAAUUCACAUUAAUCUUUACCUUCUGGUGAUCGGCUAAUCAUCCUUAUGUGAUCAUUUCUUUCAUCAGUCCUCAUGGAGGUUGACUAGUUUAUUAUCCUCACAAUAGUUCGCAUUCAUCACGGUCCUCAACGUACACAAAAAACAAUGAAGAUAAUGAAUGCUUGGAUAUUUAAGCAAUAGGGAACUGGUGAUGAACGAGUUGGGAAGAUGUAUGAUUGGAUUCUUUAGUGCUAGCUCAAAGUUCAUAUCAACUUCAAUUUGCAGAUUUUUCUACUUGUAUUUUCUUUCCUGAAUUAUUCGAAUAUCUGGAUCCCCAGAUUCAGAAUCAGAUGAGCAGGACUUCUAAGUUUCUUCCCAGAAAUUAAAAUUCAAAAAUCCAGCUCUUUGGAAGACUUUUUUUUAUUUCGUUUUAUUUUGGUAUUGGCAUUGGAUUGUUUUCUUUCCUGCAAGAAGUAGUACUAGUACUUCCCUGUUGUCCAAAUUUAGAAGCUACCUAAGCCAUCCCACAAGUACCAGAGAAAACAGGGGUGGAAAAAUUUGUAGUCGUUUUAUUAGGCUUAGCCAGUCAGGUUAUAGCAGAUACGAUACAUAUUACACUUAAUUUUGCAGGCUUUUUUUUUUUUUUCAGAAAAAAAAAGUAGUUGAUAUUUCUAGAUUUAUGCUCUUUAUUUCUGCGCAUAAACUUGAAUUAAACUCUUGACUGGUGCAAACAAGAAAGGGAAAAAAAAUAUAUAGAUUAUCUUUAAUUAGGAGAAUAAUGACUAAACCUUUUUUUCUUUAUAUAUAGAUUUUGAGGGAAUUAUUAUGUUAGCAAAAACCUAGAAAUAGUAGUAUUAUUUCCUGCUGUUUUAACACUUUCUGAUUAUCAUGUAGGCCCUAUAAUCAUUUAAAGUGAUAAAUGCUGUGAUCUUACUUUCCUAGUUUCCAAUCCAGUCAAACUAUUUACAAACUUUUUGUACUCUCAGGAAAGCAGGUCCAAAAAAGAGACAGUAGCAUCUUACUGCAAAGCAUUAUGUUAUUACUUGUUACAUACUUAAUUAACGAUUUUGAUUGUCGUCUUGUGAAUUGCAGGUGCAACAAGAAAUUGACUUAAGACACUAAUUGAUAUAUUUCAUCUGUUUCUUUUGUCUGCUUUUGAUAAUUGAGGGUUUGGUGGCUACAAAUUAAACAUGAAAAUUUAGCUAAUUAAGCUUUUAAUAAUAAUUAAGUUGGAGACUAGUUAGUUUGUGACAACGUAUUGUCUUGAUCAUCUUGUCUUCAACCAAACCUGCAUUAGCGAAUUUCAAAGUAUUCUAGUCGAAGAAAGAGAUGUUGGCCCAACCAGACAACGCCACUGACCCUUAUGUUAAAUCCUGUGAUUAAUGAUUAUCCUAUCCAAGGGACAUUGGAGUCUAACCUUCAUUUCAUUAACAAUUUGUGGGUAAUUAAGGGACUCCAACCUAAUAUUUACAUGUGCCAUGCAUAUUUAUUUAAACUGAAUUAUUAAGUAGUAGUAGAAUUGAAAUAAUAGCACAUAAACUUAAUUAGGAUAAACAGUCAGAUAUUAACACUUCAAACUAUGCUGAACUAGAAUAAUCUUCUUGGAAGGUACUAUUCAUUAUUCUCUUUUUCUUUUCUUUUUUUUUUUCCAUUUUCUCCCAAUUAUUCAGCUAGAGUUGGGCCAACAGGCGCCUAACAACAAAAAGAAAAACUAGUGCCAGAACCAGGCUGCGGCAAAAAACAAGAUAGGAUAAAAAGGAGCAAAAUAUUUGUAUUUUAGUGAUCGUGAGGUACCACAAUAUUUAGUUGUUCUAGUUGAAUUAAAACUUAGGUGAUAGUGACGAACUAAAAAUAAUGGAUAUCAAUUGUCCUCUUUGUUUAAUUUUUAGUAACAUUAUACACAAAGUCUAAAUUUCAAUCUGCAAAUUUACUAUUAAAAACUUGAUAUUUAUAAAUCAAAAAAAUAAUUUUUUUUUAAAUAGCGCGUGAGUGAGAGGGUUCGAAUUCAAAAUCUCACAUUUGCACUCUUUUAUUUUUAAAUAAAAGAGUGCUCUAUAUAUUAUCAAGAAACGUGCCAUCUAAAAACAUGCAACAUAAGAAAUAUCGCUCAUCUUCUGUUUAUUGGAUGCCAAAUCAAUUAAAUGCCGAAUCAAAUUUUGAUGUAAGAUGGUUGAUGUUUCAUGUUUCUUGAAGAGAUUUAUGAUUAAAACGUCAACUUUUAUGCUUAAAUUCAUCUGGAAUCAAACUUACAGCGCGAAGCUUACUGCGUUUGCCAUUCAAUUCUUGCGGCAUCAACAUGAUCUGAUCUGCGAUCAUGUUACUAAAACUGUUCUUUUCUUCUUUCCCCUUCAAAAGAAAAACGAUCAUGCACAGAAAGAAAAGGUGAACCGGAAAAAUCAAACAAAAGUGCUGUACAAGAAAGAAAAAAUAAAUAAUGGCAAAUGGGGUGAAGGAGUUGAAACAGUUAAAAGUCCAAAACUGAAGUGGGGCAAAGAUUGUCAGGCUGCACAGGAGCUGAAUCGCUAAUCUAAUAUUCUGCUGUCGGCCACAUAACAAUUGCCAUCUCAUCUCGUCUCAGCUAAGCCAAAAUUGAGGUGAGCUCAAGAAAUGGAAGUGAUGGAGCCAACCCCCGACACAAUAUGUGAUCAGUCAAAAUGGCAGCCUUAUCCACCCCCACGUGCAUUUUCUUAUCUUCAACCCCACCACCACCACCAUCCCAGCCCAUGAGGCAACCACCACCACCACCUCCACCUCCACAACGACCAUGACCUCCCUCCCCUUUCAAACCCCCCCAGUCCCCACUCCCUGUGAUUCUUUUCUAAUCAUCAAAAAAAUCCCCAUCAAAGUGGUCCGCCCGCCUACCCCUCCCUAGGCAUAUAGAUUCUUCCUAUGUAGUACUCGUAUACUUACUUCCAGUAUGGACUUGGACUAACAUGCAUACAUCAUCACUGCUGAAAAAUUUAACCGAUAUAUCUUCAAAAAAAAAAGAAAGAAAGAGAGGAACGUAAAACUUGUUUCAAGAUUCAGAUCAACUGCUAUAUGCAUGUAUAUAUGUAUGUUUGUGUGUGUAUAUAUAUAUCUUCUUGUACUUGGGAUGCAAUAGACGUUCAAUGCCAAUAUCUGACUAAGAUAAUUCAUAUCUCCUUCGUUACGUACGCUUGAAUGGAUGGUUGGCUUUGCAAUGGAUGAUAUAUCUCCCAGUUUUGGGGUCUAAUCUUAGCACCCGCCAAGCAUAUAUGCUCGCCCGUUUGUAGAUACAUCUGGGUGAAUUGAUGCGUAGUUUUGGUAGGUAAGGUGAGUCAGAGUUGAUAAGAACAGCUGACUAACGAGUAACUGGGUGGAAUCAUAAUUUACGUAAAUUAAAUGGGUCAGAAAGGCAAUUAUAUGAUAGGUCUACGCGUGUCAAUAUUUCUUCCCCUCCCAUGCGGCCCUUUGGCAUAGAUGCAAAGGAAGUGGAAAGCCUGGAAGGGGUUUCGUUAAGCUAGGGGCGGAGCCAGGAAAAAAUCCUAGUGGGGGCAAAAAUAAUACUAAAAUUUUUUAUUUACUCUUUUUCUAAUUUUUUAAGCAAAAAAAAAAAAAAGUUUCAGGCAUAAAAACACCGUUUCACAAGUUAAAAUAUUUAUCAAAUAACUCAUUUAUUAGUUAUUACAUUAACUAAUCAAUUUUCAAAUUUCUUUAAAACAGUAAUAGUCUCAUGCUCUAGAAAUAUAUUUGCAAACAAAUUUAAAAUAAUAAUAAUAAUAAGUAAUUGUUUAGAACCUGAUUUUGGUGGUCUCCUAAAGUUGGUGAAAAGAGUUGCAAAAUGUGGCGGACCCAAGUCCUAAAAGAUCAAUUGAUUUUGGUGCAAUCUCUAAAUAGAAUGAAGUGAUCAAAAGAAAGAGUAACAAACUUUGGUUGUGGAAAAAAAAAAUGGCUCUCCCGUGUAUGUUGGGGAGUGGGGACAACCAAGAGUCAGAUAAAGAAAGGGAAAUUGGGGAGUGGGGGCAAAGGAAGUAAAUGAUAAUUGGAUGAAGUGAUAAAAAGAAAAAAAUAGUUGGCUUGGAUGUGGAAGAAGAGGAGCCAGUUGUGAAGGGAAAUGGGGGACCACAGGAGUAAAGGGAACUUGGAGAGUGCGGACCAAAAGGAAUGACUGAUAUAAUUGGUACUUCGCCCUGUUGGUGGGAAAAUGAGAACUAGAGGAGGAAAAUGAAUGAUAUAAAUUUUGUGAUCUAUUCUUUCACAUUUUUUCUAAAAAAAAUUCUGGAAGCACCUUUAAAAUUAUGUCAAAAUUAUAGAUGUAUUAUAGGAAUUUAAGGGGAGCAGUGGGGCCGGUGCCCCCACUUUAAAUCCGCCCCUUGAGCUUAGAACCUUGGAAGGCUUUGGUGGGCAUCAUCACUUGAACUCAUUUCUCAAUUGUUUCUGUCAAUUGUGCCCGCAAUUAUUCGUUGUGAGAAAGUGAUUACAGAUGGGAGCAGUGGGCGCUUUCAUGCUAAAAGAAUGUGCUUUUGUCCACCUCCGAAACACCCCCCCCACCCCCUCCCAAAACCCCCAACCCUACAGCAAUUACCUCUGACUUGAAUAUAAAUUUAAAUCUAACAAAGAAAAUGAAGAAAAAAGGGGUUUAUGUGAUAAAUUUCUCGUAAUAAAGACGUGAUUACCUUUUUGCUGGUUAGAUUACGUUUGAUCGUUAGUCAUGAGGAUAGUUUGUAGGUAGGUUUCAUCAACGUAAAGGGUGAUUUGUUACUUACCUCUAAUGAGAGGGGGGUAAUUGAAAUUUAGCCUGGAAUGAAAGGAAGGAGAAAUCAAUCAUGCAGAGUCUAUAUAUCUUUUGAAUUUUUUAUUCUUGUGAGAGGAUUUAAUAUUGAGAAUCGAGAGGCCAAUGCAUUGCGAUAGAAACAAGAGAAGAAGAAGCCAGAAGUGGUCCAUUUCCACAUGGAUUAAUUUAACUCUUUCGGACUUGUGGCAUUAGGGGUUCAGCCUAGAUGGUGUCUUAUUGGGACACAGCCACUCAUGCAGCUCUGCAUUGCUUCUUUUUCUUUUGGUGCUUUGAACUUUGAAGGCUUGCCUGCUUCAUGAUGGUCAAGAAACUAAACUAUAGAUGUAAAAAAAAAAAAAACACACUCUUUUUUUCUUUCCAACCUCAAUGUCCUCCCUGUCCACCUCCAAUAAUAUAUCUAUCCAAAUCGAUCUGUGUGGAUGAUUGCUGAGAAUAGUAACCUUUUGCAUGCAAUUAUAUGAUCAAGCGUCUGCGUGUACAUGUGUGAAUUAACUGUGCUGUAGGAUUCGGCCGCGAAGAUAUAUGACAAAGUUUUGCAAGAUUCAAACGACUCAUGAUUUGAAGUUAGAGUAACAAUCAAUACGAAAAUGAGGGGAAAAAAAUGUUAUUGCAUGAUUACGAGUAUUGAAUUUACGUGACAAGAUCCAAUUCACAGGGUCCCUCCAUUGUGAUGAAAACAUUGCAUUUCACCUACAUUUGCUACCAUUUGACAUCUACUCCUAACUCUUCUGCCCGGUGGCGGAGGGAGGGGGGGAGUGACUAGCAAUAACUUUGUUUUUGCUCAUAAUAUUUUAUAGAUUUUUUUUUUUUUUUGGUAAUUUUCUUUUAACUUGUCCUCCCUCCGAGUCCGCAGGUAUUGUUUACCUUACAUGAUCUCUUGCCUUCUUCCCCUCCUCCUGUAACUUGACUUUUUGCCUAAAAAAUGUUAUGGUCCUUCUCUUCUUUAAAUUGCUGCCCAAAGUAAAACAUACUUAUUAUGUCAAAGAAAUCCUUGCUAAUUGGAGUAUAUCUUUUUGUGCAUGUAUUGUGUACAAGUUAAUCAGUAAAGAUUGUCAAAUAGAUGGAACAUUGGGUGGGGGUUUAAUCAGUUAAGAAAAUGAAAUCAAUAAAGUUAUGAACUUUCACAAAACGAUCAUUCUACCUGAAGUUAAAACGGAUGACACAUUUAAUAUCUAUCCUAUUCUGCACAUCAAUUAUUUUAUCUGCAGGAUAGGAAAAUCGGGUGUUACAUGGAAAUGCUACAACUCGUUAUCCAACUUGAAAAUACCAUUUAGAAGAUGACUUUAAGUUCACCACUUAAACCACUCUUUACUCUCAAGAAUCGAAACUGAUAAUCCUAGCAUGGCAAAUAGUGUGUGUGUGUGUGUGUGCGUGUGAAGUAUCUAGGCAGAAGCAAAAGGGUCCUGGAAAGGUGGAACUGGAGUGGACAAUAUUGUGAUAAAAAAAGAGUGUAGUUGCUGGCACAUUUUGGUGAAACUGCCCUCUGUCGAAUGCUUUAUACCGCGUUCCUUCCCACAUCAUCUCAAACAAGGAAAAAGAAAAAGAGGUACGAGACUUUCAGAUCAAAGUUUGGUGAUUCUUGAACAAAAGAGACACCUAAUUAUGACCCAGCCUCAACUUCUUUUUAUCUUGGAAGAAAAUUUUAAGUGACGAAUCAAAUGAGCAUCCAAAUCUUUGGAGUGCAUAUCAUCAUACUUAUUUAUUGUCUAUUACUCGCUCUUAGAAUUAUGAUAAUAGAGAAAAAAAAAUUAGAUGACCGUUCGUUUCCAAAAUUCAAUUUAACUCGUACGAACAUUAGUGUGAUCAUGAGUUUUCUCGUUCAACUCUUUAACCUUUUCUUUUUUUCUUUCCCCCGCUAAGUACUAUUCUACAUUUUGUUGAUUCGAUAUCUUCUUUAUUCAAACAAAUAUUUGGCCAGCUAGUAACACAAAAAAGAAGAAGAAGAAAAAUUACUCCCGCUUGAGCAAGCUGCCAAUGUAGGAGUGGAGCGUGCAACACAUGAUGUUCUACACCCCGAAAGUCCCAACCCCCACCCUUUGAGAGGGCACAAGGUCCACAACCGCACCCACCAGGCAGAGCAAUUACCAAUUCUGCAUCCUAGAAUGACUACUGCUGAAACCGAUCAUGUUAAGGCUAGGACCAGUCGUUUCUAAAAUCCAUUUAUAGGCCAACCAUAAUAUGACCUGUAAGGUUCUUAGGUUCAAUGAAUCCUUCAUUUACGUUGAUGGGACAUAUGAAUCCAUCUUUGUUCCAACGAAAUAAUGGUUGACCUGAUGCUGGAAUUCUCUCGAGUUCUCCGUUGAGUAUUCUAUUUAGGUAUAUGUACCUUAAGGGUCUGUUUGGUUCAUGGAAUGACACAGAAUAGUAUUUUUGAAGUAUAGAUAUAUAUAUAUAUAUAUACACACAAAACGGAUAGGCGCGAUCGUGAGUACUAAAUCAAGAUCUAAUUCUUACUACAUCAUAGUGUCUUUGGAGUACAUUAGCCCUUUUUACUUUAUCUCUCUAUGAAGAAUAAAUUAUCCUUACUUAAAGAAAAUAAUGUCAGCAGAUAUAUGGUAGUUUCCAUGAAUCCAUUUUUAGACAGAAAUUAUUGAGAGCUAUAGGGAGUUCAAAGUUUCAUGAGCUGCGGUGUGGUGCCAGAUUGUAUAAGGGCCCCAUGUAGCGAUUUUUUGUUGGACUGAUGAUUCGAUCUUUACAAACAGGUGUGAACAGAUAGUUCAGCCAUCAGUUCUUAAUGCUCUUAGUGGACUGAGGGACCAAAGCCCAGAGUUUGCCUAACAAGGACAAAUAUCAUAGGCCCAACAAUGGGCUAUUUUUUAUUUUUUAUUUUUAUAUUUUUUUAGUAUGAGUGGGAGGACUCCAACCAAGUUUUUAGAAAAAUUCCUACACUUUCACAGUGGAGAUGUUUCACUUUUUUUUUUUUUUGUGGUGUUCCAUUUUAAAUUUUUUUUUUUUUUUAAUGGGGGAUGUGGAGAAGAAGCAGGAAUGAAAUAAUGGGCAUAAAAACAGAGAAAUUUGACUAGCAAGUGACAGUAAUCAAUUGUCUUAACUAUUGGACUAAGGUUUAAUGAUUAGAUGCACUGUGCUCUUCCGCUGUGUUCCAUUUUGCAGGCUUCGUCAUCCAGAACUUUCAGCCCAGUAACCUUUUAUCCUGGAUCCAAAUGAGCCACCAUGACAUGCAGAUGUAGCUUCUAAAUCUGGACGAAUGGAGCAAAGUUAUCUGUCUGGGUUUGUAUGCUUUUUGUUCUUUAAUUUGAGCCAACUCAGGCCCAAGUAUGUUUCAUUUGUCACUCCUUCAAAGCAUGGCUCAAAAGCUUUAGCUUGACAUGCAAAUGAGCUUUGUAAUGCUUAAGUUUUGAGCGAACCAAGCAAUCUACAAACAAGUUCGUAUUUGCCUUGUUUGAGUUCUUGAUUUCGAACACAAAAUUAGACUGGUGGAAUAAUUUAGCCGCCCUCUCUUCUCCUCCCUUUCUUAAAUCUGGUCGUAUGAUUCGAUCGUGACCAAAUCUAUUCACACGACAAAAUUCCAUUGAAAAAGAGGACGAAGGUGUUUCGUUAACCCUUCCCUCUUCCCCCACCCCCUCUUCACGUCAUCACCUCCACUUUUCCCUCUCUCUCCUCCCCUUUCAUCCCCCUCCCUUGCAUUUAGAGCUGUUAAGCGUAACGAGCUACUCGAAAGCUCGUUAAGGCUCGGAUCGAUAAGGCUCGAGCUCGGCUCGUUAAUUUCAAUUAACGAGCCGAGCUCGAGCUCGAUAAAUACUCGUUGAGUUAUCGAGCCGAGUAAGCUCGAACUCGAUUCUUUAUCGAGUAGCUCGGUUGAGCUCGACAAAGAAGGGUAUUUGUGUCAUUUUAGCAGUCAACAAGUAGAAAUUUGGACUAGGGUUGAUAUUGCAUCGUCUCAUACUCUCAUUCUUCAUUUCUGCCUCUCCCUCUCCGCUGCACGCCGCACCCAGUAACCCACAGCCGCACCCACAGGCCACAGCCCCGCAACGCCGCAGCUCCGCAACCCUGCAACCCUGCAGCCCGGAUCUGGAUCAACCCUGCAACCCCGCAGCUCCGCAACCCUGCCAGCCCCGCAACACCGCAACCCGCAACCAGUAACCCACAGCCGCACCCACAGCCCCGCAACGCCUCAGCUCUGCAACCCCGCAGCAACCCCGCAGCCCCGCACAACCCCGCAACCCCGCAGCCCGCAACCCCGCAACACCGUAACCCCGCACUCCACAGCAAGCCGCACUCCACAGCUGCAACCCACAGCAACCUCUGCCUCCACUGCCGCCCACAGCCUCUGUUUUCUGCCAUUAACAACCCCGUCCACGGCCAGGGCCAAAACCAGUCCAAUUUGACUGGUUUCUCUAAUCCUUCGUGAUAUUUGGUAAGUCUCGUCUCUUUUCGUAGGUUAAUUGUACUGAAUGACAAGAGUUCAUUCUUGUCUCUUUUCUGGUUUAGUAGCAGUUGGUAAUGUAGUAGUUGACACAUCUCAUAUGUACAAGGAUGGAUCAACAAAUUUUCUUCUCGCGUGAGGACUGCAUCCAACCUCUUUGUUUUAUUCCUUUCUGCAAUAACUUGCAGUUCAAUCAUAGAAAUUUAAUGUGGAAAAUCUAGAUUAUGCUUAUUAAUAUCUGAUAAUUUUAAAGAGUACUCGAAAAGAUAACGUCUGAGUUUUUGCAGUAGUUUUACCUUUUCUUCAUGGAUUUCUUGGGGGGAUGGGGUGGGGAAGCAAGAAGUGUUCUGCUUGUGGGUAUAAUCUGCUGCUAAAUGUGCCUAUAAAUCUUUUCUAAAACUUAAUUAUUAGUACAAUUAGAUAUUGCACUUCAAUAUCUGGAGGAUUGAAAGGGAAGAAAAUAAGUAUGGUUGAUUAAGACUUCUUAUUUGUGAAAUUUGAGAAAAAAGAUGUAAGGAUGUUAACCUUGAUAUCAAAAAAGCCUUACGGACUUAAUUUGGACAGCAUACUUCUUUUUUUUUGGGUAAAUUUUUGAUCUUUUGAAUGAAACAUGUCAAUGUUCGUGAGCUAACUGUUGCACUAUCACAGGGAUUGAUUGGCCUUUCAUUUCAUUUCAUUUCAAUUUCAAAGUGUUUGAUUAGUUUGAUAUUUUCGUCUUGGGGCCAUUUAUGUGUGUGUGAAUUGAGUUAAAUGAAUUGUUGAAUGAAUAAUAUAGGCACUACACCAUAUGUGCCUUCAUCUAUUUUGUUCAGCCUCUCGAACUCAUCAACACUUUUACAACCCUGAAGCAUGUUCACGGCCCUUGGUGGAGGAACUGCAUGUUCUGGUGUCCCGUGGGAGUUGUGUUCAUCAUCAGAACCAGUAUCCGCAUUGCUACCACUGGUUCCACCAUAACUGCGAUCUUCAUCAACCUCCAUGUACUCAUUCCUGUCCAAUUCAUCAGGAUCACUAUCUCCACUAAAGGAUCUAACGCGUUCAUCAGAAGACCUGACCCUAUUUCCCACUGAACCUUCUCUCCUCAGUUCCAUGUACUCAUUCCUUGUGAAGCUGUACUUAUUCUUGUGAUUUCUGAAGGGGUUGUACUUUUUCUUGUCAGGUGUUUGAAGUUGGACAAUUUUUAAGCUAUGUAGCAGUGUUUUACAUGGUUAUUUGGCUGUAGUUUGUGCGUUUAUUUGGCUGGACAAAACCUGUUAUGGUAUAUUGGCUCUUAUGAAUGUUGUUUCAUAUGGAAUUAGACUGUAGUUUGUGUAUUUGUUGACUGCAGCCCUGGAGUUUGUGUUGUAUGGAUCAUGGAUGUUAUGGUCUUAUUUGUCUUGGAUGAAAUGUGGUUAGAGUUUGUGUAUUGUUGAAUGUGAAUGGCAUUGGUUGCCAAUCCUAAUAUUUUUUGUUGAUUUUGGAUAGCCUAAAUCUGGAUAUGUUGGAGCAGGACUUCGUAAAUAACUGAUUGUUGAAUUUUGAAAUCGAGCCUCAAAAUCGAGUCUCGAGCUUCGAACUCGAGUCUAAAAUCAAGCCUCGAGCCUCGAACUCGAGCCUUGAGCUCGGAUAGAUAUUUCGAGCUCGAGCUCGAGCUCGUCCCGAGCCUGGCUCGUUUAUGAUAAACGAGUCGAGCUCGAGCUCGAGUUCGAGUCACAUUUCCUUUUUUCGAGUCGAGUUCGAGUGCGUAUUAUGGCUCGUUAGCGCUAUCGAGCGAGCUCGAGCUUGGCUCGAAUUCGUCACGAGUCGAGCUCGGCGUUCAGAUACUCGGCUCGACUCGGCUCGAUUAACAGCACUACUUGCAUUCCCCCACCACCUUCCUCUUUCUCCACAUUGGUUCCCUUUCUCCUUCACCCCCGUCCUCCCUUCCCCCUCCCCUCCUUGAAUCUAGCAGGAAUGAACGACCAGGUUGUGACCAAAUCUGGUCACACAACAAGAUCCCAUGGGAAAGGAGGGAGGAAAACCUAAAACAGGAAGGCGGGGAGGCAAGAAAUAGAAGGUGAAGUGCUACAAGAGGAGAAAAGGUGGAGAAAAAUGAGGAAAUGGAAGGCAGAAGAACAGAGGGAGGAUAAGGAAGGUGAGGUGGUAGAGAAGGGAAAAAAGAAAGAAAAGGGAGUAACAGAGGAAACAGGAAAAACUGCAAAUUAUAAAAAUACUCCAAAUAUAUUUCAAAUUUUAAAGGCACGUAAAAUACAAUUGCACAGUAAAUUUUUACUAUACAAUCCUAUAGUAUAAUUUUUAUAAAAUAUCCCAAAAAAUGUCUAAUCCAUGCCAAUCCAUAGGUUUACAUAUGAUGGUAUCUAUAAUUGUAAAUGAAGUAAAACUUGAUAAGCCACCUUUCCAUUUUCUCGCAUGACCCUAAUCUUGGUCUUAUCUCGAUAAAAAGAGGGAAAAAUACAAAAGAAAAUGCAAAACAAAUAAAAAAAUGUCAGAAAAGCACAUUUUAGUUAUGAUAAAAUAAACAAAAGCAUACCCAUCAAGUUACAAUUGUAACAGGUACAAGGAAGCUGUCAUACAAACUUACGUUCAACUGAGAAGCUAGUCAAAACAUGGGCUACUAUAUGAGCCUAUACAUCAUUCAAGUAUUCUGAUUCAAAAUGAACAUUUUUAGCAAGAAGCUUCAAAUUGACAGCUUCAAAGUCAGUCGUCCUUUCUCUCCAUUCCGUGCUUCAGACAAAAAACCCACCUGUGCUCCUGCUUGUCAAGUACCGUGCUCCUCAAUGUCAGCAGAUUUGUUUCCACCCCAUGAUAUAAAACUAUCCUGAGAUGCAAAUUCCUGCAAUUUGUUUCCACCCCAUGAUAUAAAACUAUCCUGAGAUGCAAAUUCCUGCAAAGCACUUGAAACCUUGAACUAGAACUAAAGAAGGUGAAGGUAGUAGUAAACUAACCAAGAUAAAGUAGACUACUAAUAUAAUAUGAAGCAGGGAGAGGAGGUUUGAACUCACAAGCUGGCUCAACCGGAAGUCAGGAGGUGUAUCUAGCUCCAGGUUUACUGGAUCAAGGACCAGAUCUUGGCACUCUUCUAAAUCUUUCUUCAAAUGUUCAGGUCCUAAGUGGGCAUAAUCAGCAAGACGAGGUUUGGGUUUUAAUUCUUGCUCAUUUUUAUCUCCAUCUCUGUUUGGAGAUUGGCUCCGUAGAAACUCAUCACAUAAAGAUAGUGCUUCUACAAGUUGCUGUGAGUCUAGCAAGUAUUGUGAUUCACUAUCCCACCACUCUCUCUUCUCACCAGCAUCAUUGUCGGUUUUAUCAUCCUGUUGAUCAGCAAGAUCCACAGCAGUGACAGGAUCUUCACAAUUGGGCUGGUCGCUUGGAGGUCUAACCUCAUCUUCCAUGCAAACCACACCAUGAUGCUACAGAAUAAUUAACAAUCACUGAAUGAUAGAUAAUGGAGAUGUUAAUAGAAUUUCUAAUUCUCCACCCUGGCAAGAGUCCUCUACCAUCGUGAUUUUGGUGGUUGUGCUACCCCGCAAACUUCUUUUUUUAAAGUUCAUAAAUGAGUAUAAGAUCAAUACAAUGAACAAAAAAUGAUGUAACAGCCACAGAACACAAAGGUGCCUUUGAUUGGCGGUCAUAAGAAGCAAAAUGAAUGGCAAAUACUAAACACCCCCACCCUUCAUGGUAUCUGGAAGUGCCAAAUUGAAAUGAUUUUAAACAGGGAGGACCCAACUUUACCUGAGCCGCUGGAAGAACAGAUUCUUGGGCAUCACAAUCAGGGAAGUGGCUUUCAGUACGAGGUGGUUCAGGGGUCACAGACUUGGGAGUAACAGGAUCUACCUUGACAAUCGAGGCAUCAUCUUCUGGAACUUCUACUUCAGCCUUUUCAUUCUGCUUGACCUGUUGCUGCUGAUAAAAGACCUUGGAGAUAACAUAUUCUCCCUCCCUUUCAUCUUCCUCUGUACCAAGGUGAUACUGGUGCAUCACCCAAUUAGUCUUCUCUGGCUUGCCACCUCUUACUGGGCUAAGAUACAGCACCAUAAUUUUUUUACAUCCUUUUUGUAUACAAUCCAAAUGAACAGGCUUUGUCCGACCAGUCUUAUGCCAACGAACAUCUCCAGAACUGUCACCAAGUAUCUUUCGACGUUUUCUAGUUCCAGUAUUAUAAGCUUUGAUUGCCCUGUGAAAAAAGUGUGCUACACUUCCAUCCUGUUUAACACCUAAAAACCACUACUUUAAAAGACUGAAGUCCAAAGAAAACAAUUACAAACCAAAGCAUUAAAGUGGAAUUAUUAAGUCUUGUAUAUGUAAACAUAACCUACCAGGCAAAUUUUGAGGAUGGGUAUAGCAGAUUCCAUCAUCUUCAUUAACAGUUGGAAUAAAUUCUUCAAUAAAAGGAUGGGGCUUCAUAUUUUCAAUUCCAACUUUUCCAAGUAAAUGCCAAAUAAUUUCUUGAUCAGAUGGAUCAAACUUUACCCCUCGAGGUAAUCCCGGCCACUCUUGGGUGACCUGAAAAAACAAAGACAGAAGAAAGAAACAAACGAUUUUCAGCUUUCAGUCUCUAACUGCUCCUAUGCACUUUUAAUAUGAGGAAAACAUCUUUUGGAAAACUGGCAACUAAAUGUUCUGUUCAUCUCACUACUAUGUUUUUGCUCUAGCAAAGCAAAUGGGCUUAACCUUCGACACAGCCACAUGGGACAAAUACGCAUAAAAGCAUACCAAAAUUUUAACGAAGCUGAAAAUCAGAAAAUCAAUUCAUCCUGCCCCACAAUUAUUGAUUUCUCUUACACAAUUAAAAAUAGCAAUGUCCAUAGGCUUUCUCUUACACAAGUAUUUUUGCAUUUCAACCACACCUAAAAGAACAAUACUGAUUAUUAAAUAAUGAUCCAAUGAAGAAAGCACAGGCAAGUAGAAAGAGAUGGGUCACAGAUAUUAAAUAUGAUAAUCUUUCUUCUCAAUUAACCACUCCCAGAAACUAAUUUCCAACAAUAAAUUUGUGUUUCUGAUUAAGAAGCAACUACUGCUGAAGCUUGUUCCAGAUAAUAUGAUGCACAUCCAUUUUGAGAUAUGCAAAAAUUUAUGAGAGAAGAAAUAUACAUCGCUAUUGUCAAUGACAUGCUGACAAUUUGGGCAAGUUUUUGUAGGAUUGCUUGUCCAGUUAACUUGUUGCAGAUUACUUGCGCCAGAUGCACUCCUAAUUUUGGUUGCAAUUCUGUUACUAUCAACCAGCCACGAUGGUCUGCAUAAUUUCACGAAAUAAAUCAAGUUCAUGCACUGAACAGCUUGAAAGCUUAAGAAGUGCCAAAGCAGAUGAGACCCAUAAGAAUAGAGGAUAUUGACACGGAAGUAAAUAUUAGACCACAUAUAAUUAGGAUUCUACAGCAUACAGAAAAUGUAUGAAAAUAUAGAUUUGAAAAGUAAGCAAGCAUAAUUAGCAGCACAGGAAAAAUGUACAUAAGAUUUCACACCAAUUAAAGCAUAAUCUUGCCAAACAAUAAAAUCAUUUCACAUUCACUACAUCUGGAUUUGCAUUUAGAGGAAAGAACCAUACUUAGAAGCACAACAAAAUCAGUGGGAAGAUACUUUGCUCCUCUACUAAAUGCAAAUCAAUUUCGAAACUUUUCUCAACUUCAUCCUUUAAUAGGCAGCACAGAGUAAACUUCUCCAAAGAAGUUGUUUUUACCAGCCAGAAAUAAAUACAUCCAUUGCUUAUUAUCAAUAAAAGCUAAUGAGGUUUAUCAGAAGUUAUGUUAUGAAUAUAUAUAUAUAUAUAUAUAUAUAUAUAUAUAUAUAUAUAUAUAUAUAUAUAUAUAUAUAUCCUUUAAGGAGCUACCUGCAUCCAAAAGAAUUAUCUGCAGGCUUAAAAUUUAGGACUACAGGAGUCAACAAAAUAAUUUCAUUCUUUUAGAUGUUUUUCUAUUCAGAAUAAGAAUUACACUCCAUUAAGUAUUAGAAAUUUUCUUGAAUAACAUUAAAUAUCCAAUUCAUGUUCUCGUGCUAAGUUUUACUCAAGACACGUCAGACCUCAUUUACCUGAAAUAAUGGCCCUUCUCUUGCAAAUACAAGUCAUGUUAUCUCACUUUGCUCAUUUCCAAACAUAACUAUUAUGGGAUGUUGGCCCCUUUCUCAAGAUGAAAAAAAAAAAGAAACAAAAAAAAGAUGACAAUGGAGGAUAUUCUCCUAAUAACAUCUGUUCCAACAACUGAAAAUGGCUAUGGUUCAUAUCGAUGUUUGAAUGUGAUAAAAAUUGCAUAUUUAUACGAUUUUGACUUGAGCCGGAAAGCCUUUGCAGACAUCCUCAACUUUCUCAAUCACAAAACAAACACAAACCUGAAUUAGUUGACUUCUUGUGUAUUACUGAAUUUAAUAGAUCAAUAUACUCAAAACUGACUACAUUCACCCAUUAAAUGAAUAAAAAAAAAUAAAUGAAUAGAAAGGGGCAAUCACAACUUCUCGACUGUAAAAUCGGGAAAGCAAGAAAAUCAAUCCCCUGAAAACCAGCAGGCAAAUAUUCCCACAUUGACCAUUCAACGCCAGAACCAGCAAUUCUUUUUUAGCUACAUGCAGCUCUAAACGUCUUAUAGGAAUAUCAAGCACCAAAACUCACCGCUAUCAACGAAAACUCACAUGAUAUAAUCACAUGCACAUAUAUCUCCAACUGCAAAAAAUAGAUCUUUUACGGAGGUUGCAGCUACAAGUUUAAUUUUAUAUUUUUGUUUUAUAGCCUAAUCAGAAUUUAAAUUUUUUUUUUUUUUUUUUAUAAGUGGGAGGUCUUGGGUUGCAAGAACUCCUACUUACAAUCCCCCUCCCUUACCAUCCAACUCAACCCUCCCCGCCAUCGCCUAAUCAGAUAAGUAAAAAAUAGUUAAUAAACAACAAACUUAUUUCCAAGAAGGAGGCAGAGGGCCGGGUUGGGAGGAACCAUCGCUUUAUCGGAAACACUCAGAGUACAAAACCACCACCACCACCAUCAUUUCCCAAAAAAAAAAAAAAAGGCUUCACAUGAUCUUUCAGGCUAAUCCACAAAAUGGGUAAAGCUGAUAAACCAAAAAAAACAAAAACAAAAUCCGUUCUUUCAUCAAAACCACAAGACCCAACUCAGAGUUGACCUAGAAGAUUCAAUAGAUACUCAUAAAGAUUCAAUCUUUGCACUAUCUACAAGUCAAUGAGUUCGACAAAAUCAAGUCUAUGGUGAAUUUUCAGUAAACAGCACAAGAGGAAUAAAAGGAAGGAGACCACAAGCAGAGACAUACCGAGCCAUGGGAGAAUGGAUGUGAUCAAAGGCAGCAAAAAGUGAAACAAAUGCCCCUUUUCUUCUACUAUUUAAUGCUUUGAAUUCGUACUGCAACUAGUGCUUCUACAGUUCUCCACCUACUAAUACAUUAACUAUUAAAGCAUCUUGGGAAUUUCCCAAAUAAUAGUAGUGUAGUUUAAGAGGUUUCAUAAGUGUUUUCAGUUUUCCUAGCCAUUAUAUACUGCUAUGUGCUUCGGACGCAUUUUUUGGUGAAUUUUGAAAAAUUUGAAAGCGUGUCUUGGCAUUGUUUCAGUCUACUUACUGUGCUUUGAGUACGACGAUGAUGGUUUGACUAUUGACUAGACAACCUGUGAUUAAUCAAUACCUACAGAAAAAUGGAAUUGAAAGUGGAAAAGGCCAUCAACCGACACUUAGUAGGAGUUUGGCCACUGAUUGUUUUAUACUAGGCCACAUGUUGUUUGAUUUAUGUUCAUCUCAAUAAUGCUAAAUUGAUUGUUGCCUUUUUUUUCUUAAUGCUAUUUUACAUCGUAAACAUGUUUUCGGCAACUGCUAAAUUGAUUGUUACGGUAUAUUUUUUUUUUUAUAAAUUAUUCAAAAUAAUCUCUUAUCGACACACACUCUCGGACUGUUUCUAAGAGCAUAAUGUUUUAUUUAUGAGAGGAAAAAGUCCAAAUUGUUCAAUACUUUCCCACAAAAUACUAGCAAUUUGAUAAAAAGUUUAAUACUUUGUUCUAGAUUGUUAGGUAAUACCACAAGAAUCAAACGUGUAAAGAAGGGCUCAAAGGUGGAUCAAAUUACUUGAUCCUUAAAUCAAGUUCGUUCAUUUUCUAUUUUCUAACUCGUUAAACAAAUCAUAAAGUAUUUGGUUAAGUUUCAAACCUCGCUAGAGUUUGGUUUGAUUAGCAUAAAUUUUGAAACAUAUAUAUAUAUAUAUAUAUCAAAUAUCUAUACUAUAUAAAAAGUUUGAGAAAGGGGUUUGGGAUUAACAUUUAUCAUCAUUUUAUAAACCUUCUUUUUUAUCCUUAUAAAAAUUACUUUUAUUUUAACUACCUAUAACUACUCAUGACUAUUUUUACUUUUAACUAUUUAAAUAUAUGUUUUAAACGUAACUAUUCCUACAUAUCAUAGCUACCAAUAUAAAAUUAUUAUAUAAAAUAUAUAUUUAAAAGAUUAAAGUUUGUUUUAGUAAUAACAAUUUUAUUUAAAACAUAACCGAUAAUAUUAUGUAGUUUUUGAUUGCACAUGCAUUAGUGUGUAUUGAGUAAUAGUUAAAUUUAGGGAUAAUUUCAGAAACCUCCCCUGAGGUUUUUGACAUUUACACUUACCUCCCCUGUGGUUUGAACAAUUACACUGACCUCCCCUGAGGUUACUAAUCCUUUACAAAUUCAGUCCAAAUGAUUAAAAUAUUAUUUUAGAGAGUGAAAUUAGAAUUUUGUACCUGAUUUGUCCUUUGUGUCACAUGUCCAAUGAAUGGCAAAGUAUUACAAAUUAAUUAACAAUUAAUAAACUUUAACGAGCGUAGUUUAUAGGCAAAUACGUAUUGCCUAUUUAAAGUACCAGCUCUUUACAUGAAUUUUAUUUUCAAGCAUUUACUUUAUCACAAAUAUUUAUUCUCAAAUACAGAUUUGUAUUUAUUCUCAAAUAUUUAAUUUUUGUUAAAUACAAAACCUACCAGUUUUUCUUCCGUAGAAAUAUUAAUAUAACAUUUUUUCAAUUUCAAUUACAAAUAUUUAUGUAUUUAACAUAAAUUAAAUGAUUCAGAAUAAAAUACUCAUAAAGAGCUAAUACUUUACUCAUGUAAUGGAUGAAAGCCAUAAAAAAUUAACAUUUUAUAGGCCAUUUCUUUUUUUUAAAAAAUUUUAAUUUAUAUUAAAUAGAUAGCCUAUCGAUUUUCUUUUUACAAGAAUAUUAUUGUAACACCUUUUAAUUUUUAAUUACAAAUAUUGAUAUAUUUAUUGUAAAUUAAAUAUUUAAAAAUAAAAUAACUGUAAAGAGCCGGUACUUUAAAUAAGUUAUGCGUGUUUGCCUAUAAACUACACUCCUUACUUAAAUCAAUAAACUACACUCCUUAACUUAAAUCAAUAAACUAUACUCCUUACUUUAAAUAGUGUAGUUUAUAGGCAAAUAUGCAUAUCCUAUUUAAAGUAUCGGCUCUUUACAGAUAUUUUAUUUUCAAAUAUUUAAUUUAUGAUAAAUAUAUUAACAUUUGUAAUUAAAAAUUAAAAAGUGUUAAAGUAAUAUUCUUGUAAAAAAAAUCAGUAGGUUAUCUAUUUAAUAUAAAUUAAAUAUUUUUAAAAAAAUAAAUGGCCUCAUAAACUAUUAAUUUUUUAUGACUUUCAUCCAUUACAUGAGUAAAGUAUUGGCUCUUUAUGGAUAUUUUAUCAUAAAUCAUUUAAUUUAUGUUAAAUACAUAAAUAUUUAUAACUAAAAUUGAAAAAGUGUUAUAUUAAUAUUUCUACGCAAGAAAAACUGGUAGGUUUUGUGUUUAACAAAAAUUAAAUAUUUGAGAGUAAAUACAAAUCUGUAUUUGAGAAUAAAUAUUUGUGAUAAAAUAAAUGUUUGAAAGUAAAAUACAUGUAAAGAACUGGUACUUUAAAUAGACAAUACGUAUUUGCCUAUAAACUACGCUCGUUAAAGUUUAUUAAUUGUUAAUUAAUUUGUAAUACUUUGCCAUUCAUUGGACAUGUGGCACAAAGGACAAAUCAGGUACAAAAUUCAAAUUUCACUUUCUAAAAUAAUAUUUUAAUCAUUUAGACUGAAUUUGUAAAGGAUUAAUAACCUCAGGGGAGGUCAGUGUAAUUGUUCAAACCACAGGGAAGGCAAGUGUAAAUGUCAGAAACCUCAGGGGAGAUUUCUGAAAUUAUCCCUUUAAUUUACUCAAACUCAGUUCGAUAAGAGUUCGAUUCAAUAAAUAAACAUAUCAAGUUUAAACAUAAUAUUCUUUCUUUGAGGAGAGAUUGAACAUAAUUUCAAGUUAAAUAAUAAUAAACAAAUAAGCUUGAACUCUUUCACUUCAGAUCAGUAAUGUAAAUGAUUUUAAUUAAAUCAAACACUUUUUUUUUUUUUUAAAUCGUUUACGCCACUUAUCUUAAGUGGAUACUACUAAAGCUAUUGGCAGUGGGCUGACUGUGAUGAUUUUUCUCACGCAAGCAAUUAUAUAAUAGCCCAUAGCAGUUAGCAUACACAAAAUUGGUCAAUUUGAAUUCCAAACAGACACAAAAUAAGCCCAGCAUAGUAAAUCGCCCAUAACCCCACAACAAGCUCUAUUAGGCUGACCACUGAUCCACUGCCAAAUUGCCACCUAACACAACUUAGCUCCGCUCUGCCCCCUGCGCAAAAACUCGGGGGUAAAAAAAAACCGCCACAACUCCGGCACCGUACGAUGAGCAGCAAAGCCCGUAAUUUCCGCCGCCGCGGCGGAGAUGACGCUGACGACGACGAAGACAACGACAAGAGUACCAGAACCCCCACCACCAACGGCUCCACCACCACAUCAUCAAAACCCCAAUUCAAAUCCAUUUCCUCCGCCACAAGACCUAAAAAACCGGUAACUGCAGUUCCCAAAAGCCGCCUGAGCUUCGCUGACGAUGAGGAAGCCGACGCCGACCAAUUGCCCAUUAAACCUCGUCCCUCUUCAUCAAACUCUCGUCUCCCCAGACCCUCUUCUUCUUCCUCUUCUCAUCAUAAGCUCAGCUCGUCUAAAGACCGAAUUGGGCCUCAAACGACGGCGUCGCUACCUUCCAAUGUGCAACCCCAAGCUGGAACUUACACCAAAGAAGCCCUCCUUGAGCUCCAGAAGAACACUAGAACCCUCGCCUCUUCCCGUUCAGCCCGGCCCGAACCUCCCAAAUCGAAGCCCGAAGUGACGCCCACUGAGCCCGUUAUCGUAUUGAAAGGGCUAGUGAAGCCAAAACCUAAUAUGGUUGAUGAUGCAGAUGGGGAAAUCGAGAAUGACGAGAUGGGUGUUGAGCAGCAAGGCGAUUUGGUGAGAACUGAGAGAGAUGAGGCAAAGUUUAGAUUGGGUUUGAGAGGGAAAAGUGAGGUUUCUGGGGGAGUCAUACCAGACCAGGCGACAAUAGACGCGAUAAGGGCAAAAAGAGAGAGGCUCAGGCAGGCAGGUCCCGCAGCCCAGGAUUAUAUAUCAUUGGAUGGAGGAAGUAAUCACGGUGAAGCCGAGGGGUUGAGCGAUGAGGAGCCAGAAUUUCGAGGGAGAAUCGGGUUUUUUGGAGCAAAAAUUGAUGGUGGGAAGAAGGGCGUGUUUGAGGAUUUUGAGGAGAGAGUAACGGCAAAGGAUAGCGCUGUUCUUAAUAGCGAUGAUGAGGAUGAGGAAGAAUUGGAAAAGUUGUGGGAAGAGGAGCAGGCAAGGAAAGGUUUGGGAUUAGGAAAGAGGCUAGAUGAUGGCGUUAGUGUAGGAGUCAGUAGUAGUACUGCUGGUGGUAGUAGUGUUAAUGUGCCUCAGAGUGUCCCUCAGCAGAAAUUUGGUUAUCCAAUCGUGGCCUCUGGUAGUGUAUAUUCUUCAGUGCAGAUUAGUUCUGUUGAUACUGUUGGUCCUAGUAUUGGGGGUGCUGUUGGGGGAUUGCCUGGAUCAGAUGAAAUGCCGAUAUCACAAAAAGCUGAGCUCGCUAAGAAAGUUUUGUAUGACAAUGUGAAGAUGCUUAAGGUAUGCAUUGGCAUUUAUUCCUAGUGUUUGUUUUGAAAUUUGAUUACUUAUUCUUUGUUUUAUAAGUUUAAGUAGGAUUUCUUCUGGAAAUACAGCAUUAUCAGUUUAAGUUGUAAAUUAGCUGUGAGAUUACCAUUGCAAGUAGAAAAACAAGAAUUACUGGAUAAAGCAUUUAAUUAAUAGUUUUCUGCUUCUGUCUUGACCAGUAUUAAUUUGGACAUUUAGAAGGUAUUUGAGUUUAAUACCAAUAUGUUGCUCUGAAGAAAAUGUUCAUUGGUGUUUACAAGUUUUAUUUUCUUCCCUCUGUUUAUGUAGUGAUUGCAACUGAUCUGUUAUUGUCUUUUGACUUAUCUUUUUCUUAGGAGUCUCAUAAGAAAACAAUGGAUACAUUAACAAGGAAUGAUGAAAAUCUAUCCGCUUCACUGUUGAAUGUCACCAAGCUGGAAAAUUCAUUAUCUGCUGCUGGUGAGAAGUUCAUCUUUAUGCAAAAGCUUCGUGAGUUUGUUUCUGUUAUAUGUGACUUUUUGCAGGUACGGAUUAUCUGAUUUAUCAAUCUCCAAUUUAUUUUGGUGCCCUCCAUAGUUGCCAAAUCUUAACGUGAUAGAUCAAUUAUGUUGUUCUCUUUAUUUGUUUUGCUACUGUCACUGAGCAUAAGUGACUGAAAGUAUGGAGAAUCUGUUGUCCUAACACCCCCCAUCUUUAUUUUUCGGUAUAUGUUAAAUCCUGUUGUUAGUUAUUAGGAGCUUUGAGGUUAUAACUACUUAGAUUGCUUCACUUCAGCCAUCUUUAGCUUCUCUUCCAAUUUUUCUGUCACUGUAUAGAUCCAAGUAGGUUUUGGUACUGAAGGAUCUAUAAAUAUUGUUAUUUUGGAGUUCUUAACUCAUAUGUUGGUUUACUGCUUUGAAUCAUGUUGUUUAACGUGCUACUUUUGUAAUUUUGAAGAUAAUUUUAUCAAUUUUGGAACUUUCAGAUUUUCUAGUGUCUUUUACAUGUAUGCUCUGUUAGUUGACGUAUAUUUAGUUCUUUUCUUUAUCAUCUAUCAAUUAAGACGAUGUAGAUGAGGUUGCGUUCUUCUCAUGGCAGUACAUGCUAUUUUUUCUCUUUCUAAAUUCAGGCGGAAUUAUGAACUGAGGUUCAUAAUAUUUAGGGCAGCAAUUGUGGAAGAGUUGGUUAUAUAGGUUGUCUUGUCUCCUUUAGUGUGAUGAUGAGCAUGAAAGUGGCAUAUAGAGAAUUAUUCUUUUUCAAAGAAUGUCUCAGGGACCCAUCUGAUGGUUUUUUUGACUGCUUAAAUUUUGAUGAUUCUGGGUGUCAAUUGUAUAUUCACCUCUUUCCUCAUUUAGUUUCAAUUUUCUUCUGUUGGCUUUGGAUAAUGUUCUCCUGUUUGGUAUCAUUGCCAUUGUGGAUUAUCUGCUGUUGUAGUGCUCCUCGUGCUCCCAAUAUUCAUGCAUACAUAUUCCUCCUCACUUUGAGCAGCAAUACAGACACUACUGCUUGCUUGUGAAUGAAGUCAUUGUGCAAUACAUAGAUAGAAGAAAGUUUUUUGAUCCUCAGUUGUUUUUCUCAAGUUGAAGAAUAUCUUCAUCUGUGCUAUAUUGUUAUUUUGUGAGUGAGCUGUGUGGAUUCAUACUGGAUGUAAAUUUGAGACUUCUCUUUUGGUUUAUGUGCUAUUCACUCUGUUGCAUUUUAUACGUCACUAUUUUGGUUUGUGUCAAAAAAGUUUCAAGAAAGUAUAUAAAGCCUAACUUGACCCUUUAUACAAAUCCUAAGAAAUAAUCGUAGGAGGCAUGUUGCCAUGAUAAAUAACAUUACAAACCAUCUCUUAACUAUGGUAGUUGUGCCUCAUGUAAAACUUCAAAUUCAACUAACAAAAUAUUGUUGUUCAAUUGAUGGGCAAUAAUGGGAACAGUUGCUUUGCUAGCUGAUGUAUUUUUGUCAUACUCUACUUUUCUUAAGUAUGCACAAAGUUGUCAAUGACAUAUAAUGUGGGUUGGAGAAGAAUUCUGUGGAUACUCUAGGGUUUUCUGGUUUAACAUCUUGCCCUUGCCCUGGUUACAUGUAGGAGUUUCCAUUACUUUCCUUGAAGGGCUUUGAGCAUUUUGUUUGGCUGUUUUCAUCUUUUGUUUCUUGUUCUUGGUCUACUCUGCUAGAUAGUGUUUUCUAAAUGUAACAUUAAUGUAAUUUUGAUCUGAUAUUAAUCUUGCUCUUUGCAGCAUAAGGCUCCUUUCAUUGAAGAACUUGAAGAUCAGAUGCAGAAGCUACACGAAGAAAGAGCAGCUGCAAUUCUAGAAAGAAGAAUCGCUGAUAAUAACGAUGAAAUGAAGGAAUUAGAACCAGCUGUGAGUGCAGCAAUGUCUGUUUUUCGUAAAGGUGGAAGCAGUGCAGCAAUGAUAGAAUCAGCUAUAAGUGCUGCUCAGGCUGCAUCUGCAGCUGCAAGAGAAUUAAGAGACUUACCUGUGGAGCUAGAUGAACUUGGCAGAGAUUUGAAUCUGCAGAAACGAAUGGAUUUAGCUAGGAGGGCAGAGGCUCGACAAUACAGGAAAGCUAAGUCAGAUUCAAAGAGAUUGUUGUCCAUGGAAAUUGACAGUCCUAAUCGGCCAAUGGAAGGGGAAUCAAGUACUGAUGAAAGUGACAGUGAGAGUACAGCUUAUCAGUCAAGUCGUAAUCAGUUGCUUCAGAUUUCUGAACAGAUCUUCAGUGAUGCAGCUGACGAUUAUGCUCAACUUUCAGCAGUUGUAGAAAGGUUUGAGAGAUGGAAAAAGGAGUAUGCUUCAAGCUACCGUGAUGCUUAUAUGUCACUAAGUGCGCCUACUAUUUUCACUCCUUAUGUAAGGCUUGAGCUUCUAAAGUGGGAUCCACUUCAUGAGGAUUCAGACUUUAUUCAUAUGAAAUGGUAUGGAGCGUCCAGUUGAAAUUUGGCUGUACAAUUUGAGCAACACUUUGAUUAAAUGCCUUUUUGUUUCAUGAUUCACUCUAAAAUAUUUUGCUGACUCCUGGCAAGGUUAAGGCCUCUGGGACCAGCACAAUUGUGCAGCCUCUUGCUUCUUCUUCUUCUUCUUUCUUUAUUAUUUUAUUCUGGCCUUCUUUGUUUACCCUUUUUUCCGUGAAUCAUGUCAUUUCAUUUAUACAUUAUUUUUAUCACUAAAAUUUUUUUUUUCUUGGGUCAACGAUGAAAAAAUUUUAAACAAACAAAAUCCUGUUACAAAUUAGCCAAACCAUGAUAAUGUAACUUAUAGAUGUGUUCUUAUUUUUCUGUUAGAUGUAGUACUUUCAUAUCGUGGAACUUGAAUGUCCAGUAACUAUUCUUUUUGGUGGAUUUGCUGGUCAACUGAAUCAAAUUACCUCGAGGUUGAAAAUUUUUUCUUGGCUUGACCCGCAUGGUUGCAACUGUAGUAGCUUUCUAGCUUCAAAUAUACAGUGGCUGUUGUCUGUAAUUCUGCUGUCCACUUCUAGAGCAGGGCAAUAAUUUUAGUGGGGGUUGUCUCUUUUAAAUGCUCGUAUCAUUUAAACAAGCAUGGUGGAAAUUUUUUGUGAGCUUGAUGAUUUCUACCAGUUAGCCAUGGUUAGGUAGACCACUGAAUGCAGAGAUAAAAGAGUAUGAGAUUAUUGACUUCACUUUUGUUGUAACGUGCUAAUGAAAGAGAAUGAGAUCUUUUUGUUUUGGCUUUUUUUUUUUUUUUUUUAUGAUGCUGAGUCUAUCAUCUCUCCUACUUUCAGGCACUCCUUGUUAUUUGAUUAUGGUCCAGAAGAUGAUGCUGACGCCAACCUUAUUCCGGAACUAGUAGAGAAACUGGCAAUUCCAAUUUUGCAUCACCAGUUAGUAUACUGCUGGGACAUGCUUAGUACACGUGAAACAGAGUACGCUGUUUCUGCUACAAACUUGGUCUUAGGAUAUGUUCCUCCAUCCAGUUUGGCACUUGGGAACUUAGUAGCUGCACUUCGAGACCGCCUGGCUGAUGCUGUGACCAAUUUGAUGGUAUUUCUUAUCUCCUUUUUGGAUUAUCAUUUGCAGAGUAUAUCAACUAGUACUUGUCUUUCCUUAAAUAUUAUAUUCUUACUAAAAGGAUAUAAGUUUAUAGGUGCCAACGUGGAACACACUUGUAUUAAAAGCUGUACCAAACGCGGCAAGAGCUGCAGCGUACAGAUUUGGUGUGUCUGUUCGUUUGAUGAAGAACAUAUGUCGAUGGCAUAAGGUUCUUGCAAGGCCAGUAUUGGAAAAGCUUGCUCUGGAUGAACUGUUAAUUGGCAAGAUUCUUCCUCAUCUUCGAAGCAUUGAAUCAAACAUUCACGAUGCAGUUACAAGAACAGAGAGAGUUGUUGCCUCCUUAGAUGGGGUCUGGGCUGGUCCAAGUGUUACUGGGGAUCGCAGGUACUUGUUUCUUCAAGUGAAAAGUGUCAUUCUCUUGGUUUAAAAUGGAAGUAUGUCUAAGAUGCUACUGAAGAAUUGUGAAAGAAGCUUUUAAGUUAAAUUUUCAAGUUUUACCAAAUCUUAGGAUCACAGAAAAAUAAUUCUUAAAGUUGAGUUUGCUUUUGAGAUAGCAUCUUUGCUUGAUCUCACUUGCUAUUUGGUCAGGCACGAUUGCAAAAAUAUGAUUUACAUAUUUAUCCUUGCCACUACAAACAAUACAGACCUACAUGCUCCUCCUGUAUCAAGCCUGAAAUUAAGGUGGAUUUAGAAAAUACAAUAGAUAAAGGGAAAAGUGGGGAAACAUAGUUGCCAGUUUGCUUGGGUUUUGUAGUGGCUUAGUAUGUGGGCAAUUGCCUCUCUCUAUAUACAGCAUUCACUAAGUGUAUAAAUUGUAGCAAAACUUUCUGUUUGUGCUGAAGUGACAUAUUUCAGAGGGACAGAUGGUCUUACGUGGCAUGGGUAUUUAGUGUGUGGAGGAGGUAGAGAGGAAAAGUAGGGAAGUUUGGUAAGAGAUGAAAGCCUUGUGAAAUGCUAAGCCAGGAAAAGCCCUGUGUUCAAGCAUAUAAAAGAAAGUUAACUUUAUGGGCUAAUAUCUGUAUCUGGAUGGUUUCAUCUCAUGAGGACCCUUCUGAGUCAAUCCUUUUAAUGAAAAUGAUUAGAGUUGGACAUGAUUCCAACUUGACAUUCAAAACUCUCUGAAUGCUCACCCUAAAUUGUCCAGUGCAACCUUGAGGUUCAAGGUCAUUCAUUCAUUAAAAUGUUUUUUUUUUUUUUGGGAUACUAUGUUGCCAGUUAUUUAGUUCUCUAUUUAUUGCAUGUGGUACGCGCAUCUUUUUCUCCAUGGCUUUCAAUAGCAUGUGGCUUUCAAUGGCAUGUUGCAUGUAAAUUAGUGAUGAAUUUUUGAAGGCCUUGCGUUGUCACCUGACUAAUUUCCUUUGCCCCAUGAUACAAGUCAGCAAUGGACUGUUACCCUACUUCUCAUAUGAGUAAACUCACUGUAUCCUCACUAUGCUUGUAGCCCAAAACUGCUGCCACUGGUGGAAUUUUUGCUAUCACUUGGAAGGACGCUGGAGAAGAGGCAUGUUUCUGGUGGGAUUCAGACAGAAACUGCUAAACUUGCUCGCCGAUUGAAGAAGAUGCUUGUGGAGCUAAAUGAGUACGACCAAGCUAGGGCAAUAUUAAGAACCUUUAGUCUCAAGGAGGCGUUGUGACUCCCUUAUCUCCGAUGUCUAAUUGUCCCUCUUGCUCCUCCUCUGUCUAAUGGUUCCCCCUUGCUUGUACAUUUAAUGGUUUCAAGGACUUGGGGAGCUAACAUCAGCUCUUGCUUAGGAAAGUUCAUAAAGCACAAUUUUGAAAAGAAUGAGAUUCCUUGAUACACCGAGUUAGCAUAGUCUUUGAAUUAGAUGCCCUUGGCCCCCCCUCUGGUGGCCCAGGUAAUGCAUUUUGUGUUACGUUAGCUUAUGUUUUGCUUCGAGCUGAGGCUCUGGUGCCCCCUCUCUUCUCCAUCAGUAUGAAAACCCUAUGAAUUAUUGGUUUCGUGUUAUAGUCACGGAGAAACCAAAAGAUGAGCUCUUAUCAAGAACCCCAAUUCCGGCCCCUUUCGAUUCGUCGUCUUUCUAUCAAGAUCCAUAUGAAGUAUCGAUUUCACGUUUUGUCUGGACAUGGAAGGCCUUUUCUUUUCUCGUGUAUUCUAAUGAGAAUGCAGCCCUUGUAACUUUGUUUUUAAGGUUCGGCAACUGGAACUUUUUGGUGGCUCUUGCGGAUUGUUUGGUUAAUUAGCAGAUUUAUGUUUGUUUUUUUUUUGGGUUUUUGGGGGUUGGGGGUCAUAAUAAACUUCCGUUUUGAGCUGUCUUUUAGAAAAGAUUAGGCCUGACGGUCCCAGCUCUAACUUCUAGUUGAAUGUCAAACUUUGUGUUUCCAUUUAGUAUUGGGAUCCCAGAAAGGCUUUGAUUUCAGAGGAGGCCAAACAUGCUGCCGAAAGCCCCACUUUGAAUAUCAUGUGGAAGUUGGAAUUCAACUACUACUACAACUAAAAUGGAUCACCUUUUGGGACAAAUGAGAUUAGUUUAGCUUUCACAUUAGGAUACUUCUGCAGUCGUAGAAAAUUCAUGUUCAAUUAUCUUUGGUCCACCAAACCUGUAGCAAAUCGCUUGCUAAUCUAUUAAUAAAAGAACCAGUCAACUGCUUUGUAUAUGAGUAGGUUUAACCACGACUGCAGGAACCAAUACCUAAAUGACCUACUAUGUUGGUUGAGAUGCAAAUACGAAGUAUAGACUCAUGCAUGCAGGACAUGGAGCUUCUUUUUUCGGAGAACCUACUUUAAUUUGGGUAUUAAUGCAGUAUAUUCGAGUGAAACUGAAUUCAAUUGAUUAGUCAUUGCAUUUACCAUAAUGUUUUGGAAUAUGGGUCGCAAAAUCAUUUGAGAUUUGUGCUAACCAUUUCAGGAAAAAGAAAAACAAAAUGAUACCCUGGUUAACUUGAAGCUGAAAAGUUGAGAUGCCAUCUAAGUUUGGGGAAUUGGGAGUUGAAGUUCAAAAACUCUAUCGACUUUUUUAUGCAAACAAAUUAUUAUUAGUAGUAUAACUUCGUGGUUUCUUAUUUAGUGCAUCCAAAACAGAAGUAAAAAUUUUGCUGGAAAACGAACCUAUAGGCUGUAACUGAAGUCGUUUGGUAAAUUUUUCAUAUUAUGCACAAAAGUAGAGGCAAUUCUUGAGUCCUACGUAAUUUUACGAGGGAACUGCUGAGUGUUGACUACAACAGGUGCUGUCUUAUUUUGUGGGCUUUCGAAUUUCGAUGCGGGUUAUACUCUGUAAUAUUUGGAGUUAAAUGCGGACCAGAGCUGGCGAAAAUUAAAACUCACGCCUACCAAUGCAUUACGAAUUUUGGCCAUGACAAUUUAUGGACGCUCAGCGUUUAAGUCAAACGCGAAUGUGUGUAACUGAUGAAAGAAAUUUGUGUCAAAUUUUUUGAAAAUAUCGAAAAUUAUUUUCAAGAGAAAUUAUAAUAGUAAACAUACAGAAAAUUCACUAAAAUAAAAUGUAAAAAUAAAUAAUUAUUUGGUAGUAAUUCAUAAUCACAAUUGAUAAUUGCUAAUAAAAGUUAAGGUAUAUUAAAUAAGUUGAAAAAUAAAAUAAUAAGAAAUACAUAUUAAUUGGAGGAAAGAUAUAUUGAAACUUGGGAGUGGAUAGUUUUCAAGGGUAAUUUAGAAAGAACAUAAAAUGACACAAAGAAGUUUAUACUAACCCCCUCCUUUCUCUUUGUACAUAAAAUAGAUGAUGGGAAGGUUUGUAAAAGUAAUAUAUAAAAAGAAAGUGAAUAUUGUGCCUCACUCAUCAAAUUGACUGCCUCUUUUCCUCGAAGAACAUAGGGGAAACACAUGGAAUUUACACCUACAAAUAAAGAUAUGAUGAAAUUACCAAAAAAAAAAAGUGAGUUUGAAGUAAAUAAAGUUGUAAACUACAGGAAGUGACAUGUUAAACUCUUUCGAGUGGUAACACAAUAAUAUGUUGAUAGUAGAAUGGUCCCUCCAAAAAGGGAAAAAGGUCGAAUGGUUGGUUGAUAUAUUUCCCACUAGGUGGGUGCUAAAUAAUUGUUAACAUGUACUAAAGGUAGCUGAUUAGAAGGGGAAGGGCAUCAAAGGGCGUUCCCUAGUUAGACCAUGUAAACUUGGAUUGAGAUUGAGAACCGAAAUGUUUCGUUGUUUCGAGUUACAUGUAAUUGAUAUAGCACUGAGGGAAGUAGCGCAACAGAUCUUCUGUUUCACUCUAUGUUCUCAAGAUUCAAUCACUAUUAAUCGAGUAAAAAAGAAUUAAAAAUAUGAUGUUUAUGAAGGAAAAAUAUCAAUAUAAUAAAAAGUGAGAUAGAAAGUGACAUAAGUGAGACAAAAGAUCUAUUGUAGUUAAAGGGUGUAAGUGAGAAGUAUUGAAUUCGAUCAUUUCUAUUUACGCCUAAAAAUUUUUUAAAAAAUUUAAAAAGUUUAAAAAAUUGACAUAGUAUUAGUUUUAGCUUUCGAAUUGCGACAAGUACAUAACUUCAAUUAACCAUUGUCCAAAACAACUAAGCUGGUGUUGUUCGGUAAAACAAAUCGAAGUGUAACUACUCACGUAGUUGCAUUAUUACACCAUUGCUAGUUACAAAAUAUAAAUAGUGUUUUGAUAAGAAAUUAGUUGAAAUAAUUAUUGUAAUAUUUUUUAUGAUAUGAUGUAUGUGAGAUAAAAAGAUAAUUAAAAAAAUAAAAAAAAACAUGUUAAAAAUUGUGUUUCUGAUGCAAAUAAACAACUUUUUGCGAGAUCUAAUCUACUUGCAUGGACAAGCAAAUAAAAUGUAAUUGUACAAACAAUUUCUCGUGUUAUGAUAAAAACAUAAUAAUAAUUGAAGACAUUUGUUGGAUUCUCCUAUCUUCACCGGUAUGCAAAUGUGGGCCACAACACUAGAAUCUAGAAUUCCAUCCAAAUCCAACAAAAAUGUUGGCCUAACUCUUUCCACAAGUCUCCACUCUCCAUGUCAAGGACAGUCUACCCUCUCACGAGAAUAUUUAUUCAGAUAAAGGACAUGCCAAUUACAACUUAAAUAGAAGGCCUGUCAAAACUAAAUGAAUGUUAGCCCUCACCAACAAAAUCAAUUUGACUUUUAUCCCCAAAACUGAGAAAACAUAGCCCAACACGAGAAUUUUUUAAGCACAUACAUGUGGGAUUUUUUGAAGCACUUGCUAUUACGCUUAAAUUAUUAUAUGAAUGCUCCUUUUCUCUCAAAUUGCAAAACAACGUUUCUAUAAUUUGUUCAAGUUCAAAAAUCAUAACCUGUGAAAUGGGAUUGCUAUUUUUAGGAGUUUUUUUAAUAAAAAAAUGUAAUGUAAAAAUUUGAUGUAUAUGAGGUAAAAAAAAUAAUAAAAAAUAUAUUCACAGAAAACAUAAUUUUUUUUUUACUAAAAAUCACAAUCCAAACAAGGCCAACAGAAUGGUUAAAUUCUGUUUAUUUCUACUACAUAGUUGAUCCAUGAUUGUAUUAGUAUCUACCUAUUAUAUAAGAAAAAAGCCAAGUUACUAUAGCACCCCAUCUUUUUGACACAUGUAUUGCAUAUAUUUUUGACAAGUGGAUUCUUGGUCAUUUUAGCUAAACUUUUCCUUCCCCUUUUUGAUUCAAUUGGGCCAAAAUAAUUAAAAUGUUUUUUCUCUGAGCCAAGUUACUAUAGCACCCCAUCUUUUUUACACAUGUAUUGCACAUAUUUUUGACAAGUGGAUUCUUGGUCAUUUUAGCUAAAUUUUUCCUUCCCUUUUUUGAUUCAAUUGGGCCAAAAUAAUUAAAAUAUUUUUUCUCCUUCAGAAAAUCAACUAUGUCGCUUCUUCUUCUUCUUGCGGUAAGUGCUAUUAUUUUUUAUUUUUUAAAACUAAUCUAACUAAAAUUGUUGCCAUGUUCUUUUUUUUUCGUCGAGAUGAUUAGCUACUUAACAAAGAGAAGUUUUUAUUAUUUUUUUAUCCCAUUUUACAUUUUCUUUUCUUCCUUUUUUUUCUUCAUGUCUAAUCUCUCAUAUUUGCUCUAUUCUUCGAUCAUAAUGUUAUAGUCAACUGGCAUUUGUUUGUUAAAUUUAUAGGAUGAUGCUAUUAUUUGGUAAUUUUCAUGGAUAAAAGGUGAAAUAUUAAAAUAUGUAAAAAGAUCUUAAAAUUCAUUUUAUACCAAUGAUCAUUUUCUAUGAAGAAUAGAACAAUAAUUCUUUCUUUUCUUAUCUCCUCCCACGAUUUGAUUUCUUACUUCACAUUUUUUUUUCUUUUUCUUUGUUUUUUGGUUACAUUUUGUAAUUAUCUACAAUUUUGUGUAUUUUUUAAAGAGAAAAGAUAUAUCAUGUGAUGCUUCCACCAAGAUAAAUCUAGUUAGGCAUUCUUCUACUUCUGUAUUCUAUAAGAUUUUGUAUAUAUUUAAACUAACGUUAAUUUUUAUUUUUUUUAAUUAUUCAGGUUAUGUAGUAUCAAUUGGGUUGGCAUAUAAAAAUUGUAGUUGGUGGUAGAAGUCAAAAUUAAAAAUUAUUAGAAAAUUCAAUUUUGAUUAGGAAGAUGUUUUUGCAAUAAAAAAAAUGGUUCAAUUCUAAUUUGUAUAUGUAGAUCUGGAAACGUAGCAAUUCAUAUUUUUUAUCUAACCUUGCUAUUUAUAUUCUGGAGCUGCAGGAUAAUGUUGUCACCUUUAAACGGGAUUUAAAUAAAUAAAGAAAGAAAAAUGUGAAACUUUAAAGUAAGUUAUAUUGAUGUUGAAGAUUGUGACAUGUCUUAGUGGCUUUCUAAACUUUUUCUCAUUAUUAAAAAACUGGAAGCAUUAUGAUUGCUUUUGAUUUAGUUACAACUAAGACUAUGCUGCUAAUUAAUACAGCAAUGCACUUGUAGUGUAUUGAUUUUCUCUUUUUUUUGGGUAUUAUCAUAAUAAUAGUUCAAAAAUCUUUAUUCAAAUCACAAUAAAUAGGGGUAUUAACUUCAUAGAUGGAAUUUCUCUUCACAACAAAUUUUGAGGGAAAUUUUAUUUAUACUCCAUAUUUUAUUAAUUGUAUUCCUACAAUAAAUAAAAACUAUAUGAUAAAAAUAAUAGUGAAAAUAUGAUUAACAAAAAUGAGAGUUCAAAUAACAUUUGUUAAUUUUAAUUGUUUUGAGGUCCAAUUUUCUCCUAUAUUUCUAUUGAUUUAUCAUGUGCCAAAAUAAUUUGAUGUUAUGUGCUUGAUUAUAUUUCUAGGGGCCAAGCUAUGCUUUGCAAGUACCUCUAGUGUACUAACUAAAAAGGUGGCCAAUUACACGACAGCUGCAGUGGGUUUGCUUCUCACAUUAUCACACGACAGCUGCAGGCUGCAGAAUGUGCAUACUCUUGCAUGGAUUAUAUGUGACAGCCCCACCUCACCCUAAGGCGAAACAAAGGGUUCAGCGGACCGCCUGCCCAGCUCUCGCCAGGAUUACGGAGUCGAAUCACACAAAUCCGAUAUUACGCGAGAGGACCCAAAAUAAAUGAGCGAUUGAAGACCGCCAAGCUUAAACAUGGGGAAAACGCUUUCAUAUAUACAUGUCACUAGGUUUACAAUUCAAAUGGAACCAGUGAAACGAAAUACAUUUAGGGUUUGCUCAUUCUCGAGGAGCUAUACAAAAGAACAAAAGAUUUUCUAACUAGCUCAACUCGCUUCUCAAAAUCAUGAUUUCCAAAAGAGGUUCCAGUAAGGAAAACAAAGAUAACGAGGAGGGGGUGAGCUUACGCCCAAUGAGGUACCAAACAUAUAGCAGAAAAAUCAGGUAUUUCACGUUAUACAAACCAGAUACACAUGCUCGCUAUAAAGUAAGACAGGUAAACACAAGAACUCAAAUAGGAAGGAUACAGGUGGCUCUCAGGAGCCAGCUUUCCAGCGUAGUACUUGAUCCAAGCCGGUCGACUCUCCAUCAACGUAUAUAGAACCAACACGUCCGUAGACCCCACUUUACACCAAAUUCCGUCCACCAAACACCCCUUUACCGGGCCCGCUCACCUCAACAGAAACAGAAAGGGUAAUACUCGAGUAUACCGGAAUCAAGAGUCUCAAUACCCAAAGAUCCCAAAACAGACUACCGUGGUUCGUUAUCUAAUCGUCCAGGCCCUUGCCGGCCCGACUCGAAUAACUUAGCCACAGGAUUUGAGCUCAUAAGUCACAGAAAGGUCGUUGGUUACAAGUUUCCAAACGACGUCCGAACAGAUACAGAUACAGAUACAGAUACAGAUAUCAGAUACACAGAUUCAGAUUGACACCAAAAUUGGCAUAUGAACAGACAAGAGAACGAGUGUGAUAAAGUACACCCUCGUCUCAAACAAAUUAAACAGAUUGCAGAGCAGAAAUCAAGUUAAACAGCAAUGGAGGGGAGUGGUACACUCACCGGUUCAAGUACAAAUACCUCAAAAGUUUUCACUUCGGAUUGGCUUUAAUCGCCAAGAAACCCUAAAAUAAUCAAAAUAAACCAAUUGAAGGUUUCACAUCCAGAAUCGAGUAAACAAAAUACACAUGUGAGGCUCGACUACUAGUCGUAUGCCUCGCCAAAUAAUUACUAAUGCAAGGGUACAAAACAUGAUUUUUGGGAAUAAAAAGGUAACAUGAAGACCUAGGUUCAACAACCCAAAAGUCCUUCAUUUCUAUCACAAGCCAAUUCAAACUUAAAGGAACCAAUUGGCCUAGAAAAAAUUGGACAGCACUUCCCCUAAAUUUCUUACUUUUCCAGCCAUCACGGCUUCAUUAUUUUCCUCAAUCAACUCCCAAAGUCAUACUCAAUAUACACUCAUCACCACAGCCGUUCAAUAGGCUCAAGGUUAUCCAAGUACAAAAGUUAGUUAGGAAAAUGACCGGAAAUAAAAGUCAAGCCCUAGAAUAUUCCACUAAGCACAAGAAGACUCGAUUACAAGUCAUAAACCGAUGCCAACACGAUCACAAUAGGGUUCCAUAAGCAUAUAUAAGCAUUAGAGGAAACCAGAAAUUUCGGAAAUGUAACUAGCUUUGGCCCUGAAAAAUAGUUUUUGUCCUCAUUUUGCGGUAAUGGCACAAAUUUCACUACGCUUAUCGGAUGAGGGUGCAAGACCACCACCAUCUCGAAGCUAAAAGACAGGGCUACAACAUCACAGAAGGUCACUCAACCCAGUUUUGAGUGCAAACAGGUCAAAAAUGCAAGAUACUACAUCAACAACGUAAAACAGAUUCACCAAAACGCAUUCUAGUGGAAACAUCAUAACUCAGGCUCUACAAGUCCAAAUCCAGAAAUUCCAAAACCAUCUGAAAGCUAAGCAACAGGGAUAAAUUUCAUCAGAAGGUCUCAACAACCAAUUCGGAAGCAAUUCCAGGAAAAACAACCAAUUACAGGCGCAGUUCUCAAUUUCGGGUAAAACCAGAACAGCAAUAGUAAUUUCGACUUAUCUCAUUCUACUCUACUCCGAUUGACCUGAAAUUUUGUAGGAACCUCUAAAAUGUCAUUCCCUACAACUUUCAUGUUUUGAGCUAAGGCCAAUUCGGCCUCUAUCUAGGACCUAAAAAUUCGGACAGAAUGCUCCCACAAGAACCCUAAUUUUCUGAAAUUUCUUCCAAAACAGAAAUUGAUUGCAAUUGUCCACUUUUUUCACCUUCUAGAAUCAUUAUAUACCAUUUCCAAUCAUCAUAGAUAGCCACACAAUCAUGCUUAUAUUAAAACAGAAAAAUCCCCAAAAAUAAUAAAACUUCAUCAUUUCAACCACAAAUCAAAAAUUAAUCCAUAAACUUGCAUCUUAUACUACCACUAAGCAUGAUUUAAGCAUCAAUUAAAGGAGGAGGGUGGUUCUUCACAACUUACCUUAGAAACAAGAGAGAGAGAGCUAUUGGUCACCUUAACUUUCCAAAAAACUUCACACAACAACUCACCAACACUUCCUUAAGUGGUUUUAUGGAGCAAAAUCAAGGUUGGAUGGUUGGUUUUGGUGAUUUGGAACAAGAUUGAAGUGUUUUCUUCCUUGUGCUUGGAGUAAGAGAGAGAGAGAAAGAGAGCAAGAGAGGGCCGACUUCAAGGAGGAUUUUUUUGAGGAUUUUUGGGUCAAUUUUGGUUAUUUAAGUCAAUGGUAAGAAAGGUUUUAAGGUAAGCCCAAUCAAAUGGUGACACUUGUCACCUUUUAUUAACUCUCUACCUAACUUGUCUCUCUCAUAUCAAUCCAAAUUGCACCCUCCACUUAUCUCUUAACACCCGGUAAAUUCAUUCAAGUAUUCAAAACUUAAUCUAGUUGGCCGAAUUUUUCCGAACUUUUCGCACUAGUGGGUCCCACGUCCGAUAUACGCUUUUAAUUCCUCAAAAGCUAACCGAUACUAGAAAAAUCAUUUAAAAGCUAUAUUUACUCAUAAAAUUUAUUUGCACAAUGUUUCGAAUAAAGAAAAGGUGGAAAAACGUAUAAUUAAAAGAAAUUAAAACCUAGAAAUUAAGAAAAUUACGGGUCCUUACACUAUAUGCUUUGCAUGGACGGAAUAUAUAUAUAGUCUUAUUCUAUGACGGAAAAUCUAUGAAUUUCUGACCUGUACGAUAAGCAAAUGUGCGACACAGCACUAGAAUUUCAGCCAACAAAUGUCAUUCAGAUGAAGGACAUUCCACCAUACGAGUUUCAACCGCAUGUUUAUACCAUCAAAAUUCGAUCCACAACUUUACUGAUGCAGUGCAUGAUCGAGUGUACGAGUAUCCUUAUCUUAUGUAGCUGUAUGGCCUGCUUCACCAUGGUUUCAAUACAAAUUUCUAGUAAAUUACACGCCAAUACGAUCAUAAUUGGAUGGUAGUGUAAUAUCUACUAUAUGGUUAUCAUUUGAUGAUAGUCGGUUCAGAUUUCUAUCAUAUUCUUUUGGACUAUUAAUCUAUGAUUAAAUUUUAUAUACAUUAAACUGACAAUAUUUACACUAUCAUAAUUAGAUGUAUGAUACAUAUAUGCAAAAUUUGAAUUAUAUGUCAUGCAUCAUGUGGUGAAAUUGUAUACACUGUCAGUCUAUAGAAGAUUAAUCCUUAAUUUAUUACGAACAUUUUUCUUAAAAUUUUUGGUUGGUAAAAGUCAUUACUUACACAAAAUUUGACCAAGGGAUCUCGAGACUUCUUAGUUGCAGUUACAACCACAAAGUACAAGAGCUUGUUUAAAUUGUUAUUUUUUGAAAUUUUUAUAGAAAAAUAUAAUAUUAUAACAAUUUGAUGUAUGUAAAGUAAAAUGACAAGUAUUUAAAAAAUAUGUUUAUGAAAAGUGUAAAACUGAAAAAUGCUAAUUCAAACGAGGCUAUUGAGCUAAAAUGAUGAUAAAGACGGUAAGCUUGUCUACCAUCACAAUUUUAGCACAUAGAGGUUAGAAGAGUUGGUGCAUAUAGUCCUUGCAACCCUAAUUAGGUGGGUAAAUCAAGACCUAGGCUGCGGUUUUGGUUAGGUCAAAAUUAACACAACCAUUGACCUCCUGAAAUUAAUUGCUUUUUGAGGAUUUGAUGAACUAAUAUUAAGUUUGCAACGAAACCUGUUUCAGUCAUUCGUUGAUCCCAGCUGCCCCACCAGACCUCCACUUUCCCAUCCACACUUCCCCUACCAAUAGGAUUACACCUUUCCUUUCACGAGCUCAUUCUGCUGCUCUCAGCAUUCAUUCUUUCAUCCCGUGAAUCGCGACGCAUAAAGAAAUAUCAUGACCGUCAGUUUCGGUGACUGAAGAAAGGAAAGGAAAGAGAAGUUUAAUCCGAACGGUGGAUGGGCGGCGGCUACAAAGUUUUACCCGUGAAACCACCACCACGAGAUCUCCGCCCCCUCUCAUAAAGAAUCACAGGAGCAGAGACGCGGCUUUCCAGCCUGGACUCCUUUCAAUUUAUUCCAUCGCUGUCACCUAUCUCGAUCAAUCCAUGGUCCCACCUUGGCUUUCAAAAUUGCAUACAACCCGGUAUACGUCUAGGCCCUGUAAAUACCUAAGCUACCCUUUCACGAAUUUUUAAAAUUUUUUUCUUUUCUUUUAAUUAUUUAAACUUUUUUUUUUUAUGCUUCAAAAGGAUUGUGGGUUAGUAGGAAGUAAAUCAUCCAAAAACUCUCACCGUACUAAGAAAGCAAAAUAUUAUCCGAAAAUGUUCAAAAUUUAGGUGUUGUUUAAAGAUUGGUUCUUGAUAAUUGCAAUUAUCUUCCAUUCUUAUCCAUUAACCAAAAUGUUAAUGGAACUUUCGUACUACAAUGUCUUAACAAAAAUAUUUCUUAUCUAAAUUUGUAACUGACUACUUGGUCACGCUAGCUACAUCAAUAAAGAUUUUCACCAAAUUCUCACAAUCAAAUGCUCGUAUGAAUGCCAAAGGUCUUUAUUAUUUUGUUAGAUAGGACGAGCUACUCAUAUAUUGACCAUGUAAAUGUAUUGAUCAUGUAACUGAAUGUUAUUCCUUAUAUAACAUUUGUUAUGAGGCAAGGUUUUAGGCCCCUCUUCUAUUUAAUAAAUUAAUUAAUGGUUACCAUCCUUAUUUCAUGUAUGACAUUUUAUCAAAUAAAAAAAAACUUAUAUUUUAUUUCUCAACUUUUGUUCCUUUGGCUUCUAUAUCAGAUUAAAUAUUGGAUGUAACGCAAUUCUCUUGGAUACUUUUCGCCUAUUACUACUUCGGCUUCUACCUUUUGUUGAGCUUUUCACUAUUGGUUUCUAAUUAUCUUGUAUAAUACUUGUUCCACUUCUGCCAACAAAACUAAAAAAAGAAUGUCAACUAUUUGCAUAAAAAAUCAUAUCAAGUUUGUUUACUCUAUCCGCACUUUGUUUUGUACCGUAUUUGAAGCCAAAUGUGAUUGAAUUUUUAUUUUACUCCUGAUUUUUCUAUCAAAGAUAUGUUUAUAAUUCAUUUAACAAGCUCACAUGAGGUGGCAAAAUGACUUAAAAUGUUUAUUAAAUAAAUACAUAUACUAGCAUAAGAUUGAGGCAAAUGAUUUAUUCGAGAACCCUUUUAAAAAAAAAAAAAUUUUUUUUUCACAGCAAAUCUCUAGCAAAAUAACAAUUGUAUCCUUCAAUAUUCAAAAGUUGAAUGCACUUUGAAAAGAGUAAAAUUGUCAUUUCAAAGAAAUUAGCAAUGGCAUUAAAAACAUGGACUACGAUAUUAAAGCUAUCCUAAUUGACUGUCAUUAUAUGCUACAAUCAUUUUGUUGAUUGAUCUGCUAGUACAAGUAUUAGAGUAUCUAUAGUAGGAGAAUAAAUUCAUUCUCCACCUCAUUUACAAAUUCAAAAAAAAAAAAAAUCUAACCCGGGCUAAGAAGGUCAUUUCAUAUUGAUAUGUUUACUUUUCCAUUUAUUUUUUAUCCCCACACUUUCGUACUCGGACAGUUGGACUUCCAUACUCAUCCUCUUAUGACUUUAAUCUCUGAUCUCCCAUGACCACUCUCCCAAAACAGCCAAACUCCUCCAAUACCUCCUCUUCCCACCACCGCCAUCGCUCCCACAAUGCCACCUGACACCAGAACCACCGCACUCCUCCUCCUCACCAUCCUCCUCCUCCUCCUCAGCUCCCACACUCCCUCCACCGCAGACCUCCCGCAAUUUCGGGAAGCCCCAGCAUUCCGCAACGGCCAGCACUGCCCAAUCUCCACAUGGCCCUCCAACCCACACGACCCUUCCACCAUCCACGUCGCCAUGACACUUGACUACUCCACGCCAUACCUCCGUGGCUCCAUCGCCGCGGUCUUCUCAGUCCUCCAGCACUCCACCUGCCCAGAAAACACCUUCUUCCACUUCCUCACCACCACCCGCCACCGCCAUUUCCAAGGCCUCAACUCCACCAUCACCUCCACUUUCCCCUACCUCCGUUACCAUCUCUACCACUUCUCCCCCGCCUUAGUCAACCACCUCAUCUCCUCCUCCAUCCGCACCGCCCUCGACCAACCCUUGAAUUACGCCCGCAUUUACCUCGCCGACCUCCUUCCCUCCACCGUCAACCGCAUUAUAUACCUCGACUCUGACCUCAUCAUCAUCGAUGACAUCUCCAAGCUCUGGAAAAUCAAUCUCUCCGCGCAUAUUCUCGGCGCCCCCGAAUAUUGCCACGCAAAUUUCACCAACUAUUUCACUCCCAAAUUUUGGUCCAACAGAUAUGUCUCCAGCACUUUUAAUAACCGUGCCACAUGUUAUUUCAACACAGGGGUUAUGGUGAUGGAUUUAACGAAAUGGAGAACAAAUGGGUGCACGAGAAAACUGGAGCAUUGGAUGAGGAUUCAAAAGAAGUAUAGAAUUUAUGAGCUGGGCUCAUUGCCGCCGUUUUUGUUGGUUUUCGCCGGGAAUGUCGAGGGGGUUGAGCACAGAUGGAAUCAACAUGGACUCGGGGGGGAUAAUCUCGAAGGUUUGUGUAGAGAUUUGCAUCCGGGUCCCGUUAGUUUGCUGCAUUGGAGCGGAAAAGGGAAGCCGUGGUUGAGAUUGGACUCGAAGAAACCUUGUCCGUUGGAUAGCCUUUGGGCUCCGUACGAUUUGUUUAAACAUCGGCCAUUGAUCUCCGAUAGUUGAUGAUGCUGGUCGUAGGAGAUUGUUGCCCCGUGACCGUGAGUGAGUAAUUGGGAUGGAAACAGGUGAGGAGAGAAUGAAAAAGGAGAAAUGAGGACAGAACAGAUAGAUUUAUGGUGACGUGAGAGGAAGAAUACUUUUGGGGUUUUGGUGGAAUGUUGUGGCGGAGCUCUGGUGUGGUACUGUCGGUGGGUUUUUCUUGGCCGUCCGAUGUGAGAGAUCAGGACGGUAAGAUUUGGUGGUGGUGGUUUGGGAAUGAGGAUAUGAUGGGUGCAUUGUGAUGCUGGGUCCUAUUUUUUGGGAGUGGUUGGAUUCCAUGUUGCUAUCAGAGUUUGUUUUGUUUUCUUGGUGGCAGUGGAGGUGGAGGUGCUAAUUGAGUUUUUUUUUUUGUUUUUUUUUUUGUGUGUGUACAUGUUGUGCUACUUUUUAACCUACUACUACAACUACUACUUGUGGUUGGUUCUUUGAUUGUUUCUGAUGAUCAUAAUCAGAAUUGAGAGAAUUAUUCAUUAUUGAUUGAUGUUUGUGAUGGCGCAUUUCCCCUUUGCUUUCAUCCACUAGAGUGUCUGUUUGAUCUUAUCCUAGCAAGUAAAUAUGAUGAAAUUUGUUUUCUUGUGAAAGCAAUCAACGGAUAUGGGAAGGGACUACUGAUCAAUUGGCCAUUGGAUACCCCUUUGAAUAGCCUAAAAAUGAGCAAAUUCUAGUGGAGUUCAAUAGCAUCAGAAGACAUGUUAAAGGGACUGAAUCGAAACUCGAUAAAGCACUUAAUAAUGCUAUUGAUGAUCAUGAAAGUCUGGCAGCGCUCAGGUCAGGCAAGCUUUUAAUACGAUAUAUAUUUGUCGGCUACUGGCCGUGCAUAUUUCCAUGGUUUAUGAAGACCCAUCCAUUUUCGUGCCUGAUGCCUGCUGACUAGCAUCCGGAUUCCAGGGAAAAGGUGGAUUAACGAUUAAGAAGAGCUCGUCCGGAGUCAUGUUGAGUAACUUUCAACUUCAACUUUUUGAUUUUUUUUUUUAAAAAAAAAAAAACUCACAGGUUACAAUAGAGGAGGGGAAUCCCAUUUUACUCUUAUAAUGCGGACUAGAGCGAAAAAACUUCCAUCACAUAGUGGAAAAAAUUUCACUAUUGUAACGGAAGUAUUGGGCUCGCUCAAAGCAGCUUUUAUUGGGUCAUUCACCCCGAUCUUGAAAUAAUAGUUGUGCAAUUAGGUCCCCUUGCCCAACAUAAAACGCUGUUCAAGUUUGAUUUGAAUAGUUGGCAAAUCAAGUUCAAAUCAGUUGUUACCAAAUCGAGCUCGAUUCGAACGUCGAAUAGCUUAGUUCAUCUUUCGAUCCUAAUCAUGAAUAUCUUUUAUUAGUUUAAGAGCUCCGGAAAAAGGAAUAGGGGAGGACUUGAGAGUCAAAUUAGGCUUCUUUUUAUGUUGCUGGACCUUGGAACAUUUAAUCAUAGAUAUCAUUGAGUGUGAGUAUGUGAUGGACGCGGGAAAGAGAAGCAAUAGACAUAAAAUUAGGCAAAGCCUUGUGAUGUUCCUCGGUCACAACUUUGGAUAUGGACUGGACUUCAUGAGAAAAUGUGUCGGAUAAAAAAAUAACAUUCUUUUUUUUUUUUUUUUGGUCAAAAAGCAACCUAACAUUAUUCCCCAUUCUCCUAUGCUUCCUUUUGCAUUGUGUGGACUCUUGGGCCAAAAACUUAUCAAGCCAUUCUGUUUUCAGAUUGUUUCAGAGUCCAGGAGUGGAGCAGAAACCCAUACUGGGGAUAUUAACUGCGGCCAUCUGGCCCACUGAAUUGACCUACGUAUCAAUUGUGGCCUGUAUUGUUCACCACAUCCAUUGAUCGACCUACGUGUCAAUUGUGGCCUGUAUUUUUUGUAUUUCCCUCCACAAAAAAUACCUGAAAUAACUGUCCCUUUUGAGAAAAUAAAUACAAAAAACAAAAUAAAAAAAAAAAUCUAAGAAACGGACGACGCCAUGAAAGAAAGCAACAGAGCGCAGUCCUAGGCUAGCCUAAAAUUGCUGAAACAAAUCUUCAAACAUAACUCUGAUGAUUUCUUUUGUUUCCCAAGCAUAAUUUUAGGUACUAAAAUUCCUCAUAGAUCCUCGAAACAAUCAUGGCUACGGUUGCCACCAGUGGGGUUGGAUUAAGUGGAGCAAGACUCCAUGCUUUCAACUCCAGCAAACCAUUUUCUCCAUUUCUUGGGAAGAAGCUCAAGAUUAAACCAAUUUCUGAGUCAAUUCAUCCAACAAAGUUUAACCAUGCAAAAUCCAGGAAUCUUCUUGUUUUAGCAUCUGGGUGGAUUUAAUGAGCUUUGUCAACGAUCUUUUUGUUGGGGUUGGAGUUGGACUUCCAUGUACGGUCAUGGCGUGUGGUGAUAUAAUUUAUAGAAGUACACUUCCAAGCUCAAAUGGUCUCACAGUUACAGUUCCUGGGACGAUUUUAGCACUGGGUGCUUUGUCUUAUUUGUGGGCUACUCCUGGUGUUGCCCCUGGUUUUUUUGAUAUGUUUGUGCUUGCAUUUGUUGAAAGACUGAUUAGACCUACCUAUCGGAAGGUUAGUUGAUUGUCUGGUGAAUUUUUGAUUUUGUAAAGUUUUGAGGAUAAAAUCUUGGAAUUUGGAUAAUUUGAUUUUGUUUUGUGGUGGCAGGAAGAUUUUGUGCUUGGGAGAAAUUAGGUGAAGGGUCUUUUGGUGUGGUUUAUAGAGCUUCAUGGGCUAAAAAGCCCUCCCCAAAGGUAAAUAUUUGACAGGAACUUGCUAGUAUCAAAGUUUUGUUUAUUGUUUAUGUUAUUUCAGCCCUUUCGGAUUUUUUCCCCUUUAUGUGCUUUGCAUGUAUUAUAGGGAAUAUUGUUGAGGUUAUGCUGGUCCCUACUUGAACUUUGAUGGAAUAUUUUCUUCCAUUCUUUUGCUCAAAUGCUCAGACUUUAUAUAGAACCUAAUCACAUGUACAUGUAUCAAGUUUUUUCCAAACUUUUUGUCAAUCUGGAAUGAAUGUGUUAUUAGGCCACAGUUUGCAUUAAUAUUAGUGAUAAAGAUAUCUAGAAGGCAUGUUUGCUAAUUUCUAUUGGUAGCGAUCCUAAAAUAACAAUAGUUGCUAUUGGUUGUCACUCAAAGGGUGGAGAGUUAGUCUUGAAAAAGGCUACUGAAUAUGGAGCAGUGGAGAUAUGGAUGAAUGAACGUUGCGAAGGGCUUGUGCUAGUAGCUGUGCUGAUUUUGUGUAUGGCUUUCUCGAGGUGCUGCUCUCUUUGCCUAAUGUUGCUAAGUAUGAUUAUAGCAGAGAUAAUAAGACAGCUUCAAGCACAUAUCUAUAACUUUUGCAAAUUGGAUUCAUAGUUCUUCAAAGAAACAAGCUGAAUAUUGGCUUAUAUGGCGUUUUGACGGGGAAGCCACACUUGCUGAUUUAAUGCAAAGUAGGGAGUUUCCUUACAAUGUUGGUACCACUUCUGUCUCACCUUAAUUCUAAAUCUGUGAUGCAGAACAAAUCUCCUUGAUGGAAUUUUCAAGUAGAUAUAUUAUGAUGUGGAAAUCAUCUGUUCCAUAUGUUAUCCAUUUUGAACAUCACUAUGACUUAUUAUGUGUAUUUGCUUAGGUGCAUAUUAGACGUGCACAAUUCCAUGAAGGCUCACGGUAGCAUAUUUAAGGACAUAGCUGCUGGCCUAAAAAAGUGCCAACUCUUUCGUUUUGUAACUUAUAUAUUCAAUUCAUGACAUGAAUUAUAUGUAUUGUUACAUAAUGACGUAGGCCAACCAUUGGACCAUAGCUGUGCUUAUUGUUCCAUAGUGUAAAGCCCUAAGAUAAUAGGAUUUCCCUCCAAACAUAGCUGUGCUUAUUGUUCCAAAGUGGUAGAGUAACUGAUUCUUAAUAGAAACAAUAAUGUUGUAUUGUGAGGACAGAAGAGAAUAAAACUGUACUCUCUUCAGGAAAAAUUUCAUAGAGCUUGCCUGCCAAAAGGAAAAAGAUUAUAGUUGUCCAUAUUAUGAUGAACUGGUAGGCAAACAAAGAUAUCAUUGGUAGCUCUCCAGGUACAGAGUAACAACGGUGGCCACAAGAACUUCUCAAAGUGACAAUUGUGUUGUCAGGACCAGAAGGGUGUCAAAAUACUAGCUGAGAUUGGUUUCUAUUAAUAGUCUUUAGCCUCUAUCCCAAGCUUUCAGUGUUGAAGGUGAAUUUGGCUACCUUUAUGAGUGAAACAGUAGAAAUAGAUUUCUAGAACUGCAAGAAAGAAGAAGAUUUACAAAGAAAAUCAGGAAUUACUGAAACAAGGAGCACAGAAAAGAAAACUUGGAAAUUGAAUGAGAAGUCAAAUAUUUGUUCAACUGAAAAGAAAUGUUUGCUAGUAGGAAAAUUCUUGUCCAAGAAUUAAGAAUCCGUUGUCCAGAUUUCCCCUUCUGGCACUCAAAGGGUAGAGCCUGUAGAUUGACUGCUGAAACUAUGAAUCCUGACUAGACACACAAGAUUAAGAUGGUGACCUCUCCAGCUUUGCUUCAGUUAGAUGCUCUAGAUUAGAAACUGAUUCCUUUUUCACAUGGCAAAGUGCUUCAUGGGUGGAUUUCUGAGGUUGAAAACUUUUCCAGUAUAUCCAGGUCUUUGAGUCACUUUUGUUGUAAAAUAUGCCAAAUGAGUCCCCCCCUCCCCCUCUCCUGAAAAGAAGUCCUAGUUGUUUAUCUCCCUUUAACCUAUAUUAGCAAUAGGUUGAUCUAACUAUGGUUUUGUGUUCAUUAUCUUGUCUAAAGAAAAGGUCAAUGCUUUUGUACACUUUUUGCAAUGAGUUGCUGAGACGGUCUCUAUUGACAUAUAAGAUCAAAUUUACAUUUCUAGCCUCUUCUGCUAACCUUAAUGAAGUUUUCGCAAACUUAAAGGUGGAAGCACUGCUUCUGGGGAGGUUAACAACUUGCCUAAGGUCUAGAAAGGGAAAAUCAAAUUAUCCAGACUAUUUUGGGACGGAUCUUGUUUGCAUUAGAUGGUCUUCACUCAACCGGAAUUGUCCACAGAGAUAUUAAGCCACAGAACAUAAUUUUCUGAAGGUGACUGUUUUGUGCCAACCUUAUUAGCAGCUCGCUUAAACUCUCUCUCUAUUGUUUCUUUCAGUUUUUUUUCUUUUUCUUUUCAUUUUUCUUCAUUAAAUGUGAUGCAGGUUCUCGCACAUUCAAAAUCAUUGAUCUUGGAGCUGCUACAGAUUUAAGGGUGGGCAUCAAUUAUAUUCCUAAGGAGUUUCUGUUAGAUCCAAGGUAACUUUUCAGCUCAACAAAAAUAAUCACUGCCAGGAGCAUGUUGGUUUCUUCUCUAUACACUAAAGUACUCAAACUUGCAAAUAGCUGCUGAUGAAGUACUAAAGUUUCUAGGCAGCCUAAUCAAAUGUCAUUAUCAAACCAAUAAGAAAGUAUCAGUUAGUUACUCAUGAGAAAUCCUGUAAAAUCCUGGAUAUUGACCCAAAUCCUUACCUGGGGUCAUCUACUCAAAUGUUACCUUUUUCAUUAGGAAAAGAAAAUUAUGUUGAGCAAAGUAUCAAUCAACUUCAGUUAUCUCAGAUCAAAAUGUGUAAUAGUCCUCCCUACACCAAAAUUCAUCCCAGAAUUAGUGGCCAUCUUGGUUCUCUUAGUCAUGUCAAAAGCUAGGAAAAAUUCACGCAGGGAUGAGAGGGUUAGAAAAUGGAGCGCUACAAACCUCCACCCCUCCUUCCCCAAAAACGACCUUUUUAGUCAUAGAGGAAAUGUUUCUUCGUAGAAAAAGCCAACCAACCAUCAAGUAUACUUUGUUUUUGGGAAGGGAAGAAGAAGAGGGAAGGAGCGAAUUUUUGGGCAAUGGAACAACUUUAAAGUUGACUUCUUUUGUACUUUUGGAAGUCCAUCACAAUUAAGAAUAUUUUUGUUUUCGAUUUCCCAUAAAUUGCGCAAUAUUAAAUAACCGUUCUACGUGACUUUCAUAACCAUUUGGUAUCAGGCAGUAGAAGAGUGUAUUUCAUACUAUGAACUGAUUUAGUUUGACAACACCAUCGAGUUGAUUUUGUUCAAUACGAUCCACAAAUUUAAAUUAUCACCUCAAGAAGUCAAAUACAUAAUAUCUGAGUUGAAGUUGUAAUAAGUUAUUAUCCCAGUAACAGUUUCAUAUUUGGAAUAUACAUUGGGACUGAAAUCAUUAGGAUUUAUUUGAUCUCUUUACGGAUAUUCAUUGAGCAUUAUCCAAGCUAACAGGAGCUACUUUCUUGAUAGGCUCCAAGCAUCAAUCUAAUUCCAUCAAUUAUAGAUUCACAUGAUUCCAGACUUUGGUUUAUUUGCACAACAUUAUUAUUUCUCAUUUUCUCCAGGUAUGCUGCACGACUGAGCAGUAUAUUAUGAGCACUCAAACACCCUCUGCACCUUCAGUUCCAGUUGCAACGGCACUAUCUCCUGUUUUAUGGCAGGUAUUGUGUCUUCUAUGAAUACUUUCAUCUUCACGCCACCUUGAGGUUGAGCGAUACAUUUGACUUACCCCUAAACAACAAUGUCUGAGCAGCUAAAUUUGCCAGAUCGCUUUGACAUCUACAGCGCCGGGCUCGUAUUUUUACAAAUGGUAAGUUAGCGAUACUAGUUAAUUAUGACUGUUUCUCCUGGAUGAUGUCCUAGGAAUGAAAGCAGUUACGUAUAGGAGAACAAUAUACUCUUUUCACGAGUAUAAAAAAUGGUCAAUAAGUAGUUGGAAUAUCCUUUGCUGAGAUUGUCAUUCUGUACUUAUUUUCACAUUGUCAUUGACUAACAAACUUCACCAUGUUUAAAAUUCAAACGGAAAAAAGAAAAAUCUUUGGAAAGAAUUUUCUGUCUCUGUCUGCAUAUAACAAUGGCACAAAUAUAUGUAAAUCAUGUUUGAUAUUCCUUUUGAGGUUCUGCAUUUCAAAAUUUCCCUACAGAGAAGCUAACUCGAUCCCCAAGUGCGGCAUUGAAGUCUGAAACUAAUCAAGUAACACUAUGAUUGUGGUGAUUGAUAAUUACUGUUUUAUUGCAUUGGGUGUAGUGUUUGAUUGGCACUGCCUUAGUGACUUCCCCCUUAUUGAUGAUGAGCUCAUUGCCUGCAGGCAUUCCUGGACUACGAAACGACAAUAGUCUCAUACAAUUUAACCGUCAGCUAAAGCGAUGUGACUACGAUCUGGUUGCAUGGAGGAAUACAGUAGAACCACGUGCAAGCAAUGAGCUUAGAAGGGGCUUUGAGUUGUUAGAUCUGGAUGGUGGCAUUGGAUGGGAACUUUUAACAUCAAUGGUUCGGUAUGACGCCAAAGAGUCAGCGCAAAAGAAGCUUUAGCUCAUCCUUAUUUUGAUAGAGAAGGCCUAUUGGCCAUGUCCUUUAUGCAGAACCUAAGGAUGCAAUAUUAUCGAGCGACACAAAAAGACUAUAGUGAAGCUCUCAAGUGGGUUGUUCGGCUGAUGGCAAAGUCAGGAACAGAGCAGGACGGUGGCUUCACUGAAGCACAGCUUCAGGAGCUCAGGGUUUGUAUAUGCUAAACUGCAUAUUAUGGAUUUUAGAAAUAGUUACACUAUGAGUUACAACUCUCUAUCUGCUUUAUGCAGGAUAUACAACCUAAAAAGAAGUCGAGUGCGCAAAGGAAUGCUCUUGCAUCAGCUCUCAAGCUGCAGAGAAAAUCACAAGGACAUUAAAGGAGAGUGUUGAUGAACUUAAUCAAAGGCGAAAGAGCGUAUGGUGGAAUCGGUGGAUCCCAAGAGAGAAUGAAAUUUGUAAAAAUAGUAAUUUGCUUAUGCAUGUAAAUUAUUUUGCAGUCCUCAACCUUAACUUCUCUAGCGGAGUAAAUGAUGUUUAAUAGAGAGUACAAAAGCAGAUUUUAUAUAAAAAGUAAUAAAUGAUGUUUAAUAGAGAGUACAAAAGCAGAUUUUAUACUGUAUAAAAAGUAAUGUACAUCAUUCCACUCACACUCGGAUUAAUCCUCUUGUAUGGUAGGAGACGUAUAAAAGAAAAUUUACAGAUAAUCGAUUGUCCCUUCAGUUUUCUGAUUCUGAAUUUCAUACCAUUAUCCUAAGGCAUGCAGAAACACACAUUAACCAAGGCCAAAGAUCAUUCCUGUUGCAUAAUUCAGCCCUUCAUUUCACUUUCUCAAUUUAUUCCUUUUGUAGUAACAUGGAUACGUAGUUCGUUGGAGCUACAAAAAUAGGCAUAUAGAUAGCAUGAUAAUUGACUAAUUAUUUCUGUCUUCCUCACUGGAAUGAAGAUUGUAAGUAGCUAUAAUACGUGUGCAUUCAUCAUUUCCAUAUCCAUUGAAUGGAGUUAGUAGGAAAUGGAACAUCAUAUACACAGUUUUUUCUUCUUUAAUUUCCUUAGCAUUUCUCUUAUUUGCCUCCUUAUCCUAAUCUUGCUUUUCUAUUAGUACUAGUAAUUUCAUCUUGCUUAAUUUGGUGUGUUCGGAAACAAAAAUUUUUCAAAUAUUAUUUUAUUUGUGUCAUAAAAAUAUUUUUCAACCACGUUUUUAUAUUUUUAAUUAUUUUUUUAUUUCACGUACAUCAUAUCAAAAAAAAGUGCUAUAGUGACCUUUCUAAAUAAUAUUUCAAGCAAUCUGCCAUCCAAACACACUACGGUAAUUUCAGUUCUGCCACGCUCCAUAAUGCUCAAUUAAAAAUCCUUUCCGGAUCUCAAGGUUUUCACAGCAUACCUGGGAUAUUUCCAGGCAAAAACUGUUAAGGAUGACGAUGAGCCAUGUUAUGGCAUGAGACCUAUCAUUGUGCCAACAAUGUAUUGACCCAUUGUGCUGGAUACGUAUGAGAGUUUCAGAGUUGUGAUAUACAAGUCGGAAUAAUUACAUAUCUAAGCUAAAACUUUAAGAUGAUAAAUGCGUAAAAAAAUAAAAAGGAUAAUGAAUAAGUCAAGCUAAUUCUCUGUUCAUGUUGUGUUCCCUACCAAUAGAGGAUAUAGGGCUUGUUUUCAAAUGAUUCUAAGUAAAUUAAAACAAGAAGAUAAAUGUUUUUAGCUUCUGAUUCGAAUUAUGAAAAUCAGAAGCAUCUGUGAGAACUUAUCUACAAAGAUUGAGGUUCUCUGGUAAGCUGACAACUUCAUCCCCGAACUUGCAUGGCAAUUCAUAGCUAAGUAAAACUUAAAACUGAGGCCAACGGUGACAGGCCAGAUAACCAAGAAUUGGUCACGUUGUUAGUUGAAAACAUUGGAAGCAAUUCUGACAUGCUUAGGAUAAGUAAUUAUUGUUCGUACAGUUAAUUAACUGUCAUCAACUCACUAUCAAGAAACCCUUCAGUCUCCACCAUCAUCCUACCUUCCUUCCUCUCCUGAGGGAACUCCAUUUAUGGAGAUUUGAUACGCACGUAAGAAUACAAAUCAUGCACUACUAUGCUUCUUACUACUGAUAUUUGUUUGAGCAUAAAUUAUUACCCAUUCGUGCUGGCUUAUGGCAGUUGACACCACAAUUAGAGUACUUAACAUAUUCAAAUCUGCAGAAGUAACGUCACCAAUAACUAAUUUACAACUAAGUACUAUUGCUUUGCGGAUGAACUAGCUUUUAAAUAAUUUAGGUGAAUAUACCUACUUAUAUAGAGUUCAAACGUUGGUGGCAGCAAUAAUUAACGAUUAGUAGCAUAAGAUGAUGUCGAGAAUAGCAGGAACAACAACCGUAUCAACCAUGAGAGCUUCACGUGUGACCUGACCUUCUUGUUCAGGCACACAAAAGUCCACUUUUUUAGCCCUUGACAGUACAACACACACCCCACCAUAGUCACUUCAAAGUAAGCCUGGAAGACUCGGAUUAUGGCAUAGUACAAGUUUCUUAAUCAGCACUGUCCCCCUCAGACUUGUUUUCUUUCUUUUAUUGAUAUUUUCCCCUUACCCAAUGUGGUUUUGGGUCAUAGCCCAUCGUAUGAUUUUAUUGGCAUUUCAAAGUUUUGAUUAGCUUUGGAUAUUUCAUGGUUCAUGAUCAUUUGUUGUUUUAUGCGUGAAUAGAACAAUGACUAUAGCUUACUGAGUCAUCCUGCAUCUAUUUUAAGGACCUGCACAUUGCUUUAUCAUGAGCUAUGGAGCUUGGACUCAAUGUAUCAUGAUUUAACCUUGACUCAGACAUAAUGAAAAUCCAUCAUGGCGGACGAAUUCCCCAUAAGUUAGGUCCAUCUACACGCUUAACAUAAGAUAUGAAAGGAAAAAUUCUUCACUAUGUAAUUGCUAUCAUGCAUUCAAACUCAUCAGUAGAAGAAACGUUUUUCUAUGGCAUAGCCUAAUAUCUCCAAAAAAAACUAAAGGAAAGAGCAAAAAAAAAAAAAAAGAGAGAAAGAAAAACCAUGUAUUACACUUAGUUCAAGCUGACUAGAAAAACCAAUAAAACUUAAUGUCCAAGUCAAGGAGUUGGAGUGUGAACUGUUACAUUACGUUAUGUAAUUACUUUAUAUAAUGAAGUGUCAUGCGUUACAUUAUGUUGUUGCUUAAUACCUUUAUUUAUUUCGAGUGAUGAGUUUGAAUUGAAGACAGCUAACUAUAGACAUACGUGAGCUCAGAAACUGAGAAUGGCAGCUUCAAAACUGCUCAAAAGAAAGAACCCCCAAAACAAGAAAGUAAAAAAAAUCUUAAAUCAAUAGUUUAUUAGAACUUUAGGUUACUGAAAGCUGGUGUCCUUAGUGAAAUGGGAGGAACACGAGAUCAAGCAAGUGGGUUGGCUUUGCUUGGUAACCUGAUCAUCAAGAUUAAAUUAAUCAUUCACUUAAUCGAAUUUUGUGCUGUUUCCCCACUAGAUUUCAGCAAGAAAGGAGUAGUAGAAAAUUCAGCUAUGGUCAUUGCUUGGAAAUGUGGUUUCUUGGGUUCUUAAAUGUUGGUGCAAUAAAAGAGAAUAUGGCGGGGUAAUUGAAGGCUCACGUGAGGCUUAGUUUGACCGUUAUUUUGAUCGAUUCCCACAAGUAGCGUAAAAAUUCUCGUAAUUAAGCCAAAAUAUGCAGGGCAUACGAUGUUGAAACUUGCUUCCAUUUUUGCAAUUUAAUUCUCUCAAGCAUAUCUUUCUUUGAUCCCUUUUGGUUUUCAAUGUCAUUUUCAGAAUUUUCUAGCACAAUACUUUUUAUGGGUUCUUUGCCUUCAAUUUAUUUUGACAAAUUAUGACAAAAUGUUUCCUACAAAAAAAUUCAAUGCCAUUUACUUUGAGCAGAGUGAUUUCCAUUGGAAUUGUUGAAGACGAUCCUGCAAAGUAAAACGGUGACAAGGCAUCUUCAUUCAGCAAGUUCUUUAAAUUUCUCAUUCAGGAUGUUUUUUUGAUACCUUAGCUUAGUAGGGUAAAUACUUUAAUGCCAAUCCAAAUUUACAGAUACUCGUUGUGGUAGUCAACCUAAGAUGACUGAACCAGAUAUGAUUUCUCCUGUUAAAGAUAUUAUUACAAAAAAAAAAUCUCAAUAAAAUUAAUUCGUUCUUGGGUCAAUUCAAACUUUUAUUGUUUGCAUGGCAUGCCAACUGUAAGUUUAGUGCUUCAAGAAAAAAGAAAAAUGGAAAUCAAAACUUUGAAUAUAACACUUUGUAUAUCAGUGAUCACUAUAGUGACCACUAAUGAUACAGAAGGCAGAAUUCCUGGAAAAAAUGUUGCCUUGAAGCCUCCACUUGCACCCAUUGUCAUACAUACUGUCUCCGUAACUCCCAAUUAUACAAAGCAACUACUGGAACUGUUGACUUGAAGUUGCAACCGCACCCCAUUAUCACACCUAUUGUCCCAUAUGAAUAAUGCUGAUGGAAAUUUUGCUGGAUUAGAUUGGGAUAAUUCAUUAUAGUAGGCUAUUAGGUGGUGCUUUACUUUACAUGUACGUUAGUUAAAAUGGGCAUUUUUUAGUAGGAUCCAACUGAGACCCUCACUUUGUCUGUUUAGGUGGAUCCGACUCAAAUAAGACAUGAACUUAAAUGAGUGUACCAGAAAUAUGCAGGAGAAGGGUCACUUUGACCAAAAUUAUCACCUCAUCAUCAACACUAUUGCAAGGCAGCUCAUAAACUAAGGAAUUGUGCUACCUUAUUGAAGUAAUGGCUGACCCCUUAUGUUGGUAGGUGAUGCAUGAUAACCAGAGUUGUAUAUAGAGAAUGACAUGGCACUAUGGCAUUGAAUCUACACUUGUACAAAUAUGCAUUAGUAGCGGUAUUUAUUUACUCACUAGUGUUUGAAUAAUUUUAAUCUUUAUUUUUUUUUCCUCCAUGUUGGGGGUUUAUAGCAUGGAAUCCCAAGUGGGUAUGGGACCCUUAUGGUACUGUCUGGUGAGCUAGGGGGCACUGCACACACCUUGAUGCCCCAUAGUUGGCUCUUUACUCGACCAAGGCAAGUUUGGACCACACUUGAAACUCCUUAUAUAAAGAGCCCUUCUUGCUCUUUGUUCAUCACUUCAAUUUCAGCAACUUCUUCAUUCAUCACUUGUGAGUUUACCUGCACCAAAGCACAAAGAAGAAAAAAGAACACUUCUUGCAAUCUAUUGUAGAGAAGAUGAAGAUGAGCAGCACAAACAUGGGAAGCUCCAAGAGAAGAAUUUCAAGCAGAGGACUAGGAGGGGUCCUAAGAGAGCAAAGGGCUAGGCUUUACAUAAUCAGAAGAUGUGUGGUCAUGCUGCUUUGCUGGCAUGAAUGAAGAGUAUCUUUCUAGUUCUAUCUAGCCUUCAAUAAGAAGGGAUGCUUGUUUUUUUCUUCUUCUUCUUCUUUGAUCAUCUUGGGGAGUGUAAAUAGCAAAGGCCGAGAUUAGUGAGAAAGAAGUUAACAAUUUUGUACUAAUUAUUAAUUGGCUUUAUGAGCCUUCAUGUGUAUACAGUCGGAUAGCUUAAUGGAUUGAAAAAAUCAUCUUUAUCAAUUCAUUGAGUCUUAGUAAUUCUUUUCAUUUUCUCUCCUUUGAUAUUAUGUGUUAUCAUUUCUGCUGUGGAUUUUUGAAGAUGGAGGACUAGUUCAUCAGCCAAACUUAAUCAAGCUAUUGUAGGAUGAGGACAUGCUCACAAAAUUGGGUAGCUGAAGUCUAAUUCACAUUAAUCUUUACCUUCUGGUGAUCGGCUAAUCAUCUUUAUUUGAUCAUUUCUUUCAUCAGUCCUCAUGGAGGUUGACUAGUUUAUUAUCCUCACAAUAGUUCACAUUCAUCGCAGUCCUCAACGUACACAAAAAACAAUGAAGAUAAUGAAUGCUUGGAUAUUUAAGCAAUAGGGAACUGGUGAUGACCAAAUUGGGAAGAUGUAUGAUCGGAUUCUUUAGUGCUAGCUCAAAGUUCAUAUCAACUUCAAUUUGCAGAUUUUUCUACUUGUAUUUUCGUACCUGAAUUAUUCGAAUAUCUGGAUCCCCAGAUUCAGAAUCAGAUGAGCAGGACUUCCAAGUUUCUUCCCAGAAAUUAAAAUUCAAAAAUCCAGAUCUUUGGAAGACUUUUUUAUUUCGUUUUAUUUUGGUAUUGGCAUUGGAUUGUUUUCUUUCCCGCAAGAAGUAGUACUAGUACUUACCUGUCGUCCAAAUUUAGAAGCUACCUAAGCCAUCCAACAAGUACCAGAGAAAACAGGGUGGAAAAAUUUUGUAUUCGUUUUAUUAGGCUUAGCCAGUCAGGUUUAUAGCAGAUACCAUACAUAUUACACUUAAUUUUGCAGGCUUUUUUUUUUCAGAAAAGAAAGUAGUUGAUAUUUCUAGUAGAUUUAUGCUCUUUAUUUCUGCGCAUAAACUUGAAUUAAACUCUUGACUGGUGCAAACAAGUAAGGGAAAAAAAAAUAUAGAUUAUCUUUAAUUAGCAGAACAAUGACUAAACCUUUUUUCUUUAUAUAUAGAUUUUGAGCGAAUUAUUAGCAAAAACCUAGAAAUAGUAGUAUUAUUUCCUGCUGUUUUAACACUUUCUGAUUAUCAUGUAGGCCCUAUAAUCAUUUAAAGUGAUAAAUGUUGUGAUCUUACUUUCCUAGUUUCCAAUCCAGUCAAACUAUUUACAAACUUUUUGUACUCUCAGGAAAGCAGGUCCAAAAAAGACACAGAGUAUCUUAUAUAUUGCAAAGUAUGUUAUUACUUAAUUGUUACAUGCUUAAUUAACGAUUUUGAUUGUCGUCUUGUGAAUUGCAGGUGCAGCAAGAAAUUGACUUAAGACACUAAUUGAUAUAUUUCAUCUGUUUCUUUUGUCUGCUUUUGAUAAUUGAGGGUUUGGUAGCUACAAACAUGAAAAUUUAGCUAAUUAAGCUUUAAUAAUUAAGUUGGAGAUUAGUUAGUUUGUGACAAGGUAUUGUCUUGAUCAUCUUGUCUUCAACCAAACCUGCAUUAGUGAAUUUCAAAGUAUUGUAGUCGAAGAAAGAGAUGUUGGCCCAACCAGACAACGCCACUGACUCUUAUGCCAAUUAUGUUAAAUCCUGUGAUUAAUGAUUAUCCUAUCCAAGGGACAUUGGAGUCAAACCUUCAUUUCAUUAACAAUUGUGGUAAGGGACUCCAACCUAAUAUUUACAUGUGCCAUGCAUAUUAUAUAAACUGAAUUAUUAAGUAGUAGUAGUAGUAGUAGAAUUGAAAUAAUAGCACACAAAAUUAAUUAGGAUAAACAGUCAGAUAUUAACACUUCAAACUAUAUAUGCUGAACUCUUUUUUUUUUUUUUUGGAAAACAAUAAUGGGGUCAUAGGACUAUAAUGUUCAGCGUGUCCCCAGAAAUUAAUUUAUACUGCUCAUCUUGUACGUCUAUUUUUCUCCCCCUAAAGUUGAAAUGAUUUCUUUUUGCAUCUAGCUCAAGAAAUCAAUAUAGUUAGUCUUAGGAAGUAGAAACUUGAAUUUAGUAAAGUUUCUGAAAUUUUCAGAAAGUAGAAUAAGUGUGCAAUAAAGAUGCUACUUUUUUCUCCAAUGACCCCCUAAAAAAACAACAAAGAAAAGAAAUAAAGAAAAAGAAAACAACAAAUUAAGAAAAGUGCAAAACAUAAACUUAAUAGUGUCUUGUAUGGAAUUCUCCUCAACCAAAAAUUUGGACACCGUUAUAAGCUUAUAAACAUUCUUGGAAUUAAUCACAGAAUUCAAGUCAUUCUCAUUCAUCCUUGUGCUAUUUAUUUUUCCUUUUCCCUAGAAUAAUCUUCUUGGAAGGUAUUCAUUAUUCUCUUUUUCUUUUUCCAUUUUCUCCCAAUUAUUCAGCUAGAGUUGGGCCAACAGGCGCUUAACAACAAAAAGAAAAACUAGUGCCAGAACCAAGCUGCGGAAAAAAACAAGAUAGGAUAAAAAGGAACAAAAUAUUUGUAUUUUAGUGAUCGUGAGGUGCCACAUUAAUUAGUUGUUCUAGUUGAAUUAAAACUUAGGUGAUAGUGACGAACUAAAAAUAAUGGAUAUCAAUUGUCCUGUUUGUUUAAUUUUUAGUAACAUUAUACACAAAGUCUAAAUUUCAAUCUGCAAAUUUACUAUUAAAAACUUGAUAUUUAUAAAUUAAAAAAAAUUAAUCUUUUAAAAUAGCGUAAGUGAAAGGGUUCGAAUUCAAAAUCUCGCAUUUACACUCUUUUAUUUUUAAAUAAAAAGAGAGUUAUUAUACUAGUGCUCUAUAUAUUAUCAAGAAACGUGCCAUCUAAAAACAUACAACAUAAGAAAUAUCGUUCAUCUUCUGUUUAUUGGAUGCCAAAUCAAUUAAAUGCCGAAUCAAAUUUUGAUGUAAGAUGGUUGAUGUUUCAUGUUUCUUGAAGGGCUUGUGAGAUUUAUGAUUAAAACGUCAACUUUUAUGUUUAAAUUCAUCUGGAAUCAAACUUACAGCGCGAAGCUUACUGCGUUUGCCAUUCUUGCGGCAUCAACAUGAUCUGAUCUGUGAUGAUGUUACUAAAACUGUUCUUUUCUUCUUUCCCCUUCAAAAGAAAAAAGAUCAUGUACAGAAAGAAAAGGUGAACAAACAAAAGUGCUGUACAAGAAAAAAUAAAGAAUGGCAAAUGGGGUGAAGGAGUUGAAACAGUUAAAAGUCCAAAACUGAAGUGGGGCAAAGAUUGUCAGGCUGCACAGGAGCUGAAUCGCUAAUCUAAUAUUCUGCUGUCGGCCACAUAACAAUUGCCAUCUCAUCUCGUCUCUCAGCUAAGCCAAAAUUGAGGUGAGCUCAAGAAAUGGAGUGAUGGAGCCAACCCCGACACAAUGUGAUCAGUCAAAAUGGCAGCCUUAUCCACCCCCACGUGCAUUUUCUUAUCUUCAACCCACCACCACCACCAUCCCAGCCCAUGAGGCAACCACCACCACCACCACCACCUCCACAACGACCAUGACCUCCCUCCCCUUUCAAACCCCCCAGUCCCCACUCCCUGUGAUUCUUUUCUAAUCAUCAAAAAUCCCCAUCAAAGUGGUCCGCCCGCCUACCCCUCCCUAGGCAUAUAGAUUCUUCCUAUGUAGUACUCGUAUACUUACUUCCAGUAUGGACUUGGACUAACAUGCAUACAUCAUCACUGCUAAAAAAUUUAACCGAUAUAUCUUCAAAAAAGAAAGAAAGAGAGGAACGUAAAAAUUGUUUCAAGAUUCAGAUCAACUGCUAUAUGCAUGUAUAUAUGUAUGUUUGUGUGUGUAUAUAUAUAUAUCUUCUUGUACUUGGGAUGCAAUAGACGUUCAAUGCCAAUAUCUGACUAAGAUAAUUCAUAUCUCCUUCGUUACGUACGCUUGAAUGGAUGAUUGGCUUUGCAAUGGAUGAUAUAUCUCCCAGUUUUGGAGUCUAAUCUUAUCACCCGCCAAGCAUACAUGCUCGCCCGUUUGUAGAUACAUCUGGGUGAAUUGAUGCGUAGUUUUGGUAGGUAAGGUGAGUCAGAGUUGAUAAGAACAGCUGACUAACGAGUAACUGGGUGGAAUCAUAAUUUACGUAAAUUAAAUGGGUCAGAAAGGCAAUUAAAUGAUAGGUCUACGCGUGUCAAUAUUUCUUCCCCUCCCAUGCGACCCUUUGGCAUAGAUGCAAAGGAAGUGGAAAGCCUGGAAGGGGUUUCGAUGAGCUUAGAACUUUGGAAGGCUUUGGUGGGCAUCAUCACUUGAACUCAUUUCUCAAUUGUUUCUGUCAAUUGUGCCCGCAAUUAUUCGUUGUGAGAAAGUGACUACAGAUGGGAGCACAGUGGGCGCUUUCAUGCUAAAAGAAUGUGGUUUUGUCCACCUCCCAAACACGCCCCCCCUCCCAAAACCCCCCAUCCCUACAGCAAUUACCUCUGACUUGAAUAUAAAUUUAAAUCUAACAAAGAAAAUGAAGAAAAAAGGGAUUAUGUGAUAAAUUUCUUGUAAUAAAGAGUACAUGAUUACCUUUUUGCUGGUUAGAUUACUUUGAUCGUUAGUCAUGAGGAUAGUUUGUAGGUAGGUUUCAUCAACGUAAAGGGUGAUUUGUUACUUACCUCUAAUGAGAGGGGGGUAAUUGAAAUUUAGCCUGGAAUGAAAGGAAGGAGAAAUCAAUCAUGCAGAGUCUAUAUCUUUUGAUUUUUUAUUCUUGUGAGAGGAUUUAAUAUUGAGAAUCGAGAGGCCAAUACAUUGCGAUAGAAACAAGAGAAGAAGAAGCCAGAAGUGGUCCAUUUCCACAUGGAUUAAUUUAACUCUUUCGGACUUGUGGCAUUAGGGGUUCAGCCUAGAUGGUGUCUUAUUGGGACACAGCCACUCAUGCAGCUCUCUGCAUUGCUUCUUUCGGUGCUUUGAACUUUGAAGGCUUGCUUGCUUCAUGAUGGUCAAGACACUAAACUAUAGAUGUAAAAAAAAACACUCUUUUUUUCUUUCCAACCUCAAUGUCCUCCUUGUCCACCUCCAAUAAUAUAUCUAUCUAAAUCGAUCUGUGUGGAUGAUUGCUGAGAAUAGUAACCUUUUGCAUUAUAUGAUCAAGCGUCUGCGUGUACAUGUGUGAAUUAACUGUACUGUAGGAUUCGGCCGUGAAGAUAUAUGACAAAGUUUUGCAAGAUUCAAACGACUCAUGAUUUGAAGUUAGAGUAACAAUCAAUACGAAAAUGAGGGGAAAAAAAAUGUUAUUGCAUGAUUACGAGUAUUGAAUUUACGUGACAAGAUCCAAUUCACAGGGUCCCUCCAUUGUGAUGAAAACAUUGCAUUUCACCUACAUUUGCUACUAUUUGACAUCUACUCCUAACUCUUCUGCCCAGUGACUAGCAAUGGGGGUCGCCCUUCUUAACUUUGUUUUUGCUCAUAAUAUUUUAUAGAUUUUUUUUUUUUUUUUGUAAUUUUCUUUUAACUUGUCCUCCCUCCGAGUCCGAAGGUAUUGUUUACCUUACAUCUCUUGCCUUCUUCCCCUCCUCCUGUAACUUGACUUUUUGCCUAAAAAAUGUUAUUGUCCUUCUCUUCUUUAAAUUGCUGCCCAAAGUAAAAUAUACUUAUAAACUACCGCGUUAUGUCAAAGAAAUCCUUGCUAAUUGGAGUAUCUUUUUGUGCAUGUAUUGUGUACAAGUUAAUCAGUAAAGAUUGUCAAAUAGAUGGAACAUUGGGUGGGGUUAAAUCAGUUAAGAAAAUGAAAUCAAUAAAGUUAUGAACUUUCACAAAACGAUCAUUCUAGCUGAAGUUAAAACGGAUGACACAUUUAGUAUCUACCCUAUUCUGCACAUCAAUUAUUUUAUCUGCAGGAUAGGAAAAUCGGGUGUUACAUGGAAAUGCUACAACUCGUUAUCCAACUUGAAAAUACCAUGUAGAAGAUAACUUUAAGUUCACCACUUAAACCACUCUUUACUCUCAAGAAUCGAAACUGGUAAUCCUAACAUGGCAAAUAGUGUGUGCGUGUGUGCGUGUGAAGUAGGCAGAAGCAAAAGGGUCCUGGAAAGGUGGAACUGAGUGGCAAUGUUGUGAUGAAAAAGAGUGUAGUUGCUGGCACAUUUUGGUGAAACUGCCCUAUGUCGAGUGCUUUAUACCGCGUUCCUUCCCACACCAUCUCAAACAAGGAAAAAGAAAAAGAGGUACGAGACUUUCAGAUCAAAGUUUGGUGAUUCUUGAACAAAAGAGACACCUAAUUAUGACCCUGCCUCAACUUCUUUUUAUCUUGGAAGAAAAUUUUAAGUGACGAAUCAAAUGAGCAUCCAAAUCUUUAGAGUGCAUAUCAUCAUACUUAUUUAUUGUCUAUUAUUCGCUCUUAAAUUAUGAUAAAAGAGAAAAAAAUUAGAUGAUCGUUCGUUUCCAAAAUUCAAUUUAACUCGUACGGACAUUAGUGUGAUCAUGAGUUUUCUCGUUCAACUUUUAAACCUUUUCUUUUUUUCUUUCCCCCGCUAAGUACUAUUCUACAUUUUGUUGAUUCGAUAUCUUCUUUAUUCAAACAAAUAUUUGGCCAGCUAUUCAUACAAAAAAGAAGAAGAAGAAAAAUUACUCCGGCUUGAGCAUGCUGCCAAUGUAGGAGUGGAGCGUGCAACAUAUGAUGUUCUACACCCCGAAAGUCCCAACCCCCACCCUUUGAGAGGGCACAAGGUCCACAACCGCACCCACCAGGCAGAGCAAUUACCAACUCUGCAUCCUAGAAUGACUACUGCUGAAACCGAUCAUGUUAAGGCUAGGACCAGUCGUUUCUAAAAUCCAUUUAUAGCCAACCAUAAUAUGACCUGUAAGGUUCUUAGGUUCAAUGAAUCCUUCAUUUACGUUGAUGGGACAUAUGAAUCCAUCUUUGUUCCAAUGAAAUAAUGGUUGACAUGAUGCUGGAAUUCUCGAGUUCUCCGUUGAGUAUUCCAUUGAGUAUAUGUACCGUAAGGUCCGUUUGGUUCAUGGGAUGACACAGAAUAGUAUUUUUAAACUAUGGGUAUAUAUAUAUAUACACACAAAACAGACAGGCGCGAUCGUGAGUACUAGAGCAUGAUCUAAUUCUUACUACAUCAUAGUGUCUUUGGAGUACAUUAGCCCUUUUUACUUUAUCUCUCUAUGAAGAAUAAAUUAUCCUUACUUAAAGAAAAUAAUGUCAGCAGAUACAUGGUAGUUUCCAUGAAUCCAUUUUUAGACAGAAAUUAUUGAGAGCUAUAGGGAGUUCAAAGUUUCAUGAGCUGCGGUGUGGGCCAGAUUGUAUAAGGGCCCCAUGUAGCGAUUUUAUGUUGGACUGGUGGUUGGAUCUUUACAAACGGGUGUGAACAGAUCGUUCAGCCAUCAGUUCUUAAUGCUGUUCCUGACUGAGGGACCAAAGCCAGAGUUUGCCUAACAAGGACAAAUAUCAUAGGCCCAACAAUGGGCUAUUUUUAUUUUUUAUUUUUAUAUUUUUUUAGUGUGAGUGGGAGGACUCCAACCAAGUUUUCAGAAAAAUUCCUAGACUUUCACAGUGGGGAUGUUUCACUUUUUUUUUUUUUUUUGUGAUGUUCCCUUUUUUAUUUUUUUUUAAUGGGGGAUGUGGAGAAGAAGCAGGAAUGAAAUAAUGGGCAUGAAAAUAGAGAAAUUUGACUAGCAAGUGACAGUAAUCAAUUGUCUUAACUAUUGGACUAAGGUUUGAUGAUUAAAUGAAUUGUGCUCUUCCGCUGUGUUCCAUUUUGCAGGCUUCGUCAUCCAGAACUUCGAGCGGGUAUAACCUUUUAUGCUGGAUCCAAAUGAGCCACCAUGACAUGUAGCUUUCUAAAUCUGGACGAAAGGAGCAAAAUUAUCUGUCUGGGUUUGUAUUCUUUUUGUUCUUUAAUUUAAGCCAACUCAGGCCCAACUAUGUUUCAUUUAUCACUCCUUCAAAGCAUGGCAUCAAAAGCUUUUGCUUGACAUGCAAAUGAGCUUUGUAAUGCCAAGUUUUGAAUGAACCAAGCAAUCAACAAACAAGUUCGUAUUUGCCUUGUUUGAGUUCGAAAAAAGUUUAAUCGUUUAAUUAAUCAAUUGAUUUCGAGCACAAAAUUAGACUCCUGCAAUAAUUUAGCCGUCUCUCUUCCCUCCCCUUCUGAAAUCUGGCCGUAUGAUUCGAUCGUGACCAAAUCUAUUUACACGACAAAAUCCGAUUGAAAAGGAGGACGAAAGUGUUCCGUUAAUCCUUCCCUCUUCCCCCACCCCUCCUCGCGGCAUCACCUCCACUUUUCCUCUCUCUCCUCCCUUACAUUCCCCACCACCUUCCUUUCUCCACAUCGGUUCCUUUUCUCCUUUACCCCCGUCCUCCCUUCCUUGAAUCUAGCAGGAAUGAACGACCAGGUUGUGACCAAAUCUGGUCACACAACAAGAUCCCAUGGGAAAGGAGGGUGAGGGUGUGAGGAGAGGGGAAAACCAAAAUAGGGAACGUGGGGAGGCAAGAAAUAGAAGGUGAAGUGCUACAAGAGGAGAAAAGGUGGAGAAAAACAGAGGGAGGAUAAGGAAGGUGAGGUGGUGAGGAGGAAAAAAAAAAAAAGGGAGUAACAGAGGAAACAGUAAAAAAUGCAAAUUAUAAAAAUACUCCAAAUAUAUUUUAAAUUUUAAAGACACGUAAAAUACAAUUGCACGGUAAAUUUUUACCAUACAAUCCUAUAGUAUAAUUUUUAUAAAAUAUCCCAAAAAAUGUCUAAUCCAUGCCAACCCAUAGGUCUACAUAUGAUGGUAUCUAUAAUUGUAAAUGAAGUAAAACUUGAUAACUCUCACCCCUAAAGAGAAGCCACCUUUCCAUUUUCUCCCAUGGUUAUUGGGCGGCAGAGCCAAACUUUCAAAACCAUGACCCUAAUCUUGGUCUUAUCUCGAUAAAAAGAGAGAAAAAUACAAAAGAAAAUGCAUAACAAAUAAAAAAAUGUCAGAAAAGCACAUAAACCACAUCACAUUUUAGUUAUGAUAAAAUGAACAAGAGCAUACCCAUCAAGUGACAAUUGUAACAGGUACAAGGAAGCUGUCAUACAAACUUACGUUCAACUGAGAAGCUAGUCAAAACAUGGGCUACUAUAUGGGCCUAUACAUCAUUCAAGUAUUCUGAUUCAAAAUGAACAUUUUUAGCAAGAAGCUUCAAAUUGACAGCCAAAAGUCAGUGGUCCUUUCUCUCCAUUCCGUGCUUGUCAAGUACCGUGCUCCUCAAUGUCAGCAGAUUUGUUUCCACCCCAUGAUAUAAAACUAUCCUGAGAUGCAAAUUCCUGCAAUUUGUUUCCACCCCAUGAUAUAAAACUAUCCUGAGAUGCAAAUUCCUGCAAAGCACUUGAAACCUUGAACUAGAACUAAAGAAGGUGAAGGCAGUAGUAAACUAACCAAGAUAAAGUAGACCAUUAAUAUAAUAAUAUGAAGCAGAGAGAGGAGGCUUGAACUCACAAGCUGGCUCAACCGGAAGUCAGGAGGUGUAUCUAGCUCCAGUUUACUGAUCAAGACCAGAUCUUGGCACUCUUCUAAAUCUUUCUUCAAAUGUUCAGGUCCUAAGUGGGCAUAAUCAGCAAGACGAGGUUUGGGUUUUAAUUCUUGCUCAUUUUUAUCUCCAUCUCUGUUUGGAGAUUGGCUCCGUAGAAACUCAUCACAUAAAGAUAGUGCUUCUACAAGUUGCUGUGAGUCUAGCAAGUAUUGUGAUUCACUAUCCCACCACUCUCUCUUCUCACCAGCAUCAUUGUCGGUUUUAUCAUCCUUGAUCAGCAAGAUCCACAGCAGAGACGGGAUCUUCACAAUUGGGCUGGUCGCUUGGAGGUCUAACCUCAUCUUCCAUGCAAACCACACCAUGAUGCUACAGAAUAAUUAACAAUCACUGAAUGAUAGAUAAUACAGAUGUUAAUAGAAUUUCUAAUUCUCCACCCUGGCAAGAGUCCUCUACCAUAGUCAUAUUGGUGGUUGUGCUACCCUGCAAACUUCUUUUUUUUAAAGUUCAUAAAUGAGUAUAAGAUCAUUACAAUGAACAAAAAAUGAUGUAACAGCCACACAACACAAAGGUGCCUUUGAUUGGCGGUCAUAAGAAACAAAAUGAAUGGCAAAUACUAAACACCCCCAUCCUUCAUGGUAUCUGGAAGUGCCAAAUAGAAAUGAUUUUAAACAGGGAGGACCCAACUUUACCUGAGCCGCUGGAAGAACAGAUUCUUGGGCAUCACAAUCAGGGAAGCGGCUUUCAGUACGAGGUGGUUCAGGGGUCACAGACUUGGGAGUAACAGGAUCUACCUUGACAAUCGAGGCAUCAUCUUCUGGAACUUCUACUUCAGCCUUUUCAUUCUGCUUGACCUGUUGCUUGAUAAAAGACCUUGGAGAUAACAUAUUCUCCCUCCCUUUCAUCUUCCUCUGUACCGAGGUGAUACUGGUGCAUCACCCAAUUAGUCUUCUCUGGCUUGCCACCUCUUACUGGGCUAAGAUACAGCACCAUAAUUUUUUUACAUCCUUUUUGUAUACAAUCCAAAUGAACAGCCUUUGUCCGACCAGUCUUAUGCCAACGAACAUCUCCAGAACUGUCACCGAGUAUCUUACGACGUUUUCUAGUUCCAGUAUUAUAAGCUUUGAUUGCCCUGUGAAAAAAGUGUGCUACACUCCCAUCCUGUUUAACACCUAAAAACCACUACUUUAAAAGAUUGAAGUCCAAAGAAAACAAAUACAAACCAAAGCAUUAAAGUGGAAUUAUUAAGUCUUGUAUAUGUAGACAUAACCUACCAGGCAAAUUUUGAGGAUGAGUAUAGCAGAUUCCAUCAUCUUCAUUAACAGUUGGAAUAAAUUCUUCAAUAAAAGGAUGGGGCUUCAUAUUUUCAAUACCAACUUUUCCAAGUAAAUGCCAAAUAAUUUCUUUAUCAGAUGGAUCAAACUUUACCCCUCGCGGUAAUCCCGGCCACUCUUGGGUGACCUGAAAAAACAAAGACAGAAGAAAGAAACAAACGAUUUUCAGCUUUUAGUCUCCAACUGCUCCUAUGCACUUUUAAUAUGAGGAAAAUAUCUUUUGGAAAACUGGCAACUAAAUGUUCUGUUCAUCUCACUAAUAUGUUUUUGCUCUAGCAAAGCAAAUGGGGGUAACCUUCGACACAGCCACAUGGGACAAAUAUGCAUAAAAGCAUAACAAAAUUUUAACGAAGCUGAAAAUCAGAAAAUCAAUUCAUCCUGCCCCACAAUUAUUGAUUUAUUUAGUUCAUGGCAUUAAAUGCUCAUUCGUCAUGACUAUAGAGAGAAACUUAAAAAUAGCAAUGUCCAUAGGCUUUCUCUUACACAAGUAUUUUUGCAUUUCAACCACACACCAAAAAGAACAAUACUGAUUAUUAAAUAAUGAUCCAAUGAAGAAAGCACAGGCAAGUAGAAAGAGAUGGGUCACAGAUAUUAAAUAUGAUAAUCUUUCUUCUCAAUUAACCACUCCCAGAAACUAAUUUCCAACAAUAAAUUUGUGUUUCUGAUUAAGAAGCAACUACUGCUGAAGCUUGUUCCAGAUAAUAUGAUGCACAUCCAUUUUGAGAUGUGCAAAAAUUUAUGAGAGAAGAAAUAUACAUCACUAUUGUCAAUGACAUGCUGACAAUUUGGGCAAGUUUUUGUAGGAUUGCUUGUCCAGUUAACUUGUUGCAGAUCACUUGCGCCAGAUGCACUCCUAAUUUUGGUUGCAAUUCUGUUACUAUCAACCAGCCACGAUGGUCUGCAUAAUUUCACGAAAUAAAUCAAGUUCAUGCACUGAACAGCUCGAAGGCUUAAGAAGUGCCAAAGCAGAUGAGACCCAUAAGAGUAGAGGAUAUUGACACGGAAGUAAAUAUUAGACCACAUAUAAUUAGGAUUCUAUAGCAUACAGAAAAUAUAGAUUUGAAAAGUAAGCAAGCAUAAUUAGCAGCACAGGAAAAAUGUACAUAAGAUUUCACACCAAUUAAAGCAUAAUCUUGCCAAACAAUAAACACAUUUCCCAAAUAAUAUUUCACUUGCAUCAUAAACACAUUUCCCAACCCACCUUUUUAUAUUCCCAAUCACCUUUUUGUCUCACAUACAUCACAUCACAAAAAGUGCUACAGUAAUUAUUCCAAAUAAUACUCUAUCCAAAAAAACCCAAAAAAUCAUUUCACAUUCACUACAUCUGGAUUUGCAUUUAGAGGAAAGAACCACACUUAGAAGCACAACAAAAUCAGUGGGAAGAUACUUUGCUCCUCUACUAAAUGCAUAUCAAUUUUGAAACUUUUCUUAACUUCAUCCUUUAAUAGGCAGCACAGAGUAGACUUCUCCAAAGAAGUUGUUUUUACCAGCCAGAAAUAAAUACAUCCAUUGCUUAUUAUAAAUAAAAAGCUAAUGAGGUUUAUCAGAAGUUAUGUUAUGAAUAUAUAUAUCCUUUAAGGAGCUACCUGCAUCCAAAAGAAUUAUCUGCAGGCUUAAAAUUUAGGACUACAGGAGUCAACAAAAUAAUGUCAUUCUUUUAGAUGUUUUUCUUUUCAGAAAAUAAUUACACUCCAUUAAGUAUUAGAAAUUUUCUUGAAUAACAUUAAAUAUCUAAUUCAUGUGAUCGUGCUAAGUUUUACUCAAGACACGUCAGACCCCUUACCUGAAAUAAUGGCCCUUCUCUUGCAAAUACAAAUCGUGUUAUCUUACUUUGCUCAUUUCCAAACAUAAGUAUUAUGGAAUGUUGGCCCCUUUCUCAAGAUGAAAAAAAAAAAGAAACAAAAGAAAGAUGACAAUGGAGGAUAUUCUCCUAAUAACAUCCGUUCCAACAACUGAAAAUGGGUAUGGUUCAUAUCGAUGUUUGAAUGUGAUAAAAAUUGCAUAUUUAUACGAUUUUGACUUGAGCCAGAAAGCCUUUGCAGACAUCCUCAACUUUCUCAAUCACAAAACAAACACAAACCUGAAUUAGUUGACUUCUUGUGUAUUACUGAAUUUAAUAGAUCAAUAUACUCAAAACUGACUACAUUCACCCAUUAAAUGAAUAAAAAAUAAAUAAAGGAAUAAAAAGGGGCAAUCACAACUUCUCGACUGUAAAAUCCAGAAAGCAAGAAAAUCAAUCCCCUGAAAACCAGCAGGCAAAUAUUCCCACAUUGACCAUUCAACGCCAGAACCAGCAAUUCUUUUCUAGCUACAUGCAGCUCUAAACGUCUUAUAGGAAAAUCAAGCACCAAAACUCACCGCUAUCAUCGAAAACUCACAUGAUAUAAUCACAUCCACAUAUAUCUCCAACUGCAAAAAAUAGAUCUUUUACGGAGGUUGCAGCUUACACUCACAGUAAUCACAAGUUUAAUUUUAUAUUUUUGUUUUAUAGCCUAAUCAGAUUUUUUUUUUUUUUUUUUUUUAAUAAGUGGGAGGCCUUGGGUGCAAGAACUCCUACUUACAAUCCCCCAUCCAACCCAACCCUCCCAGCCAUAGCCUAAUCAGAUAAGUUAAAAAUAGUUAAUAAACAAAAAACUUAUUUCCAAGUAGGAGGCAGAUGGCGGAGUUGGGAGGAACCAUCGCUUUAUCAGAAAUACUCAGAGUACAAAACCACCACCACCAUCAUUUCCCAAAAAAAAAAAAGGCUUCACAUGAUCUUUCAGGCUAAUCCACAAAAUGGGUAAAGCUGAUAAACCAAAACAAAAACAAAAACAAAAUCCGUUCUUUCAUCAAAACCACAAGACCCAACUCAGAGUUGACCUAGAAGAUUCAAUAGAUACUCAUAAAGAUUCAAUCUUUGCACUAUCUACAAGUCAAUGUGUUCAACAAAAUCAAGUCUAUGGUGAUUUUUCAGUAAACAGCACAAGAGGAAUAAAAGGAAGGAGACCACAAGCAGAGACUUACCGAGCCAUGGGAGAAUGGAUGUGAUCAAAAGCAGCAAAAAGUGAAACAAAUGCCCCUUUUCUUCUAUUAUUUAAUGCUUUGAAUUCCUACUGUAACUAGUGCUUCUACAGUUCUCCACCUAGUAAUAUAUUAACUGUUAAAGCAUCUUGGGAAUUUCCCAAAUAAUAGUAGUGUAGUUUAGGAGGUUUCACAAAGUGUUCUCGGUUUUCCUAACCAUUAUAUACCGCUGUGUGCUUCGGACGCAUUUUUUGGUGAAUUUUGAAAUUUGAAAGCGUGUCUACUUACUAUUGCUUUGAGUACGAUGUUGAUAGUUUGACCAUUGACUAGACAACAUGUGAUUAAUCACUACCUACAGAAAAAUGGAAUUGAAAGUGGAAAAGGCAAUCAACCGACACUUUAGUAGGAGUUUGGCCACUGAUUGUUUCAUACCACAUUUGUUUGAUUUAUGUUCAUCUCAAUAAUGCUAAAUUCAUUGUUGCCUUUUUUUCUUAAUGCUAUUUUACAUGUAAACAUGUUUUCGACAACUGCUAAAUUGAUUGUUGCGGUAUUUUUUUUAUAGAUUAUUCAAAAUAAUCUCUUAUCUACACACGCUCUCGACCGUUCCUAAGAAUAUAAUGUUUUAUUUAUGAGGGGAAAAAGUCCAAAUUGUUCAAUACUUUCCCACAAAAUACUAGCAAUUUGAUAAAGUUUAAUGCUUUGUUCUAGAUUGUUAGGUAAUACCACAAGAAUCGAACGUGUAAAGAAAAGCUCAAAGGUAGAUCAAAUUACUUGAUCCUUUAAAUCAAGUUCGUUCAUUUUCUAUUUUCUAACUCAUUAAACAAAUCAUUAAGUAUAUCGUUAAGUUUCAAACCUCACUAGAGUUUGGUUUGAUUAACAUAAAUUUUGAAACAUAUAUAUAUAUAUCAAAUAUAUAUACUAUAUAUAAAGUUUGAGAAAGGAAUUUGGGACUAACAUUUAUCGUCAUUUUAUGAACCUUCUUUUUUAUUCUUAUAAAAACUACUUUUAUUUUAACUACCUAUAACCACUCAUGACUAUUUACUUUUAACUAUUUAAAUAUAUGUUUUAAACGUAACUAUUCCUACAUAUUAUAGCUACCAAUAUAAAAUUAUUUUAUAAAAAAAUAUUUAAAAGAUUAAAGUUUGUUUAGUAAUAACAAUUUUAUUUAAAACAUAUAACCGAUAAUAUUAUGUAGUUUUUGAUUGCACAUGCAUUAGUGUGUAUUGAGUAAUAGUUUAAUUUACUCAAACUCAGUUCGAUAAGAGUUCGAUUCAAUAAAUAAACAUAUCAAGUUUAAACAUAAUAUUCUUUCUUUGAGGAGAGAUUGAACAUAAUUUCAAGUUAAAUAAUAAUAAACAAAUAAGCUUGAACUCUUCACUUUAGAUCAGUAAUGUAAAUGAUUUUAAUAAAUCAAACACUCUUUUUAAAUCGUUUACCACUUAUCUAAGUGGAUACUACUAAAGCUAUUGGCAGUGGGCUGAGUGUGACGAUUUUUUUAACGCAAGCAAUUAUAAUAGCCCAUAGCGUUAGCAUACACAAAAUUGGUCAGUUUGAAUUCCAAACCGACACAAAAUAAGCCCGCAUAGUCAAUCGCCCAUAAGCCCACAACAAGCUCUAUUAGGCUGACCACUGAUCCACUGCCAAAUUGCCACCUAACACAACUUGGCUCCGCUCUGCUCCCUGCGCAAAAACUCGGGGGGGAAAAAAAAACCGCCACAACUCCGGCACCGUACGAUGAGCAGCAAAGCCCGUACGUCCCCAGGGAAGGAUGAAUUGAAGGAUCCCCUCACCAAACGUUUUCAAUUCAUAAAGAAUUUCACGUGAAAGGUUUAUCAUACAUCAAUCAGACAGCAUUGAAAAGCUACAAAAAACAUCUCUCUUCUCUUUUUCUUCACGUUGGCCGUUUUUCUUUGUCAGUUUCAUACAAAAGGACACCCAAUCAAUCAUAAUGGACAACAACAAAUUAUUUCACAUUCUCCUACGACUAUUUGCACAAGAAUUUAAUCACUUUUCUUAUAAUUAACAAUAAUGACCAAUGAUUGGAAAAUUCCCCAAGGAAAUAAGAACCGAGAGAGAAAGAAAAAAAAAAUCAUAUAUCGUGUGAUUUGGUGGUGAGUCAAGCCCGAGUCAAGAAACUGCGCAACCGCGUCUUGUAAACCCUAGUCGCCAUCGCUCCCUAUCGAAUUCGAGCAUGAACCCUUGUUGCAUUACAUUUCCGAUGAGCGAAAACCCCGACGGCUGAACCACCGGUUGCAAUGCCAGGCAUUUUACGUUCUCCGCCGUGUCGAUAAAGUAAUUUUGAGGUGGUGGCGAGAACAUCGAGCCACCAGCGAGUUUGAAACGCAGCCUGGGUAGACUCAGUCUCGACACGCCUGACACGUUGACGCAGAAAUCAAAAUUCGGAUUCCGCCGAUCUGACUUUGGCAGCUUAACGCGCCGCAUAAACUCCUGUAGCACUUUAUCAUAAGCCGGCUUCACCAAAAAUGUCAAGGUUGUCCCAGAAUCCAUGACUGUCCCCCCAUUGCCAAGGUCAUCAAUUGCCCAAACCGAAGGGCUUAUUCGUAAUUUAGCGCCACCAACAUAAGCAGCCUCGAUCCCAAUGUAAUAAAAUGUAGGGGACAAGCUGUUGUUUAUCAACGGCGUGUAGCUCAUCUUAGCACCUCCCACGACGCCGGCUUCAGGGCCGCCGCCGCCGCCAAUUAAGAGAUAGCUCGUCGGAGUAGGGCUGAGGGUGUAGUCCAUCAAACAAUAAGAGAACUUGUUACCGAACUUCCGGCCCAACUGCGAUGGAAACGAAAUCGGCCCAAGACCCAAGCCUAGAACUCCUUGAGCACCAUUGAAGCUGGGUCCCGUUACGCUCGGCCCAGAAGCUCGAAACCCACAGCCGAAAGCUAAGUCCCUGAAUUUCACAACCUUGCCUGAGCUCGUGUUGAACGUCGUGGUUUCGCGGGAGAAGAACCCGGAACUGAGGGACCCAUCAGAAUACGAAUAUUCAUAGCGGCACGUGCUGUGGCGACGGGUGUGGUUACAGGGCACGCGAUCAGGGUGGGGGACGAGUUGACACACCGAGUCAUAGCAAUGGGACGGUGAAAAUGUGGUUGAAUGGCGAGCUAAAAAAGCCGAGUUGGGCGGUCUAGAGGAGCAGUUCCGGCAGGCGGAGCAGGUGACCCAGAUAAGGUCGCUGCCGGUAUCUGCGACGAGGAGGAGGGGCUGAGGCGGUGUGCCAAGGGAGAGCGAAACGAAGUACUGGCCGGCGCCCAAGGAGGCGCCGGAGGUGAGAGGGAGAUGGGCAGUGGAGGUGGAGUUCUUGCGGUGGAGGUGGCGGUGGUGGUGGAGGGAGUUGAGGCGGUGAGUGUCGGAGAGUAGAACUUCGGAGGGGGUUGGAGGGAAAUGGUGGUUGGGGUGGAGAAGUGGGAGCUUGAGAUAGUCAAAUGUGGGUGGCGGUUGAGAAGUGGAAGAGGAGGAGGAGGAGGUGGUGGGAUCUAGGAGGAAGGUUAAGAUGAGGAAGCAAGAGAAGAGAAGAAGAGAGAGACGGGGGGAGAGUGGCAUCACUCUCAUUUUUCUGUGACUGGGAGAGAGACAGAAACAAAGACGGUAGGUGUCAUCGGAUUUAUAUGUACAAAUUGUUAGAUAUAGAUGAUUUAUUUAUUUUUUUUCUUGAAAAUUUUACUAUUAUGUUUUAGAUUUCUAUAUUCUUUUGUUUUAGAUUUGUUUAUUCUUUUUCCAAUAAAAGGAGAGAAGAGAACAUUUGGAACUUCUUUUUUUUUUUUUUUUUUUUGGGGUGCUAGAAAACUACUGGCUCCGUUUGGAUUAGCUGUUUUUGGGGUUAUUUUUCAAAAACACUACUGUAGCAUUUCGAAUCUGAAAAACAAGUCCGUUUGGAUUAGUUGUUUUUUGGGUUAUUUUUCAAAAACUAUAUGAAAAACUUUUAUUGUAAAUUUUUUUGGAUUAUUUUUAGAGGUAUUUUUGAGACAUAUUUUUGAAUAUUUUUAGAAUAUUAUAAUUUUUAUAUUUUUAUAUAAAUAUACAUUUAUGCAUUUAUAAUACAUUUAUAUUUACAAAUCUAUAAAUGUAUAUUAUUAUAAAUGUAUAAAUUAUAAUUGAAUAUUAUAUAAAAGUAUAAAUUAUAAAUUAUAAUUUUUAUAUAAAUAUACAUUUAUUUAUAAUACAUUUAUAGAUAUUUAUAAAUAAAUAUAUUUAUAUAUUCAUAUGAAAAUAUAUAAAUGUAUUAUAUUAUAUAUAAUACAUAAUAUAAAUAUAUUUAUAAAUGUAUAAGUGUAUAUUAUUAUAAAUGUAUAAAUUAUAAAUGAAUAUUAUAAAUGUAUAAAAUUAAUAUAUUAUAAAUAUAUAUUAAUAUUAUGUAGAAAUGUAUUUAUAUAAUUAAUAUAAAUGUAUAUAUGUAUUAAUAUUACGUAUAAAUGUAAAAUUAAUAUUAUGAUAUUAAUAUAAAUGUAUAAAUGUAUUAUAUUAUAUAUAAUACAUAAUAUAAAUGUAUAUUUAAAUGUAUAAGUGUAUAUUAUUAAAAAUGUAUAAAUUAUAAAUGAAUAUUAUAUAAAUGUAUAAAUUAAUAUAUUAUAAAUAUGUAUUAAUAUAAUGUUGAAAUGUAUUAAUAUAAUUAAUAUAAAUGUAUACAUGUAUUAAUAUUAUGUAUAAAUUUAAAAUUAAUAUUAUGUAUAUUAAUAUAAAUGUAUUAUAUUAUAUAUAAUACAUAAUAUAAAUGUAUAUUAUAAAUAUACAUAAAUAUUUAUAUAUUAUGUAUAAAUGUACAUUUAUAUAAAUGUAUAAUAUAUUAUAUAUUAUAUUAUAUAUAAUUUAUAUAACAUAUAAUAUUUAUGUAAAUAUAUUAUAAAUAUAUAAAAAUAUAUUUUAAAUAAAAUAAAAUAUUAUAAUAUGUAUGUAUAAAUAUAUAAUAUUAGAAAUUUAUAUAAUAUAUAUAAUAUACAUUAAUAUUAAUAUAAUUUAUAUAUAAUAUACAUAUUAAUAUAUAUUAUAAAACAAAAUUGUAUAAAUAUAUUUAUAAAUUUAUAUAUAAAUAAAUAUUUUUAUAUAAAUAAAUAUUAUAUAUAUUAUAUCAAUUGAAAUAAAUAUAUUUAUAUUAAUAUAAUAUACAUAAUAUACAUAAUUGAAAUAUACAUAUUAAAAUACGUAAUUGAAAUAUAUGUAUUAAAAUAUAUUAAAAUAUAAUUGAAAUAUACAUAUUAAAAUACAUAAUUAAAAUAUACAAAUUGAAAUAUACUUAUUAAAAUAUACAAAUUAAAUAUGCAUAAUUGAAAUAUAUUUGGUGUUGUUUUUGAUAUAUUGUUUGGAUAUGGUGUUUUUUAAGUUGUUUUUGAAAUACACAUUUACUGUAGCAUUUGGAAUGUGAAAAACAGUUUUUCAAAAACAGGCACAAAAACACUCAAUCCAAACGGAGCCACUGAUUUUAGUCACAAGCAGUAUCAAGAUUCAAGACUUAAAUAGACACCCGAAGAGUAUAAUUAAGUUGAUCAAAUUUCUAACAUCGCAGACGUGAAAUAUUAGCCUGAUACUUUUUAUAUUAGCUCUUUUUUUUUGUAUGAAAAUUUCUGUUUGGAUUGCUGAGUUUUUGAAAACUAGUUUAUCAAAUACUUUAUAAAAAGUGCUCUAAAAGAUACUUUAAAAAAUAGUUAAAAUUUUUUUAGUAUUUAAAAAAUAUUUCAAAAUAUAUUUUAAAAACUCUACUACUCUUAAAUAUAUCAAAAUAUUUCAAAAUAUAUUUUAAAAACUCUGCUGCAGUAAAAUUUUUCAAAAAUAUCUCCAAAAACAGCUAAUCCAAACGUAUGUUUUUCAGAAUUUUCUAGAAAAUAUAUAUUUUCCAACAAUUUGACAUCUAAAAAAUCUAACGAACCUAAUAUUGCAAUCCACACGGCCUCAUCUAUUGCACGAUUAGGUUACCAUCUCACUAGCGUGAUUAGUGGCUGUAUGACUUCAUAGUACUACAAGUUUUACUAUGAUGUAUGUAUACUAUAUAUUAGAUACGGUUAUAAAUGUAGGUAUAAUUUUAUGCGUACGGGGUAGAUGUGAAUGAGGAGUGAUGAGAAGGAAGAUUGAGGGGGAAAAAAGGAUAGAUUGAAUGGCAGAGGAGAGAGUGUAAAUAACAAAUUUGCACAAAAAAAAAGAGUUAAAAAAAAGGAGUAAUGGUGGAAAUACAAAUUCGAGCAAAAAUAGCGGGAGAUGAAGGGAAGAAGAAGGAAGAUCCCCUCGUAACCUAGUGUGUGUGUGUGUGUGUGCGUGCGUGUGAUGACUGAGGAAAAAAGUGAUGACUGAGGAAAAGAGGAAUCACUCACAAGUGCGUGUAAAUGUGUGUGUAUGAUGACUUGUAGCUUUGUCUUGAAAUUUGAAACUGUGUAACAAUAUUGGGAGUGUUUGGAUACCAAAAUUAUUUCAAGUAAUAUUUUACUUGCAUCACAAACACAUUUUCCAACCUAUCUUUUUAUAUUUCCAAUCAUCUUUUUAUCUCACAUACAUUGUAUCAUAAAAAGUGCUACAGUAAUUAUUUCAAAUAAUAUUUCAAAUAAUACAUUAUCCAAACAAACCAUUAUGGGAAGAAAAAAGGGCAUUAAAUUAUGGGCAGAUUGGAGAGCGGGGCACAUAUACGAUGAUUGAGUCAUAUGCCAGCGAGGAGUACAGAUGGGAUCCAAUGAUUGAUAUAUAUAUAUAUAUAUAUAUAUAUAUAUAUAUAUAUAUAUAUAUAUAUAUUGUGUGUUUGUGUAUCAAGAGCACCGCUCCAAAACAAAAUUUGUUAGUUUCUCUGUGUGUUUUUGUGUGUGGAGUAUUAUUUUCUGAUGAACAAGAAAAAGAUUUGAUUAGGUUAAACAUGUCAGAUUUGCCCGGUGAUGGUCAUCAAUAUUCUGGAGUUGUACUGCAAACAUUACGACUUUAAGAUAAGAUAUUUUUUUUCCCUUGCUUACCAAUUGAAUCGAAGCUUCAAAAGUCAAUUUCUGCUUCCCAAAUCCAGUGUAGUGUAAUUCCAAUCCACGCACCGAACAAGAAGAGGAAAAGAUUUAUGCUAUGUAUUUAUUACUGGGAUUUUUCUAAGGAGUACUCCCAAGUCAUUCGUUACCACACCUAACAUAUACCUAAUGUAUCGUGUAUGUAUGUAUAUAUAUUAAUAAUUAUUAUUUUUUUAUAUUUAUAUUUUUUCUAUUUAAUUGCACCUACCCUCUAUUAUAUUUAUUUAAUUUCUCUAAUUAAUUUUAUAUUUUAAAAAAAUAUGACAAUCGUAUUAAGUAUACCUUAACGAGUGAUCUAUGAGCACCCGUUAAAAGAAAGACGUCUGCUGCUAUCAUUUUCAUUUUUUCUUAGAUUGUAUGUACAGAUCGACUGUACAGAUUGUUUGGUUCAUGUGAUAUUGGGGCUUUUCUUCCAAAUCGGGAAGCUUGGUCAAUAAUUGUGCUUCACAUCGUGACAAUUAAUGGUGGUGUAAGAUACGGACAUGGAAUGGUUAAUGUAUUCAACUGGUAACUAUCAAGGCUAACGUUAUAAUGACUGUUGAAUGGUAAGUAGUUUUUAACAAUCCGAUGCAUGAUUAAUACUGUAUUAUGAUAUCGAAUCUUCCUCGUUAGUUUAUUUAGGAGCUGCGAUCAUGUUAACUACUUUCUUUGUCUCACUUUGAUAGUUAUGUUUCUUUUUUCACACAGUUCAAGAAAAAGUAGUUAACUUUAUUAGAAAAGUAAAUUUAGAUUGCUAUUUUCCUAAAAUAUCCUCACAUUAAAUAUGGUACAACUUUAUGGGAACUUAAAUUGAUGAUAAAAAAAGAAAAAUCAACUCUCAUUAAAUGAGGUAGGUUUAUAGUAACAACUACUUACAUUGAAAGAAGGUAUUUUAAAAAAAUUAAAAUACAGCUACAUUCUUCAAUUGGAAAGUGAACUACAAUUUGGGACAGAUGAAAAAGGAAUACAAGACUAUCAAAGUGAGACGGAGGGAGUAUAUCGUAAAUACCAUUAACGAAAUGUUCAAGUCCAAAUUAACAAUAAUGGCUUACACCCUAUUUUCUUUUUCCUUUUUUUUUCUUUUUAUAAAAAAAAAAGAAAAAAAAAACAAACUUAUUCUCCUCGUCCCUUGUUAGAAAAGGGAAAAAGGGGUCUACUAGUACUAGGGUGCAGCUGCAGCCCUCAGUUUGCAGUUGGCUGGGCUCCUGGAAUUCACUUUAAUCAUGUUUGUGACAGGAAAGGGUCCAAGAACAUUGGAUGCCUUUCAUUUUUGUGCGACGAAAAAGAUCAUAAAAUGCAAAAGUUUCAGUCAUAAUAAAAGUAGUCGUAAAAAAAAAAAGAAAAAGAAAGAAGAAGAAGCACUAUUACAAAAGAAAAUCUAAACCAAAAGAGAAGUAGCAAAAAAAGCAUCUACUUGGAAAAUAAAGAAAUUGGAAUGGACAACAGGAGGAAGUACAAGCAUUACACGGGCAGGUUUUUAACCAUAGCAUUAUGUUGCGUAGAACAAUAUGAAAUCUUGGAGUCAAAGGAUUCAAGAAAAAGCACAAAUUGUAAGAUUUCUUCACAUCCACAUGAAAACCCAUGUGUGCUUACGUGCCUUUUUUGAAAUACUGAACCAAGCAGAGGAGUCGUGCUUGAGAGUUGAAGCCAUUUCCUCAAAAAAAAGGAAGAAGAAGUUGAAACUUUGCAUGUAUGCCCUUAAUCUAUGCAUGUGAUUACUGAUUUUGCGCCAGAGUCAAAAUGCUUGGCGUCCUUUUGAAUAAUGACGGUCAGCUGCAACAACAGUUCUUCUCUCUUUUCUCCUCUUUUUUUUUCACUUCUGUUUUUCCUUUUGGUGUUUUAGCUUUGUAUUUCCUUGAGGGAAUAGCGGGAAUUGGAGACCAACUAACAUAACAUGGUUGGUUCCCACCUCAUGCCCCCAAAAUAGCAAUUAAUAAAUGUACCAAUUGCCUGCACGACCUCUGUUACCAGCUUUGCUGAGCAGCAUUGUAAAGUACCCGGGGGGAAAAAAAAUUUAAAAAGAAGUAGUAGCAUUUAAAAGAUUAGAGAGGGUCAAAUUUCUAAGAUGAUACUCCAUAGAUUGUAUGGUGGUAUUUAGCUACAUGUUUGCUUCGAUAAAAUCGUCUCAUUUUAAGAUAGAAAUAUAUCAUGACGGAGAGUGAACCAUCAUCGAUCAUCGAUCGGAUAAAAUGGAUGCACUAUGCAUGCAUAUGGAUGUAAGAAAAUCACAUAGUGGCAAAGUAACGGGAGAUAAAGUUUGAAUCCUUAAUCUUUCACCCUAUCAAGAUUUUAAGUCAGGGGAAAUGGCUGACUGAAAAGACUUAUUAACUGAACAAUACUAAUACUCCCUGAAAUAAAUACCGUGUACUGACCUAAGAUCAAGUUUUGAGACCCCAAUAUUUUCCAUGAUUUAAGGGCAGGGUGCAGGGAUCGGGUCACAAUCAAAUAUGGAGCAAGGGGGAGCACAUGCGAGGAAGAGAAGAGACAAGGCAGAGUUUUGUCUCGAAGAAAAUUAGGACAUCAUAAUUGAUUGAGAUUUUUGUCCUUGCUUAAGACAAAACUUCACAUGUCACCAAAAUAAUUUCCUCUAAUUUCUCAGAAUUCUUCAAUAAUUCUGCUUCUUAGGCGGCCUAAUAUUAUUGUUACAACUGACAAAUUAUCAGAUUUUGAUAAUGCAAAGAAUAUUAAUAUCUUUCACUUGAAAGAAGAGGCAAAACAAAUAAUUGAACAAAUUAAUAAAUGUAGGCCUACUAAGAAGAAUAUGUCAACGGGGGAUAAGCAAUACCCGAAGCUGGAAACUUGAAAAAGUAAAAAGGCCCAGAAGCAGGUCUAGCCGUUGCGCAAUUUGUCAUCUUUAUACAGAAUAUGAUUCCAUGAACAAGAAAAAGGGCAUACUAAGGUUGCACUGCUGUCUCUCAAAGAAUUUGGUGAACAAGCAGCAGCGUGACUGUCAAGUCACAGGUGGCCAGAAGUGGCAUCUAAGAAACAGAAAAGGAUGAACGGCUUGAGAUUCAAGUGACUUGGGUCUUUUUAACUAUAGGUUAAGACUUAAGAUAGAUACGGUUUAUGUCAAAAAGAUCAUAGAUAGAUAGAUAGAUAAUCUUAUGUGAAAAAAAUUUGGGUCUUUUUAUGUAGGGUAAGAUAGAUACUCUUUAGUGGUCAACAAUCAAAAUUGAGAACUUACAAGUAGAAAAUCUCAAGUUCAAAUAUUCCAACUUAGAAUUGUAAAUAUUUCUGCUUUUUUUUUUCUUUCUUUCUGAAAAAGACUAGGAAUUGUAGUUUGGUACUAUUUGUGGGAAAAAAGUAACGUAGAUUAUUGUUAUGUAAUCGUAGCUCUUUAAUUUCCAAGAAAACGAAAAUCACAGUACUGAGUUCUUGAUUUCCACAACAUGGCUGUUCAGUUAUGCAUGACAGAAAGUAUCCAGUUCAUGUCUCUUAAGCUCUGAUCGUUAAAACAAAAUUGACGUGACACACGGGUACCUCUUUUAAAUUGGAUACAACACAGUCAAAGCCCACAAUGGUAGAAAAAGAAAAAACAUGAAAACUAAUUCCAGUAAUAAGUAACCCGGGACUGCCCGCCCUUUCAAAGUAGUUAAUUGAUAACCACAUCACACAGGAAGUAUCAAAUAAUUGUCAUGCUUAAUCUCCGAACUACAACUUAUAGUCCAAUGAUCUCUAAAAUGACGGUAAUGCUAACGGUUAAUUACUUUUCUGCUAUACAAGCUUACAACUAAGGCUGCAAACGAAUCGCUCGCGAGCGGCUCGAGUCAAACUCGAGCUCGAGUUCGAACUCAGAAUAUUAAGCUCGUUAAUUCGCGAGCCGACUCACAAGUUUGGAUAUAUAUAUAUAUAUAUAUAUAUUUUUUUUUAAAUUUAAUAAUAAAAUUAUGUAUAUUAUAUAUAUAUUUUUUAUUUUUUAUUUUCAUAGUACAAAUACGUAUAUAUCCUUAAUAUUUUAUUAUUUAUUAAGAAAAAAAAUAUUAUUUUAUUUAUUUUUUUAAAAUAAAAUAAUUAUUUUUAUUUUUUUCGAGCUCGAGCUCGGCUCAACUUGAUUCGAGUCGAGCUCGAGCUCGAAAUUUGCCGGCUCAUCGAGUUAAAGCUCGAACUCGAUAAAAUUUAAUCGAAACUCGACUCGAUUAGCUUAAAGCUCGACUCGGCUCAACUCGUUUCCAGCCCUACUUACAACAACCAUUUCAUUCAGAAAAACACACACAUGGCCUCCAAGCGUAUCUCCUCCUCGACCUUAGUGCUCGUACAUCCACCUUAUACAAUACAACACAAUUGUUUUAGUGCUCGAGACCUGAAGAGAAUACAAUGAUGUGGCUUGUGUCUGAACUCUGGAGAGAAUGGCCUUGGCAUCUUCACUUUCUUUGGAGGCAAGUAAAAGGAAGCCAACUGUCAGCAUGCGCAUUCAUCGAUGAUAUUCAAACAAGACGGCAAACAAGGAAAAUUGAACUCAAGCGCAUAAGCUUCAGAUUCGCCCUUUAUCUUUAUUUACAGAAAGGUAGCACGUAUCCACGGGAGAUCGAGAUUUAGAGAUAUCAAGUGACCACAUCUUAUACUGAAUUACUUAGACCACGAUGACGGCUUAAAUCCUCCAACCAACAAGUUUGAUGCCGCAGAUGCAUUUAUUUUUCUCCUCUUGGAUUCAAGUUCCACGCGUCUUUUGGAUGCAGAUGACCCAGAAUAUCCAGAAAAUAUUGAAGCAGCAUUGAUUAGUGCUCGUUUAUCUUUCCUGUUCUUAUCAAACUUGUGAGCAAAUUUAACACUUCGAGCGGCAGCAGCAUCAUCUUCAGAGGCAGGAAGCAAUCGAAUGCCAAGCCCCAUCUUCCUCGAAGCUGCCUCUUCUUCAGCUACUCUUUUCUUUUGGUUCUGCAGACGUUUGAAAAUCAGAUAAUCAUAGAAGUAAUGGACACAAAUAACCAAAAAAUGUAGAGAAAAUCCAAAUGAAAUCAUACCCUAAGUUUGGCUCGCAGGGAUUUGUUUAAAGCAUAAUCAUCAGAGUGCCUGGAGUCAGAUACUCGUUGAAGGCGCACUAGCACCGGCUCAGCUUCCUUCUUCUUCUUUAUAUCCUCUUCCUGGUGCUCAAGACGGUAAAAAGGGUCUGCCAACUUACUUCGUUCUGAAAAAAACAAAAGUCCAAAUUAUGCAACAGAAAAUGGUUAAAAUAUUGUAGCUUUUCUUCCAGUACUGCUUCCUACAGAAAAAUAAAAAUUAUGCAACAUAAAAUACUUCAAAAUGUUAACUUUUCAGCCUGUUCUGCAUCAGAAUAUGUCCCCCGAGGGGGAGGGGGGAAGAGUGUGUGCGCGCGCGCGCGCAUGUGUGCUUUCCUAACAAGAAGCAGAUGACAAUCUAGACGUGCAAGUCACAUAGAAGCUACUCCAACCAAUGGCAGACUUCACCAUAGAGAAUAAACACAAUAAAGAGAGCAAGCAAGCUUACGGCUAACAUACAUUUCAGAAGCAUAUCCCAACAUUCUCAUAGCACAUGAAUAAAUAAAAAUUUUCUAUCCCAUGGAUGUCCGAGUGCCAGUAAUGACCAAUAGUAAACCUCACCUUCAUCAACUGGGAGGAGCAUGGUUUCAGCAUCUUCUACAUCAAACUCCUCAAUUUUCUUUCUGGCUCCACUUAUAAUAACAUAUUCACAAUUCUUUGGAUCUGUUUGAAUCACUAUCUCAUGUUUGCAGCAUGCAGAUUUCAUUGUAAAGCUCCAUAUCUGAUACAAUUACAGAUAUAUUACUGUUAGAACCCAAACAAUAAAGAUUUUCUCCCCACCCAAUUGAUUAAACAGAUUGUGAACCAACAUGCCUACCUUUGUCGAAUAAUAGCUGCCAACUUGCUUUUUCUCUGCAUUGAAGCGCACACCCUUUGCAAUCAUGGACUCACAACCACCACACCAAAUGUUGAAUGGCAUCUCAAACCUACACAAAGGAAAACGUGUCCAAAGUCACCAACUAGAAGUUCCCAACUAAAAGAAGAAGAUAACCAAGGGAUAACAUUUUGAAAACUUUAAUUUACUUUUCAUAUUUCUUACAUGGUCCUUUACAUUCAUCUUAGAUUUAAAAAAAAAAAAAUCAAUCACACAAAUUGGCAGAAGUUUAAAGAUGAUAUGAAUCAUUCUUUCUCAGUGAUAAUAUCAAUUCAAAUCCUUCAACUUGAUCGAAAGGUUUCAUAAGACUGAAAAGAUCACACAUGAUAAUCUAUUGACAAAUGAAUCAUAAUGCCACACAGUUUGUGUUUAGGGUCUUCUCCCACUGACUCCUCUUACUUUCCAUACUUUGUAGAGUAUAAAGACUUGCAUGACUUAAAAAUCACUAAAAAGGUUCUACUGCUAUAUGGACAUUCACCAAUAACACAAAAUGCUCCAGAUUUAUUACCUUAUAACCAAAAUGCCUUGGUCCAAUUUUCUGGCUCGCUCCCGCAAAGCAUGUUGACCAUGGAACUUGUUCAACCCACCCUGAAUGAAAAGCAAUGAUGGAACACAUCACACAAAAAGUGUUAAGCACAAAGAUGGAAGUAUCAAAGUGUGCAAGAAAAUAUGUUCAUGUCACAGAAAAAAGUGUUAAGCACAAAGAUGGAAGCAUCAAAGUGUGCAAGAAAAUAUGUGCACAGUACCUUUUUGGGUGACCAUUCUGGAGGGUAGUAAAAAUUAUCAGCUCUUGCAGCUGCAAGGGAAGACUGCAGAAACAAAAGAACUGAUUCAGCAACUCAAAAAAAAUCAGCACUACAUCUCAAAGAGAAUUAAAGUUUCAUAAAACAUCUUGUAACGGAAGAAGCGACAAUGUUAAGCUGACCAUCUUCAUCCCUACAUGUUAAGACUAUGGCAGAAAGAUGUGUGCAUUCACAUACUAGUUUCUUCCUUAAGCAUAUCAGGUCCUAGUUUAUUUAGUUUCUAACUAAGCACAUAAAACAUGGUAUCAGACAUCUAAAUUCAUUUGGUAAAGGGAAAAAAAGUUUAGGCUAGAAUAAUCUUCAUCAGAAAAACACUCCUCCUUCUUCCACAAGGAAUUCACACUUAGAAAAGCAACCAACUAACAAUCAAACCGAGCUUAAUAAUACUUCUUGCUGAGCUUUUUAACUUAAAUUUCUGAUACACGUAUUGUUUCUCACUAAGGAGUAUAUAUUUUCACCGUCAACAUUAAGCAUUUUUUGAUGAAAUAUGAUUUCCUAAUUUUAAAAGCAGAAAAAUGUUUUUUUCCCCUUUUGGACGAAGUUUCAUCAUGGCUUUACUAAAAUAAACAGAAAAAUGUCCUACCAGGCAAUUCAUCAUCAAAUUUCACACAAAAAACUGCAUAACAAAGAGUACAAGGAAAAAAAAUGAAACAACAUCAACGAGAUUUUAGGGAAAUGUGUAUAACUCUUCACGAAAUUUAUGCAAUCAACAACAAGACUCGUAUAGAAAAUGAAAACAACAUAGCGUGGCAAACAAAAAAUCAUACACAAUUAGAUAAAUUUUCGGAUUACAUAAAAAAUUUUAUACGAAAUUAACAGUAUAAUAUCCAUAAUUAUAUUCUAUUGAUAAGAAAAAUCGUAUUCGACAUGCUUCGUUAAAACCCUAGCCAUGAAAGAUAGGUCAAAUUAAAUGACAAUCCUAAAUCAUUCAAGAAAAUUAUCGAGGAGGUAAAAUAACAGAUUCUGAUUUACAUACCAUUAUUGCUAAAUUUCUUCAGCAAUCGAUCGAUGACGAAAUCUUCUCCUCUUGUAUUUCUAGAAAGCUGGGAUUAGUUUUUGAUUCGCAAUUUUUGGUCGGAAUGACAGAUGGGACCACCGGCUCUCUUUUAUAUACUUGUGAGAGAUACGAUAAAGGAUUGGCGGCAAAGGCCCAGUUGCUGCAACUGUAUGUCAUGGGCUUUUCGGGGCCGAAAGGCCCAAUCAAAAAACAUUAUUGCCAAAGGCUGGACCGGUCAGCCAAUGUCUUUCUUUAAAUUUUAUUUUCACCUGAUAGAUUUUGUCAACAAAAAAAAAAAAAAAAUUUCUUUACUAAUUUAGAAAAGGUUUAAUCUUUCCUAGUCUUUUAUCAAGAAAAAUAUAAAUUUCAAAAAUUUGAUAAUGAAAAGAUUAUGUAACGUCCUCAGAACAUGUAGAGUAAUCGAGCAUUAGUAAAAUGUUUCCUAUGCUUUAUAUUACAAUUUUAUGAAUGAAUUUGAUUGUUCCUAUGCUUUAUAUUACAGAUUGAUCAAAUACGUGUGUCACUUCUUCUCUUCUUAUUUUAGAGAUCAUUUUUUACGUAACAAUGUGCUAGCUAUUUUGAAAAAAAUUAAAAAAGAUUUACUAUCUUUGCCAUUGUUGAAUAUUAAUUUUGCUAACUCGGUAUAUUUUUACUUGUAAAAACAAUUAGUAGAUGUGUAAUGUGCUUUGCAUCUUAAUGCUCUCAUGUGACGGUGUUACUUAAUUUGUCAGUACAUAAAAGGUUAAUUAUUUGGAGAACAAAUGUACAAAAAUUGCAUACAUUUGUUGACUUAAUUACUUUUUUUUUUCAUUCAAUUUGCCCAAGUCAUCAUACCCAAACUAAGGGGGUUUUUAACACAAAAAAAAAAAAAAAAAACAGAUUGAUGAAGGUCAAAUUUUGACCUUAUAGAGAUGUUGUAGAAGUUUUUCAAUCUACUUGCAAAACGUCCACAAGAAUCUGUGAAUUGCACCUUUAUAUGAUGCUGCUCUAUUAAUUGAAAUAAUAAAAGGGUACGUACGUGGUUAAGGCAGAAAGGUUAAGAUGCAAAAAAUCUCAGGUUCAAAUUGCAUUGUAACAGCUAAUUAGUUGUAUCCAUAUACUUGUAUGUGAAAUGCUAGCUCCAUAUAUAUCCCUUGGUAAAGUGAUGCUAUCAAGCUAACCUUCGCCUUUCAGCAAACAAGUAAAAAAGAGAAAAGUUAACCUUUGGCCUCUCCUUCCCACCUAGCUGCAAUUUCUUCUAUUCACAUCAUUCAGAUAUCACGGAUUUGGUAAUCUGAACCAUAUUCAGUAGGUGCCAUAUAUAUAUAGGCCGGAUCCAUCUUUUUCCUAAACAUCCUUAGCAACGAGAUUUCCUCUAAAUCUUUAGUCCAUUAUCAGAUAAUGCACCUCACCUUUUAGCACUGAACACGAUCGUAUCUUUACUUAGACAUCGAAAUAAAUCCUGAAAGUGUAGAUAAUCUUCCAUUUCUCUCUUUUACAGACAACAUUGCGAAUGAUCGAUCGUCAUCACUUUCUCAAACAGUGAAAGAUUGCUUGGUUGAAAGAAAACAUGGAUGGCAUAUUCCCCACUCCCCAUUUUCCAUUUUCCCACGUACCCUCUUGUGAGUUCCAUAAAUUAAAGCGCUUUUUUUUUUUGUUGGGGUAAGUCAGUGCUAGCUGUGCUAUAUGCACUCAAACAGUAUCGAUCCACACACACGUACAUGCAGAAGUUGACAUUUUCAUUAAACUAAUGAAGAAUUCCGCUCCCAAAAGCAGGAAAAGAAAAGGAAAAAUCAUAGCCCCAGAUGAAAAUUCAAAUAUUAUCUAAUUCAGUGUUUGACAAUCCACAUAAUGACUCCUUAUAUUCCUUGAAAUCUAAGGAACAUUUAUUGGGAAUAGGGGUUUGCCGCCCCCUUGUCUCUCUUUCUCUUUCUCUUUCUCCCACAAACACAUACGCAUUUACAUUAAAUAUUAGAUUAGCAAAUGCUCACAAGGCUCACAUGUAAUGUAAGCAAGCAAGCCCCCUCCAUUUUCAACCCUCCCCUCCCCUCGUACGUAGCUCAAGAAAUCGUCUUAUAUUUGUCCAUUAGAUUCGAGCUGUCAACCCUUGAAAUUUUCUCAAUCUACUAAAAACCCUUCUCGAUCCUUAUAGUCCUCACAUCUUUUCUCUGCACUUUCAUUACUCCAUGCUUCCUCUUCUCACCUUUCUCCUUCUCCUCUUCCAACAUGAACAUUUCUCACGUCCUAAUCUACCUCAUUCUGUGCCUCUCCAUGUUUUUCUUAUGGCUUCAUGAGUACCGCGGCCUCAUGAACACCCACAACUAUGAUGCCAUCAGCCAUCCAUCGUCUCUAUCUCAUCAUCAGCCCUCGAUCCAUAGAAAAGCACUAGCAAGCUCCGAGUUUGACUUCACCCCAUUUCUUAAAAGCCACCAUAACAAGCGGCCGAGACGCUCACCGGAUGACCGGGCGCCGCCCAGCGAUGGAGACGAAAUCGAUCCUCGGUAUGGAGCUGAAAAGCGCCUUGUCCCAACCGGUCCAAACCCUUUGCACCAUUGAGGAACGGAGGGCAAAUGUUUUUAUGUGAAUGAAAAGAAAAGGCAGCAGCGAUCAUACAAGAAAAAUGGUUAGUUCCUAUAGGUUUGAUAUAUGAUGAUUUAAUUAGUCAGCUUUAAUAUGUAAAUGUAUCCAAGCAAUUAAAUAUAAUUUGUUUUAUAUGGUUGAUUUUUAUAUGUUAGGCCAUCAAUAUCAAUAACAUGCUUGAUAAUGGGAUAUGAUGUUUCAUAAUGUCCCUUUCCUUUUUUUUUCUUUUUUCUUUUUUUCGUUUUUUCAAAGUUUUCCUUUCCAUUUUGUUCGGUCACAGACACAGUAUUGUUGUUUUGCAAUUAACGAAUUGAUGAGUAGCUGUGACGGCACGGCACAAUGAAUGAAUUGAUACUUAGCUAACUCCAUAAUUAGAAUUAUUAAUGAAGUUGGCUUGCUUUCUUUGAAGAACAGUACUACUAUGAAGGAAUGGGUAAGAUGCACGUGAUGGACUACUUGUUUUUUGUAUUUGUAUGUUAUAUAUUGAAACAAUCUGCCAUGUCUCUCGCUGGGCUAUAUACAUAAACCAGAUUUUUUUUUUUUUUUUUUUGGUUGCCCUUUUCAAGAAGUUCACCACAAAGUGAUCAAUAUUCAACGAGGACUAUAAUUUGUCCUUCCAAGUCUUCACAUUAAUUAAAUUCGAUACACAUUAGAGGAUUGCUCAAUAUAUUAUCGUGCCGUUGUUCAAUCUUCAAUGCACAUUAUAAGGCAGUUCUGAGUUCAACAAUUAGACACUAUUAAUUUAGACUCAUUUCAGUUGGUUUUUCCUUUUAUUUUAUUUUUUUAUCGUUUUAGGUACUAAAAUUAAUAAAGAGCAAUAUAUAUAUAUAUAUAUGAAAAAAGAAUGAGGUAAUCCAGGUAUUUGAAUGAGAAAAAAAAAAAGAGAGAAAAGCGAACAUGAAAAAGGGAGCUGGCUGGGAAUGCAUAAACCACCAAUUGCAAUGUAUUGCACUUUGUUAUGGUGGAUGUAUAAAGUGGUAUUGAAGAAAUUGAGCAGCAUUCAUUUGGUUAUUGUUGACGGUGAGGUAGGUCCCCCAAAUAAAAUAAUCAGUAGUGGCAGGUAAGUUACGAGCGGUCAACGCUACCUCAACAAGUUUGAUUAGUUUUGCCAUUUUCCAUUCGAUAGUUUCUUUCCCUUUUUUCUGAGAGCGUUUGGAGGAUUUGAGUGUCAUUGUUGUGGUGGUUAUUUUGCAGCCACAAAUUCUUUAUCGAUGUCACGAAAUAAAUGAGGUUAAAUUUAUUUUUAAAUAAAAAAAUGGUUGCAUAGUUGUGUUGUUUAAUUACUUCUCUGAUUUAUCUUACAUUGAAAAGACCAAUCCUGAAAAUACUCCUUUCUGGGAGUAAUAGUUUUUGCUUUUCUUUCAAGACUUUCUCUGUAAUAAUAACAUCCUAAAAGCUAGAACAAUACCCAUUGGCCACAAUGAUCUGGGUUUUACUAAAGAAAAGAAAUCGCCGCGAUAUUGCCCCUUCUUUUAUUACCAUUUUUCCCAACAAUUAAACCUAGUAAAUAAUGCGUUAUCUUCAUGUUGGAUAUGAAAUAGAUUAUGAAUUACUGGUCUAAUAAGUGAAAAUGAAGUCAAAUUUCUAAUUAUUUUCUUUAAAAAGAAGAAAAAUGUAAAAAAAAUAAAAUAAAAUCAAAGGGUCGCUUAUGAAUUUUCAGACUACCGCGUGAUUGAUCUGCCUUGCUUUUCAACUGUAACGCAAACUUCUCUCUCAAACGUACAAAAUUUUAGGCCACACAAGCCUAUAAAUAAUUUGUAAUCAAAAUUGACAGCCUAACCAACAAUUGAUUCAAAAUCAACUGAGGUAAGCACACUUUUAGCCGAGGAGAUUUUUUUCACGUUUAGUUCAGUGAUUAAGGUUGAGAUUUCAAUAUGUAGCAAUUCUGAAUUCUAAAUUUUUCCAUCGCUUCUUAAAUUAAACAAAAAAACAGGGUAAGCGCGCCUUUUGUUUUUAUUUUUAAUUUUCUAAUCCAACUCGUAAAUUUUUGCCCACUAAGAAUGCCUGCUGUAUGUUAUUAUUAAGUAUUAUGAUCCUUAUCCUUGUAGUUAUUAGCUUUUUGUUGUUAUAAUUGCGGUUAAGGUUUCCCUUUAGCAUCUAGCAUGCAAAAUUACGUGCCUUGUGCUUACGAAGUCACGAUCUGUAAAAGCGAUGUUUGCAUCACACGCUUUCUUUUCUUGAGGUCAAUGGGAUAUAAACUAAACCAUGGCCGACAGCCGACUCCAACGUGACGGUCCUGACGGCCGCAAACUCCAAUUCCACGCUUUCAAGCCGGACGCUUGUUGCUGGGCCUUCAAUGGACAGCAGAAGCGCCUCGCUGCGGCACGUUUUCAUCCACUAGUUUUGGUCCCGUCGUCCUUCCCAGGUGAGUUUUAGCAUAAAUUGAUUGAUUAAAUGUUCAAAGCAAAAUAUGUUAAAUUAUGACCAAGAGAAGACGGAAAUCAUUAUUCUAAGGGGACAGGGAUACAAAAGCAGGUGCAGGUGGCUGUUUACUCUUACGAGACCUAAUGACUUUUUGCGCCUUUGAAAUACCCAGAUUUUGACGGUUUCAUCUUAAAUUUAGUAUCUAAAAGUUUUAAUUAGUGCUUGCCACUUUGGCCCCUUAUUAGAUGGUAGCUAAGUGCUAAUUCUUGAAUGAAAUGAGUGCUUGAGCUUCAUACUGAUUCUAGAUUAUGAUUGACAAUGACCAAACCGAAUUGAUGGUGUUUAAUCAUGCAACUUUAGACAUUCAUGAAUUCCUAUAUUAAUUGCUCUAACUAGGCUAAAAGUAGAGGUACUGUAUCAUCAUCAUGAUGAAUGAGAAAAGCUAAAGUUACAAAUUUUUAUUUCACCCUCCAAUCUCCCAGUUGCUUGUCCCAGGAUUCAAAUCCUGAAACAGGCAACACGCUAGCAAGUUGUUAGUCACAAGAUGUUAAUGAAUUGCUUUGUGUUGAAUCAGAAUUAGAGAUAAUAAUUAGCUAUCUAAUCCAAAUCAUGAGAGGUGCAGACCGAUUUAAGUUUGCUAAUCAAUUACUACAAUUUCACCCAUAUUUGUAAAGCUACAUAAUCCUCUCAACAAAGAAUUAGGGAUAAUUUCAGAAACCUCUCUUGAGCUUGCUGACAAUUUCAUUGAGCUUCCCCUCAGGUUUGAAAAAUUAUACCUACCUCCUUUGAUUUGAUAGUUUUAGUAAGAAAAUCUUAAAAUAAUAUUGACUUUGUCAAAUUUUUAAAUGAAUACCCCAAAAUGUCCUUGUGUAAUGAGUUUUAAUUUAUUUUUCUAUACCAUUAUAAGAUUAUCUAAUAUAAUUAUAAGGAAAAGGUGCCAAAAUUUUUCAUGUCCAUAUCUACUAUUUGAUAAACAACUUUAAUAAUAAAAAUUUUAUUACUAUGAUAGGAUACUUUUGAUGGUAUUUUAUUAUGGAUUUAGAUUUAUGAGAUAUAAAAGAAAAUGUUGAAAUAAUUCAUUUGGAGUUUAUAAAUUUUUCAAGUAGUGGGAUUAUCAUGAUUUAGUAGCGGUUUUGGGUCAAGUUUUUUUAUUUAUUGUUAAAUUUAAUACCAAAAAUAGAAAUAUAAAAAUCAACAAAACAUUGGAUUACAUAUAAGUUAACUCAUAAAAAAAAUCACUCAUUCGACAUUUAGUUACAAUAGAAACUAGAUGUAAUAGUUCUAGUUCUAUAAUUUUAUUGGCAAAAAAUUUUAAAAAAAAAGGAAUAAGAAGGAAAAAGAAUGAAAAGUAAUUUUAAAAGUCAUUCUAAGUAUAAGCAUAUCAAACAAGGAAAUUUCAUUAAAAUAUUUAAGGGUAGUAUUGUCAUUUUAAAUAAAAAGGGAGGUAUGUGUAAUUUUUAAAAUCUUGAGAGAGCUAAAUGAAAUUGUUAAAAAUCUCAAGGGGGGUUUCUGAAAUUUUCCCAAAGAAUUAUUUAUGAUGUUUAUUUGAAGUAACAAGAAACUCUCAAUUAGUUCGUUUAAACAAGGUCAUGUUUCUCAAUUAAUACUAAAUAACUCAAGUUUUCCAUCAUAAAUAGAUUCUGUUUCAUGACAUAUUAAUUAAAUUUGACCUUUAUUUUCUGCUGAAUUCAAAGAACCUACGUGCAUUUAGAUUUGAGAAUUAUUUUACAGUAAAUGCAAGGACAAAUCAUCUUUUAUUUCAAGGUGACAUGGACGCACGUAGUAACCACCAUGGAAAGCAGAGUUGGGGUCUGCAAUGUCAACACACAAGACAUUAGACCAAUUCUAGGUGUCAAAACAUAAUAAUUACCCCAUUUGAAUUGUUAUUUUUAUGAAUUUUUGUGAAAAAAAUGUACGGUGACAAUUUGUUGAAUAUAAGAUAAACAAGUAAUUAAGAAAUAUAUUCACGAAAAUCGUAACAAUUUCUCUGCAUAAGAUCACAAUUCAAACGAAAUAAAUGUUUCACCGAACAUCCCAGAACAACUGAUGAUACAGUAAAGCACCAAGUUUCAUAAAUUUGAUGAACAAUAUAUCCGAUCGAGAGCAUUUUACUCUUUUAUCAGUGUUAAUACAAGUCUGGAAUUCCUACUUAGAAAGUCAAUGCACAACUAAAAAAACAAAUUCUCCGUUUGAAUUCAAGAGUUUUUGAAAAAAAUAGUUUUGUCUUCUUUAACAGUUUAAUACCCAAACCAACCAAAAUCAUCCACUUCACAAAUUAAAAAAGCAAGAAAGGCAUAAAAGUAUAUGACAAUUGAUUAGGCUCCUCACCCCUUGACAUGCAUGCAAUUGCCAUCACACGGUUGGAAUUGACUCAACAACCACCCUAGCUCGGUCCUCGCUCAUAGCCUAUUUUACUGAAUGUGUUACAUCUGAACACCAUUUGGUUCUCACAAACCAAGGAAUCGUACUUUAGCCAUAUUAGCCUGUCACCUAUUUGAACCCUUUUGGUUAAUAGACAUCUUAACAAUUUAAGGUUGGAAGUGAUGAAUCAUUUUUUUUGUUGAACAUACUGCUGAUCUUUCUACAAACAUACACUUUUCACUCCCCACCUGAAAGAGGGGGCAGGUUAUAUCACAGUUGAACAGUCUGAACUGCGAAAACCCUCCCAUAAAUUAGUGCAGCAACAAGAAGCUUACAGACAUGUUUGAGUUAGUAUCCAAAUUAAGGUCAUCUAACAUCAGUAUUACACUUCAAUCAAUCCAGAAAGUAAGCAAUUUACACAUUACCACACAGCUUCAACAGAGUGAAGAUUGUUGCAGCAAUAAAAAAGACCAUGGAGAUUGCCACCCAAAAGUGCUGAGACAAAGAGAAAUUUUGGUUAGAAGGUCUGAAAAAAUAUCCACAUGAUUUCAUAAAUACAAGUGAAACAAAGUAACAAACCAAGAACCUCCCACAGCUAUGCAAUUAUAUCACAUAAAUAUUACCAAAGAUGUUUGAAGGAGAUUUGGGUAAACAAAAGAGUGUAUAGUAAAACAAAAAUGGAAAUGAUCCCACUUCUAGGUCAGCUGAUUGCCGACAAUGAAUGGCAAUAAUACCACCUUUAGUAUUUAAAACCAUAAGUUAUAAAACUUGAUACUUACAGGCAGGGUUUCCCAUAUUGCUUCAUCGCUCAUGCUUUCCUCCUCCCCUGGCAUUAAAGCCCUGCACAUCCUGAAAAACAACUUUGGUGUUGUGUUAAAAAUGCUCAAAGCCAAGUCUGCAAGAGUCAACUACAAAGUGGAAAUUCUCAUAACUGAGUUUCUUUAUUGAACUGAAAACAUUGAAAACAUGUUUUUUUUGGUCAACAUUGUGAGUCUAUAACUAUUUCCUUCAUUUUAAUGGAAUUUUCGACUUCCCAUCCACACAUAUAAACACACACAAAGGAGAUAUAUGCAACUAAACUUCUUCCAAGCUAAGAAGAUAUCUUGGCAGGAAAGAUAUCUCACCUAACAUUAUCAACCAAAAUUGCUGUUUCAAAUGCUAGCAAGGGCAAAAAUACAAUCUUCAGAUUCACAGCUGCAAUUAACCAGUGUUCAUGAGUUUAAGGGUCUCCGGAGAUCAAGACUUGUUAGUAAAGAAAGAAAAGACAAUUAGCCCAGAAACUGCAGAUGAUAUUUCAAGUGUGCUGUAGAAUAUUAAAUAAGAAGCAAAUGGACGUAUGAUACUAGAAGAGUUUCAGAGAAGGUAAAUACAAAAGCAACCAGCCAAAAAUAGACAAUAAACAUUGCAUAGGAGCAAAAAUAACACUCUAAAACAUGCUAAGUACAUAUACUAAAUGUUGUCAGAAAAACCAUACACAUGAGCACAAAAAGAGAAACACGGUAAUCAAAUUUGAAGAUGAUACCAUAAAAAUAAAGAAAAAAAGAGAAGAAAUUUAUUGUGCAGCAAAAUGAACAACAUGCUGUUAAAAUAAAAAAACAUCAAUAACUCUUGUCAAGGGAUUUGGCAGUAUACCAUCAUGGUUCUCGAGAUAUAUACAGAGAAGUAGCUCAAAAGCAACAAGCAAUGGUAUCGCCAUGACAGCAUGAAAUGGUGCCCACUGCUCAUCAAAGAGUGCAUCUUUAUGUCAUGAUAAACGGCUUUGAAAUGAACAGUUAAUAAGAGUUAUCUAACUGUUGACAUAUAAAAUACAUCAGACAUAUUGUACCAUACAUGGCGAUCAUGUGGCAUCGAAGGAGCAGGUAAAGAGAAUCUACCCCUUGCUACUACUACAUGAAACAACCAGAGAGGAAGAAAAAUGACCCUGCAAAAGUUAAAAAUCACAGAAUCUUCUCAAAAUGUGGACAUCAAAUUCUUUCAAAUGCUCAUGGAACUGUAGAAAAUAUAUCAAAAAGAUGGAGAGAUUUUGAAACAAUACAUGCGAUUAAUUGCACCCCUAGAUGCACACCCAAAAAUAAUAUCAACCCAACCUUCUAUUCUUACUUUGUUAGUCCUUAUAUGUAAAUUGGAGCUACCAAUUCUUUUUUUUUUUUCUGAUUCAUGACAGCUUGGCAAAUCAAUGACCGAAGAAAUAGUGUAUCAAUCAUCUGAUCUUAUCUCUAAAUUUCCUCCUGGAAUGGAAUACUGCUAGAAAUAAUCAUACGGCUCUGCUCUGUGAACAAAAUCCUCCAAGUUUCCCACUUUAUUAUUUUUUCAUGUAGAAAUCACAAGCAGAGUAGCCAAGCAGCAAAGUAAAAUAUCUAGCAGGCAAACCUAAAUUUGCCGCAAAUCCACGCAUGAAAAGAGAAUUAUCCACAAAGACAGACAGACGGAGAGAGAGGGAAAAAAAUAGCAUACUACAAUCAGUAGCAGUAGCUUUUAGGAUUUAACAAAAGCCAUAAUUCAUCAAAUUCCUCUCUUAAUUUCUUAAAUCACUGGGUCCAAAUUGAAGAUAAAUUCAUCAAUUAUAAUUUUCAGAAAAUAUCUGAAGUGCCUAAACAUACACAUCCAAUAAAAAGGUAAGUUCAAAAGCAAGCCACUUUCUUAUAUUGGGUAACUAUACUUUUCAAACUAUCCAAAAUUCAAUGGAUGUGACAGUUCUCCUCACACUAAUAUACCCUUUUCUACAGCUUAUUGCUACUAACAAUUUUUUUGCUUGAGUAAAUAUUUGUUAAAAAAAGAAAAGGAAAAAAUCAAGACCGGCAUCAGAAAGAUUAAUUAUUUAAACUAGAACACAAAUUCACACCAAUCUCCAGCUAAGCAAUAUUGAGACUGCAAUUAACAAGAAUUUGAAAAAUAUUGACAAAUGCUGAAUAACCAAGUAAUGAAAAUGAUAACCCUGAAUAACCCUUCCCAAAUUUCACCAAUCCCAUUUUGUGUACGUGACACAUAUAUACGUAGAAACGUAUAAAUUAAAAAUAGAAAACGAACCACCAAGAAUGAUGAAGCGUUCGAUCAAGCUUUAGAGCGAGAAGAAGAGUGAAAGUGAAGAGGAACCCAUGAGCUAAAACUGCUUGCAAAGACUUGAGAACUCUUCUCCAACUCAUAAUUCAGUUUGUAGAAUCGAUUAGAGGAGUGAAGAAAGGGAAUUGCAGAGAGAAAAAUAAAAGGGAAUUUUUUAGUGAGGUAAAUUUGAAACGGGAUGGUACUAGAAUUACAAGCCAAUGACUCGAUUAGAAGGAACUGAUUUGGUGAGAAGUUUCGGACAAUUUGAACAGCGGAACUAGAAUAAAGAGUACCAGUAAACAACAACGUUUGAUUGCUUUUGCAGAGGUUUUUGUAUUGUAUUUUUUUUUUUCAUUGAUUUGUUCAGCUGUUUGAUACUUGGUUUUCACUUUUCACGCCAAUGUUGUUGUUUAGUUUAGCUGCGGGAAAAUUUUAGACUGACCAAAGCGCCAUUGAAUCUUUAGCCGGAAAAUGUAACGUUUGUUUGCAAGUGAAGGGUGAUUUCGUCUAUUUGGUCCACAAGGACAUAAUCACCAUUUUUUUUCCCCUUAAUAACAAAGGGAUGUGAUUUAAGCAACACAAAAAGUUGAGAGAUUACUUAUAUUUUAUAAUUCUAAAGAUGGCUCAUCCCCUUCCUCAUGUUCUAAAAUUCCUAUCCACUCUUCCCCUGUCCCCCGUUUCCUUUACCCCUUGCUCGUCCUCUUCCAUGUCUCCGCAGUUGGCUAAUCAUAAUUUUAUUUUUUGUUUUGACAUUAUUUGUUUACAUAUAUAAAACAAUAACAACUUUAUAAAUUGUUCUUUUACAUUGUGUUUGGAUUGCUAAUUUAUCCCAAAUAAUAUUUCGCUUGCAUCAUAGACACAUUUUCAAUUCACUUUUUAUAUUAUCAAUUACUUUUUUAUCUUACAUACAUCACAUCACAAAAAGUGCUACAAUAAAUAUUCCAAAUAAUACUCUAUCCAAACACAUUUAGCUAGCUAAAUAUUCAAUGUGAAAUCAAGUUUAAAAAUCAUUUUGAUCUUUUGAAUUUAUUUUUCCACAUUUAAUAGCAAAUCCAAGUUUAUAACUGUCAUAUUUGUUUUUAUUUCUUUGGUAAACAAUUUACAGCGUGUGAAAAAAUUCAACUAAAAAUAACCAAAUCAUCAUUUUAUCAUAAAAUUAUGAUAUUUUAGUUCUCAAAUCAUAAUAUAUAUACACACACACAUAUAUAUAUAUAUAUUUGUGUGUGUGUGCCCGUGCAAUUAUAUAUAUAUUUGUAUAUGUAUGUAUGUUUGUUUGUAUAUGCCUCUGUUAUUAAUAUGUAGUUAUAAUGUACAUAUGUGUGUCUAUAUACAUACAUACACACACACACACAUAUAUAUAUAUGUAUAUGUAUACACACAUAUACAUAUAUACACAUACUCUUUUUUAGUUUAUUACAAUGGUGAGGAAUGGAAUGUUGGAUGUGACGGAAGUAUCCUUUCUUGUCCCUAUCCCAUUUAAAAGGGGAAAAAAAUCCUUAUGAUUAGUUCUCAAAUCAUAAUAUAUAUAUAGUGUGUGUGUGCGCGCGUGUAUAUAUAUAUAUAUAUAUAUAUAUAUAUAUGUAUAUGUAUGCAUAUAUGUAUGUAUGUUUGUAUAUGCUUCUGUUAUUAAUAUGUAGUUAUAAUGUACAUAUAUGUGUCUAUAUACAUACACAUACACAUAUAAGUAUACACAAACAUAUACAUAUAUACACAUACUCUUUUUUAAUUUAUUACAAUGGUGAGGUACAGAAUGUUGGGUGUGACGGAAGUAUCCUUUCUUGUCCCCAUCUCAUCUAAAACGGGGAAAAAAUCCCCUUUCCCUCCCCCACCUCACGGCCAAAAAAUGAUGAGAGAGAAGGAUUCGAUGCCCCCACAAAGAUAAAAUGGUGCCGUAGCUAUUUGUUAUUGGAAAAUAUAACAAGAUGAAAGCUAGAAAGCAAAGUGAGAAACAUGAAAAAUAUCUAGGUUGAGAAAUAGCAAGGUAGGUAUACUUUGACUCAUAUACUCGAAAUCAUUCAAAUUUUUCUCUAUUAUAAAAAAAAAGGUGUAAAGUUGGCAAGACUCUUUAGGGGGAGGAUUUUUGGCUUCAGGCUUCAACAAGUGGAACGGGGGUCAAUAGUAUAAGGUAUAAGCAAAAUAGAGAAGAAACAAACAGAGUGUAAUUGUAGUGAUUUGACCUCUUGAGAAUUAUAAAUUAUAUAGGUGGUAAAUAUAUAUUUUUUUGUCACAACGAUAGGAUCCCUAUAACUUAAUCUAGUCUAAUCUAGGGGGAGGGGAAGGGAACUCGAUGUGAGUAGAAACUCCAUCGAAGAUGGUCACUGAAAACCGUCACAUAUAAUGACAAUUUUCUGUGAGAGGUAAGAAUCGAACCCUUGACCUCCCAAACCACCAAACCUUAGAAGGCUUAGCAGUGUGGCAUAUAGGUGGUAAAUAUAAAUUGCUUCAAUUUUCCAUUCCAGCAUUUGUGACAUGUCAUACUUGACAUCUAAUCGGUGGGACAAAUUUCAAUAAAAAUCUUUUGAAGGGACAAGAUGAGACAUAGCAUCUUAUUCAAGGACGCUGGUGCAAUUUGACCUCGCUUUUGUCUCUUGUUAUACAUCUGCAUCAGCGGCCUAUUAACUCAGUUGGUUAGAGCGUCGUGCUAAUAACGCGAAGGUCGCAGGUUUGAGACCUGCAUGGGCCAUUUCUCAUCUUUUUUUUGGGUUAAAUUAAUGAUCCGCAAGGAAUAUUAAUCUGAUUAAAUAUGCAGUUGGCCUAUUAGCUCAGUUGGUUAGAGCGUCGUGCUAAUAACGCGAAGGUCGCAGGUUCGAGACCUGCAUGGGCCAUUUUACAUCCUUUUUUUUUCGGUUAAAUUAAUGUUGUGCAAGCAAUAUUGAUUUGAUUAAACGGGAAUGAGCAUUGAGCAUGAAAACAACUUUGUCUGUUUUUUUUUUCUCGUGCAGCCAACUUCAAUACCGUCUCGAUACGUUUUUGUUGGAGGAGAAUCCGGAAAACUCAGAUGGCCCGAAAACUAUUACUCCUAUUUGAUUUACUCGCUCUGUUAUAUUAAUAUAUUUUGUUGUUUUCAUAUUUAUGUAUUAAUAGUUUCUGGCUAGGUACAAAUCUAAUGAAAUAUGGUAUCUCCUUCAUGUUGUCUGCGUACUUUGUGUAACAUGAUCCAUAUACAAAAGCAAUGGAAAGAUUGAUACUGAUAAGCUAAAAUUGACUGAAACUCACAACAAAGAUCCCUUUUUCAGAGAAAGAGUGGCAACUGUAUGCUUUACUCUCGUGUUUACUAAUUUAGACUACUGGAUGAUAUACACAAAAAUAAAUUUUUUUUUGGGAAGGAAUGAAUAUACACAAAAUUUAGAGGCAGCGCAUAGCAUAGCAACUCUGGCAAUGAUUAGAGUUGGAAAUGCGCAAGUUGAGCACUAGAAAUUUGAAACCAAAUAUACCCACUAGUAGUGAAUAUAUAGAGUAAACCCCAAGUGAAAACAUGUAUCCAUAUAUAUAUGAGAAGAUGACCGACAUCAUGAUCAACCUUGACACUAGUAAUUAACAAAGACAACACCCCAUGAGGCCAUGACCAUGACCAACGACCCAAAUCCGAAAUAAGUAAAUUAAGGCAAAGAAGGAGUCAAGGAAGACCAAGUAGAGAAGGCAGGCAAGGAAUCAGGCCACCAGUAUAUAACAUGAUAUAUACAUUUUUCUUCUGAACUCAGUCGUCACAAGGUCUCGUGAGUGAUGAAUAGCUCUGAAACUUGCUUGCUUUGGUAAAAACUGUCUCUUCUCUUCGUUGGACCACCGGAGCUGGAAGCCUAAAUCAGCAUAUCGUACCAAUGGGAAGAUGCAGGAGGAAAAGUUGUUAUAUAUGGAUGGAAGUUAAAGCCCUAUCUUGGAAGAUUAAGUCUCGACACUUCUUCUUAUGAUUGUUAUGUCAUGUACAUGCUGCCGAGAGAGAGAGAUUGUUAAAAGAGACAAGAAGCAUCUCGUCGCUAGAAAACAAACUCACCACUGACUUCUUCUUUUGCCCCCCCCCCCCCCCAAAUGAGAUAAAGAAAGCUAUCAAAAUCCACAUUUCUUUCUUAGGUUUUUAUAUCAGGUUUCUCUCCUCACGAAAAAGAUCCUUCGCUGUUUCUUCCCUUCUUAUCCCACUCUCCAUCUUUCUUUCUCUCUGUGGCAUUGUCUAGUAGCACAAGCAAUCCGAGUCACAACAAACUUGGAACUCCCACCAACCACAGUCCCACGUUGUCUGUUUCAGACUUUCAUAUAUAUUCCUCAGUGGAAAUGUGUACUCCAUAUCGGGUGCGAUCAUAUCAGUAGUAGUGCUAAACUCAACCCCAUCAGAGUUGUGUGUAUUUUGAUCGACAAUAAUACUAGGGAAGAAACCCCCUUGUAAAGUUGUAAUACUACGUAUUGAUGAUACUGAAUGGCUAAUAGUUGGACACCAGCACAAACUAAUUAUUGUUGAAAAAAAAAAACCCCACAAAAACACACCAAAAAGCACACAGAAUAACACACAAGAAGAUGAAGAAACUGAUUAUAAUGUUAAUAUAGUUAAAGGGACCUAUGUUCAAGGAUAUUUAUGUUGGUUCUUUGUCUCUUAACAUUCCCUGAACCGGACUCAUCACCGUUGGUUUUCUCCAUAACUGCUUUAAGGGCUUCCUGUAUUGAGCUGAUAGAGUACUGUUGCUGCUGCUGCUGCUGGUCAUCACUGUCUGUAUCAUCCUCCCCAGUGAUGAACAAAACAUUCUUAACUCUACCACCAAGAGUUGUUAUUUCAGCCUUCAGUGUUCUCAACCUCAGACUCUUUAAUGUCUUAAUGAGAUCAGGCAAGAGAUCAGACCUGUCUUCGCAGCACAAUGAAGCUCUUAUCACCAACUUACCGUCCUCAUCAGACGCAUUAUCAACUGUUAACUCAUCAAUCUCAGUUGGAACUGGUGUUGAUUCAGCUAUCAAAGAAGUCUGCCUCUUUAGCUCCUUCACAUGUUGUAUUACUUCAGCCAGCAAUGAUGCCUUAUCCGUCUUAACCACAAAAAAGUAAAUGAGCGAGUUAGUAAAUGUAUAUGCUUUUAAUAGUAAAGCAAGGAUAUAAAUCAAGAUAACAAGUCUGAACAUGCAUAGAAGACGAACUAGAUAUUUCAAGAUGUGUGGAAAGAAGAGAGGAGAGGGUUGGGAUGCGUAGUUGAAGAAUGGUUCUUAGGUAGAUACUUUUUGAUCAUUUUAAGGGUGGACUGGGGUUUAUUGAGACUAGGCAUGGGGGAGUUUAUACUUUAUAGUGUGCAAAUAAGACUGACAUGAAUGCUUCCUUGUUGUCUUUAUUUCUUUUUAACUCUCUAGUUAUAUCAACUGCAAAUCCGGCAAGAAUUUUCCAAUUUAGCUUUUCAACUGCACCGUGGUUUCUCUUUUUCAUAUCAACCAUGCGACAUUAACGCUUGUUUCCCUUUUCCAUUUUUUUCUUACCACCUUGGAACUACCACAACAAUCAGAACAGAAGAAUAUAACCACACAGCUCGAAAGAAUGGAUCCUUAAAAUAAUGCUGCACAGAUAUAUCAAAAGAAAUAAAGUAUACCAACCAGACUAUUAUCUAAUAUCGAUUCUGCUAGUAUGCCACUUUCCGUACCUAAAUUUAUUCUUCACUCUUCUUCUAUUAAACGUGAAGAAUUCCUCUUCCAUACUUUGACAAAUCUAAGUAGAAUCUCACAGGAAAUCUAUUUAGAGAUCUUUGAAUCUGAGAAUCUUAAUAAGAUAAUUCAAAGCAUAAAAGGAGGAAUUAAUAAACAUGUGCAACACAAAAAAGACCAUGCAGGAAUGAGAAUAAUGUGCUUAUGAUUAGUUAGUUGGUUGGAAUGUUGGUGCAUACUUUGGUGGUAUUAGGGAGCAAGCUGCGAAGCUUAGCAAGAUGAUUAUUGAUUCUUUCCCUUCGUCUCCUCUCAGCUUCACUAUGACUUUUGGAAGCAGCUAGAGCUUUAGCAUCCAUGAUCUCUUGAGCAGUCAUUUUUUGCAACUCAGCUUGAAGCCCAAAAGGAGCUGCUGAACUAGCUUGAACCACUUGACCUAAACAGGUGUCAGAAAUAAGCCUGAGAUGGUCUGAUGAUGAACCCUCAUACGCAAACUGCAGACCAGGAGGAGGAGGUCUCCUAUUGAAUAAACCCCCGUAGGGUGAUGGUGGUGGAGGGAGAAGAAAAGGGUCGUGAUCGCGAAACUGAUGAACUGGAUUGAAGCUGUGAACUUGAGGGAUUGUCCAUGGCAAGAUUGGUGAUACUUCUGGGAACAUCAGUCCUCCUCCUCCUGAUGACCUUCCUCCACCAGCAGCUGCCAAGUAUGCAUCAGUACUGUUGUGUUGCUGCAUCUCUAGCCCGCUUGGUUGAAGAUGUAACUUUUCUUGGAAGCCCUGAAUAGCACUAUUUGUUAUGGUUUGAGGAGAAGAAUGAUCAGUUUGUUGAUCUUCAAUGUUGUUGUCGCACAUAAUAGACAGUAAUACUAAAACUAGAGAUUCCUAGUAUAAACCACUAGCAUAUAUAGGUAGGAUGUGAAUAUGUUCUUCUCUUCUCUCUGCACACACUUUAUGAAAGUAUAUAUUUAUCCAAGUCUACAAAACAAGCAUCGCAUUGGAUGACUUUUGGAUUAUUCCACUAGCUACCAUCCAUGCUUUCUUCACAUAAAGAUGAAAAGGAGGAAUACUAAAGAAAAGGACGGAGAAGGAACUUGGAUUCUAUUUCCUCUGGGGGUGCAAAAGGGAUUAAAAGGGAUGUUAAGGAAGAAGAAAGGAUGAAAAAAAAAAGAGAGAGAGGAGAGAAAAGAAAGACAGACAGACCAGAACAGACCUUGGUUUGGCUGUUGAUUUGUGAUUGAAAAGUCUUUCUCUUCCAAACGGAUCUUUAAAACUUUGGUAGGUUUCUAAUCUUUCUGCCACAACCUUUGUGGGGGAUAGAAUGAAUCCGAAAUGGUGAUGACGGAUGAGAUGAUGAGGCUCGGCCCCUUUUUAUCCUACCAUCAACUGAGCAUAAGCUUUCCCUUCUUUCUCUCCUGUAUGCUUUAUUGGUUGUAUCCUUUUGGCUCCUUUGUUUUCUUAUGGGCCCUCAAUAGUCUUCCACCUCCCUCCACUCCUAACAUAUAUAGAGGAGGUGUGCUAGUACUGUUGGUCUUACUUUCCUUUCUACUUACGGCAUACUCUUUUCUCCCUCACGAUCCAUUUCUGUAGCUAUCAGCCUUAGUAGCGAAUUUCUUUUUGGUUCCCGUAUUCAUGUUCUGACACAAUAUUCAUAUUCGGACAUAAUUACUAUAGGAUAGUAUAGACAUUCCCUUAGAGCAGUAUAAAUAUGUACGAGUACUUAAUUAUAUAUAUAUUGAUUGAUAGUGUAUACGCUAUUAUAUAGUUAAUUGGAUGCAUGAAACAUAUACUCUCUGUCCCAUUUUGAUAGCUCUAGUUUUUUUUUUUUCACACAGUUUAAGAAAAAGUACUUAACUUUAUUGAAAAAAUAAAUUUAGAUUGCUAUUUUUCUAAAAUAUCUUACAUUAAAUAGAGUACAACUUUAUAUUAAUUACUCGUAAAACUUGAAUUGAUGGUUUGUGGGAACUUGAAUUGAUAUAAAUAAGCUUGAAAGAAUAAAAAAUUGGCAUUUCAUAUGGUAUCACUGUGUUUUGGAAAAUCUAAAUGCAUUAAAUGGGAUAUGUUAUAUUCAAUAACAAUCUAUAUUAAAUAAGAUAGUUUAUAGUAAUAACAACUUACAUUGAAUAAGGGUAUUUUAGAAAAUUAAAAAAUAACUACACUCUUCAAUUGGAAAGUGGACUACAAUUUGGGACAAAUGAAAAAGAAAAACAGGACUAUCAAAGUGGGACGAAGGGAGUAUAAAAUUUAAAGUUUAAAUUUAAAUUCAGAUAUAUAUGUCAUCUAAUGAUAAAAGUAUAUACAUAUAUACUGUCAGUAUAUAAAAUGUUAAUCCUAUAUAUUGAAUGAUGGUUGUAGAAAAAGUAUUCUAAUUAGUCAAGUUUCGUGUAAGAAAACUUUCGGCCAUAUGUCAUUGUGAAAAGGAAAAGAAAAAGUUUUAGUUGGACUGUGAUUUAGUUAUAUUAUGAUCAAUUAAUUAAUUACCCUUUCUCAAGUAAAGUAGUGCUAUCUUUUAUCAAAUGGGAUUUGAUAGUAAGCUCUACAUUGGGAAUCUCAAAGAAGGAAAAUUUUUUUUUUUUUUUUGUUUUUUUACCGCUAUGCUAUGCAGUGAUAUGGGGUUUUGUUGUAUAAUCUUGAAGGAAGCAUGAUGGUUUGUGAUUGGUCCAAACUUCAAAGCGUAUAAUUACAUUGUGUAAGUGCUGCUGCGGCAGGAUGAGAGAGAGAGUAAGAAUUGGUAAGUUGGGGGAAACACAAACACAACACAGUGAGCACACAACACACAGAUUGUCGACCGACCAAAGACAGCAAUAUUUAUUAACAAAGCAGAAAAGAUCAGAAAGAGAGAGAGAGAGAGAGAGAGAUGGACAGAAAGAAAAGUGCGUUAGUGUGUGUUUGUGAUGUAUCAUAUUCAUUCAUGUUGUUUGUUGUUUGUUGUUGUAUGUUGUAUGUGUCUUGAGUGUGAUGAUAGAAAGGGUUCUUAGCUUUUCUUUCCUUGGUUCAAUUGCCUUAGGUUGGUAUGGGAACCUAGCUCCUCCUCUCCUCCUCGGUCAAGCCCCCACGUUCUUCCCAUAUUAUUCCCUUCUUCCUCUCCAUAGCUACUUCCACGCCAGCACUUUCUGCUCCCCCCAAGACCCCUUGUAAUCAUUGUGUCUUGGAACACACUCCUUCCCUAGUACUAGUACUAGUACUAUUACUAUUACUAUCUAUCUAUCUAUCUAGUUCCAUUAAAGAUAAGAUAAGGAAAAAAAAAAGAAAACUGUGUACAGUAUGACUACUACUAGUCCACAAGUCCCUCUAUCUCUAUCUCUCUCUCUCUCUUCAAAUGGCCUUCAAUGAAUCUUGCUGUAUCAUAUGCAUAUAUACACUAACACUAGUUCCUUGGUUUCAGUUGCAUGCAUUCAAUGACAUUUGCCAGGGCCUUUUGGAAUCGAAAAUCUUUUGAAAGAGAAUCAGGGCAGAGACUUAAUUAAUACUUAGUCCAUGAGAACUUGUAGUUUCUUUUCGGGUGCUAGUUGAUAUGUCUGAACUUUGUUUAUUGCCUCACUCAUGUUUUUUCAUUCUUCUACUUGCAAGUAGCAGCAAUUACCAGCAGUGCGCGUUUCAUCAUCGCGCUUCUUCCAACUCCUAUUUUUUGGUUUUUGGUUUUUGGUUUUUGGUUUCUAGUCAAGCAAGAAAUUGCAGUUGAAGAUCUCACAUCCAGGUAUCCAUAGGCCAUCCGAAGAGACGUAUAAUUAUUUUAGACAAUUACUGUUGUCAUUCUAGUGGCUUUGGUUUCCCAAUGUUCAAAGGACCCUAGCUAUCUCAGCAGUCCCUCCAUACCUAACUUCUUAAACCUUCUUAUUGUAUGUAAUCGUAGCAACGUUUACUAUUCAAAUGAACUUUGUGGAAUGAGAUAAUGGAGAAUUAUUUGUAUAAUUUGGAAAAGUCUUCAAAAGGGCAUUUAUUCUAGUGUGAAGAAGAUUCAAUAAAUUAAGGUACAUUUGUGUCACUGCAAUUCGUUAAACCUUUCAAAAGAAAUUUGGGUUCAUUGAAAUUCUGUAGAAAAUAGGCAGAUGGAACCUAGAGAGGCCCCUCAAAAAAUCCACAGAUGAUUUUGAUGGUUUGUCAUAUGUAUAUAUAUAUAUAUAUAUAUACACCUAAUUUUUUUUUUUCUACAAGUAGCUUUGCCUCCCUGUUAGUUUCGGAGGAAAACAUGUGGAUUUGGCUUAUGGAGGUAUUAGUCAUUUGGGAUAAAUGUGAAGAAGCUUCAAAUGCAAGCACGGUUAAAGAUAUGAAUACAAUUUGCACGCUCUCUUUCUAUUGUCAAAUAGUCAACAAUAUGAAGCUUCAAAUUCUGCAAAAGCUCCUUUUCUUCUCUAAUCAUCUGCGAUUAUAUUGCUUUUAUUAACCACUUUUUAAGAUGCAAUGUAUAUGUGAUAAAAUUGUGAUUAGAAAAAUAAAAAGUGAUCAGAAAAUAUGUCUGUGUUACAAGAAUUUUUUUUGGGGGGAGGGGAACAUUGGUUGUGUCCAAACAAGGCUAAAAAAUAUACCCUUGAGUAGGUUGGCAAGAAAUUUCCUUCCAUUCAAGUGUCAAAAUGUCAUAAAUCAUGAUGAGAAAAUGAAAAAUCGUGUGGGGAAAAUGGAAAUGUAAAAGGCAACAAGAACAGUCUUUCUAGCAGCAAAGAUAGUCAAAUUUCAUGGGCAAUUUGUUUUCUUCUUUUUGAUAUAUACAUAUAUACAUAUAUAUAAGUUUAUAGAGCUAGCAAGAUUUAAAGGCCACACUAGUUAGCAAUAGACUAUUGGAUCACUCCACCACUUCCUACACAAAUUCUAAAAAAUAGUUCUUUAAAUUACCUGGACCAACGAGUAUUUUAAAUUGAACUAUGUUACUACAUGCUUAAAAAGACUAAUUAACUUUUUAAUUAAAUUCUCCUUACUUUUUAGUAACAUGCUCGACUACUAAUACUAAAAGCUCAUCAACUUUUACAAUGAAGCCUUGUUAUUUACUACACGUAGACAAAGUAAAACGCUUGACGUGCUUUUUUCGCCUGAAAGAUGAAAAACAAGAAGGGAUCAGCAAUCGCACGGUUAAUCAGAGGAUUGGCUAGGAAAAGUAAAACAAAAACCAUCAUCAACCUCACUAACUUUUUCUUGCCCUUUCGCCCUUUUAGAUUUAGCACCAUGAUUGGCAAUUGUACUGUGGUAAAUGCAUGUGUUUGUUUGUCUUGUUGGGUGUGAAUGUCUGUGAAAGAGAGAGAGAGAGCCUGAAUUGAGAUUUAUUACUUGGGCAAUGUUACUACUAUUUACUAACAUUCAAGAAUUCCCUUUUGGCAUAAUUGACGUUAGAACUUUGGAAGUAAAUUAGACAGAUGAAUUAUGCCAAAUCGUGCACAAGUUUAUUUCCAAUGUCUCUUGUGGUGCUUUAUUCGUCUCAUAUAUUUUGCCCUCUUUUGGUACGGAGGGUUCACUUUUUCCAGCGUCAGCGUCAGGUCACUCUACGUGCAGACCCUUUUCUCUGUUUAAGCCUGCAGUAGUAUUUGCUUUGAGCAGGGAAGCUAAAGGGAGGGUUUUCUUGGACCCUUUUGGUGGUCACACGCAUGGCUACUUUGGUCCCAAUUCCUUAAUCUUUUUCUACUUUGUAUUCAUUUUUUAUGUCUUAGUUGCACAAACUGUAUAUGCCAAUAAGAUACUUGAGUGGAUGAAAUAUUGAACAGUGACUCGAAUGGGGUAGAAGAAUCUAGCAAAACUCAAAUAGUACCUCACUGGAAUUCGAUUCAAGCUAAAAUAUAUAAGUUUGAACUCGUCAAAUUGUUUGAACUCAACUCCAGCUUAAUCACUGUGAAUAUAAGUUUGAGUUUUGAUCGAGAAAGUUCGCGAAUCAUGUGAUUAAACUACGACGCAUUUUUAACCCUAGUUAAUGCUCAUAACUCCAUCUACAUUUGCACUUGAGUUUGAUUGAGUAGAUUGACAAAUAAUUCGAUUGAAAUUGAUUUGUUUGCACCCCUAAUUUUCAAUGUAUUUAUCACUUCAUCUACACGUUUAGAACUUUAUAGUCUCUUUUUAAUAGAAAAUGACUUAUUUUGUAUUUUGUAUCUUAAAAGUUCCAAUAUUAAUAUCAACAUGGAUAGUGCAGAGAGUAAAAAAGGAAAAAUUUUGCUCGACAAUGACAAAUUAGAGCAGUGUUUUCCUUUUAAUUUCAAUAUGGUAUUCAAUUACUAAUCGAUUACAUUCGCACCAGCACCACUAAUAGCUCAGCCCACGAGAAGGCCAAAGCCUGUGGGGUUUAUAAUGACAUCAGUCCCACGCUGUCAUGACGUCUUUUUACCAAGCACAAGAGCCUUUAGUUUUCGUGUCUCUUUUGCUCUUGGAAAAAAGAAAAAAGUAGACUUUCGGAUUAUUGGCUUUUGUAAAUAAAUAAAUCGCAAUAAAAAGGAUGAACCUUUUCACAUUCUGUUAUAAUGGGGUCCUUUUUUUUAAAGUUUCAAAUUGUACAGGCUACAUUUAGCCAAAAGGAGGUGUAGAAAGUACGAUAAAUUUUGGAUUUAUUAUGAUCACCUUCACUUUUUCGUGUAUUAAAUUAUAGUCUCGUGCCACUACUCUCGUACUAAUGGGUACUUAAUUACUAAAUUAACAACUAACUUAGCUUCAUCUUUAAUUUUCCAGUAUUAUACAUGGGUCAUGGGUGCUUAUCACAUGCUUUUUUUUUUUUUGGUCUUAUCUUUUUUCUUUUGUUUUCUCAGGAUGUAGUCAAAAGAAGAAGGCUUGCGCACGUUGUGGCUCAACCAUGCAUUGAAAGAAAUGGAUGAAACACAACUUGGUUCAAUUGAUAAGAACGAAUCAUUUUAUCACAAAAGGAUGUGUGUGUUCGAAUCCAACUGUCGACGUGAUAAUUGUUAUUGGCGAUCGUAUGAAUUCCUAUAAGUAAUUUAUGGUUUUGGAGAUAUACUUUGACCCGUGGUGGUGACCAAGGCGAAUUCAACCGAACUUUUUCCUUAAAAAAACAAAAGUGUUAUUAUUUUCCUAUCUUCUAUGCCUAAUUAUUGCCCUUGAAAAAAAUUAUAUAUAUAAAACUACGUACUUAGGGGUUAUGCAACAUUUCCCCUGAAUAGCUGCAUACUUCAAGAAAUGUCCUGGUUAAAAAUUGGAUGCUUUAAAUUAAUGUCAGAAUUAUCUCUCUAAUUUAAUUACUGCUUGCGAUGGUAGUUGUGGCCAUGCUAGCGGGCACAGUGAUGGUGUUGGCCGCGGCGCGUUUGUGAAGUUGGUGGCGUGCUAUUUUACUUAUAUUAAUGACGGUGGCGACAAUGACAAAUUUAAUAACGAGUAGUAAUGGAAAUCUAUAAUGUUCGGAUUUUCAUGUUUUUAUUCGCCAUUUAUUUAAUUUCUCAAUAAUUAUUCGAAUUGAGAGACUGGUGGUUUACUUAAAUAGUAGAAAAGACAUUAUUGAGCUAGGAUCGGUUAUCAAUGUAGUAUUCACAAUUCCUCCUUAGUCUUUAGCUAGAAUUAGUCAACGAUGUACUCAACAUUAAUAAUAGUCCAUUAACCAAAUUUAUCCCACCCAAGAUUUGUAAUGCAGUAAAGAUUACCUAGGCUAAAAAAGAAAAAGAAAAGAUAUACUCGAACACUAUUUGUGUUCGAGUAUAUCUUGCCUCCUACUAGCCACUAUUUGUGGCUUUCCCCCUCCCUCCCUUAGAUUAGACUAGAAUAGGUUAUACAAACUGUUAUCGUUGCUGAAAAAAAAAAAGAACACCGGAUGAGUUAUUUGUGUUUGCCUGUAAAUGCUACCCUUAAUCUACAUUCAACUAAAGCUCGAUACAUCUUCCAAAAUAAAAUAGUGACACAGUGCAUGUGUUUGUUGAUUCGCUUGAACAUUCUUUCUGCAAGUAAUGAUUGUUGAUUCAUAUCCUCAUGAUCUAUCAUUAUUUUAGACGCACAAGAUCAUGAGGGUUCAUGAAUAAUCUGCCUGGUUUAUGGCACAACUGCACAAGUAGACUAGUGCUUUGGUGGUACAUAUCAUUUUGUGGACCAUUUUCUCAUUUGUGUGUUGCGAAAGAAGAGAAAUACUCUACUACCAUCUGGCAUCAUAAGUUUAUAGCAAAUUAUCAAUCCAAGUAGUGGUCCAUCAAGAGAAUUCCCACGUCUAUAGUGCACUAUAGGUUGCAAAUCCAAGAUAAUUUACUCUUCGAAUUUUUAUUCUAUGCAUGUCUUUGGAAAUAAAAGAUGCUUAAGCUGAGUUGUACAUGUUUGCUCAUCAGCUUGAUGAUGACAGAGAAGUUAUUGACACAAUCCUAUCCUCGGAUCCUCAGUGGAAAAGGUGUUCGGUUGAUUGAUUAGUGGAAAAGGUAUUUAAUUAGUUGAUUAGUGGGGAAUUAGACCUCACAUUUUUCCCCACCUCGGUUCAUUAUAAUUUCUAUGAUUCAAAACUAUUUUGCAGUGCACUACUACUAGGAUCCAAUGUGCAGUGUGCACUAUAGGGUUCUUGUUCUCUCCAACAACAGCGGAUAUGUUGUAUAUAUAUACAUAUCUAUAUAUAUAUGAUGAUCCAAUUUUUUAACUAAUAAUUAAGGACAUUUGACUAGCUAACGAUGAAGCUCCCGUUCUGAUUCGUAACCAUUAAUUCCGCUUUAUGCAUUUCUUUAUAAGAUCUAAAAUCUUUCUUUAACACAAAAAAUAUACAUAUAUUAGAGUGACUCUUUCUGUCUUUCCUCUAUCAAUCCUCUUUCGUUUCCGAUCACUUCUUGGCUAACAAAGAUACGUGCGAAGGGCCACAAUCCAUGCAAUGUUGCGGUUAGGUGAACUUUUACUUGGGAAAUCUAGAUAUUAUUUUAUCAGGAAAUAUAAAAUACAUAACGGGUGCUCAUUAGACACUUGUUGUAUAAAUACACUUCAGGUGUUAAAUUUUGAGAAAAUAAGAUUAAUUUAAAAAAGUGUAUAAAUAUAAGAAAAUAAUAAUUGUUAAUGUAUGUAUAUACAUAAUAUAUAUGUUGAAUAAAAUUUAGACGUGUAAAUUAAUUAAUGAGCACCCAUUGAACACCGUUAGAAAAAUUCAAACACACAAGCCAUCAAAUUCUUCGAACUUGAGGAUGGGAUCCAGUUCGCUGAUUGGAUUUAUUAUAAGGAUAAAUAAUGGCUUUCCGCAUAAAUAGCAUGUAACAUCAUAGUUUAUUGCUAACAAGAAGACAAGAAUGGAACCCUUUUGAGGAUUUUUCUUACUGAGAUAAGAUCAUAAAAGAACCAUUUGAAGCUAGGACCAUGGAAGCUGUCUACUUAACGAUCACCGUCAGAUGAUAAUGAACGACGCAAUCUGUUUUACUUGUCGGAAAGUGUUCUUGAAGAAGGUAGAAUCAAACUAAUCCUCGUUCCAUUUUGAUAGUUCUAGUUUUUUUCACAUAAUUAAAAAAAUAGUUAACUUUAUUAGAAAAAUAAAUGUGGUUGCUAUUUUUCUAAAAUACCCUUACAUUAAAUAGAGUACAACUUUAUAUUAAUUAUUCAUGAAAACUUGAAUGAUGAUUUAUGGGAAAUUGAAUUGAUGAUUAAGAAAGAAUCAAUUCUCAUUCAUAUAUCAAUAUGUUUUGGAAAAUCUAAAUGUAUUAAAUGGGGUAAGUUAUAUUCAAUAACAAUCUAUAUUAAAUACGGUAAUUUAUACUAAUAACAACCUAUAUUAAAUAAGAUAUGUUAGAUAAAUUAAAAGAUAAUUACGUUUUCAAUUGAAAAGUGGACUACAAUUUGAGAUAGACGAAAAGGAAAACAGGACUAUCAAAGUCAGACGGAAGGAGUAUAAAUCAAAGGUAUGAGGGUUUAAUCAGAUCAAAGAAACUGGACGUUUGGGCUCCUUCAAUCAGCCACGUCGAUCAAUCAUAGUGGGCCACUACAGUACUGUAAACUAAGUACUCCCUCCAUCCUAAUUAUUUAAUCAUAUUUGGGAAUCCAACUUUUUAAGAAUAGUUGUUUGAUUGUGAUGUUUGUACUUCUCUUUCCAAUUUUACCUCCACAAAUUCAAAAUUUAAAUUUGAAUGGUAAUAUGCAUAUGAUUAAAAAGAAGAGCUAUAUUGGAAAGAGAGACUAAAAGGUACUUUGACUUUUUCAACAUGACAAAUGUUUUGGGACAUCCAAAAUGAAAAGUAUGUCAUUUUCAAUAAAAUGGAGGGAGUACAACAUUACACUGUGCAUUAAUUAAUUAGAAAUUGUGAAUUCUUGAGAAUCCCAAAAAACCCCUUACGUUCUUAAAUAUACUAAAUAGGACUUGUUUGGAUUGUGAUUUUUCGCACAAAAAUUUUUACAUUUUUUGCGAACAUAUUUCACAAUCAACUUUUCACUUUACGUAUAUCAAAUCAUUACAAUUUUCUAUCAAAACUCCUAAAAAUAGUAAUUCGAACUGCUAUGUACCCUUUUGAAUAUCGACUGUCAAGUUGACAUUCAUCUAUGUGGCAAUAGUGUUGGAUAUAAAUUGAGGGAAUGGUUCCUUGAAGAACUUCAUAGUUUUAGUAGAACUUGAUCCGAGAUAGAAGGCCUAAUUUCAUUUUGCACCCUUCAACUAUAUUUGAUUUCUAUUUUAGUCCCCAAACUCUAAAUUUGGAAACUUUCAUCUCUAAACUAUACCCUUAUGCCCUUAGAACAUGCAAUGAUGUUGAUCAACUGUCUAGAUUCUCUCAAUUUUUGAGAUUUCAUUAACAAUUGUGCUUAGAUCGGACAAUUUUUAUAGUUUAGAGACUACAGUGUACCAAUUUAUAGUUUAAUAAUCAAAGUGGGUUUUGAAAUAUAAUUGAAGAGCGCAAAAGAAAUUAACCCGAAAUGGAAUAUAGAGUGUAGUAAUAUGAUUAUUUUAUAUGAUUUCACGGGAUUUGAAAAUUUUAAGAAACUUGAACUGUCUAAAUUCAAUUCCUCUUAUUUUAUAGAUUUUCUUUUUAACUCUGAUUUGACGCAAAAGGAGCUCGGCUAUUAAAAAUUUAGGAAUAACCGGAAAACUUAAAAAGCAGUGUGGAGCUUUGACUGGAGCUGCGGUCUAGUGUUUGAAUGUUAGCUGUCUUAAUCAAAGGCAAGCAUGCAAAUAUUCUUUCCUUCUUUCUUUCGCAGCUGUUAUUUUCUCAAAGUCAGAGGGAAUGUUGGAGUGAAUCUGGGAGUCAAAUGAACAGUUUUUGUUAGAGAUUUCAAGGAUUAUGUCGUCAAUGUAAACAGUGUCUUUCUUGUUUGAUUUGUUUCGGUCAAUCAUUUGAACACACAUGCUUUUAAGUUUUUAUUCCACUCAUGGCCGAAAGCAAGUGGUGUGAGUAUGACUACUGAUGUCUUCUUCAAACCUCCAAAGGAAUUAAUUAAGUUCGGAAUCCCAGUCAUUAUUGCAGGAUUAAAGUAAUUUUGAUUCUGAUCUAAUGAUUCAUACACAGUUGAAAAAAGGGCGUAAGAAGUUCUUUUUUUUUUUUUCUCAGACACAACAUGCUUUAGAAGUUGGCUAAGUUUGAAGACUCGUCUGUGAUCAUGGUUAUCUGCUUUUGCAGCUGCAGCUCUGCCCUAAAGAAAUCAACAAUCAUAAGAUCUGUUCAUGCAUGCGAAAAGUACUUGUAUAUUCAACUGCAGAUUUAGCAGUCAAGAAAGUUCUGAAUAGCCCCAUGUUAAGACGAAGGGGAAUACGUAUCUGUACCCAUUGGCAAUCUGAUUAUUUCUUCUUUCUUUUGCUUUAGUUAAUUUCUUUCUACAAAAUAUGUAAAGAGUUUUACUGGGCAAAAAAUGUGAUGUUAGAUCAGUACUAUAUAACUCAGAAUUGUAAGUAACUGUUACCUAAUUUCAUAUUCGAUCGUGUGAGAUAUAGCAUCACUCUUUCUGUUAAAAACUUUCUGUUCUUUUAUCUGAUAGUGGGUAGUUUUGGGAGACCAUUCUACCAUAGCGAGCAUUCAAUUGUUAAUAAUACUUUACCUUCUUUUUACCUCAGUGGUAGUGAUACCUUUUUCAAUAAUCACACGUUGAGGUAGUGUUUUUGCAAGGAAUAAACAGCAUAGAUGUGUGUGUCUAUGUGAUAAUCACCUUAAACAUUGAGCAUGACUAGCAGUAAAUUGGCAUUUCAUUGGCAGAAUUUGCAGCUCCGCAGUCAUCAUUACCACCACCACCCUUCUCUUGCGUUCAGUUGGUGGUUGAUCUUUAAGGUACAUUGAAUCUGUGUCCAAAAAAUACAGUAUGCAUAUAUGCAUUACGUACGUAUGAAGCUACCAUAUAUACGACAACUAUACCUGGCAAUUGGGCGGGUUGGGCGGGUUUUGGGUGGAUUAAUAUUGGGUUUUCAUUUAAAUGGGUUAUACCCAAUCCGCCCAACUUAAACUUGGGUUAAUUUUGGAUUGGGUUAUAUUGGGUCAUUACAAAACCAUGACCCAAAUAUGACCCAAUAUAUUAAUUUAAUAGAUUUUGAUACAUAAACUCUCUCAAAUACAUUUUCGCAUACAACAAAAAAUUUUACACACAUAAACAUAUUUUUAUAUAGAUAGACAUAUUUUCAUACACUGAAACACUCACGAUACAAACACACACUCACUUCUUAAAUUCAUUUGAAAUACAUUAGUGUGUUUGGAUAGUAAAUUAUUUGAGAUAAUUUUGUGAAAAAAAUACUGUAACAUUUUUUUGAUGUGAUGUAUGUGACAUAGAAAGGUGAUUGAAAAAUGUGUAGAUGAUACAAGCAAAUCAAUGUGUGUAAAUAAGGUGUAAAUAAUAUGCAUUUCAAACACACUAUUUUUACGCAUACAAACACACUAAAAUACAUCCUAAUAUACUUUUACAAAUACACGCACAUAUUAACUGUUUAAACUCUAAAAAGGUUAGUGAAAUUGGUAGAAAUCUCAUCUCAAGAGAGGUUUCUGGAAUUAUGCCAUAUAAAAACGAUGGCAAAUUGGACCAAGAGCAGCAGCAUAGCCUGCUUCCAUACAUUGACCGCUUCCAAACUUUAAAAAUUUGUUUUUUUCCCUUUUUUUUUAAGAAUAUACGGGACCAAUUCCCCCGCAAUGACAGUAGUACUUCGUAAAAAUAGGAAAUGAGUAAACAUUAAUUAAUUAUUAGGCUACGAAAUACUAGAUUUAGCAACUAACAAACAAAUAAUAAGAAACUAGAUUUAAAUUCUACAGGUCGACAACUUCCUAAUGACCUUCAUUGAGCAAAAAAAUUAAUUUGUUUAUUUUUGUUUUUAACUUAAGUUGGGUAAUGGGUGCCCAACACAAAUACCCAAACCGCCCAAAAUAUAUGUGGGCUUUUAUUACCCAACCCAAAUUUGACCCAACACCCAAUUUACCCAACCCAAUCUCUCAAAUUAGUGGGUGGAUUGGGUGGGUUAUUGGGUUUUGGGCAUAAUUGCCAGCUCUAACGACAACCAACUACUUAAUUUCUUUUUUUUUUUUUGUCAAAAACCAACUACUUAAUUUCAUUUACAUCAUUCCUGUUCAAAAUUAUGAAGACAUCUCACGGAGCAGGCAUUCUUCAUGGACUUCCUGAAAUGUUUGGAUCGUCAUUUUUUUUCUAAAAAAAUUUUCACGUUUUUUGUGAAUACAUUUUUAUUUCAGAUACAUGUUAAAUCGCUAUAGCACAUCUUUUUACAAAAAUUUCCAAAAAUAUAACAAUCCAAAUGGGCUGGAGUUCCUAUUCGUUUUCUUUUAUCCAGCUAAAAAUAUUAAAUAUCUAUUCAAGAAGAUCCUCAAUCAACCCAAUAUUAUAAGCCGAUACCCUUCACUUUGCACCUACAUCCACCCAUCUACAUCCGAUAGGCCAACACUAUUCACCAAGCAUCUUCGUCCAUACAUGGGGAUCCUGUAUGGGCCUCCGGAUCCAUUAUGGAAGUAUGAAAUAAUUUGCUCUGUUUGGCAAGUGAAUUUUUGGGUGUUUAUCUAAAAUUUUACUCUAGUUUACCGUAGAAGUUGUAGAAAAAAUUUUUGAAGUGUGUAAAUUUUUGGAUAUUUUGAAGUGUGUAGUUUAAAAAUUUUGAGAAGUUUUUUUGAGGUUACUGUAACUAAAGUUGUUAAAAAACUUAUAGCAGACAAACUUGGCCAAAAACUUGUUUGCCAAACAAGGCCAUUAUUCUGUAUACUAAACGACCCUAUGGAAAACAAAGCAAGGGCCUGAAUUUCUUAGGAGAACUGAAGCAUGGGCCAGUCACGAGGGUUGAUGGAUAUCACGAUAAAAGCCCAAGCUUACGACACAAUUCAAUAGGUUGUUUCCUAACCUUUUCCCCACCCCCCCCCCCCCCCACACACACACACACACACACACAGAGAAGAAUAAGAAUUAAAAAAAAGAAAAAGAGAAGGCCAAAUGCAGUUUUAUAUUAUAUAAAAUAAUUUUCAACUUCAAAGUAUUCAUGUAGUUGAUGUAAAUCAAGUGGCUAUACACAUACUAUUAUAAUUGAUUGUAUGAGUGAGCAAUUUAUAUAUUAAGGGAAAUUGCAUCAAUGGGUUAUUUUCUUUUCCGAAAGGGUUUAAAUUGAUUAAACAUUUCAAAGAUGAGCUUAAAAUAGGUCAAGCCUGGAAACGCAUAUAAUUAAUCUUUAGGAUUUUUAUCCUUCAUAUUGUUUUGUUUAUGCGAUUUAGUAAUGUUGUGCAUCUAUUUUUGUUCUCACAACAAUGCAGGGGAUAAAGGCCAUGGCCACCUUCCUUCUGAAAGAUAAAAAGAAAAGGUAAAAAACGAAAAAAAAUCUAUAGAUCUUGCAACCGGGAUUUAGAGCUGGCAAUUUGUCCCAAGUCCCAAUGGGCUACCCAUGCCCAAAGGAACUUUGGGCGGGAUGGGUAUUAUAAUUUGGUAUUGGGUUUAAGUUGGGACACAUCCCAACUAUACCCAUUAAUGAAUGGGAAAGGAUGGGAAAUACUUGGGUACCCAUUGGGCUCAAAUGGCAAGGGCUCCGUUUGGAUUAGCUGUUUUUGGUAGGUGUUUUUGAAAUAUUUUAUUGUAGCAGUGUAUAUGAAAAAUUUUUACUAUAAAAUUUUUUUGAAAUAUUUGAUAUAUUAAUAUGGAUGGGAUGUUUCUUGAGUUAUUGUAUAUUACUGUAACAUUGUAUUUGAAAAACUUAUUUUUUGAAAAAAAAGUCAAUCCAAACGGAAUCUUAGAUUCAAAAAUUAUCUUUAACAAUUUUUAUAGUCAUACCAGCGAAUAUAAUCUAGUAGUCUUCCUAGUCAUUAUCCACAAGAAUUUCCAGUAUUUCAGUUAGUUUAGACCUGUCAUCCUUGGACAAUGAUAAGGAUAAAUAUUCAACAUCCUAAGGACCUUGGCCAUCUUGAUAUAUGUUGGAAUAUGGCUGUAUAUCUAUCUUUUCCUUUAUUUGUUAAUCCAAUUUUUGGUGGGAAUCUUGAGUAUAAAGCACUUGCAUGUUUAUUUAAUGAAACUAAAAGAAAUUUAAUAAAUCAAAAAUAUAAAAAUUAUAUAAAAUAAAAAAUGAAUUAAAGGAAAAAAAAUAUGUAGAAAAUGGAUUUGGGUAUUGGGCGGGAUCAAUCUAAACCCAUCCCAAAAUGAUCCCGCCCAAGUUAGUCCCAAAACACAUAUGGGUAAGGUUGGGCCCAAACCCAUAUGACUCGGUUCCAUCUCAAACCCAAGCAAAUCCCGCCCAUCCCGCCCAUUUUGCCACCUCUACCGGGAUUGCAUGUAUUGCAAUUGUGAACCAAAUUCAAAUCCAACCACCACAAAAUUGACAUUAAUUGUGGAUAUAUUAUCAUAAUAUUUUAUGGAAAAAAAAAAAUAAGAAGAAGGAGAACAAAUGUUGGGGAAAGGAAAGCCCAAAGGUCAAAUAAUUCAUAAAUGCCAAAUAAUGUCAGCGAGCAAAAUUGGCAAACCCAACUACAACGCAUAUAGCAGUACUAGUUGCAAAGAUUAAAGACAGCUUUGCCUCCCUCAGCAUUUACGGAGGUAGCCAAUUGCCAAAGAGAGAGAGAUGGAGACGACGGUUUUUCUUUCAUGUGAGAAAGGAUAAAAUAAAGCCCCUACUUUUCUUCAUUUCCUGAUUUCAUCUCAAUCGUUCCAUGCCAGCUGGCUCUCUGCUCUCUCAUUCAUUUAACUAUGUGACAGCAACCAUACCCAGUUGCCCAUCUCCAAUCUCAGGAUGGAUCAUAAUUUUAAUCUCAAUCCUUGGGAAUAAUACUUGAGGAGGUUGUUCUCCAUUGCAUAAAUUUUCUUUAGUAUUUGCAGCGAAUAGGUGAAUUCUGGUUUAACGAGCUGUGUUGAGCGGCUAAGGUAUUCUCCUGUAGUGGGGCACGGCUCUAUAGAAAUCACUUGCUCAAAUUAUCAGAAGCGGGGCUGUGUCCCCCGGUUCCCCUCCGAUGGUCUAGUUAGUUCGGAUAGGAAUCAACAUGGAAGGAGCUAUUAGGAGUGAUUCUUACAGAAUAUUCAGUUGGUUUCUUCUGAGUGGGAGUCUCUGAUAUUUAUAUGAAGACAACUUGGAGAGAAAGAUGGUGGGAUUCAAGUUCCUAGGAUCUGAGGGGGACUGAGAGUAUCCGCCUGAUUUGACAGGUUUGUGCCAGGGAUAGGUCUUAUCAGAUGUCCUGUCUGUCCUGCAAGUGUCAGGGCCUUUGACUAGACAUCUGUUGUCACGUCAGUCACAGCGCCACUCUGGGACAACAGUAGACGUAGGAGUCACUCGGUCCUCCAUACGCGGGGUGUAGCCGAGGUGACUAGAGCCGAUGGGAGUCCCCUACGAGAUGAAGGGAUCAGCCCGGCACGACCGGGCCGAGAUGAUCAUUAUCAGGAACUAUGGGCAGGAAAGGGGGCCCGGCUUGGUUAAACCAAGCCGGGUCGACCAUCUCAUGCAGCAUCAUGCAUUAGAUGAUUGCUUAUGUUUGGAUUAUCAAUGUAUAAGCGAAACAUAUAAUGCAUGUUAGGAGGAUUCCAAUUGGGCUACACGAAGAUGUAGGACGUUGGAUCGUAUUGAUCGAGAUUUAAACCACCGACCUAAUGCACGGGAGUAACUUUAAGAAAUCCUUCUUAAUCAACACAGCUUAUAUAUUUUAAUGAGCAAAAAUUAUGUAUGAGAUAGAAAGAUGAUUUUCUAGUCUCAGUCUUGCCACUAGCACACUUAAGUGACUUAACCGAGGGAUGAAUUAGACCAAGGAUAUGGGUAGAUUAUCAAAUUUUUUCUUUGUCCUCCCCUCCCAACAAAGGUAUUCUAGUUAUAUGGUCUGGCCAAUUUCUCUACUGUGUUGUCCAAAAAGUUGAAAACUAAGUGCAAGUUUAGAAAGACGUGACAUAUUUGAAGGGUAUGGCAUCCAUUGCCACUAGAGACAUGGAAGAUAAAUGCUUCUUUUCUAGCUAAUUAAUAAGUAGUACCUUCUUAAUAUGCAAGGACAGGCAUCAAGAAUGGAUACCCUUCAAAUAUUAUAGCUUCUGUAUUCUUUCGAGUAAAAAUUACCAGCAUCAUAAAGCACUCAACAAGCAAGAUUCUAGUCUAGGAUUCAUCCUCGAAAUAAUGCACCAAUAAAGCCAGAAUGUUUGGUUGGAUUGUGGGGUCCUAUAAAUGCUAGUGAUGAUCAGACAAGGGGAUUGGGCACUUCGUUGGCAUCUGUUCUGAUGUGACCAAUGAAUUCUGUGGUUUAAUUAAACUGCAGAAAAGGACUCAACAUUUCUCCCAACCAAUUCGUGUUUGUAGAGUUUUUUCCUAUUUUAUGCUUCACAUUUUGUUUUUUUCGUUAAUGUGGUAUACAAAAAUAGUAGAUGAGCCCAACAAAUCAUCAAAUAUGCAGAGGGCUCGUCUGCCGUCCAAAACGUAGUAAAUGAAGCUUUCCCUUCUAUUUAUCAGCUAAACUUGGGUAAUUUACGUACUCAGUUAAUACAUUAUUAAUUCAUAACAAGGAAGUAAAGGUGAGAUGCCAUUUUUGUUCCCAAAUUAAGAUGGUAUGUGUUCUUUUUUUUUUCUUUCUUUUUGAUUUAAUCUUCUUCUAGUGUAUGUACAGCGAAAACCUUUAGCUCAUUCUAUUCUAUUUUAUAGAACAGUCUGUCUAACAGGUGCUCAUAGGACAUCCGUUAAGAUGUAUUUUAAAUGUUAAAUUUUUAGAAAUACAAAAUUAAUUACGGAAAGUAUGUAAAUGCAGGGAGAUUAAUAAAAAAAAGUAUAUAAAUACAAGAGAAAAUAGUAAUUUUUAGUACGUAUAUAUAUAUGAGAGACUGCUCAUGGAAUACACUUUAGAAAAACCCUUUGCGAAAUUUGGUAGCUACAAAUUAGAUGUGCAGGUACGGCAAGAUGACAUCUUGAUAACACUUCAUGGAGUAAGAUUAGGGUUAACUAAUCGUAAGAUCUAAGAGUAUCCUCAAGAAUUCCAUCCAUGAUUUUUCGUCAGAAGCAUAUGAUUGAGCCGUACCACGUCACUAAUGCAGUCAUUUUUGCUUAGUUUUAGCAACGAGGCGUUGACUCACAAAUCAUUCCUUUGUUUAAACAAACACUUUUUAUUGGAUAGCGAUCUGUCUAAUUUGUUGAUUUAUACAUUUAUCAAUCAGUACGGGAUUACAUAUCAAUUUCAAAUAUUCUUUCUACUAUUACAAUCUACAAAAUGCUUUCAAUCCUCCUCCUGAUACAUAUCUGCAUUACAAUCAGAGAAUCUCAAUGUAUAGAAAAUUGUCCCUAAAGUAAAGGCCCAUACUAACACCCUUCCACAAAAAUUCAAAAAAUUUUGGAUCAGGAACCCCAGGGAAGGAUGAAGGAUUGGGCGUCCCCAGGGAAGGAUGAAUUGAAGGAUCCCCUCACCAAACGUUUUCAAUUCAUAAAGAAUUUCACGUGAAAGGUUUAUCAUACAUCAAUCAGACAGCAUUGAAAAGCUACAAAAAACAUCUCUCUUCUCUUUUUCUUCACGUUGGCCGUUUUUCUUUGUCAGUUUCAUACAAAAGGACACCCAAUCAAUCAUAAUGGACAACAACAAAUUAUUUCACAUUCUCCUACGACUAUUUGCACAAGAAUUUAAUCACUUUUCUUAUAAUUAACAAUAAUGACCAAUGAUUGGAAAAUUCCCCAAGGAAAUAAGAACCGAGAGAGAAAGAAAAAAAAAAUCAUAUAUCGUGUGAUUUGGUGGUGAGUCAAGCCCGAGUCAAGAAACUGCGCAACCGCGUCUUGUAAACCCUAGUCGCCAUCGCUCCCUAUCGAAUUCGAGCAUGAACCCUUGUUGCAUUACAUUUCCGAUGAGCGAAAACCCCGACGGCUGAACCACCGGUUGCAAUGCCAGGCAUUUUACGUUCUCCGCCGUGUCGAUAAAGUAAUUUUGAGGUGGUGGCGAGAACAUCGAGCCACCAGCGAGUUUGAAACGCAGCCUGGGUAGACUCAGUCUCGACACGCCUGACACGUUGACGCAGAAAUCAAAAUUCGGAUUCCGCCGAUCUGACUUUGGCAGCUUAACGCGCCGCAUAAACUCCUGUAGCACUUUAUCAUAAGCCGGCUUCACCAAAAAUGUCAAGGUUGUCCCAGAAUCCAUGACUGUCCCCCCAUUGCCAAGGUCAUCAAUUGCCCAAACCGAAGGGCUUAUUCGUAAUUUAGCGCCACCAACAUAAGCAGCCUCGAUCCCAAUGUAAUAAAAUGUAGGGACAAGCUGUUGUUUAUCAACGGCGUGUAGCUCAUCUUAGCACCUCCCACGACGCCGGCUUCAGGGCCGCCGCCGCCGCCAAUUAAGAGAUAGCUCGUCGGAGUAGGGCUGAGGGUGUAGUCCAUCAAACAAUAAGAGAACUUGUUACCGAACUUCCGGCCCAACUGCGAUGGAAACGAAAUCGGCCCAAGACCCAAGCCUAGAACUCCUUGAGCACCAUUGAAGCUGGGUCCCGUUACGCUCGGCCCAGAAGCUCGAAACCCACAGCCGAAAGCUAAGUCCCUGAAUUUCACAACCUUGCCUGAGCUCGUGUUGAACGUCGUGGUUUCGCGGGAGAAGAACCCGGAACUGAGGGACCCAUCAGAAUACGAAUAUUCAUAGCGGCACGUGCUGUGGCGACGGGUGUGGUUACAGGGCACGCGAUCAGGGUGGGGGACGAGUUGACACACCGAGUCAUAGCAAUGGGACGGUGAAAAUGUGGUUGAAUGGCGAGCUAAAAAAGCCGAGUUGGGCGGUCUAGAGGAGCAGUUCCGGCAGGCGGAGCAGGUGACCCAGAUAAGGUCGCUGCCGGUAUCUGCGACGAGGAGGAGGGGCUGAGGCGGUGUGCCAAGGGAGAGCGAAACGAAGUACUGGCCGGCGCCCAAGGAGGCGCCGGAGGUGAGAGGGAGAUGGGCAGUGGAGGUGGAGUUCUUGCGGUGGAGGUGGCGGUGGUGGUGGAGGGAGUUGAGGCGGUGAGUGUCGGAGAGUAGAACUUCGGAGGGGGUUGGAGGGAAAUGGUGGUUGGGGUGGAGAAGUGGGAGCUUGAGAUAGUCAAAUGUGGGUGGCGGUUGAGAAGUGGAAGAGGAGGAGGAGGAGGUGGUGGGAUCUAGGAGGAAGGUUAAGAUGAGGAAGCAAGAGAAGAGAAGAAGAGAGAGACGGGGGGAGAGUGGCAUCACUCUCAUUUUUCUGUGACUGGGAGAGAGACAGAAACAAAGACGGUAGGUGUCAUCGGAUUUAUAUGUACAAAUUGUUAGAUAUAGAUGAUUUAUUUAUUUUUUUUCUUGAAAAUUUUACUAUUAUGUUUUAGAUUUCUAUAUUCUUUUGUUUUAGAUUUGUUUAUUCUUUUUCCAAUAAAAGGAGAGAAGAGAACAUUUGGAACUUCUUUUUUUUUUUUUUUUUUUUGUUGGGGUGCUAGAAAACUUCUGAUUUUAGUCAUAAGCAGUAUCAAGAUUCAAGACUUAAAUAGACACCCGAAGAGUAUAAUUAAGUUGAUCAAAUUUCUAACAUCGUAGACGUGAAAUAUUAGCCUGAUACUUUUAUAUUAGCUCUUUUUUUUGUAUGAAAAUUUUACACCUUCACUCUAUCUCGUUUGGACUACAAUUUUUGGGAAAAAAAAAGUGUCUUUUCAGAGUUUUCUAGAAAAUAUAUUUUUCCAACAAUUUCACAACUAAAAAAUCUAACGACCCUAAUAUUGCAAUCCACACGGCCUCAUCUAUUGCACGAUUAGGUUACCAUCAUCUCACUAGCGCGAUUAGUGGCUGUAUGACUUCAUAAUACUACAAGUUUUACUAUGAUGUAUGUAUACUAUAUAUUAGAUACGGUUAUAAAUGUAGGUAUAAUUUUAUGCGUAUGGGGUAGAUGUGAACGAGGAGUGAUGAGAAGGAAGAUUGAGGGGAAAAAGGAUAGGUUGGAUGACACGAGAGAAGAGUGUAAAUAACAAAUUUGCACACAAAAAAUGAGUUAAAAAAAAGGAGUAAUGGUGGAAAUACAAAUUCGUGCAAAAAUAGCGGGAGAUGAAGGAAAGAAGAAGGAAGAUCCCCUCGUAACCUCGUGUGUGGGUGUGUGUGUGCGUGUGAUGACUGAGGAAAAGAGGAAUCACUCACAAGUGCGUGUAAAUGUGUGUGUAUGAUGACUUAUAGCUUGUCUUGAAAUUUGAAACUGUGUAACAUUAUUAUGGGAAGAAAAAAGGGGGUAAAUUAUGGGCAGAUUGGAGAGCGGGGCACAUAUACUAUGAUUGAGUAAUAUGCCAGCGAGGAGUACCGAUGGGAUCCAAUGAUUGAUAUAUAUAUAUAUAUAUAUUGUGUGUGUUUGUGUAUCAAGAGCACCGCUCCAAAACAAAAUUUGUUAGUUUCUCUGCGUGUUUUUGUGUGUGUGUGUGUGUGGAGUAUUAUUUUCUGAUGAACAAGAUUUGAUUAGGUUAAACAUGUCAGAUUUGCCCGGUGAUGGUUAUCAAUAUUCUGGAGUUGUACUGCAAACAUGACGACUUUAAGAUAAGAUUUUUUUUUUUUGCUUGCUUACCAAUUGAAUCGAAGCUUGAAAAGUCAAUUUCUGCUUCCCAAAUCCGGUGUAGUGUAAAUGCAAUCCACGCACCGAACAAGAAGAGGAAAAGAUUUAUGCUAUGUAUUUAUUACUGAGAUUUUUCUAACGAGUAUUCCUAAGUCAUUCGUUACCACACCUAACAUAUACCUAAUGUAUCGUGGUGUAUGUAUGUACAUAUAUUAAUAAUUAUUACUCUUUUUUACAUUUAUAAUAUAUUUUUUAUUUAAUUUCACCUACCCUCUAUUAUGUUUAUUUAAUUUCUAUAAUUAAUUUUAUAUUUUAAAAAAUAUGACAAUUGUAAUAAGUAUACCUUAACGAGUGAUUUACGAGCACCCGUUCGUUAAAAGAAAGACGGCUGCUGCUAUCAUUUUCAUUUUUUCUUAGGUUGUAUGUACAGGCUGUACAGUAUAUUGUUUGGUUCAUGUGGCUUUUCUUCCAAAUCGGGAAGCUUGGUCAAUAAUUGUGGUUCACAUCGUGACAAUUAAUGGUGGUGUAAGAUACGGACAUGGAAUAGUUAAUGUAUUCAACCGGUAACUAUCCCUUUCAUAACUCACAGUUUUUUGUAUGAGUGUUUCGAUAAAUGGACUCUGCGAAGACACUUCAAAAGCCGGCAACUUUUGAAGUGCUCCGCAGCACUUAACUACUAAACCCCCCAAACCCCCCAAGCGAUGUGGGAACUUAACCCCACAGGGUGCCCCGCUGCUAAGAGAUAAAGACCCCCCAGACUCCCCGAGACAGGUUUUUCCCUUUCAUAACUCACAGUUUUUUGUAUGAGUGUUUCGAUAAAUGGACUCUGCGAAGACACUUCAAAAGCCGGCAACUUUUGAAGUGCUCCGCAGCACUCAACCGGUAACUAUCAAGGCUAACGUUAUAAUGACUGUUGAAUAGUAAGUAAGUAGUUUUUAACAAUCCGAUGCAUGAUUAAUAUUAUGAUAUCAAAUCUUCCUCGUUAGUUUUUAUUAUUAUUUUUAUCGACACAGGGGUGUCCUGGUCAAUUCUUACGGGGCCCGAUUAAUCCCCUGCGGUCCGGACCCGACGCCCCAAUCCGGCCCGAAUACGUUAAGUGUGCGGAGGAAUCCAGCGGAGCGGAGACUCGUUAGAUUAUUUAGGAGUCGCGAUCAUCUUAACUAUAUCGUAAAACGAAAUGUUCAAGUCCAAAUUAACAAUAAUAAUUUAUGGCUUACACCCUAUUUUCUUUUUCUUUUUCUUUUUAUAAAAAAAAGAAAGAAAAAACUUAUUCUCCUCGUCCCUUUUCAGAAAAGGGAAAAAGGGGUCUACUAGGGUGCAGCUGCAGCCCUCAGUUUGCAGUUGGCUGGGCUCCAGGAAUUCACUUUAAUCAUGUUUGUGACAGGAAAGGGUCCAAGAACAUUGGAUGCCUUUCAUUUUUGUGCGAUCAUAAAAUGCAAAAGUUUCAGUCAUAAUAAAAGUAGUCGUAAAAAAAAAAAAAAAAAAAGAAGAAGAAGCUCUAUUACAAAAGAAAAUCUAAACCAAAAGAGAAGUAGCAACUACUUGGAAAAUAAAGAACUUGGAAUGGACAACAGGAGGAACAAGCAUUACGGGCAGGUUUUUAACCAUAGCAUGUUGCGUAGAACAAUAUGAAAUCUUGGAGUCAAAGGAUUCAAGAAAAAGCACAAAUUGCAAGAUUUCUUCACAUCCACAUGAAAACCCAUGUGUGCUUACGUGCCUUAUUUGAAAUACUGAACCAAGCAGAGGAGUCGUGCUUGAGAGUUGAAGCCAUUUCCUCAAAAAAAAAAAAAAAAAAGAAGAAGAAGGAGUUGAAACUUUGCAUGUAUGCCCUUAAUCUAUGCAUGUGAUUACUGAUUUUGCGCCAGAGUCAAAAUGCUUGGCGUCCUUUUGAAUAAUGACGGCCAGCUGCUACAAUAGUUCUUCUCUCUUUUCUCCUCUUGUUUUUCAAUUCUGUUUUUCCUUUUGGUAUUUCCUUGAGGGAAUAGCGGGAAUUGGAGACCAACUAACAUAACAUGGUUGGUUCCCUUCCACCUCAUGCCCCAAAAUAGCAAUUAAUAAAUGUACCAAUUGCCUGCACAACCUCUGUUACCAACUUUGCUGAGCAGCAUUGUAAAGUACCCGGGGGGAAAAAAAAUUAAAAAAGAAGUAGCAGCAUUUAAAAGAUUAAGAUAGUUGCAAGUUAAGGAUGGCACUCAAUAGAGAGGGUCAAAUUUCUAAGAUGAUGCUCCAUAGAUUGUAUAGUGGUAUUUAGCUACAUGUUUGCUUUGAUAAAAUCAUCUGAAAAAUAUGUCAUGACGACGGAGAGUGAAUCACCAUCGAUCGAUCGGAUUAAAUGGAUGCACUAUGCACCCAUAUGGAUGUAAGAAAAUCACAUAGUGGUAAAGUAAUGAGAAAUAAAAUUUGAAUCCUUAAUCUCCCGUCCCAUCAAGAUUUUAAGUCAUGGGACUUUGGAAUAUUGGUUUGUUCAAGAUUUUAAGUCACGGGACAUUGGACUGUUGAUUUGUUAUUACGUGUUUUAGAUAGAGCUAAUUAAUAUUUGCCAAAAACUGGUUUAGCGCCCAUUCUUAUCUUACUAAUAAAUAGACAGUCAAAGAAUCGAACCUUUGCCAACUAAACUUAACCUGUAAAAUUUUGUUUGAAAACCUUCUAAUUUUGACCGACGAGGAAAAAUCGAAAUCAAGCUAUUGAUGGAUUGCAAUGGAAAUAGCUGACUGAAAAGACUUAUUAACUGAACAAUACUAAUACUCCCCGAAAUAAAUACGUGUACUGACCUAAGAUCAAGUUUUGAGACCCCAAUAUUUUCCAUGAUUUAAGGGCAGGGUGCAGGAUCGGGUCACAAUCAAAUAUGGAGCAAGGGGAGCACAUGCGAGGAAGAGAAGAGACAAGGCAGAGUUUUGUCCGAAGAAAAUUAGGACAUCAUAAUUGAUUGAGAUUUUUGUCCUUACUUAAGACAAAACUUCACAUGUCACCAAAAUAAAUUCCUCUAAUUUCUCAGAAUUCUUCAAUAAUUCUGCUUCUUAGGCGGCCUAAUAUUGUUACAUCUGACAAAUUUUCAGAUUUUGAUAAUGCAAAGAAUAUCUUUCGCUUGAAAGAAGAGGCAAUAAUAGUUGGCCCCUCUCCAGGACAAGAUCCCUCCAUGUUUCGUUAAUGGAGUUUUGGGCGAUAGGCAGGUGACAAUUUCUCCUCUCUUUUUUUUUUUCACGUUUAGGUGGAAAGGGAAAAAAAAACCCAUAUAAUGAAAAAAUGCCUCAAGUAUGAAAAUAAUGUAGGAGUAAUAUAGAUGAGGUGAAUUGCUACUAGUAACGUGGGACUUUUUGUGCUAGUCACAGUAUCAAUUUAUACAACAGUUUUUGCAGUUCGUAAAAUGGGGGCAACAUGAAAACUAGAUUAACAUGCAAGAAUCUAGAUAAAAUAGUCUAUAUUCUAUGAGUGCAAUUGAUACAAUUUUAUAAUUUGAAUACCUUUUUUAAAAAAGAUAUAUAAUUAAUUCUUCAAGGUCUAUGGAAACAUGCCCUGGUAAAUAUGUAAGUCGAUUGCAGACCAGUUAAACAAUGACCUUUUUUAGACAACGAUAGUUGUGCAAGAUGAAAUGUCUACUGCUUAGAUGUUGGACUACGAGCCCUGCUCGGUUGAGACUGGUCGUCUGUAGUUAUAGUAAGGUCCCAAGUUCGACCUCUACGUGUUACUGUUGUUAGGUAUUUUUGGGCGAAACUCCGCCCAGCUCGGAGGAGAUUAGCCUCCAGACCCGGUAAAAAAAAAGAAAAAAGAUGUUGGAUUACGAGAUUCGAGCAAAACAAAUAAUUGAACAAAUUAAUAAAUGUAGGCCUACUAAGAAGAAUAUGUCAACGGGGGAUAAGCAAUACCAGAAGCUGGUAACUUGAAAAAGUAAAAAGGCCCAGAAGCAGGUCUAGCCGUUGCGCAAUUUGUCAUCUUUAUACAGAGUAUGAUUCCAUGAACAAGAAAAAGGGCAUCCUAAGGUUGCACUGCUGUCUGUCAAAGAAUUUGGUGAACAAGCAGCAGUGUAGUGUGACUGUCAAGUCACAAGUGGCCAGAAGUGGCAUCUAAGAAACAGAAAAGGAUGAAUGGCUUGAGAUUCAAGUGACUUGGGUCUUUUUAACUAUAGGUUAAGAUAGAUACGGUUUAUGUCAAAAAGAUCAUAGAUAGAUAGAUAAUCUUAUGUGAAAAAAAUUUGGGUCUUUUUAUCUAGGGUAAGAUAGAUACUCUUAGCGGUCAACAAUCAAAAUUGAGAACUUACAAGUAGAAAAUCUCAAGUUCAAAUAUUCCAACUUAGAAUUGUAAUAUUUCUGCCUUUUUUCUUUCUUUCUGAAAAAGACUAGGAAUUGAUAGUUUGGUACUUGGUUUACGUUGGUAUUAGUACCACCACACUAUUUGUGGGAAAAAAGUAACGUAGAUUGUUUGUAAUCGUAGCUCCUUAAUUGUAAUCGUAGGCUGUUCAGUUAUGUUUGACAGAAAGUAUCCAGUUCAUGUCUCUUAAGCUCUGAUCGUUAAAACAAAAUUGUCGUGACACAUUGGUACCUCUUUUAAAUUGGAUACAACACAGUCAAAACCCACAAUAGUAGAAAAAGAAAAAACAUGAAAACUAAUUCCAGUAAUAAGUAACUCGGGACUGCCUGCCUUUUCAAAGUAGUUAAUUGAUAACCACAUCACACAGGAAGUAUCAAAUAAUUGUCAUGCUUACUACUUGUCUCGCUUAAUCUCCGAACUACAACUUAUAGUCCAAUGAUCUCUAAAAUGACGGUAAUGGUAAUGGUUAAUUACUUUUCUGCGAUACAAGCUUACAACAACCAUUUCAUUCAGAAAAACACACACAUGGCCUCCAAGAGCGUAUCUCCUCCUCGAACUUAGUGCUCGAGACAUGAAGAGAAUACAAUGAUGUGGCUUGUGUCUGAACUCUGGAGAGAAUGGCCUUGGCAUCUUCACUUUCUUUGGAGGCAAGUGAAAGGAAGCCAACUGUCAGCAUGCGCAUUCAUCAAUGAUAUUCAAACAAGACGGCAAACAAGGAAAAUUGAACUCAAGCGCAUAAGCUUCAGAUUCGCCCUUUAUCUUUAUUUACAGAAAGUGGCACGUAUCCACGGUGGUCGAGAUUUAGAGAUAUCAAGUGACCACAUCUUAUACUGAAUUACUUAGACCACGAUGACGGCUUAAAUCCUCCAACCAACAAGUUUGAUGCCGCAGAUGCAUUUAUUUUUCUCCUCUUGGAUUCAAGUUCCACGCGUCUUUUGGAUGAAGAUGACCCAGAAUAUCCAGAAAAUAUUGAAGCAGCAUUGAUUAGUGCUCGUUUAUCUUUCCUGUUCUUAUCAAACUUGUGAGCAAAUUUAACACUUCGAGCAGCAGCAGCAUCAUCUUCAGAGGCAGGAAGCAAUCGAAUGCCAAGCCCCAUCUUCCUCGAAGCUGCCUCUUCUUCAGCUACUCUUUUCUUUUGGUUCUGCAGACGUUUGAAAAUCAGAUAAUCAUAGAAGUAAUGGACACAAAUAACCAAAAAAUGUAGAGAAAAUCCAAAUGAAAUCAUACCCUAAGUUUGGCUCGCAGGGAUUUGUUUAAAGCAUAAUCAUCAGAGUGCCUGGAGUCAGAUACUCGUUGAAGGCGCACUAGCACCGGCUCAGCUUCCUUCUUCUUCUUUAUAUCCUCUUCCUGGUGCUCAAGACGGUAAAAAGGAUCUGCCAACUUACUUCGUUCUGAAAAAAACAAGAGUCCAAAUUAUGCAACAGAAAAUGGUUAAAAUAUUGUAACUUUUCUUCCAGUACUGCUUCCUACAGAAAAAUAAAAAUUAUGCAACAUAAAAUACUUCAAAAUGUUAACUUUUCAGCCUGUUCUGCAUCAGAAUAUGUCCCCCGAGGGGGAGGGGGGAAGAGUGUGUGUGUGCGCGCGCGCAUGUGUGCUUUCCUAACAAGAAGCAGAUGACAAUCUAGACGUGCAAGUCAGAUAGAAGCUACUCCAACCAAUGGCAGACUUCACCAUAGAGAAUAAACACAAUAAAGAGAGCAAGCAAGCUUACGGCUAACAUACAUUUCAGAAGCAUAUCCCAACAUUCUCAUAGCACAUGAAUAAAUAAAAAUUUUCUAUCCCAUGGAUGUCCGAGUGCCAGUAAUGACCAAUAGUAAACCUCACCUUCAUCAACUGGGAGGAGCAUGGUUUCAGCAUCUUCUACAUCAAACUCCUCAAUUUUCUUUCUGGCUCCACUUAUAAUAACAUAUUCACAAUUCUUUGGAUCUGUUUGAAUCACUAUCUCAUGUUUGCAGCAUGCAGAUUUCAUUGUAAAGCUCCAUAUCUGAUACAAUUACAGAUAUAUUACUGUUAGAACCCAAACAAUAAAGAUUUUCUCCCCACCCAAUUGAUUAAACAGAUUGUGAACCAACAUGCCUACCUUUGUCGAAUAAUAGCUGCCAACUUGCUUUUUCUCUGCAUUGAAGCGCACACCCUUUGCAAUCAUGGACUCACAACCACCACACCAAAUGUUGUAUGGCAUCUCAAACCUACAUAAAGGAAAACGUGUCCAAAGUCACCAACUAGAAGUUCCCAACUAAAAGAAGAAGAUAACCAAGGGAUAACAUUUUGAAAACUUUAAUUUAGUUUUCAUAUUUCUUACAUGGUCCUUUACAUUCAUCUUAGAUUUAAAAAAAAAAUCAAUCACAUAAAUUGGCAGAAGUUUAAAGAUGAUAUGAAUCAUUCUUUCUCAGUGAUAAUAUCAAUUCAAAUCCUUCAACUUGAUCGAAAGGUUUCAUAAGACUGAAAAGAUCACACAUGAUAAUCUAUUGACAAAUGAAUCAUAAUGCCACACAGUUUGUGUUUUGGGUCUUCUCCCACUGACUCCUCUUACUUUCCAUACUUUGUAGAGUAUAAAGACUUGCAUGACUUAAAAAUCACUAAAAAGGUUCUACUGCUAUAUGGACAUUCACCAAUAACACAAAAUGCUCCAGAUUUAUUACCUUAUAACCAAAAUGCCUUGGUCCAAUUUUCUGGCUCGCUCCCGCAAAGCAUGUUGACCAUGGAACUUGUUCAACCCACCCUGAAUGAAAAGCAAUGAUGGAACACGUCACAGAAAAAGUGUUAAGCACAAAGAUGGAAGUAUCAAAGUGUGCAAGAAAAUAUGUUCAUGUCACAGAAAAAAGUGUUAAGCACAAAGAUGGAAGCAUCAAAGUGUGCAAGAAAAUAUGUGCACAGUACCUUUUUGGGUGACCAUUCUGGAGGGUAGUAAAAAUUAUCAGCUCUUGCAGCUGCAAGGGAAGACUGCAGAGACAAAAGAACUGAUUCAGCAACUCAAAAAAAAUCAGCACUACAUCUCAAAGAGAAUUAAAGUUUCAUAAAACAUCUUGUAACGGAAGAAACGACAAUGUUAAGCUGACCAUCUUCAUCCCUAUAUGUUAAGACUAUGGCAGAAAGAUGUGUGCAUUCACAUACUAGUUUCUUCCUUAAGCAUAUCAGGUCCUAGUUUAUUUAGUUUCUAACUAAGCACAUAAAACAUGGUAUCAGACAUCUAAAUUCAUUUGGUAAAGGGCAAAAAAGUUUAGGCUGGAAUAAUCUUCAUCAGAAAAACACUCUUACUGCUUCCACAAGGAAUUCACACUUAGAAAAGCAACCAACUAACAAUCAAACCGAGCUUAAUAAUACUUCUUGCUGAGCUUUUUAACUUAAAUUUCUGAUACACGUAUUGUUUCUCACUAGGAGUAUAUAUUUUCACCGUCACAUUAAGCAUUUUUUGAUGAAAUAUGAUUUCCUGAUUUUAAAAGCAGAAAAAUGUUUUUUUCCCCUUUUGGACGAAGUUUCAUCAUGGCUUUACUAAAAUAAACAGAAAAAUGUCCUAUCAGGCAAUUCAUCAUCAAAUUUCACACAAAAAACUGCAUAACAAAGAGUAAGGAAAAAAAAUGAAACAACAUCAACUAGAUUUUAGGGAAAUGUGUAUAACUCUUCACGAAAUUUAUGCAAUCAACAACAAGACCCAUAUAGAAAAUGAAAACAACAUAGCGUGGCAAACAAAAAAUCAUACACAAUUAGAUAAAUUUUCGGAUUACAUAAAAAAUUUUAUACGAAAUUAACAGUAUAAUAUCCAUAAUUAUAUGCUAUUGAUAAGAAAAAUCGUAUUCGACAUGCUUCGUUAAAACCCUAGCCAUGAAAGAUAGGCAAAUUAAAUGACAAUCCUAAAUCAUUCAAGAAAAUUAUCGAGGAGGUAAAAUAACAGAUUCUGAUUUACAUACCAUUAUUGCUAAAUUUCUUCAGCAAUCGAGCGAUGACGAAAUCUUCUCCUCUUGUAUUUCUAGAAAGCUGGGUUUAGUUUUUGAUUCGCAAUUUUUGGUCGGAAUGACAGAUGCGACCACCGGUUCUCUUUUAUAUACUUGUGAGAGAUACGACAUCGUCCGCUGAUAAAGGAUUGGCGGCAAAGGCCCAUUUGCUGCAAUUCUAUGUCAUGGGCUUUUCGGGGCCGAAAGGCCCAAUCAAAAAACAUUGUCAAAGGCUGGACUGGUCAGCCAAUGUCUUUCUUUAAAUUUUAUUUCACCGAUAUAUUUUGUCAACAAAAUUUUUUUUUCUUUACUAAUUUAGAAAAGGUUUAAUCUUUCCUAGUCUUUUAUCAGAAAAAUAUAAAUUUCAAAAUUUGAUAAUGAAAAGAUUAUGUAACGUCCUCAGAACAUGAAGAGUAAUCGAGCAUUAGUAAAAUGUUUCCUAUGCUUUAUAUUACAGAUUGAUCAAAUACAUGAGUCACUUCUACUCUUCUUAUUUUAGAGAUCAUUUUUUACGUAACAAUGUGCUAGCUAUUUUGAAAAAAAUUAAAAGAUUUACUAUCUUUGCCAUUGUUGAAUAUUAAUUUUGCUAACUCGAUAUAUUUUUACUUGUAAAAACAAUUAGUAGAUGUGUAAUGUGCUUUGCAUCUUAAUGCUCUCAUGUGACAGCGUUACUUAAUUUGUCAGUACAUAAAAGGUUAAUUAUUUGGAGAACAUAUAUACAAAAAUUGCAUACAUCUUAACUUAAUUACUUUUUUUCAUUCAAUUUGCCCAAGUCAUCAUACCCAAACCAAACUAAGGGGGUUUUUAACAAAAAAAAACAUUGAUGAAGGACAAAUUUUGACCUUUUAGAGAUGUUGUAGAAGUUUUUCAAUCUACUUGCAAAACGUCCACAAGAAUCUCUGAAUUGCACCUUUAUGAUGCUCUAUUGAAAUAAUAAAAGGGUUAAGGCAGAAAGGUUAAGAUGCAAAAAUCUCAAGUUCAAAUUGCAUUGUAACAACUAAUUAGUUGUAUCCAUAUACUUGUAUGUAAUGCUAUAUAUUAUAUCCCUUGGUAAAGUGAUGCUAUCAAGCUAACCUUUGCCUUUCAGCAAACCAGUAAAAAAGAGAAAAGUUAACCUUUGGCCUCUCCUUCCCACCUAGCUGCAAUUUCUUCUAUUCACAUCAUUCAAAUAUCACGGAUUUGGUAAUCUGAACUAUAUAUAUUCAGUAGGUGCCAUAUAUAGGGAUCCAUCUUUUUCCUAAACAUCCUUAGCAAUGAGAUUUCCUCUAAAUCUUUAGUCCAUUAUCAGAUAAUGCACCUCACCUUUUAGCACUGAACAUGAUCGUAUCUUUACUUAGACAUUGAAAUAAAUCCUGAAAGUGUAGAUAAUCUUCCAUUUCUCUCUUUUGAGAUCUUUUACAGACAACAUUGCGAAUGAUCGUCAUCACUUUCUCAAACAGUGAAAGAUUGCUUGGUUGAAAGAAAACAUGGAUGGCAUAUUCCCCACUCCCCAUUUUCCCACCCUCUUGUGAGUUCCAUAAAUUAAACCCUUUUUUUUUUGUUGGGUUAAGUCUGUGCUGUGCUAUGCACUCAAACAGUAUCGAUCCACACACGUACAUGCAGAAGUUGACAUUUUCAUUAAACUAAUGAAGAAUUCAGCUCCCAAAAGCAGGAAAAGAAAAGGAAAAAUCAUAGCCCCAGAUGAAAAUUCAAAUAUUAUCUAAUUCAGUGUUUGACAAUCCACAUAAUGACUCUUAUAUUCCUUGAAAUCUAAGGAACAUUUAUUGGGAAUAGGGGUUUGCCGCCCCCCUUGUCUCUCUUUCUCUUUCUCCCACAAACACAUACGCAUUUACAUUAAAUACUACUAUUAGAUUAGCAAAUUAAUAAGCUCACUCUGUCACAAGGCUCACAUGUAAGCAAGCAAGCCCCCUCCAUUUUCAACCCUCCCCUCGUACGUAGCUCAAGAAAUCGUCUUAUAUUUGUCCACUAGAUUCGAGCUGUCAACCCUUGAAAUUUUCUCAAUCUACUAAAAACCCUUCUCCUUAUAGUCCCUCACAUCUUUUCUCUGCAUUUUCAUUACUCCAUGCUUCCUCUUCUCACCUUUCUUCUCCUCCUCUUCCAACAUGAAGAUUUCUCACGUGCUAAUCUACCUCAUUCUGUGCCUCUCCAUGUUGUUCUUAUGGUUUCAUGAGUACCGCGGCCUCAUGAACAUCCACAACUAUGAUGCCAUCAGCCAUCCAUCGUCUCUAUCCCAUCAUCAGCCCUUGAUCCAUAGAAAAGCACUAGCAAGCACCAAGUUUGACUUCACCCCAUUUCUUAAAAGCCACCAUAACAAGCGGAGACGCUCACCGGAUGACCGGGUGCCGCCCAGCGAUGGAGACGAAAUCGAUCCUCGGUAUGGAGCUGAAAAACGUCUUGUCCCAACCGGUCCAAACCCUUUGCACCAUUGAGGAAUGGAGGGCAAUUUAUGUGAAUGAAAAGAAAAGCCAGCAGCGAUCAUACAAGAAAAUGGUUAGUUACUAUAGGUUUGAUAUAUGAUGAUUUAAUUAGUCAGCUUUAAUAUGUAAAUGUAUCCGAGCAACUAAAUAUAAUUUGUUUUAUAUGGUUGAUUUUUAUCUUAGCUAGGCCAUCAAUAUCAAUAACAUGCUUGAUAGUGGGAUAUGAUGUUUCAUAAUGUCCCUUUUUUUUUUGUUUCCCUUCUUUUCUUCACUUGCAUAUUUUCGUUUUUUCAAAGUUUUCCUUUCCAUUUUGGUCGGUCACAAUGUUGUUGUUUUGCAAUGAACGAAUUGAUGAGUAGCUGUGACGGCACGGCACAAUGAAUGAAUUGAUACUUAGCUAACUCCAUAAUUAGAAUUAUUAAUGAAGUUGGUUAGUCUGGAAGGCUUGCUUUCUUUGAAGAAUAGUAUGAAGGAAUGGUAAGAUGCACGUGAUGGAUCGACUUGUUUUUGUAUUUGUAUGUUAUUGCCAAUCUGCCAUGUCUCUCGCUGGGCUAUAUAUAUAUAUACAUAUAUAUAUAUAUAUGGAGUUUGUACUCGAAUCUUGCUCCAACCCAAAGUACCAGAUUUAUUUUGUUAGGUUUUUUUUUUUUUGGUUGCCCUUUUCAAGAAGUUCACCACAAAGUGAUCAUUAUUCAACGAGGACUAUAAUUUGUCCUUCCAAGUCUUCACAUUAAGUAAAUUUAAUACACAUUAGAGGAUUGCUCAACAUACAAAUUAAUAGUCUUUCUUACGCACCAAAGUUGUUCAAUCUUCAAUGUACAUUAUAAGGCAGUUCUGAGUUCAAUCAGACACUUUAGUUUAGACUCAUUUCAGUUGGUUUUUCCUUUUAUUUUUUUUUUUAUCGUUUUAGGUACUAAAAUAAAGAGCAAUAUAUAUAAAAAAGAAUGAGGUCCAUAGAUAUAAUCCAGGCAUUUGAAUGAAAAAAAAAAAAAAAAAGAGAAAAGCGAACAUGAAAAAGGAUAAACCAUCCAUUGCAAUGUAUUGCACUUUAUUAUGGUGGAUGUAUAAAGUGAUAUUGAAGAAAUUGAGCAACAUUCAUUUGGCUGGCUGCCGGUGCCGGAUGGGAGUUUGGUUAUUGUUGACGGUGAGGUGGGUCCCCCAAAUAAACUAAUCAGUAGUGGCAGGUAAGUUAUGAGCGGUCAAGCUCUUCUAAAAAGUUAGUUAAUUAAUUUUGCCAUUUUUCAUUCAAUAGUUUCUUUCCCUUUUUUCUGAGAGCGUUUUGAGGAUUUGAAAGUUUUGAGUGUCAUUGUUGUGGUGGUUACGAAAUAAAUUUUGACAAUUUGCAGUCACAAAUUCUUUAUCGAUGUCAUGAAAUAAAUUUCGACUAAUUUGCAAUCAAAAUUUUCCAACAGUAAAAUGACCAUAGGAUCCGCGGUUUUUAGAUUGAAUGAGGUUAAAUUCAUUUUUAAAUAAAAAAUGGUUGUAUAGUUGUGUUGUUUAAUUACUUCUGAUUUAUCUUACAUUGAAAAGACCAAUCCUGAAAAUACUCCUUAAUUUGCAAUGAUCUGGGUUUUACUAAAGAAAUCGUCAUGAUAUUGUACUUUUAUUUUCAACUUCGAAACCUCCUAUUUACCAUCCCUCGCACCUUACCAUUUAACAUAACCUUCCCUCAUGCCGCAGUAUUGUGUCUUGCACAAUCUUUUGCUUGUCCCCUUCUUUUAUUACCAUUUUUCUCUACAAUUAACCUUCCACGAGAUUUAUCUUCAUGUUGGAUAUGAAAUAGAUUAUGAAUUACUGGUCUAAUAAGUGAAAAUGAAGUCAAAUUUCUAAUUAUUUUCUUUAAAAGAAGAAAAAAUGUAAAAAAAUUCAAAGGCUCGCUUAUGAAUUUUCAGACUACCGCGUGAUUGAUCUGCUUGCUUUUCAAACUUCUCUCUCAAACGUACAAAAUUUUAGGCCACACAAGCCUAUAAUUUGUAAUCAAAAUUGACAACCUAACCAACAAUUGAUUCAAAAUCAACAGAGGUAAGCACACUUUUAGCCGAUCGAGGAGAUUUUUUCACGUUUAGUUUAGUGAUUAAGGUUGAGAUUUCAAUAUGUAAUAAUUCUGAAUUCUAAUUUUUUCCAUCCUCUCCUCACUUCUUCAAUUAAAAAAAAAAGAAAAAGGUAAGCACGCCUUUUAUUUUUAUUUUUAAUUUUCUAAUCCAACUCGUAAAUUUUUGUCCACUAAGAAUGCCUGCCAUAUGUUAUUAUUAAGUAUUAUGAUCCUUAUCCUUAUAGUUAUUAGCUUUUGUUGUUAUAAUUGCUGCGGUUAAGGUUUCCCUUUAGCAUCUAGCAUGUAAAAUUACGUGCCUUGUGCUUACGAAGUCACGAUCUGUAAAAGCGAUGUUUGCAUCACACGCUUUCUUUUCUUGAGGUCAAUGGGAUAUAAACUAUGGCCGACUCCAACGUGACGGGCCUGACGGCUGCAAACUCCAAUUCCACGCUUUCAAGCCGGACGCGUGUUGCUGGGCCUUCAAUGGACAACAGAAGCGCCUCGCUGCGGCACGUUUUCAUCCACUAAUUUUGGUCCUGCCCUCCUUCUCAGGUGAGUUUUAGCAUAAAUUGAUUAAAUGUACAAAGCAAAAUAUGUUAAAUUAUGACCAAGAAGACGGAAAUCAUUAUUCUAAGGGGACAGGGAUAUAAAAGCAGGUGCAGGUGGCUGUUUACUCUGACGAGACCUAAUGACUUUUUGCACCUUUGAAAUACCCAAAUUUUGACGGUUUCAUCUUACAUCUUAAAUUUAGUGUCUAAAAGUUUUAAUUAGUGCUUGCCGCUUUAGCCCUUAUUAGACAGUAGCUAAGUGCUAAUUCUUGAAUGAAAUGAGUGCUUGAGCUUCAUACUGAUUCUAGAUUAUGAUUGACAAUGACCAAACCGAAUUGAUGGUGUUUAAUUAUGCAACUUUAGACAUUCAUGAAUUCCUAUAUUAAUUGCUCUAACUAGGCUAAAAGUAGAGGUACUUAUCAUCAUCAUCAUCAUGAAUGAGAAAAGCUAAAGUUACAAAUUUUUAUUUCACCCUCCAAUCUCCAGUUGCUUGUCCCAGGAUUCAAAUCCUGAAACAGGCAACACGCUAGCAAGUUGUUAGUCACAAGAUGUUAAUGAAUUGCUUUGUGUUGAAUCAGAAUUAGAGAUAAUAAUUAGCUGUCUAAUCCAAAUCAUGAGAGGUGUAGACCGAUUUAAGUUUGCUAAUCAAUUACUACAAUUUCACCUAUAUUUGUAAAGCUACAUAAUCCUCUCCAUAAAGAAUUAGGGAUAAUCUCAGAAACCUCUCCUGAGCUUUCUGACAAUUUCAUUGAGCUCCCCUCAGGUUUGAAAAAUUACACCUACCUCCCUUGAUUUGAUAGUUUUAGUAAGAAAACCUUAAAAUAAUAUUGACUUUGUCAAAUUUUUAAAUGAAUACCCAAAAUGCCCCUGUACAAUGAGUUUUAAUUUAUUUUUUUUAUACAAUUAUAAGAUUAUCUAAUAUAAUUAUAAGGAAAAGGUGCCAAAUUUUUUAUGUCCAUAUCUACUAUUUGAUAAACAACUAUAAUAAUAAAUAAUUUUAUUACUAUGAUAGGAUACUUUUGAUGGUAUUUUAUUAUGGAUUUAGAUUUAUAAGAUAUAAAAGAAAAUGUUGAAAUAAUUCAUUUGGAGUUUAUAAAAAAAUUUUCAAGUAGUGGGAUUAUCAUAAUUUAGUAGUGGUUUUGGGUCAAAUUUUUUUAUUUAUUGUUAAAUUUAAUACCAAAAAUAGAAAUAUAAAAAUCAACAAAACAUUGGAUUACAUAUAAGUUAACUCAUAAAAAAAAUCACUCAUUCGACAUUUAGGGCCUGUUUGGCACCCUAAUUUUUUACCAAGUUUUUUAGCUACUAGUUUUUUAACAACUUUUGCUACAGGAACCCCAAAAAACUUUCUAAAGUUUUUUAUCUACACACUUAAAAUAUCCAAAACACAACAAAAAAAAUUCCCUUCCCCUUUUUUCUUCUUCCUCCCCCACCACCACCUCCGUCGCCGGCUCCGACGCCGAUUUCUGAUGCUGGUGCCCGUGCCGGUCUUCUUUUUUUUUCCCCUUUUUUUCCCUCUCCCCCUCUUCCUCCCCUGCCAUCCUCCCCUCUUGUCUUUUUUUUUCUCUCUGCGUCUCCCCCAUUUCCUCCCCCACCUCUCUGUGAAAAAAAAAUAAAGAAAAGAAAGAUGGUGAGAGAAGCGGGAAGGGGAACAUGGGAGGCGGGGGGUGGCAGGGCAGAGGGGAAAGGCGGGGCAGAGGUGGUGGCGGGGGAGGGGGAAGCGGCGGCAGAGGAGGUGACGGGGAGAGGGGAGGAGAAGGGGAAAGGGAGGAGAUGGGUGGCGGGAGGUGGCAUUGGUGGAGUUGCUGCUGGGGUGCGGAGGUAACGGGGAAGAAGAAGAAGAAGAAAAGAAAAAGGAAAGAAAGAAAGAGAAAGAGAAAGAGAAAGAGAAAAAGAAAAAAAAGUUUUUCACCUUACAAAAACUUCUACAAAAUUUUUUCAAAAACUUCUACAGUGCACUACAGUAAAGUUUUAGACAAACUCCCAAAAAACUCAGGUUCCAAACAGGCCCUAGUUACAAUAGAAACUAGAUGUAAUAGUGCUAGUUCUAUAAUUUUAUUGGCAAAAAAUUUUAAAAAAAGGAAUAAGAAGGAAAAGAAUGAAAAGUAAUUUUAAAAGUCAUUCUAAGUAUAAGCAUACCAAACAAGGAAAUUUCAUUAAAAUAUUUAAGGGCGGCAGUAUUGUCAUUUUAAAUGAUAAGGGAGAUAUGUGUAAUUUUAAAGUCUUGAGGGAGCUAAAUGAAAUUGUUAAAAACCUCAAGGGAGGUUUCUGAAAUUUUCCCAAAGAAUUAUUUAUGAUGUUUAUUUGAAGUAACAAGAUACUAUCAAUUAGUUCGUUUAAACAAGGUCAUGUUUCUCAAUGGACUUAAUUAAUACUAAAUAACUCAAUCAAGUUUUCCAUCGUUUCGAUCAUAAAUAGAUUCCAUUUGAUAACAUAUUAAUUAAAUUUGACCUUUAUUUUCUGCUGAAUUCAAAGAACCAACGCGCAUUUAGAUUUGAGAAUUAUUUUACAGUAAAUGCAAGGACAAAUCAUCCUUUAUUUCAUGGUGACAUGGACGCACGUAGUAACCACCAUGGAAAGAAGAGUUGGGGUCUGCAAUGUCAACACAUAAGACAUUAGACCAACUCUAGGUGUCAAAACAUAAUAAUUACCCCAUUUGAAUUGUUAUUUUUAUGAAUUUUUGUAGAAAAAUGUAUUAUAAUAAUUUGUUGUAUGUAAGGUAAACAAUUAAUUAAAAAAUAUAUUCACGAAAAUCGUAACAAUUUUUCUGCAUAAAAUCACAAUUCAGUAGAAACCGAUGUUUCACCGGACAUCCCAGAACAACUAAUGAUACAGUAAAGCACCAAGUUUCAUAAAUUUGAUGAACAAUACAACCGAUCGAGAGCAUUUUACUCUUUCUCAGUGUUAAUACAAGUCUGGAAUUCCUACUUAGAAAGUCAAUGCACAACUAAAAAACAAAUUCUGCGUUGAAUUCAAAGAGUUUUUGAAAAAAUGUUUUUGUCUUCUUUAACAGUUUAAUGUCCAAACCAACCAAAACUAUCCACUUUACAAAUUAAAAGAGCAAGAAAGGCAUAAAAGUAUAUGACAAUUGGUUAGGCUCCUCACCCCUUGACAUGCAUGCAAUUGCAAUCACAGAGUUGGAAUUGACUCAACAACCACCCUAGCUCGGUCCUCGCUCAUAGCCUAUUUAAUUGCAUUUUUCUGGAAUUUUUUUGGGCACAUUUCUAGGUAAGGUUUAAAAGGUAUGCUCUAGCUAGUUGUCCAUUGUAGAAAGUUAUUGUCCAAUCUUCAAGCUUAAAAUAACAUUGAAGUAGUAGUCUUGAAAUUGUUUGUUGCAGAAGAACAUAUGUAAUCAUCAUAUGAUCAUGUAAAUGCUCCCGGCAAUCCAAGUUUAUCCUAAUUUCUGUCAUCAGCAGAUCGGCCACAAAAUUAAUGCCACAAAUAGUGAAAUGAAUUUCUUUUGCACCUUUCAGCAAUACUUUAUAAAAGCUGACUUACCUAAUCUUGAAAAUUGAAAUAAGAGAAUAUCCCUCUAACCAUUGCCAGCUUUGAAUAACCACUGGCCAUUGUUCAGUGGCCACCACCUAGUGGGUGGGGUGGGGUGGGAGGCAAGGGUGUGCUGUGCCUUAUCUGAUCCGGUGGUGGUUCAGUCCCCUCCGAGUUAUCUCUGGACCUCUUUAGAUCCGCCCCCUUCCUCUUAGUGUAGGAUAGAUUAGAUUUAUCGUCUCCGAAAAAAAAAAAUUUACCAGCUUUGAAUAAUUGAUUGAAUUACUAGUAAUUUACAACCCCCUUAACCAAUACGGCUGAAAAAACAUCAUCCUUUCCCACAGGCCAAAACCCAACUGCUACCAUAGAGUAAAAUAAGCCAUUCCCAUGUAUAAAGUCGCAAAUCCAUUCCAUACCAUUUCCAUCCCUCACGAAUUCCUUCUCCUUUUCCAGCAUCCCCUCUUUCCUUUCCAUCCAUAUUCAACCAUUGACAAAAAUGGUCCGUCCAAUGCCAAUACAUGUGACUAAUCAUGAAAACUUUUGCUCUCUACCAUUAGCCAAUAGGAUUGUUCAUUUCAGCAUCAGUUCUUGUGGCGCUUUGCGCGAGACAUUCCAAGAUGCUUGCUAGAGAGUCUGGUAAUGGUACUAUUGAGAAUAGUACCGAUUCAAAACUUUCACCUAUAUCACCAUUGCUGCUCCCCAAGAAGACCAUCACAAAUAUCAACAACGCGGCUGAUCAUCCGGAGGGAAAUAAUCGUGGAGAAUCCGAAGCUCGUGGGAUUUUUGCCAACCCCGGUGAAGGAUUUGGUGAAGGUGGAUUGUGGCAGAAGAAAAUCUUGAUGGGUGAGAAAUGCCAGCCCCCGGAGUUUUCUGGUGUUCUUUUUUAUGACUCUCAUGGAAAUAGGAUUUCUGAGCUUCCCAGAUCACCUAGGGCCAUGCAUGUCGAAAGAUACUCUUCUUAAUUUUCCUGCUGCAAGAAAUCUGCAAAAGCUUUUUUUUUUUUUUUUUUUUUAAUUUGUUUGUUUCCAUGUACAAAUUAGCAGUUCAACAGCCAAAUACUACAUAUUUCUAAUGUUACAACGUUAAACGAGUUCAUCGAACCAUCUUUUUUUUUUUUUCCAAUUAUUCUAACAAAAUGAAUUUAGUGAUCCUAAAUCCCAAUAAGAACUCAGGUCCUCCUUUCCAUAAUUAAGUUUGUAUUGGAAUUCUUGUUUCCAAAUUGUACACUUAUGUUGCAUUCUUUGAAUUUCUUAUUCGACAUUGAAAAAUGUAGCAAAAAUUAAAACAAACUAGAAACACACCAAAAUGAGUUUUGGUCUGAAUCUUUGGAACUGACUUACUUUAGAUGGAAGGUAAAUGUACACAGGCCUUGAUAUGUGUUGCGAUUAUUACUAUACGUAUCACAUGUUCAAGGUGUAUGGAUGACUUUGUUUUUCUUGGCCUUGUUUGGAAAGUGAUUUUACUCAGAAAAAUUACUACGUUUUCCGUGAAUACAUUUCCCUAUUACCUUUUACCUCACAUAUUUCAAAUCUUUACAGUAAUUUUUUUACAAAAAUCCAGAAAAAUGCAAUCCAAACAAUGUACACCAUCCCCAUUAACAAAAGGGGAAAAAAGAAAAAAAAAAACCCACUUCACAAUAAUGAAAGGAAAGAAGUAAAGUAAUACUUGAAAUUUGAAAGCAAGAAAAUCUGAAAAUGCCGUCUGUCACUGAAAAUGCCCGUCUGAAAAAUGCAUAACUUACCUCCCAAAAUUGGCUAAAUUCCUGAGGCUCAGUUUGGGAGUUGAGAUUUGGUGAGAAAAGAAGGGAACUUUAAAUAAUUUUUUUUUUCUUGUUUGGGAGUUUGAAAGAAAAGAAAAGAAGAGAAAAUAGAAAAAAAAAUUGGAGGAUAGAUUGAUUGAAAAAUUUUCUCUCGAAGUGUGGAGAGAAAUGCAACGAAAGUUCGAAUUAACAGUGAGCCUUUCCAAAAUACUAAUUUUACUCGUAAAAUGUUUAAAUCAUAAAAUCAUAAUACUGAAUGUGUUCAAUAUUCCUUUUUAUUUUUUCUUCUCUCUGUUUCCUAAACUCCAAAAGUUAAGCCUAAGCAAACCAAUUACCAAACCAACUUUCUAACAUCGCACCUCCCCUCCAAACUUGACCCUGCCUUUUUGCCUUCCCUCACUUCCCUUCGCAACCUGUGCACACCACCUCUCACAUUAUCACAUAGUCACACACUUAGGUGCCUCGAACGUGAAGAGAGAAAGAAAUGGCUUUGUCGACAGCUCCAAUUCUUUCACCAUUAUCUUCAGCAUUGUCGUUGUCAUCAUCCAACUUUAUAAUCCCAGAUUCCUCUACAUUUCAUGGCAUAGACACUUCAAUCAGAACAGUGAAAAGAAAUUCAAGAUACAGAGCUGUCACCAUAGCUCAAAAUGAUAAAGAUAAACCCACAAAAUUGGUGACCUUUUUGGGCAAAGGGGGUUCUGGUAAAACCACCUCUGCCAUCUUUUGCUGCUCAGGUAUCCAAUGUUCCUUUCCUUUUUUUUUUUCCCUUUUUUACUUGUUUAUCUGUGUGUUGAAGAUUUUGAUACUUGGAUUUUGAUUUUUGUGCUCCGAAUGUUGCUGAUGUCUUUCUUGUUAAUGAAUGUCAGUUUCUUGAAAUUGGAGCGAAGUUUUUAAUUGCCAUUAGCCAGUGUAAUAUGCUGAGUUAUCCUUGAACUGCUGCUUGAUCUGCCCUUUUUUAUUGGAAAAUUUGGCUCUAUGUGUCCAAGAAUUUUAACUACUGAGACAAUUACAGGGCUGGAAAUUGGUGUAGAAUCAAUUUUCAUGGAGGUCUGAAAGGUUCUGUCUUCUAAUUUUAGAUCAGAUAACCAUCAAAAAUUCAGCUUACAGUAUCUUUAGCGGAGUACAUCGUGUAAAAGAUUCAAAUCAUGAUGAGUUUGUUGUUGCUUUCUUCUUUUACUGAUUACUAGGGAAGUUCAUACACUGUACCCUGGCACCGAGCAUAUGUUGAAAAAUAAAAUAUGAACUUUAUAUAAAAACAGCGAGAAAACUUCAUUUCCAACCAUAGUUUUCUUGUGUUAUUGGUGCAAAGAACUAAAUGGGAAGAGAUAUGCUGGAGUGAGUUCUUAUUGACAUUUCAUAGAAUUUAUUAUGUUAAGUGCCUAAGGCUUAUGGGUUUAUUCUGAAAUUUGCUGGUGCUUUAGAGCAUAUCAUCACAACUUGGCCUUUUAUGUUCUUCAUAAACUAUAUGGUAUUUAAGCUGAUGUUUGGACACAUCAUGUUUCGUGAAGAUCUUCUUAUGUAUGUUGUUAACUGUUGUUUUGUUGGUGCAGCAUUAUGCAAUGGAAGGUCUGAAAACAUGCUUGGUGAUACAAUCUCAGGACCCUACUGCUGACCAUCUCCUAAAUUGUAAGAUUGGAACAUCUCCUAUCAAAUGCAACAACCACCUUUCUGCAGUUAGAUUGCAAACUACUAAAGUGUGUUGUCCUUCUACCCUUUUCCCUUGCCUUCCAUGCGACUUUAAGGUUCCAACAUAACUUAAUUUCUACUUGAAAAUGAACCAAUCCAACUGCAGAUGCUUAUUGAACCUCUGAAUCGAAUGAAGGAAGCUGAUGCUCGUCUUAAUUUGACCCAAGGAACUCUUGAAGGGGUGGGUAUAUAAAAUGUUCUGUGCUGUAACAACGUCAAAUCAGAAAGUUCUAAGUUUCUUCUAUUGUUUUUUGUUUAUGGUUUGUCUUUCAUUAUGUAGUAGGUAGUCGGAGAAGAGCUAGGUGUACUUCCUGGUAUGGAUUCUAUAUUUUCCAUGUUGGCACUUGGAAGGAUUUUGGGAUUUUUGAGGAAUACAAGUCAGGGGAGAGGUCAACAAGAUGAAUUUGACAUUGUUGUACUUGAUGGUAUAAGCACAGAGGAAGUUAUUCGGAUGAUCGGUGCAACCAGCAAAGCAAGGUUUAGAAGCCCUCACCAUGUCAUUGUUCCUCCAAAGAAAUAGAAAAGAAAAUGGAAAAAUAGACAUUAUAUUGAUCUUAUCUAUUCUCAUGUGCAGAUUGUACUUGAAAUAUUUGCGUAAAUUGGCUGAAAAGACUGACCUAGGGAGGUUGGCAGGACCCUCUCUUCUGAGACUUUUAGAUGAAGCAUUGAGUUUUAGUAGUGGAGGUGCCAAUGCUAAUGUACAAUUGAGUUCAGAAGUGUGGGAUCACCUAGAAAAGACAUUGGAGGUAUGUGUUUUCAAUUGAUUUUUGUUGGGCCUUAGCAAUAUGAGAACUACUGUAAAAGUUGCAAUGGCUAUGUGCAAUGCAGAGAGGUUCUGCUUUCUUUCAAAAGCUGCAAAAGUUUUCCUGUUACAUUGUUAUGAAUCAAGAUAGCCAACUCUCUGUAAUGUCUGCACUACGCUACUGGGGAUGUGCAUACAAGCUGGUGUUCAGGUUUCAGGUGCUUUUGCCUUUGCAUCACCAAAUGCAGAAUUAACGCUACAGCAAAGGAUUUUUCACCAUUGCCUUUUGCUUCUAUUCCACAUCUCUCAAUGAGUGCCCAUCCAAAUUGGAAUGAGGUUUUGGUGAAUGCUCAAAGUCAAGAUGCACGGCAGCUUCUUAACUUGACGAGUAAACAGACCUCCAUCUUUCCACCAGUUACCUUUGAUCCAGGCAACAAAUCAAUCACACUUUUCAUGCCUGGCUUCGACAAGUCAGAAAUCAAGCUAUUUCAAGUACGUUAAUGCCAUUGUUAAUUGCUUUGGUUUUUGCUGAUAGUCACAUAUUCUGUUUCUUGUUUGUGAUCAAUGAGGUUUCACGAAAGUGAUCCUGAUACACGAAUCAUCUUGAUGAGGUAGAAACCUGACUGGAGCGAUUGCUUUGAAUGAAGCUGGAAAGAAAGAAAAGUUUAAAAUUGACAUAAAAUAGAACACUUGCUUAAUUAAGCACCAAGAAGAACAGUCACUAGAUUACAUAUUCUAGCAGGGAUGACUCAAUAUUUCAGUUAGAGCUUGACAACAGUUAGGUCUAAAAUAGCAUGCAGUGGACUUCUUUCAAGAUUUUGACAAUCAUUUGUCAUCCUUAUAACUUGCCUCCUUACAAUAAUUUUUCUUGGUGGGGUAAUUCAUGAUGAUUGAUAACAUGGCAUCAAAGUACCUUUUCAUGAUUUAUGAUCUGUUUGUGUAUGUUUCCUAUGAGAAUUGAGAACGUACUCAUUUAUGAUGUUUAAAAUUUUUCUUAUGAAUGCAGUUCAGGGAGGAUCUGAACUUCUGGUUGAAGCUGGUGAUCAAAGACGAGUCAUUCAAUUGCCUUCUCAAAUUCAAGGGAAAGUUGGAGGUGCCAAGUUUAUAGACAGAAAUCUAGUGAUCACAAUGCGGUAGAGAGGUGUAGAACCUGUUAUGGCGGUUCACCUCAAUAUGGCUGAAAUAUUUAGUAGCAAAUCAUGAUUGCCAUUUGUUUACGAACUAUAUGUUUUCUUUAAUCAAAGCUUGAUUGCAGUUUACCCCAUUUUUCCUAGUUAAGGUCGCCAUUGAUCCAUACAUCUAUUUUAUGUGCUUGUACGAUCUUUCUACACAGUACACGGUACUUGUGUAACUGUACUGUGCACGAGGUUCUGCAGUAUCUUUUUAUUGCAGAAGAAGAGUUACUAAAGGAGUUCAUUUUAUAAAUAUUGAUCGUGUACAUACUAUUAGGUGGGACGCGUAUUACAUAUGUAAAACUGAAUUUUAAAUUUAAAUUUAGAUUAAUUGUUAUGCAUUCAACAGUGAAUAUAUACAUUAUUAGUGCACGAAAGAUUAAUCCUGAUUAAACUUAUUACCUUGAACUUAAACCAUGAUAUAAUAAUGGGUCAAAUGGAGCUUGUCCAAAAUCUUACAAUUCUAUUUGGAAGUAUCUUUGGGAACAUUAUUAAUUUUUUUUUUUUGGGCUAUGAUUUUGAUAUGAUCGGUUAGUCCUACUCUUUGGGCAUUACUGGAAAAUUUUCUGCUGCUGCAAGCAGUAUACUGGAAGAGCAUUACAAAUAAAAAAAAGUUGAAACUGUAGCAUACAUCACAAACACAUAAUUAGAAUUGAAACAUCUCUAUUCCUUUGCUUCUGUAAAUUCUCAAGUAACUUCAAAAUAACUCGUAUUACAUCUCUAGGAUCUAGCUCUAUCUUAGUAGUACUUUCCUAUUGACAGCCCUGCUAGUUGCACAAUAUCCGAUGCAGGCAGUUUUUUUUUCUACAUUUUCAUAAAGAAAUGACAAAGUAUACAGAUGAAAAAUCAAGAAGUAGAAUUAAAAAAAAAAAAGAAGAAAAGAUGCUGAUUAUCAUGCUUCAGGCUUCUUGUCUUCUCCUGUCUGCUGAAUACGGCUUCUCAGUUCUUCAAAUGCCUUCAUGCUCUCAGCGUCAAAGCCUCCAGCAAACUGAAAUAAGUUGUUACUUAGUAUGUGUAGUAACUUGCUUUUAACUCCAAAAAGAAAGUAUCUAGGUAGAGAAUGGGAACUUUGUAUACUAACACAAGACCAGAUAAUCCAUAAAACCACUUGAAUGCCUAUUACCUUGGUUGUAUAUUUGAACGUUUUAUAAAAAUGUCAAAUCAACAUAUGCAAGAGGAUCUUUGGAAGUUACCUGAUGAACACGGAAAGCAAAACGAACCCCUUGUAGAACUAAAAAUUCUCGGUUUGGUUCUUUCUCUGGUGCGCUCAUAGCAUCAAGCUCUGAUGCUACACGUUUCAUGUACUUCCGUGCUAAUUGCACCGAUGAGAGCUUUAUCUGCAAAUGAGAGAACUUUGUUUAACUUUCUUUAAUGCAGCAAAAGUAUCAGAAUUUUCAUCAUGAUAUUGCUUCAGCCUGUCAUAAAUGAAGAAACAUAUGCAGUGCGUAAAGAGUGUGCUUCUGCAGAGGGUAAGCAUGAGCUAGGAGAUGCUGUUAUAUUAGAGAAGUUUCACAUUUAUCAGACAAACAUCAAUAGAACAAAUAAUCCUGUUUCUUUUUCAUCAGAGGUGGACCGUGCCCCUAUACCAUUACUUGUUUUGUUCUUUUCCUCAUACCUUGCCAAUCAAUCCAGUAUCAGACAACCAGUCAACUGGAAUUCCAAAUUCUUUAUAACGAGAAAUAGCCAUGUCCCUUGUGCGCAAAGAGCAUAAACACUCUGUUCAACUCUGCACGUGCAAGAUUCAGAAGACAAAAGCAGAUUAGGCUAAAAUAUCCACAAGUUUGAAAGUACUUUGAGUUGAUUCACAUGCUAAAUAAAUAACCGUGUACUUACUUCUCAAGUAAUUUGUACAUCUUCUUUAGAGCAGAUUCACAAGGAAGAUUAGGAUCAUCAACAAACGUAGACACUUGCUUCUCCAACUUCACUAGGUCCUGAUAUUCAAAGGCUGCCUCUCUAAGAGCAUCUGCUUUCCCUUCUGGCCAAUCAAAAUGCUUCAGAACUGCUCGCUCAUCAACCUUUCCAAUAGAAAGACCGGCAUAUAGAUAAGAUACGAACAAGUUUUGACAUGGCAAGAACAUCCAGGUAUUUACUAUGACAGGCUCAUGGGUUAAAUGCUCAUAAGGAGUUUCCUAGAUGAGUAUAUCACUAUUCUUCAGAGUCUUGCUAGCAAACAUAGGCAAUGUAAUCAGGCACAAUUUGCCUCGUUAUGUAUGUUUACAUUCUUGAUCUUCAAAUGUAGCAUGACAGGUACUAUAUCUGAGUCCUCUAUGCUGCAGAUGUAGUUUCUGAUCUAAUGUUCACAUGUAGGAACUUUGUAAAAUUUUAGCAAAAGAAGUUACCAAAUAGGAUAGUUCCUCAUCAAGCCAAUUGACAAAGGCCACCAAAUCUUCUAUGUUGGUAAAUGAGGCUGCUCUGACUUCAGUUGCCAAUGACUGGACAAAAUCACUUGAGUUUCCACGUCAGCUUUUACCUGAUUUUAGAAAAACACACUCCUGUUAGAAUUGGCAUUCAGCACAUAGAUCAACCAAAAAACAAAGAAGAGAUUUUUACAUACAGCUAAAGGAAUGAUGAUCUGUUUUCUAUUUCCCCAAUCAUGUUGCUUCUUGCUUUCUGAUGUGCUUGAUGUGGAAGAAAUCAGUGGUGACGAUCUUUCUUUGCCUCACGUUUCAUAAGUGAUUGGUAGAACUCAACAACUUCUGGAGCACGAUGAACUUUAUCUCCACUUCCUGCUCCUCUAGGAAGUGAUCCUGGGGGGAGGUGGACGAGGUGGUCCACCAGGUGGCGGUGGAGGUGGUGAGCAGCUGGUGGAGGAGGUGGAGCACCUCGCAGUAGGAACAUUCUUAUUUGAAUCUGCAGGAGCACCUGAUGAUGCUUUAGGAGGUGGACGGGGACUCUUGGAGCUCGCUUCUCAAUAUGAGCUAAUUUCAUUUUGCUUACUGUUUGAGAAUCAUCCUUGCUAUCAUUAGAUUGCUCGUUUGAAUCACCAGAAUGGAUGUUCUCUCUUUUAUAUGAGAAAGUUUUGGGGGUAAAGUAAUUGACGUAGUUCUGUCUGGCUUGAAACUUGAAGUGUCACCAAACCUUGCAACUCUUGCCUGCUCUGCUUUCUCCUUAAUUUUCUUUUCUCUCUCUAAGGCAAGUUUAUGCCUAUCUUUGUAAGCAGGAUACUUCUCAUCAAGAACACCUUCAACUGAUUUUGACAUUAACUGAAAAGAUGAUACAACGGAAUUAAGUGAGCCAUCUUGGGUUCUAAUUUGCAAGGGCGCAGGAGUUUCAGGAGAAUCAGGGUCCUGCUCUGCUGUCCCAAAACUAGUGAUGGCUACACUAUCACCAGCAUUCCUCAGCAUCAAGGCUUCUAGAGGACCCUUUGGUCUGACGCUCAUACUGGCCCUGCUUGGAGAUUUGCCUCCUAAAGAUCUUGUUGGCGAAGAAAGAGCACUUGAGUCAUCCUUAUUUUUUGCCCCAUUUCUUGAGCUUUUGAAUUAAGCUGGGCUUUUUACUGAGACUGCUGUACCUACUCAUUGAGCUGUCAAUGGAAGUAUUAUCAAAAUCCUCACUUCCAGGAGAUGAAGGGUGAGAAAAAUUGCUUUCAAGGUCUGUGUCCCCUUGUCCACGCUCUGAUUCUGCAUAUUCUAACAUCAACCGUUUGGCCCUCUCUCGUGAUCUUGGGCUUAAACUCUUACUGAGAUCACGAGCUGAUAUUUUCCCAGAGGGUGUUUGAUAAUUACGGAGCUCAUAUCUUAAGCAUGCAUUGACCCAACGAAGGUACACUAGCUCUUCGACUUCACUGAACCUAUUCAUUUGAAGUCCUUCUACUUGUUUUAGAAGGUCUUCAUUUUUUUGCCUCAUAUUAUUGACCUCCUCUCUCACCUGCGCAACCAUUUCAGUCUGCAGAAGCAUACAUAAAUAAACUGAUGAGAUCAUUUAACAGUGACAUGAUUUUUGGAAGGUGAACAAAAAAAUCUGAGCAGAAACAACAGAGGCCAAUUAUGUCACCGUAAUUGCAAAAGAAAGAACUGAAACUUUUACCUCUGUCAUGUUAGAAAGGGAUGCUACUUUGGCUUCUGCAGCAUCCAGUUUAACAAUUAACUCCCUCUUUUCAUGCUGAAGCUCUUUGUUCUUCCUCUUUAGCUCCAUAACCUCCACUUCCAACUCCUUUAGAGCUUUAAGCUUGUUCUCAACUUCAGCAUCUUUUCUGAAGGCUUUCUGUUCUUUUGACUGAAGUCCACUAACUUGUUGCUUGAGCAGCAAUAGCUGGCCCUUUGUCUGGUUUGUCUCAAGUUGAAUUUGUUUUUGCAGUUCUUUGAUUUUGUUUCUAGCAAUCUCUAGCUCUCUUCUAGUUGAAGCUCCCUGAGAGACCUCCUCUUGAAGUUUUUUCCUUUCAGUCUGCAAAGAGUUGAUUGCUAUGUUCAGCAUGUCAAUUUCCACAGUCUUGAUCUUGAGUUGUUUCUGCAACUCGGCAAUAUUUGAUUCUUGUUCCUUUAGCCCAUAGUACUCCAGCAAUUCACCUUCAAGCUUCACCUCCCUCUCCUCUAAUUCUUUAACUAGGUUGAGUAAUCGUUCCAGCUCACUAUUAUUAUUUGCCAUUUCAUUUUCAUAGAUUCUGUCUCUCUCUGCCUUGGAGCUUGCUGCUGUAUCAUACUUUUCACUGGGUAAUAGAAAAUCAAUUUCUCCAGAUAAAAGAUUUUCAAAUUCAGGCAAAAAUCUCAUCUUCAAUAUUGGAUGGAAUGCUUGGAGGAGGAUUUAUGAUGCCAUUGAUCAACUUAACUUCCUCCUUUUCCUCCUCCUGCUUGUCAACCUGCAAUUCAUUAAACAUACACAUAUCACCUAAAACCUGAAUAAAUUCUAAAUUUAAGUGAAUCCUUUGCUUACUGAUGGUCAUAGAGAAAGACAAGUACUAAUUUUUCUGCAAGAAACUAUAGUACUAUAAGAUUAAAAUAUUAGGUUUUCCAAAGUACUUACAACCACCUCUUUGAGGCCAUCAUUGGAAUAUGGAGACUGCUCAUUGUCUUUCCCUUCUCUCCAAGCUUGUUGAUCAUUUCCCCUUUCUGUUGUCCAUUUCAUUCAGUCAAAGAUACAAGAAACGCAAUCCAGGUCAAACUCACAAACAGAAAUAAAGUUUAUAAUUCGAUAAAUGAGGGAAGUAGUCCAUUUGAAAGCCAUAUUUGGACAAAGCUUUGCUUUAAGAAGCUCAUUGUAGCUUUGCUCGUAAAAAGCUCUUAUGUGGAAAGCACCUUUAUUGCUCUUGUGAAUUCAGCAUAUGUGACAAACUUAUAAUUGUCACUGAGUAAAAUAAAGUACUGUGAAAAACUACUAAGCCACUGAACAGAUUACCUGAACCCUUGGUUAGAGAAGACGAUGGCUUUCCUGCUUGGACAUUAAUCUGCCUGACCGCAUAGGCUGCAACAGAAGCAGCAACCAAAAAGCCUAACCUGACUAUCAUGUAGGAAUUGUUGAUGGAAAGUACCGAAACUUCCACUCAUCUACCAACACAGACCAAUUCUCAGACUGUCCUCCACCCAUUUGUCCCACAUCCAUAGCUCACAAUCAAACCAUCUAUAAACUUAGGCAAGAGCAGCCGAGGCAAAAUGCCAAGUUAAUUUAAAAUUCUAUCAAGGUAUCCAGCAGCAACUUUUCAAGAAAAAUUAGACUAGGGAAGGUACCACAGAAAAUUCCUGAAAACUUUUUUCUCUAAAUGAAUACUCUUAUCUCAAAAUCAGCAACAUUAUCAUCUUAUCAUGUUUUUUUGACCCUUCACAGGAAAAAACUAGUUCGUAUGUUUUAAAAGUUCCAGAUAAUAGACCAUAUACCAGCUGUAAUCCUAAGAGCUACAGGAACCACCAAUAUCUAGUGGUUAUUCUUUGUCCAAGAAGAUUGAAAUUCUAUUAACAGGCGUGUCCAAUUUUCUGGCCUAUUUUGAAGAAGAUGAUGAACUGUUAAAUAAGCAAUGGACAGAUUGAAUAAAGGCCCAAGGCACAGUAAUUUUGAAAGUAAAUAACUACUGCACAAGUUCACUGCCAGUUAUCUUACUUAUAAAAAGUCUUUCUAGUUUCUGUCUUGUCUCUAGUACCAUGCUAUAAACAUCCUGUUGGCAGUUAUCCAAGUUAAUUGUUGGCCUUCAGCAGCUCAGCUCCAUUACAUACAAGUCAAAAUAACCAACUGAUGCUACCCAUCUGACUAAUCUCAGAAAGCCACACUCAGCUGAAAUGAUGUGUUACUAUUAGGGUUAAAAGGCGCACAAAAUAAAUCUGGGAUUCAUUAUGUAAAAUCAAGAAAUUAGUAAGUGUGAUAAACCACUUAUAACUAAGGAGCUACAUCAAUAGGUGGACCCAAGGUAGAGCAUAUGUACAAAAAGGCAUGCUUAAUUUUGGCCCUUCACAUAUUUCAGGGUGAAUGAAAUUGUAUGUUUGCUAAGGUAAGGCUGAUACUUGCACAUUCCCUACCUAUGCUUAUGGAUUGGAGCGUAUGGAUGAUAUUAGCCAAGAGAAGCCAGGUUAACCCAAACUUUACGUAUUCCACUAGGGAACUUGACCUUUUGCCACAUGUUUGCCUUUUUGUCCUUUUUCCCCCCUCAACCUCAAAUCAAUAAACUAACUCGCAUGUUUCCACAAAUUUUGGGAUUUUUCCCUGUAUUUCUUCAGAUGUGACAAAUCCAAGGAAGCUCUAAAACAUGGCUGAUAGUCAUAGAUGUAAGAAGCUUUUCCUGGUUUGAGGAAAAGAAACCGUACAUUCCAAUUGGAAAUAUCAAUGAAGAUUUUGUAAUGCGUCAAAUGCCAAACAAUGAGGCAUUGUUUUGACAAUUCAAGAAAACAAGAAAGCAAGGAUUAAGUCAAUGGCUAUCUGAUCCAAGACAAAAGGCAAACAAAAAACAAAGAAAAAGGAACUUUUAUAAAGUAUCAACAACCAAAAUCAAGAAAACUUGAUGAGAACGCUUUUUCAAAAGGAAAAAAAAUAUCUGGGUUAAUUUGGAUCACAAACACAAGUCCACCGCCCCAAUAAAAGCCAAAUUAUUAUCCAAAGCACUAGUGGUUCAGAGUAAUGGGCACUGAAAUUCUAGUUGGAUGACAAACAAUCAUUUAAGUCUAGGACAAAAAUUGAUAAAACCAAUUUAUAUCCCAAGAGUGAUUUAGGAGUUUUGGGUGGACCACCAGUCUUGUUUGCUUAAUAGCUCAAAAUUUGACCUAAGUGACACAAGUAGAAGUAGGACAUGCCUUUCUUCCUCAUGCCAAGUAUGACUUCCAUUUGCUCCCCAGUUUCCUGUUUCAUCACUCAAACAAACCCCACCCUUAACCGCCCCACCAGCCGCCAAUGUUUUAAUUUUGCCUUUUGUCUGUCUAAUUUCUGUAGUGUUUUUUUUCUUCCUGGUUUUACUUUCAAAUACACUAAAAAUUCAUCAUUUUAUGCUUCUCAAUCUUAACAUACGCGGAAGAACAGAUAAAAAUCCGCUCGUCACAGUUGAAGCAGCAAGGACAUUAAGCUAGAUAUCCAUGGAGCCCCAGUUAUUAAAAGAACUAAAGGAAAAAAAAAGAACAAGAACAUAACAGAAAAGAAAGGACAAAUUAAGAUGUAAAAUUCUCAAGCUUAUCUAAUGAAAAAGAAGCAUAAAGCUGUGUCCUUGAGCAAGGAGAGGAACUUUUUUUUUUUUUUUCCUUGAAACAUAUGAUACUAUGAGGAAAUCACAAUGGAUUGGACGAGAAACAGUUAAUGUGAAUGAUUAAUCAGAUGUUUGCCAACCAAAGAUUGUUGCCCUAAACCUGGGCUGGCCCAGUACACAUUUCUCCUUUAAUCCUCAGCCCGCACUCGUGGCACAUUCUAGUCGUACAGAGUUGCUUGCUAGUUCUCCUGGAUGAAAAUGGAGUCUUCAACAAUACAUGCAAGCAACCCAAAACAAAACAAAAAAAGAACUGAUCUUGAAUCCUAGACUUCCAAUAUAAUUAAUUAUCUAUAUGCUGAAAAUUCACAGAUGAAUAUUUCUACGGGUGCCAAAAAACAUUAGCAUAUGUAUAAUGCUGCUAUUUACGAGCUCCAAUUUGAGGAUUCCCAAGCAAAGACAUUAGCAUUAGUACGUGGUUUUCUGCAUACGUGGUUUGGUUGGGUUAUUGUUCACUUGUUCAGGUAAAUGAUAGUAUCUCCGUGUAACUCGCGACCAAGCCGGGGAACAAAGAGACAGCAUUUCACCUUAAUGGCUUGCAAAAUUAUAUUCAUGGUGGCAAGCAUCUUCUCUUCUACAUCCAUCCAUUUGAGUCUAUUCGAUCUAUGGACACUGAUUGAAGAUGGUCCUCAUAGCCAAGGGUGGUGCAUAACAGUCAUAGAGAGAGGAAGCAUGACUGCAUAUCGAGCACAACUUCGAAUAGCUAGAUCCGUGACGAUAAGAUGCAUGGCUCGCUAAGAGAUUUGAUGCAAUGGCAUCUUCUCUUGUAGGGGAAGUGCACGGACGAAAAAUUAAGUGAUGUCAAAAAUAGUAAUAAGACAGAUGUCCUCGUCACAACUUUCAGUUGUGAAAUAGUGAGAGUUAUGGUGUGAAUAUUAUAUCCAGCAUGUUAAUUGAGUCAUAUAGACUUGAUCAUACCAAAAUUUUCUUGUCAAUAUAUAAAUGGUGAAUGACAAAUCAUGUGGACUAAUGCAGCCACCUUAAUGAAUUGGAACAUUUCUUUAGAUGGCAAUAUUGACUUUGUUGACAACUAAUUGAUUUUGUAUCAUACAUAGCUCCUUCAUUCACAUACUCUUAAGAGCAGCAGCCCAUCAAGGUGCAGGCGCUUAGCGACAAAAGGUAGAAAUGAUGUCUUGCACAUAACUGAUUCUUAACGUUGGAAAUCCGAGGAUUAAUUACUUUGCAAACUCAAAAAGGUCACCAAAGAUCUUUACGUGUAGAUCUUUACAUGUAUAGCAAGCUGUAGCAAUUUCCUAUUGGACUAAAUGAGAUAUCUAAGGAGGUGGUGCGUAUACUCUUGUCGCUGGGGACAAGUCACAGACCUUCGCUUUAUAUAAGAAAUCAAAUCAAUGUGCGACCACAGCAUAUGAAGGACCAUCAUUGAGGAGAAGGCAAAGGUUGGAUUAGUGUAUAGUGUAUUUGAUGAAGAUGACUUCCUGGACUGCUCUCUGCAGUGUAACAUCUUCCAACUUUAUAUUGUAAAACAUCUCUAUCAAAACCUCCUUUAAUAACGAAAGUAGAAGAGAGAGAGAUCAAUAUGUUCAGUUCUACAGUUAUCCUUUUGUUCCCUGUUUACACCUACACCUCAAUCAUCCAUCCAACCAUAAAUACAUAAAUGGUGAGAGAGAGAGAGAGGGAGAGGGAGAGAGAGAUGAUGAUGAAAGAGGAGGAAGCCCAUAUGACUUGACAAGGGCUCAAAGUUCUCGCUUCUCAGUUGGGAAACGAGCAACGCUGUGAAACAGCAAGAGAGAAAUUUGCUGUUACUUUGGUACACAAUUCUAUGUAUUUUUUACCCCCCCAAUUCUCCCUCCUUUACUUAUACCUUGUCUCCUCCGUCCCUAAACAAGCCAAAUUUUCAUAUCUUUCAACUCCACGUGUGGAGGGAGAGAACACACAACACAACUCUCUCUGCCUUCAAACUCAUCAGUCAUCACUACUCCUUGCUCUAUUAUCCCUUUCUCACUUGCUCUAUAGCCCUUUCUCGCCUAUUGUCAUACUAAUAUCCCAACAAAAUCCCACAAAAAUCCCAGAUUCUGAACCUUCUCAAAAUCCCAUAUAUAAACAAAUAGUUUUGUUUAUUUGCCUAUUUCUUAUGACACAAACCUAAAAUCUGCCUUCCGACGACUUCUAUAAGUUCAUACCCAAUAGCUUAUCUCCAUGCAAAGAAUUCAUUGUUGUUCAAACAUUUCAUCAGGUGAGACUGAUGAGAUUGGCAGUUUGGAGGCUGAUGAUCAAGAUGAUGAUUCUUUAACUCUUCUUUCUCUUGCUCCUCCAGGCCAAAACAACACCUCAAAGAAUCUUCUGGACUGUAGUUUUGAGUACUCCUCAUGCCAACUACCUCAGGAUAACUAUCAACAAUGCCCUAGGACUAGUGCUGAAAAUGGUGUAACAGUGGCACUUCAUAUUGGUCUGCCUACUUCAGAAGCUAGCUCUACUAGUCAUGCUCAUAACUUUGGGGUUCUUCCUGAAGGACAAUACUGGAUUCCUACUCCAGCUCAAAUUCUUGUUGGCCCCACUCAGUUUUCUUGUCCUGUAUGCAACAAAACAUUUAACAGAUACAACAAUAUGCAGGUUAUGGAACUUCUAUGUAAUUCAUUUUCAGUUAUAAUCAGAUCCUAUCAAUGUUCUUCUUUCCCCUUAACUCCUUGCAUGCAAAAAUAAACAAAGCCUUCAGUAAACAAUAGUGUUGCAACUUGCAACUAGUUGGUUGCUACACUAGUAUGUAGACUUGUUUAGAGAUUUUUGUGGCUGAUGAUUAUUAUUUUAUGUGGGCUUAGAUCAAUCUCUUGCAUAACUUUUCUAUCCUCAUGAUCCUUCUGUAGAUGCAUAUGUGGGGGCAUGGAUCACAAUACAGAAAAGGGCCAGAAUCUUUAAGAGGGACAAAGCCAGCCUCAUCCAUGCUUAAACUUCCCUGUUACUGUUGUGCUGAGGGUUGCAAGAACAACAUAGAUCAUCCAAGAUCAAGGCCCUUGAAGGAUUUUAGGACUCUUCAAACACACUACAAGAGAAAGCAUGGGACAAAGCCAUUUCAGUGCAGAAAAUGUGGGAAGCCAUUUGCGGUUAGAGGAGACUGGAGGACUCAUGAAAAGAAUUGUGGGAAGUUAUGGUUUUGUAUUUGUGGUUCUGAUUUUAAGCAUAAAAGAUCACUCAAAGACCAUAUUAGAGCUUUUGGAGAUGGCCAUGCAGCACAUAGUCAAGACUUGCGUGGAAUUGAAGAAUUAGUAGAAUUAGAAGAAGAUGAUGAAGAAGAAGAGGACAACUACUAAGUAGGGCUAGAUAGACUUUGUACCCUCGAAAAGUAUUGGGGGUUUUGUUAGUUUGUACCCUAAACAUUAGUAUUCUACUAACUUAUGUUUGUUGUCAAUUGACCAGUUUUCGUACAUGAUUUGCACGUUUGUAGUAGGUAAUAAUAAAUUGCACAUUGGCUCUUGUCAAUUUUGACCAAUUUAUGAUAGGAUUUUUUCCUAGUUUUUCAAAACAAAUUGUACACUCAGUAAUAGAUUAGUGUUAAAGGAUUAAAAAACCUACCUUAACGUACAUAAUACACUAGCGUUGUUGAUUUGAGUAUUCAAUGGUCACAAAGAGAAGUUUAGGAGGGUGCAAACUGUGCAAAACUCGAUCUAAUACUGAAAAGGGACAAAGUGGUAUUGAUCAAAAAGAUCAAGAAGUGAUUAAUGUGUGAAGAAUAGAAUAGAAAUGUCGGAUAUGAUUCUGCCAAUGUACAUCCAUUUAUUACAUGUGAACCUUUAGUUGUAGUAGUGGUGGUAGGCUGCUGAAGUCUGAAUAGUGACUAUUUGGCUCUAUGCUUCUGAAUGUGUCUGCGGAUCUAUCAUCUAUGUGUUUGAGGGACUUGAGAGAAGAGAAAGAGAGAAAUAAAAGGGAGAGAAAAAGAUGAGGACAAACAGUAUAAUGAAAGGCACAGUUGCAUGGCAUUAAUGUUCGAAGUGCCAGUUCGAUUAUCUGAUUAAAGUUUGGUUCUUUUCUUUUUUUCCCCACUUUAUUUUUUUGGGCCUUCAGAGUCUGACAGGAGAGUAGAGACUGAGUCUGAGUUUUUUCUGAGGCUUUUGGUCUGAGGGCCUGAGGAGGGCUGAGCUUGGACUAGCACUACUAACACUUUGAUAGAGGCUUUUGUCAGAAGGUAACAAUGGACCACUGGAAGUUUUUCUUUUUGGGGUUUCACCCAAAGUAUUAACUUUCUACCUUUUGGGACGAAACAAACAGAUAUUUCGUAAUAUGUUGCCAGAGCCCUGUUUUUGCCUUCUUUAAGUUUAAUAAUGUGGUUGCAUGGGCUCAUAUGCACUCUGAUACUAUAUGGCUGCUCUCUCAGAUGUAUAUGUCAAGGAUGAGGUCCAUAUCCUGCACUGCAUGCCUUACUUUUCAACAGUUUCACCGUCUUAUCAGUAUUAUCGCUCUACUUUUUUGAUACAUUCAACUUUCUGUUUCCUGUUCUUUCAUUUUUACCCAUUUUUGAGCUGUAAUUGGUAUUCGUUUUUCUCCCUGGUUUGAGACUUAGGCCGCAUAAAACUGGUCCAUUAUCAUUGUUAAAGUUCACUAAUUUUUACUAGUUUCCUUGGCUUGUUAGAACAGCCGUGACAAUUUGCCGUACUUCUGAUUUUAUUUGUUCUUCUUGUUUUUGUGUGCAAGUGUGUCAACUUCAACACACAGACAAAUUCUGGAGUGAGGUUUUCUUAUUGGACAAUAAAUUCAGACUUACUUUUUUCUGAUCAAGAUUUGAUCAGAAUUCUCAGAUGAUGGUUCUAAUCAAAUUAUUUGGUUUGCUGCAGGGAUGCAUGUACUACAGUAUAGUACACAAAAAGUCUGCAUUAUAUGGCCCUUUGGGCUGUCAAGACGCGAACAUUUUAUUGUAAUGAAUAGGAGAAAUGUUUUUGAUCGGAGAAAGAAAAGAAAAAAAGAAAUUACUCUUGUAGGAAACUUUAGCACUGUAGCCUAACAUGUCCAAGAAUUCCUUCUUCUGUUUCAUUCUUUUUUAUACGGUUAGAUUGAAUAGUUGUCAAGCAAAAAGAAUAGUUGUUGGAAUCCCAUCUAAGGAAAAGGGAUGCCUGUAAUCACCUUUAAACAGAAAAAUAUCUGGCGUUUCUCCAACAUUUUAUGAAGCUUAACCAAAGAAGCAACGUGGUGGCCGGGCUUCCUUGUCCCAAGUUUGACCAGUUAAAAAAAAAAAUAAAAGGAGAUCUAGAUUAUUUGCUGCAAUUUAAGUCUGAAUUGAUCCCAAGUUGUAUGUAGAAGUGGUCAGGGGUUCUGGGUUUUUAUUUUGAUUAUCGUUUUCUAGCAAUACUCUUGUUCCUUUUAACAAGCCCUUCUGGCAUGAUGGAAAAGAAUAGUUCCAAUGCAAAUUUCUCUCUAUUUUUUCAUGCAUGCAUGUGCGGAUUGCAAGGACAACUCCACCAAGACACCCUCACUUAGAAACAUUUCAUCGAAUGAUAGAAUCUACGAACAUGGCCUCUCUAUCUCUUUUUCUUCGUUUUCAUUUGAGUUAGGCACUCAACUCACAGCUAUACAUACACAUUUUAUUCCCAGUUUUGUCCUAUUACUUCAUGGACUUUCUUCUUUCUUUUGUUUUCCCCACUUUUUUUUGGUAAGUCAACAAAUUUCUGUUUUGCUGUUCUUCUAGAUGAUAAGGGAGAGAAAAAUAUGACAGUAAUUUCUUCAAAAUCCAAUUCUGACAAUAAAGAUGGGAGACAUAUGGUCAAUGAUGCUGGUAGGAGAGAAAAAAACCAUUCUAAGUAGUACAAACGAUAAACCAGUACAAGCAUUUAUUGGACAGCUCUUGCUGCCAAACUAAUUAAUGCUUGAAUAAUUGUGGCUAGUUCCUUGGAUCAACCUCCCUAUCAAUCAGUGAAGUUAGGGAUGGUUGCCUGAGGCUCAGUAGCCUUAGCAGCAGCUGAUGGUUCAGCAGUAGCUGUUGGCAACACUGGCUUAACCACCAACUCAGCUGGCAAAUCCUUAAUUCCCUUUAAAUAAAAUGUAUAGAACAGCUUAAAUGGGAACACAAUCUGCUGCAGCUUCACCACACCCUGCACCCCCUCGAAUACUCCUGAUCCAGCGGUCACAGCCAGAUGUGUGUCCUCGUAAGUCAAAUAUGGCCCCUGGACUGAUAUGUGACCGUAGUCACCAAAAUAGAAGCUGUAGAUAGCCUCAUAACGAUCACCUUUCUUCUCAGGAACAUGUUUUAUCAGCACACAUAAUCCUGAUGUUAUGCCUAAUCUCUUCUGCAAAUCACCUGUGUAGAGCUUAUUGCUGAAUGGAACUAGAUCACCUAGAGAAUUUGCGUCCUUUUUGCUAAGUCUCAAGUAUGCUGGGCUGCCCCUGUCCCUUUCAUUAAUCUCAUACACAUAUAGUUCUUGAACUUUAGCUGAAUCACAAAGACAUGAUUUUGUGAUGAGCAAUAAUACAUCGUGAAUCAUGAAAUCCAACUAAUUUUAGCUAGUAGUUUCACUGACUACCUCAAAAUUACCGAUAUAACUAUGCCUAGCAAAUCUUUUAUUUCCAAGAACUCGUAUUCAUUUUUGCUUGGAGAAAGUAGAAUGCAUCUGACGGACCAUUUUCCUAUGGUUUCACGACAAAAUACUAACUAACUCAUCGAAUCGAAAAAAGAUUUAUUGGUACAGGAAGUACUCACUUGGUUCUGGCUUUGGUUUGCCGAUGUUGAAGAAGAAUGCUUUUGUUGAGGCAUCUUUGGAGGGUCUUCUGGCGGAGAAGGCUUGGUGGGUCGUCGAGAUCUGGACAGAUUUAGUUAAAAGUGGAUUUGAAAGCUUAAACGCAAGCUUGUCAUAAUGGAAUUCGAUGUUGGAAAGUGAUUCAAGAUUGAAUAGUUUAAGGGAAGAAACUGGUCUGAGAGAGCUUGUACUUGCCAUUGAUGAAGUGGAUGCUAAUGGUUAGGGUUGAUCUAUGCAAAGUAUAGGUUCAAGAAACAUCCAUCCAGGGGACAAUGUGCCUUGAUUUAGAAAGGUAUAUAGCUGGAAGAUUCUGCACCGAUAAAUUAUGCACCAAUAUUAAACGCACGCCUUGUAAUUCUGAUUGGUUUAAGGGUACCUAUUGAUGAUGACAAUAUAGCUUAAUAGUUUUUUUUUUCUUUUAAUGUGGAAACACAGGCUGGACUCGUAAAAGUAGUCAAAAGCUGUAGCUGUAGGUGUGGAAAUAAUUAGAAAAUUGGAAGAACAUGGAGGAGGGAAAAGUAUGAAUGUAGCAGCAAAAGACAUAUCAAUCAGAACCUUCACAACAAAAGACAUAUUUGUUAGGUAUCGAUGCUAAAAUCUUGAGCACUGUGCAGAAGCAACAUCAAUGUUUGUUAGGAUCAUCAGAUUAAAAUGUAUAUUAAAGAGCUACAAUUAUUCAAAUGAUUAAAUAGUACAAGAAAAGUUUUCUGUACAUAUAAAUCAUGUACUGUUCGUUGCCAUGUAUAACAGCCUUAAGAAUUUCUCACAAAUUGCAAACAUUUAUAUCCCAAUUUCACCAGCUCCGGCAAUGGCCAUUGACAUGCCGGUAACAAUGCUGUACCUUUACUUUGACCAGGCAACAUAUCUGGUGAACGAUGUCCCGAUAAUUGCUUAGCUGCCAGCAGAGUUCUAUAAAUGGUGUUGAUGUGAUCAAAACUGGGAUCAUCACUCAAGGCCUAAUGCUUUUGCCAUCUCAGGGUUGUAUAUGAGAUCCAUGGAUCUCAAGUUAAUGGAGGAGCAGGAGUUUAUUUCCUCCAUUACAUGUAGAAGAAAUGAAGUGUGCAAAAUGAAUCAUGAGUGAUUCAUCUAAGCUUUUGUUAAGAUUUCUGCGCCAGUUUUUGUAAUCAAAAUUGUGUGCUCGAAUUGCGCAGCAGGGCUGCCAUCAGCUGUCAGGGUUGUCCAGUUAUCCUCCCAUGUGAUACACUCCGUGCUUCCCAAUGUAAGAAUUGGUUCUGCAGUAAAUUUACAAAACAUAACAGGUAAGGAUUCAAUUCAAUAAGCAAAUUUCACUUUACUGCAAAACACAAUCUAAAGUGAAAAUAUAUCAAGAUAGUGCCGGACUUGCCUGAAUAAGCCAAGAUGACAAAGUAAUAGAAAUUAUGGCAAAAAUGUACCAAAAACCUUUCAGCAAGUCCAAAAGGAAGUGAGGAUUUCAUUCAAAAAUAACCUCGUUUAGCAUUGCAUAUGAUCUUUCAAAUUUCCUAGCGAAGUACCAUCAUGGUAUCACCUGAUGUACACUAUCAUUCCUUAUGAAUCCAUAACGGUCUCCCUCUGAUUUCAGGACUUUUUACAUGCAUUUGCGAUGCCAUGAACAAGUUAAUUUUAUUAUUGUUGUUGUUGUUGUUGUUGUAGUUGUUGUUAAUCAAGCAACAGCAAGUUUGUUCAAUAGGGGGAAAAGGUUCAAUAUACUGGUCAAAGCACAUCCAACUGAAUACCAGUACUUGAAGGUACAUAUUGCUUUCUAACAAGGCAAUCAUGCACCAGCUCUCCCAAGUAUUUCUUAAAUUAAAACUAUGUUUGUGAUGUAUCGACAGACAAAUAAUAGAAACUGGCCAUUUAAAAGCAUUAUCUACAUUAAAGAGGAAUAUGCUCACCAAUUGUGAAUGUUUGCCCCUCAACCAUGAAGCCUGGCUUAUCAUUGCCUGCAAACAACCAAAACAAAAUAAAAGUUGGCAUAACUUUGAAAGUACAAGUAGAAUCCAAAGGAAAAGACAAAUCCAAGUUCAGUAAACUUGAAUUAUAUGUUAUACCAUCUCCAAGCAUAAAAACUAGAAUAACAGAAUAACAGAAACAAGUUUCCAUUCAAAGCAAGGACACAGCAUAGGAAAAAGACAUACUUCAGAGGCAAGACAUUCAGAAUAAUGAAAAUACAUAGCCUAUUAGAAGUUAUAAAGUAGAUCUAAGGUUUUAAGAUUAUUUUUUAUUUUUAGGUCAUAAUGUGCGGAAAGAAAAGUCAAGGUGUUAUUCUAACUUCUAAAGAUAAUUACUCUUAGAAGAAUAUAAAGCCAACCAUCUUGGCUUGACUCUCAGUCUCCCUACAAAUUGACACAACUUAGAUUCUCCAAAAUCAAUGGUAUGGAUACAUACUCCAUUAUUAUGUCAAUCAAAGAGUUAAAAAAGAAGAAGGAAAUGAUAGGACUUACUUUCUAUAUUUGAAAUAUGCAAAGGCAGAAAUAGCUCUCAGUUUAGAGUUACCAUUUAAGCAACCUAGACAUUUUCCAAAGAAAGAUUAAACAAGACAUUUAGUUUGGACAAAAGAGAUUACUUGAAAAGUUUAGAUCACAUGCAAAUGGAAAGUGCAACCGUAGAUUAAGACGUACUAUGUUAAGCCAAUCUGCAUUAAUUGGCUUUAAAUAUAGUUCUAGACCACCUAAGGAGGUAUAGCCACGGUGCUACCUGAAGAAAGGUGCCACCUCAUCGAUGUUAGAGGAUCUUGAAUUCACCAUAUCAUAUGAUUAUCAUGUUAACAGAACAGCAUGUAAUUCACUGAAAUGACAGCGUAGCAAGACCAUUGCUAGUCAUUGGUGAAGGCUGAAGCUAGUGCAGUUUUCCUUAGCGACUGUGACAAUUAUACUGAAAGGAUUAACAUGAGGGACUACUCACGGUGGUGAAAUAUAAGUGGUUCAGAAUGAAAUACAUUCCCAACACCAUGUCCAACAAAACGGUCCACCACGCCGUAACCAAAUUUCUCAGCAUGCUCACUGCAACGACAAUUAACAGAGUCCUUAGAGAAGGCAAAAUAUACUUUAAAUUAAAACAACAUCUUUGUUUUGAGAAAGAUUUGCUCAUAUUUGAACACCUUCUAGUUUAACUCAUAGUAAAAGUACAAAAGGUGAUAGAUGAUGGCACAGUAUGAAAGCCUCUAUAAGAACUAACAAUCAAGCUUGACAAGGUCCCCAACAUAAAGCUUGCAAUAUGAGGAUCUUCACCAUAUUUAAGUAUAUUGUGUUCCUUUUCACCCCCUCAGUAUCAAAUAAAAUAAUUUCUGAACAUAACACCACAAGAUUGUCCGAGCAAAAACAAAUCUUUCAGCUAUGAACAUACAAGAAGCGGGCAAAAUUGGAUAACAACAAAGGUUUGAUUCAACCAAUCUCACAAAAACUUCAGUGUUGUGUUUACUGCCAAACAAUUCCAAAUAAUGUCCGAUGUUGUAGGAAGUAUGUUAUUGGAUCCAAAAUAUCCAAUUGUGGCUCUCAUUUUCUAGACAGAAAUACAGACAAAUGUCAACAGGUGCACAUGCAAAUGUACUUCAAUGUUUAUACGUUUUCAGAUAUUAAUCAUACCUGAUUCGCUUCCCGAUUUUCCUAUACAGAGCACCAUCCUUGCAAACAGCAAUGCCUUUAUGCAAGCACUCCUCAGUCACCUGACACAAGGAGAAAUUAGGUUGCAAAAAGAGGGAAAUAAUAAUAAUAAAAACUAUCUGUGGGACUGAUCAAGAGGUUGUACUACAAAGUUCUAAGGAGAAGUGAUGAUGCAGCAGUUUUGUGAGCUUUAGGUAACAGAAGACAUGAUUCUCAUCCUUGACAUUGCAACGUUCAGGAAAUGCAAUUUUUCUUUUCUUUUCUAGUAAAUGCAAAAUCAUACCUUCACAAGCCGUUUCAUUGCAUCACUAACAUUGCCACAAAAGAAAGUUUUUGAAGUGUCCCCAUGAUAACCCUGAGAUGAGGCCAAAUAAGUUUUCCUAAGGUCCCAAGACAACUUUAAACAAAUAAUUACAAAAAUGAAGAGGAAAGAAAAAAAAUAUAUAGUGUGGAGGAACCAAAAAGAGGAAAAAUUAAGGAAAACUGAGAACAAAUCAUAGAAACAAAACAGAUUUCAAAAGGUCCCCUUAGCAACUCCUAACUAGGUGUUCUAAGCAAAGAAACUAUUAUGUCUUCUAUUAAUAUUUUGAUUUAAUUGUAUAAGCAGAUUUAUCACGUAAAGAUAACGAUUCCAAAAUUUUACAAAAAAUUGAGAUGACAGUACGAAACUUGCACUAUUUUGAUAUUGUGGACCAGAAAUAGCAAUUUCUAACCAUAAAUAAAUGUAAGGAGAGAACUUGUGGAAAUGCAGAAUGGUUAGUCUGUUUAACAUUUAAGACAAAGACCCUCUAAUAUCAUUUGAUCAACAAAUGGAAAGCCCAAUAACAGCAUUCGAGACAAUAAUAAGUACUCAGCAACUUACAUUCAAGUAGACUGUCACAUCAAUGUUUAUUAUAUCGCCAUCCUGCAUAGCAUACAAGAACAUUUAGGUAAGUGACCAAAAUUUUCCCAGCGAUGAUGGUAAAUACUAAAGAAACACACAACCUGUAGCUGACGAGAAUCAGGUAUCCCAUGGCACAUACACUCAUUGACCGAUGUGCAUACACUCUUUGGAAAGCCCCCAUACCCUAAAGGUGAAGGAUAAGCACCAGCAUCAACAAUCAUUUGGUGCACCACCUUAUCAAUUUCGUUCGUCGUCACAGAUGGCUAGUUCAUAUAAAAGGGAAAACAAAUUAAUUUGUCCACACAAAAAGGUCCUAAACAUAAGCAAAUCUUGGUACAAAAAUGCAACAUGCAUGUGUACAAUACCAAUCACAUUGAUAAUGUUGAUACAUGAAAGAUAGAAGAAGAAGAAGAAUGUGAUACCCUCUGAUGUAACAAAAAGUGAAAAGAUAAACAAGAUGCCAUGAUCAUAUAAGGAAGGAGCACAAUAUAUAAAAGGAGGAAAAUAAGAGCAAGAAAUGAACCAGUCCCAGUCAAAAGAAGGACAACAGGGGGCCGGGAGGGGGGGGGAAUUUGCAGUGACCUGAAACAUAUGUUCACCAGUGCAAGUUCUUCAAAAUACUACAAGGCUCCUAAAUGAGAGAGCUGGGAAUCGUCGAAGAUUAACACUCAAUACUAGCAAUCACAAUUAUAUAGUCCCACUGAAAGCCACCCACUCCUUCCUUAGUGACCUACAAGCUUAUACAAAGUUCAUAAGUCCAGGAGCUAUUUGACAAAGACCGCAAUUUCCAUGAUCUUCAAUCUCCUAGAAAACAUGUGAAGCCACUAAUUCAUAAAGAAGUAAAACCGAUAACCUGCAAUUUAUCAUUAAAGAAUGCUUCCAAUUUUCAGUUCAUGUUUCAACUGCUUUUGGACUUAGAUGGAAUUUUACAAAGGAAAAAUAAAGUUUCAGAAUCAGGCAGGUAUAGUAUGUGAAACAAUAGGUUUUGAUUUUAUUGGUGAGUCUGUACGAUGACCACUUAGAGUAAUCAUAAUAAAACUUUUCAUCUGCAUGUAAACUUGAGAAAAGCAAACAAGCGAUUCUUAUGAGAAUGUAGUGCUAAGAAUAAUUAUUAUCUUUGAUGAUGAAUACAUAAAAGUAGAUUCUCACCCUAACCAAUGUUCCUGCAUGAUCUAGGACUUGGGCAGCAAGUUCACAAGCAGCCCUCAUUUUCAAAAUUCCUUCAGCAUCAUGAAUCUGAUAUUCUUUGGAAAUUUCAGGCAGUAUUUUUGUCCCUGCAUAGGGAGGCUUUGGUAUGUGAUCAGGGACAGGGAGCUGUUGUGACACCUUUCCACGCCUCAAAGGCGGCCUUCUUUGUGAAGCUGUUGAAGUCCUAAGCUCACGCUCUCUUUGUGAAUGAUCAAGAAGUAAUUAAAAAUGACAAUUAAACAAUCAGGUACAGAGAAGCAUUACAAAGCAAAAAUCAACAAUCUAUAGAUCUUUAAUCAUUUUCAAUAUUAAAUGUACUCAAACAAACAUGUCGUUCAACAGAUAUAGCAGGUCAGUUCUUAUGAUUAUAUAUCACAUGGUAACUUUCAGGAACCUGAAUAUUCAACAUCCAAUAAUAGAUCCAUGUAGAUUAGAGAAUACCAUUUUUUUGCUCCACCUUUAAGUAGGCGUACAUUGUGAAUGAAGAAAAUUAAGAUACAAAUACAGAUUAUAGAUUUGUGAAAGAAACAGACAUAUAGAGAUGCCAAAAAAGGAGUAAAAAUGCGGCAUACUAUUGUUAGGUCAACAUGCCAAGUUCAAUUUUUUGUCAUGCCAAUUGCUACCUGAAAUAUUUCCACUGCCGCAAAUGCAGUGGAAAUAACUAGAAUCCACUAUAUGAUGCAAAGAAUUAUAUAACAAAAUCUCUCUUUUUUUUCAGUUCCAAUUUCGCGACCAUAGCUAAAGUAAUUGCUACUGUUGAUUUUUUAGGCUACAUUAAAUCACAAAACGGGGGAGGAAAAAAAAAAAAGGACUACCGAUAGAAGCAUAGCAAACGAAAGGUAAGACAAAGUACUUAAUUGAAUAUACUGAAGUAGUAGAUAGCAUUACCUUCUUAUUCUAAUAGCCUCCUCCAAGCCUGAAAUUCUUUUUGAAUAAACAACGAGUCCCUUUCCAAAGCUUGAAGAUUUACCUAAAUUCAACAGAUAAGCCAGAAUCAAGAAAUGCCAAAAAAAAAAGAAGCAUAGUGGUAAUAUAGCACUCACAUUUAAAUAUUCUGCAACUUUGAAGCAUAGCCAAAAAAAAGGGAUUGAAAAUAAAUAAGUAAUGAAAAUGAUUAACAAAAGGGAUUAAAUAUGCUAGCAGUACGUAUGGAUGGGUGGAAGUAGCUAGUGAAAGCAUCAUAGGAAUGAGACACACCUGGGAAAGUUGAAGGGAAGGAGGCUAGUCGAGCCCCCAUGAAAGAACUAGAGGAAGAAGAGGACGAGGAUGACAAGGAGCAGAGUUCGCCAUGGAAGCAAGUUGUUGAGAAUUGAAGAGUUGGAACUGCAUGAGAAAUUGAAGUCAGAAAAAAUGCCAUCUCUCAGACACAAAGAAGUUGAGAGGCACAGGGGAGUGGUGGUGGUGGGGACGAUACAGCGAAGACUUCGAGAUUAAAGUUAAACUGGCCGCUCCAAAAUUACUUGGGCUUCGUUCGAAGCCUUAUGCCUUCAACUUGUUCAAUGAGUAUUAACAGAGUGGGGCUUCCAACUUUGUUACAAGUUGGAUCCAUGUAGAAUUGGACCAAACCAAUUAAUGAUUACUGGUGGUCUUUUUCAAUUUCUUUCAUGUAUUCAUCGAUUACUAUUACGGUUAGAUGUACGUCACACAUGUAAAAUUUAAUUUUUAAAUUAUAUUUGGAUUAGGCAUCAUGCAUUCAAAUCUAAAACGAUAUACACUAUAGUUUAUAAAAGAUUAAUUCUAUUUCUAUUUCAUUUUUUGCCUUUUGUUUUUCCCCUUCUCCUUUUGUUUUCUCACAAGCGUUUUUUUUUUUUCAAAUUCCACAAUCGAAUGUCUACUGAGGAAAGAAUUUUUUUUCAUAGUACAUCAAAUUCUCAAUUUAGGAGAAUAAUGGAAUGAUGCUACAACAUCACUGCCGGAAAUCAAAUUUUUAGCAUGUCAUCUCGAAAAGUUUAACAUUAAUACUGCCACAAAUGCAUCUCCCAAAUUUUAUUUUAUUUUUUUGGUAAAAAUAUUUUUUCUGUCUAGACUGUUCUUGACAUUCUUGUCCACGGUACAAGAAUGCAUAAAAUGGAUCUGGCAUAAGCCGGCCUGGCCCAGUAGUUCUUUCUACCGCCAAGUUCUUAAUCUGGGCUCUAGUGUCAAUGUUUUGAGAGGGAUGUAUGGUAUGGCCAUGUACUUUUGGGCAACAGUAACUUACACACGGGCCUCCAAAAGUCGUUCUCAACCUUUUUUCUUUUUCUUCUUUUAUUUUUUUUUCUGGGUGCUACGGAAGCCACAAAGAUAUAUAUAUUCCCAACUUCAUUCAGUUAUCGUGUUUAUUUUUCUUUUUUUUUUAUAUAUAAAACAAAAUCAGGCAUGCCCUCAAGGCGUUUACAAGAAUUUUUAUAAAUCGUCAGUUUUAUAAGAAAACAAUUUGUUAUUAUCAAUUGAUCAAACUUGUGUUGAGAGUCAUAAAAUUCUAUGCGUGGCCCAACUUGUGAUUAAAAGUGGAAGAAGGGAAAUCGAUGUUCUUGACAAAGUAUCUGAUAAAUAGAACGUAAUUCCGUAACAAAUCACGAGGAUUUCAAAUUUUCAAUCAACCAUUUGGGUUUUGCUUGAAUGAUAGCUUGUCAGAUUCAUAUUGUCACUCCACAUUUGUGUUAUCAAUAAUAUUAUUUGUUGCCGGUGGCCUAACAUAAUUCAAGCUUUAUGCAAUUGAUUCAUGAAUCAGAUGCAUAUCCAUCAACUAUCAAACAAUAAUGGGACAAUCAUCUCCUAAAACUCCUGUCCCGCAGUUGAUAUCUAAAGGACUACUUUUGUUGGGUGGUUCGUCUUGAUGGAAGAAAACAAAGAUCUUGAACAGCGAAGCGCCAAAUUAGAAAAGAAAUAGCUUUUUUUUUUCACAAAGAAAUUUUAACAUAUAUAGCAAGUAAUCUACUCAAAUAAUGAACCAAAAAGAUGUGUACUCUUGUAAGUUAUAUGUAUAAGGUGCUACGUUACAACAUACUAUGACAUAAUAUAGAGCACUUUUCGAGGCAUUAAAUAAAUAGGCAUACAAGGUUUGUGUAUUUUUUAUGUAAAUACAAAAGUUCAACCUAUCUGAAUAAUUCAUCAGUCCUUUCGUAGCUGUAUCUAGGACUGCAAACAACUCGAGUUGAGUCGAGUUUUGACCUAAUCGAAUCCAAUAUUAACUCAAUUUUACCAAGUUCGAAUUCGAAUUCAAACUCGACGAGCAUUCAAUGUAAAACUCAAAUUUGAUCUCAACAUCAAAUUCAAAUUCAAGCCUAGUUGAUGUUGAACUCGAGCUUUAAAAAAAAUAUUUAAAAAAUUAUUAUUUAUUUUUUAAAAACUGAAUAAAAUAGUCAUUUUUCUUUAAUAAGUAUUAAAGAUAUAUAUGUAAUUUUACUAUAUAUAUAUAUACACACACGCACAUAUAUUCAAAUUGGUUCGCAAGCUGACAAGUUGAGUUUCUUUAUACUCGAUUCAAGUUCAAUAACUCGACUUGAUUGGUUUAAGUUCGACUCAAGUUCGAUGUUGGCCGAACUUGAGUGGAGUAUUGACUGAAUUAGUUUGUGAGUGGCUCACAAUCUAGUUGUAUCACAAACGCGUUCUUAAUUAUAGUAGUAUUAAUUUUUUUUUAAAAAGGUUCUAUCCAAAUACACUACACAUAUGAUCUUUAAAGAGUUACAAUUUUAUGUAAAUAUUUGAUUAUUUAUUCCGAAACUGACGGAUGCUACUAAAACUAUUCAAAUACAAUUCCUAAGUAGGAUCAACUUUCGCAGCUAAGCAUUGCCAUAAGCAACAGAUUAUGUGGGGCACGAACAUGGGUUUUGGGGGACAGAUAUGGAUUGAUCUUGUGGAAGUUUCGGAGAAAACGCGUGAAAUUAAACAAAGAUUGACUGCAUUAUAAGAAAGGUACGAACUCGUACUAUGCAUUAGUAUCUUGUGACAGAAUUUAUAUACAAGUUUUAAAAGUAUGCAUGAUGUUUUGACAUUUUUGGUUCUCCAAACUCAAGGUCAUUAUUCCUUCAGAAAAAAAAAAAAAACGAAGAAAAUUCCAGGUCAUUAUGUCUCUCAGAGUCAUAUGCAACAUCUUAAAGCAAAUUAAUACCUGGAUUGUUGCUAGCUGUUUAGUUUAAAUGGUGAGAUUUGACGAUAAUAAAUUAUGAUUAAUAGGGUUGAAUAAUUAGGCAUCCUUUGACUAAUAUGGAGUAGUUUGAAAUAGGGUCGCAUCUCAUCAUCUCAGCUCAUUGAUUUUAGAGACGUUGUCAAAUGGCCAUGUAUAAAUCAAACUAAUUACAUGCAGCCAUAAAGAAAAAAAAAAUAUAUAUCUACAAUUUAAUUUGAUGGGACGUUAAUGAGAAUAUUGAGCAUGUCAAAAAAGAUAAGGCAAAGAAGACAAUUAAAAUCUGUCAAAGUUAUAGACAGGAGAUUUCAGCUGGGAUUUCUCAUUAAAACAGUAGUGCAUGAAUGUGGACUUAAUUAGUAAUUAGUAGUGAGUGUUAUAUUAUAUGUGAGGCUCCAAUUUCAAGCAUACAUAUCAUGAAACUUAUGAUUCUGCUUGAAAAGUGUAAUUAAUAAAAAAAAAAAAAAGAAAAGAGAAGUCUUCACAUAUGCAAAAGCUGUCAAGAGAAAAUUUUAGAACAAACAAAAACACCAAUUGAAUUAAUAUGUGUUGUACCACAACACAUUUCUAAAAACGCGUUUCUCAAUAUUCUACGUGUGGCAUGGCAAAUUGGCAAUAUGGCAUGUGCUGUUACUCCCUAGGCCUCCCUUCUUUCUUUCCUCCUUAUUAGUCUUCAAAAUUGGCAUGAAGUAGAUGGAAACUUCUUCUUCAACAUCUGUACCAGUUUGGGUCCAAUCCCCGACUAGCUAAAUACCAUGUGGAGAGACGAAAAGUCGCAGUCAAUUGCUGUAGAUAGAUGCAGAACUAACUCAUGCAUUCCUACUCUAGAUUUCUUUCUUCUUCACGUAUUAAUUAUAGGAUGAUUCUUUUUUUCCUUGCAUAAUGAUAAUAUAGCGGUGUAUAUGUAUAAUGUAUUAUGUGUCACGGACGGACUAUCCUAUCACGGAAAUGAAAAUGAGACCAGAAUAUGACUUGGUACAGAAUAGGUCCUUGAUCCGAUUUCUUUGGAUGCCAUUCCAUCAACAACAAAUCAGAGCCCAUGAAGAUAAGUACUGGCACCUACUUCUGUGGAUGUUUAGAAGAAUUUAUUUUUUAUCCAGAAAGAUUAGUGAUCAAUUAGCAAUAUUAAAUGCAAUUUACUUUACUUACUGUGUAUUUUUUUCAUUAAUCCAGAUGCAAGUUAUUAGCAAUAAAUAAUAACCUCAUCUUCAGCAUUUUUUGUUUUACAUAAAAAUAAAAAAAAAAAACAAGAAGAUGAGAUAUCCAUCAAUAUUUGAGGAUGAGAAAAUUUACUUGAAAUUAAAAUUUUUUGGCGUUCCCCUAUACCUAAUUCUCACCUGGCCAGAAACAUUUCUUGCAAUUGUAUACAGGAAGCUAAAAGAGUACAAUUAUUGUACUUCACCUACAACACCAGAAAUAUACGACGAGUACCAGAAAAAGUUUUAUCUGUUGUCUUUGGACUUUUAGGCCAUAUCCUCCACCGCCAUGACCCACCCCCCUCCUCCUGCCGGAGCUUCUUUAAGCUUUAUCCUAUUCGUCUCUCUCACGUCCAUCUGGAGCGCAUGGUAUAUGAAUCUGGAGACCAUAAUAGAUAUUUUUGGAAACAAAAGAGAUACUACUGCUACAACAAAGUACUAUGCAAAAAGACCUACCAAAGUAUGGUAAUUAAUUAAAUGCAAGUCACAAAAUUCGUAAGAUAUAAUACUAAAACACUUCAAAACUUUGAACAAUACACUAUCUUCAUUUCGUUUGUAUCUUGGAUUGAUUUGUUCCACCAUGUCAUGCACCUAAUUUCAGAUUUCUCCGGUCUCUAAACAGUAAUAUACAAUUGAAACUAUGCAACUUGCAACAACACCACCACCCCCCUUUCCAGUUUCCUCCCCACCUAAAAAACAAAAACAAUUACAUGAGAAAGAAAAAAAAAAAAAAAAGUUACAGAGCACCAAUAGCCCUUGGUUUCUUGCUACACUCCAACCCCAACAACUCCAUUCCCCUCACUCUUUUACCACUACAACUACUAUUACUAUCCAUUACAACACCAUUAACUGGUAAUGGUACCUUAAAUAUAUUCACCCCAAAUAAUCUAACCAUUUGAACCGGCUGAAUAGGGAUUGAUAUUCCGGCAGCCACCGGAGCGGCCUCGGCCGCUCCAUUCCUCUGUUUCCAGUCAAUGUAAAGCUGCUUAUCAGCUCCAUUCCUCGGUUUCCAGUCAAUGUAAAGCUGCUUAUCAGCUCCGGUUGAUCGCUGAAAGCUGACAAUGUCUCCAGCCUUCAAAUUCUUCUCCUUCACAAACCUACUCCACCCUUUAGUCAGGACAUAGCUCUGACUACUGUUCCAAUAGGAAUAUCGGAAUCGCCAUACCUUUCCACCCAUAUCUUCAAAGUUGAGCAACACGCCUUUGGAAGUAUUCCCACUUUGCAAAGGGAAAUGCUUUUCGGCAUGCUGCUUUGGUAUGACUAGCCUGUUCAGCUUCCCAACAUCGCUGGGAGUCACCGCCUUUUCGAAGAGUUGUUCACGAGCUUUGGUUGUCCUCUGAGAACCAAACGAGUGUAGACCAGCAAUACCUUUGCAGCCCUUCUUGCCAUUGCCAUCUAAUCCAUAGUUCCUCUUGCUUUGCUCCAGCUCGUCGUUGUAAGUAUGUUUUCGAAGCAUGUCGACAAUUUCAGCCUUGGAAUGGCAGCUCAAGAAAGCAGCUUCGACGUCAUCUUCCUCAGCUUCAUUCAAGGGCUUGAAGUUUGUGACAGCAUCGCGGCCGCGAAAGCGUUGCGCCGCGAUAUCAUAGGCUCUAGCAGCUUCCUCUUCUUCAUUGAAGGUUCCCAGCCAAACCCUUUGAUGCUUUUCGUAAAUCUGCGCACCCCAUCUGCCAUUAGGCUGAGGAACCACCCCUUUGAACCUUGAGGAUGGAAGUUUCCGGGAUUCGGCUUCUACGCCGACUUCUGCAUCGAUUAUCAUACUGCUUGCGCCACUCCCAACUCGGCAGAGGCUCUGCUGCUCUGGCGACGACUUGAUAUUCACCGGUAGAGUCAUAUUUGACAAUGAUGCUGGUGCUGCUGAUGAUGCAAAAGAGUUCUCACUGGUAGUGCUCUCAUCUAUGCUGCUAUUGUCCAUUUCUUUCUUUAAAGAUUUGAUUUUGGUGUGAAGUUAGAAGAAAAUAUGAAGUUUAAGAGGGAUAUAUGGAAUGGGAUGAGAUAAUAAUGAUGCUUUGAGAGAUGAGACAGAAGAGCUAUUAGGAGUAUGAAAGUUGUUGUUUGGUGAUGCAAGGUGGAAGUUAUAUAUAUAUAGACAUAUAUAGAGGAGUAGCAGCCCAAAGUUUUUGUGUGUGAAAUAUGCACUAGUAGUAGAAUAAAAUAUGCUGAUUAUCAAAUAAACUACUAAAAGCAAAACCAGACUCGUAUUAAGCUAUUACUAUAAGGAAAAUAGUGACAUGGAGAUGUGGUAUUGUGGGUCAACUCCAAGAGAUGGUAAGGAACUAGGAAGAUUCAUGGAUUGAUUCUUGGGGAGGGAGAAGGAAGGUGUGGGGGGAGGGUAGGUGUAGUAGGGGCCAUGGGAGAUAGUUUGAAUAGUAGAAGUAUGUAUAUGUUGUGGGCUAUGUAUGUGAGGUGGGGCAAGAUAAAUUGAGCAAGUUGAUGGGGUUCACAUGAGUGUGGACCGUGUAGAGAAGCAAGUUCAUCCCCCCUGAUCUUUGCUGCUACUGCUGACUCUCAAGCAUGGCCUCCCUUUCUGCUUGCCUUUGUUUUGGAACGUUUAUCUGAAUUACACUUGGGAGUAUUAAAGGCAACGACAAAUAAUAGAGAAGAUUUUGAUGAGGUAGCACUAGCUGGUACUAUCAGCAUCAGAUGAAGAUAAAAGGAAAUUUUAUAGGAAAGAGAAACGUACCAUAUAUUACUAGUCACCAAUGUGUAUAUAACUAGAAUGUGACGGUCAAAGGGGCUGGUUUUUGUGUAACAAAGCAAAGGGCUCCUACUCUUGUUAUUUUCGGUUAUGCAAAAAGAUUUUUCCACAAAAGGAGCUACAUCGCACCAAAACAGAAGUGUUAUAAUAUUUUUUUUCAAAAAAAUAUUGCAAAUAAUCACCUAUCCAAACACAAUCAGGAUCCGUUUGGCGAUACGGUAAUUUAUUGAAAAGUAUUUCAUCUAAUAGAGCUUUUAAUAAAAGCAUUUAUUAAGUAGUUAAGUGCUUCUAAGUAUAUUAUUUGGAGACAUAAUUUAAUAAGCACUUAUUGUAUUGGAUAAUCUGUAAUUUUUAAAUUUUAAAAUAUAUUUAUUUUUUAUUUAGUUCAUAAUAUAGUAUAAAAUAAUUAAAUUUAAUGUUUUAUUUUGUGGAAUAAAUAAGUUAUUUUAAAAGCACUAAAUUUUAGUUUUUUUCUAAAAAUGCUUUCAACACUAAAAGUUUCUUCCUCAUUUUGUGUGGAAUGAUACUCACCAAACAUUUCAAAAGUGUUUUUAACUCCUGUAAAUACAUUUUUAUCAAAAGCACCGUGACCCUAAAUGAGUCCUCGAUGAAUUUUGCACUUGCGUGUUCAAUGAAUUUUCCUUUUAUGAAACAAGAUCUCGUGCAUCUAACUACCCAAAUUGUUUGCAGGUAGGAGGAGACUCGAUCUGGUUCCACUGGGAUGGGGAUCAUGGGCCAAUGUUUAUGAGGGAUGGAUAGACUUGAAGACAAAGCUCAUCCAACAAGAAUUUCCCAUAAAACUUACCUGGCUUGAUUUGAUUCGUCCUUUCCAUCUCUGUUUUGUCUUUAUUGGCCAGGUUCAACUGAGUAUCUUGUAGCACAAUAAUAAUUUCGCAAUAUCCAAAACACUGAAAAUGUCCAAAGAGAAAGGGGUUUAUGCUUGUUUUCCUUUGAACUAUAUAAUUGAGCUUGUGAUGGCACCCUAGAUGAAGGAUAUCCCCACAAAUGGCCAAUUUCAAAGAAGUUAUGAAUUUCUUAAUUUUCAUUAAAGAACGUUUUUGUCUGGAAAUAUUAUAUUAAUUAAUGUCCUCCUCCCAUUAUUCAGGUUCUUCAUUACGAUCUGCAUUGUUGAUUCAGAAAGAGUGAUUAGUAAUAUUAGUGUUUGGACAGGAGAUUAUUUGUCCAAAUAUAUUUGCUUACAUCAUCAUUACAAUUUUCAAUACACUUUUUUAUUUUCCCAAUCACUUUUUUUUUCUCACAUACAUCACAUCACAAAAAAUGUUACAUUAAAAAUAUCUCAAAUAAUUUACAAUCCAAACACACUUGCCGGCACCGACUUUAAUGUAUGAGUUAUUCUAUAAGAUGUGUUUGUGUAAGCAUUAUUUGCACAAAAAUUAUUUACUUGCAUCAUAAAUAUAUUUUUCAACAGAUCUUUUUAUCUUGUUAAUAAUUUUUUUAUUUCAUAUAUAUCAUAUUACAAGAAGUACUUCAGUGAUUAUAACAAAAAAGUAUCCACAAUGGAAUAUUAUGCCAUUUGUUAUUCAAGAAGAAGAAGAUGUAUUAUGAUAUCCCACAGAAAGAGAGAGAGAGAGAGAGAGCCAGUAAUUACGAGUAGUAUAUUUUCACAUCACGUCCAUGAUUUGGUUAAACUUAAAACAAAAGUGGUGGAGCUUAUCCUCUUUUCCCUCUUGUUUAGUUAAAUCAACUUUAUCCUCAAGAAGUCAUAUCACUGCGUGUUGUAGCUUUCCAACAACUUUUUACUGUUAUUCUGGUGAGUUCUCUCAUAUUAUUGGUUUGUUAGUUCCCGAACAAGGUAUAUUUUCCAGAGGUUUUUCAAUUUUACUCCAAGUACCAAUAUUAACUCUAAUCUUAAAAACAUAGAACUUUGUCUAGAUUGCAAUUUUUUGCAGAAAAGCUUCUAUAUUUUUUGUGAACAUAUUUUUCAAUCAAUUUUUAUUUCACAUUCAUAAAAUCAUUACAGUACGUUUUUUUUUAUAAAAACUCCUAAAAAUAGCAAUCCAUGAUAUUACUAUCCACCAAUCAUUGACAUAUCAUGUACUUAUAUAUUAUACACUAUAUACUAUCUACCGGUCCUUGAUAAGCUCUAGAAAAUUUUCAAUAAAUUGGCACGUGUCAUUUCUCAAGACUUUUGAAUAAUUUUAUUCUUUUAAUAAGUAUCCAUUAAUUAAAUUUAAAUUUUAAAAUCCCAAAAUAGUACUAGACAUAAAUUUUGAAUAUCUAAAAUUUGCAUUACUCUUAAUCAUUUAUAGUAGUAUUACUGUGUAAUCGAGAUUAACAUGAAAUGAUAGAUAGAAUAUGGGGUUGAUUUGUACGGAACAAGUCCUUGGUGAUUAGGGUCCACGAACAAGUUGAUUAAAAAACCAGUAGCUAUUAGACGGUGGGCGUAGCCUUUCAACGCCGGGUUUCUAUAAGUUUGUUAUGUCGGUCCCAUUUUAUUUUGAAGAUUCCCUAAGCCUAUUAUUCUCUUUAAGUCUUUUCCACUGUAUUAUAUUUCUUUUAUUAUUCAAAGUUGAAUUUUUUUUCUUUUCUAAUAUGUGGGUUAAGGGUUUACAUAUAUAUAUAUAUAUGUAUAUAUACACAUUUAUGUGUGACAUCCAAACAGUAGAUUUGUACGUACUUUGUUUGUAUCUCCGUAUUAGGUUAUACGGAAAUGAGAUGUCUCCUUACAGGUGGGAACGUAUCUUAAUAAUUGUAGGGUUUGUCAUAUCAUCAUAUGAGAACCCUUCAUGUGCUGAUGAGUUAAUAUCAAAAAGUUGAAUCAUUCUCGGAUGUGUCCAAAUCCCAAACUAAUUUUGAGUUGACCCGUGUUGAGCUUAUCUUUCUCCUAUAUAUGUAUUGUGACGUCCGGAUAGAUAUUAAGAUAGUCUGAAAUUCAAGAUUUGUGCAAAUUAUAAGUUGCAGAAGCAAAACUAAAGAGAUUUAUUUUAUGGGCAUGAGUUCUUUUCUUGCUGGUAAUAUCUGAUGUGGAUUCCAACAUCUUGUAGCUAGGAACCAGGAAAAUUGGAGUCUUGCAAAAAGAUGGGAUUUUGCAGUGAGCAAUGGGAUAUUUGGACGGUUUGGUACUCCUUUUUUUGUUUUUGGAGUGUUUUAAAGAGGUCAUUAUUAUUUUUUUUCUUUUUUCUAAAACACCAUCUAUAGUAACUCGUUAAAACACUUAACAAGUUCUAAAAAGCUACAAAAGAAAUAAAAAUACAUCAAAUAUAGUAUCGGUAGCGAAGGUGGUUGUCGGUAAUGGGAGCAAGGGAAGGGGAUUUUUAAAAAAAAAAAAUUUUGGGAGUGAAAAAUAACUAUAGUCAAUCACAAUAAAAUUUUAAACAAACUCUUGAAAAAAGAAAAAAAAAAACCAUCCAAGCCAACCUUGAUUUAGAAAAAAAAGAUUAUUUUUUUGCGUAAAUUAAAAAAUAUUUUGCAUUUUACCCAAUUGUGUUUCUUUUUUUGUCUUCUCCACAUGUUGCCUCGCUGGCCAAAUGUAAUCAAGUUCUACAUGAACUUUACGCUGUUAACAACACAAAAAGAGGAAAAUGAAGUCAUAUUGGAAUGGAAUGAGGAAAAUGAUGCAGUGGACAACACAUCAUCUGUCACAGAGAAAAAGAAGAAGUUGAGAUGAUGUCAGUUUCCAAGUUAUUUUCCUUCAUAAAGGGAUAAACACGACUUUGGUCGAUCACAUUAACAUGUUAUUCUCAUGUCGACACAAAAAACAUGGUCAAUAACCUUAAUUAAUCAAAUUACAUGUAAGCGUAAGUUGUGAUUUAAAUCAAAGACAAGAAGAACAGAAAAUAUUUAAAAUCAGGGCUCUCUCUUUGCAUGAUAUGAUGUCUCAGAGUUUCUGGCUUCUUUCCGCAAGUGAUUAAGGAUUCUUAAUUUACUAGUAGAAUUUACCAUCAGAUUAGCAUGGAUUAUGGCAUCUUAGGAAGCGACAAUUAUUAAGUAUUAACUUAAAAAAAAAAAAAAAGGAUCAGAUGAUUCAUUAACCUUAUCAAAACGCAGUACCCUUUGUUCGCUGUCUCUUUCAUUUUCUCGCACACGCAUGCAUGCAUGUGGACGUGAAUGCUACAAAGGUUAUGUUAUGCUCCAAAAACAUUGCACUUGCAAUCAUGCAUGGUGAAAGAUCAGUCCCAAAAAAUAUAAAGACAUAUAUAUAUCUUGAAUCUUUUUGGAUGGUUAAUAUCUCCGUUAGAUUCACAGCCUUAAAAGAAUAAUAUCAAGUCCCCAAUUAACUUCAGUCAAUAAUAUUACCUGUGUAAAUUGUUGGAGACAACUCUCUCAACUGAGACGGUGAUGAAAAUCAAUAAUUGCGGCCUGUUCUGUUAUUUAUGUUCUCUGUACAAAUGAAGGGGAUGGAAUUGACCAUGUGAUUCCCGAUUCAUUUAAUUAUAUGAUUAAAGGGAUAACCCAAUGAGAUUGAGUAGAAGAAUUUUGUUGCAAUCCUUCUGGAGAUCAGAUAAUGUGGCGUAGACUAACUGAGUGGUAGGGUCUCAGUUGUUAUCUCCCUCAAUUACUGAGUUCGUAAACACGUCAGAAUCGAGCUAGUGAGUGGGACAACUAGAAGAAAAAGCUCAUAUAUAUGUAUGUAUAUAUGUAUAUAUAUGUCAUGAGCUUGAGAACUUUUUGUACCAUUCUCCUUUUCACUUUCUCCAAUAUUUAAUCUAGAGAAUAAUCCGAACAAAUAUUCUAUGUUAUCUGCUGUUUUGGUACGUACCAUCUGUUGUUUGAUGAUCCCUUUACGAAGAAGUUCUGUUGGUUGGUCUAAAACUUUGUUAAUCAACAGCUUGAUUUAACGGGGGGAUUAUCUCUUGUGCUAAUUUGGAGCAACACUCUUCAACAUGAUUUUUCGGAAUAAAUAUUCGAAUAUCCGCAUUUUGCAAGAUCAUGAGUAUUUCCAUUUAAAUUAAUAUUUAGGGUCUGAACUCCUUGUCCAAGUGAAGCAUUAGUUUUUUUUUUUUUUAGGUAAUAAAACAAAGAACUUUGUUAAUGAUGAAGUUGCUGGAUAUCAUCGAGCACGAUUUGUUUGACAAAAUUUGGAGCGGCUUGUUUGAAAAAACUUGUCAAGUUUAGAAAGGGAAGUUCCGUAGAGAUUCAGAAAGGUUGCAUGUCCAAGUGAAGCAUUAGUUGAUCUAUAUUAGCAACAAAGUGUGCUCAUCAAACUCUACAUCCGAUAAACUUGGGAUUAACCUUUAUGUGUCUUUUCCACUACAUACUUAAUUAGGUGCCUUUUCCUCUUGUCAUCAUCAUGAAAACACUUUGCAGAGAGAUUUCCCUAUUCCUCCUCUAAAUGGCGUAAUGGAUCAUCCAUUAAUCAUAUUUAUCCUUUGGUUAAUCCAAUUUUUAAUUAAUUUGUAUUAGUUUAGUUCUCCCUUUCAUCUCCCUUAAGCUUAUCCAACAGUACGUACAAUAUGCUGCUUAAUUUAUUGAUCACAAAUCUCAACUCUCAACCAAUAAAGAGAGGAAAAAAAAACCCCAUCAAUAAAGUUUGGUCGAUCUGCAUAUAUCAUUCUCCUGAGGCAUGGAAUUCUAAAUAUAUGAUUGUGUAGAUAUUGUUUAUUUUUAACACAGACUUUUCCUUUUUGGGCUACGUCUGUUCUUAUUAUGAAUAAUAAAGGUUUCUCGUGCAAAGUUCUUCUCUUAAAAGCAGCCGUCGCAUUUUGGAAGCAGAGUUUGAUUCUGUUCUUUGAGGCUAGCUGCAGUUGCAAUGCUGACCAAAAGAACCCUUUUCUUUAGAUGCCAUCAUCAUGGUAGCCGAGUAAGUGCCUCUAGUAUUAGAUCAAAAGCCAAAAAUGCCCAAUUAAUUAAUAAUAUCUAGUGCUUUUUCCAUCAGCUGAAAUCUUCAGUAAUUAUCUCGAAUUGGACUGUGAUUAAAAAAAGUAUGAAUCACACACGAGCACUUUCCAACUCCCUGAGUUUUUCUUUUUUAUUUUUUAUUUUCUCGAAUGGACAUGACAUAAUUAAUAUAUAGAUGACUAAAACCAUCAAAGCGAAAACCAAAAAUCAUAGCCACCGACGUUACGUAUGUUUCAAUUAAAUAGGUUUUUUUACUGCCAUGUCAUGACUAAAGUAAAAUUUGCCACUGGCCGAUGGUGACGAAAUUGAUAACUGGGAAUCUUUUGAUUUGGAAGUUUAGGCAAUUAAAAAAAUGGAUUGUCGUACGAAUUCUCUAAUGCCCUACUUUUUUGUUAUCAAUUAUCCUAACCGAAAGUUGUUAACGUGACAAAGAAUGCAUGAUAAUACUUUAAUUACUAAACCGUGGAUUUAGCUUUAUGCACAUGAUGUACGUUUAAGUAGAUGACAGAGAAUUUGACAGCAUAGCUUUUGAUCUUUGUGACAUCACAAUUGUUCAUGCAUGUUGAUAAGUAUUUUAAGGAACAAUGAUGAUAGAAACAAAUUAAUUUGCGCUUAAUUACUUUAAUUUCAACUGAAGUAUGUCCGAAAAUAUCUAUUUUUGUAUAUAUUUUAAAAAAACAAAUUUCAUUAACCAAUUGUUAGAAAUCGUUUGCCGCGAUUUGAUUUACAUCGCUACUCUAAACAAGCACUAGAAAUAAUAAAUGCAAAGAAAAAAUCAAAGAGAAAUUUAGUGCGUUCGAAAAACCAUGUACUAUAUGUUAUGUCAUACAACUGGAUCACAAUGAAUCACGAAGAGAAAUUAAACCCUUAAUUGACAACUGGAUCACAAUGAAUCGCAAAGAGAAAUUAAAUCAUUCCAAUUAAGGACGUGUUUUAAUCAACUUCAAGCUUCUUAAUUAAAAGUAGCUUAAAGUGGGAAAAGUAAAUAAUCCAUACAAGUAUAUACUAUUAGUCUUGUAUUUACUCUGGACUAAAUUAGCCUAUCUCGUAAUCAAUCAUCAAUAUCCAAACUAAAGCAAUUCCGAUAGAUAGGUUUUCUAAGACACUCAAUUGAAAGCUAACUACUUGGUUUAAAUUGAAGUUUCUCAGAAGUAAGAGUGUAUUAUUGAUUGAUUGCUAACACACUAGAAUAUAUUAGUACGUACGCAAAAUUGAUAAACUACGACAGAAUUACCUCGUAGUACAAUGUUUGUUUGAUCAUUAAUCAAUUGUUUGUCCGUCUGUUUUGGAAAAUUGUUAGCCUUUGUUUAAUGAAAAACAGGUAAAUUCCUACAUGAUGGAUAGCCUGUGGUUUCUAAGGAAUAUAUGAUAUUGUAGAAUAAAGAAAAGGAAAUAAUGAUGGUUACGUAACUAUAUAUAUAUAUAUAAAUUUUUUUUCAUUAUCUCAUUCUAAAUCUAAAAUCUAGUAUAAGAUGUGUCAUAUUUUUCAAGAAAUUAAUUGGAUAUUACUUCACCCACUGGAAUGCACGUACAGUAUGGGAAGAACUACUAGUCUAACGACUCUAACCAUUGCAUGAGUAGUCAACUAAAAAAAUAUCUUUUUGUUUAUGUAGAAAAAUCGAUGCAAGACUAUUCACGAGUUUAUAAUAUUAAGAUCACAAAAAGAAGUAACUUUUCCAAAUACAGAAAUAUCUUCUUGUUUUCAAUAUGCCCCUAGUCACCAUCUUUUGUUGGUAACGUGUUCGAGCUUCAGAUAAACUUUAGGUCCAAGAAUUUAUGCCAAACCCAUGAUUGCUAUAAGAUGGUUUUUUUUUUUCCUAACAAAAAUAAAUAACUGCUAUCAACAACAAAUUAGAAUUUUUCUACCGACUGGUUACUCUCGUCAGUACGUCUAACUUACACCGAACUUAUUAUAUGAAUAUACACACUUUUAUAUUUAUUACAUUUAUUAGGACGCUGUAUUUAUAUUUAGAUACUUUCCCAAAUUAAUAACAUUCUUGCCAUAAAAAAUGACACACGCUCCCUCUUAAAGCGAGCACCCCUAAGCCAAACCCCAAAGCAGAAAACGAAAAAAGAAAGAACACAAAAUAUACACUUUUAUCUUUCCAUAAUCCAGAGAUCAUCAUCUCCUGAAAAUAUCACAAUCUUAUCUACUUUUUUCAUUGUUAAUUAAUGGUCUAAUCCAAAUUCAAAGCGACUCAUUUAAAAAUUGUUGGUUGCCAGUUACCACGUCAACAACACGCAUUACUGUUUUUUUCAAUAUAUUCCAACUGGAGCGCCCCGUUCACACGCAAGUCGCAAAACACACUUCCUAUAUUUUUAUUGGAAACAUAAAAAAGAUUAUUAUGCUAAUAAUAAACAAUUCAUCAUUUUAUAACAAAUACUACUAAUUGUAAUUAAUUACUGGACUAAACAAAUUAAGAUAGAUGGCGAUAUAUGGAAAUCUUUGACUGCUGCUUGAUUUUCUUCUACCGACGUGGACAAAGACCCAGCUUUUCGGGUCAACCCACGUGAUCUAACCAGUUUAGGACGUUGAUUAGCGCGCAGUUAACCUCUUAAUCAUCUUCAAGAUCUUUGUUGAUAAAUGAACCAACUAAAAUUAUAAGUAAUACUUACUCGUGCAAACUUAAAAUUACAAUUGGCUCAUCCAAUUGGGAUUUAACCUUAGAUCUGUUUCAAAUGACUAAUAAUUAAAACAGAGUUUGAAUUGCCAUUUAAUUUUCUUCCGAAAUUUUUUUUUGCCUUUUUCAUAAAUAUAUUUUUUAAUUUAUCUCGCAUAUAUCAAAUUAUUACGGUAUUUAUUUUAUAAAAAUUUUAGAAAAUAGUAAUUCAAACGGACUCUCCUACCAUUUGUUAGGAGAAUAAAACAAACAGCAUAGUUACACUAGUGGUACUCCUCUUGAAGCCACUUGCUUGGUUGCUUGCAGCCGUGGAUUAAUGGCUGGGCAAAAAAAGCCACGUGAAUUAGACGUGGCAAUUAUAGGAAAAAUGAAAAACUCAGAUGGCAGAACUUGUUGAAAUGAAAGAUCCUUGGUUUGAUGACUUGAUCAUUAUCCUAAUUCCACUUGUCAUUUUUUAAUGAUCACUCAAGUAACUAAACUGAAAGUAACCAUCUCUCCUUUUCCACCAUUUAAAGCCAUUAUUGAUGAGCCGCAGUCUUCUAGAUUCAAAUGGUUUAGAUUUACCUUUCACUUUUAUUUCUUUUUCUGCAAAUCUCAUUAACUUGCAACAUGAAUUCUCAUACAUAAUACACAUAUAGAUUUGUAGUAGGGAUGCCUUUGUGCUGUAUCAACCAUCUCAACACAUAUAAAUUUGUUUUUCGUCUUUCAAAAUUAAGGCGUAGGGAACCACAAAUGCAGGAUUCAAAAGUGUUGUGCAUUGCAGUUCAAGAAUGAUUGGAACGUCAAACGGGAUAAGCACGAGGAGACCGUAUUAAAAAAUUUUUAUCAUAUAUGCAACUAAGAAAUGUACAGCCCACCACAAGAAUUUGGUCAAAAUCAGCAUUAUUUUUUUUUUCUUAUUAUAAAACAUUUGUGGUAGUUGUUCUUGUUGUUGCUACAAUCAAAAGUCGGAGUUCUCGCAAGAGAAAAAAUCACACUAGACGUAAAGUCCUUCACAACCAGAUUUGCCUGAGAGAUGUAUGAUAUUUGUAGUUUACUUUCUUUCUUGUGCAACAGAGCCCACAAAGCAACUAGGCUGCUGCUGCAAUUCCGUAUUUCCAAGUGGGGUUUUGCUGUGCACAUUUCCUCCCUCCCUCCGUGUGUAGCAAGUUGUUUUUGUUGACUCAAAGUACUAUAAAUAAAUAGCCAUUAUGUUGGGACCACGACCACCCUGUUUACCACAUAACUGCUCCUAUUGGUUGAGAAGUUGCCUCACAAUAUCCUUAACGUUUCUACUUAUUUUUCCAGCAAUCAAUCGUCAAUUAUGUAUGUCUUCUGGUUUUGUCAUUUCUGUGCUGGGAAGAUGUUGAUGUAUGUUCUUAUCUGCCUAACUUUUCAUUUCUACCAUCAAUUAUAAGCAAGUGGUCUAAUUUUACGUGUAUUAUUUGAUCAAGUAAAUUUCAAUUCAUCGCUUAAUUUCUCCAUUGGACAUCAUAUCAUAAUCCUCGCACAACGCGUGUAUGUGAAUUUUCUUUUCUUCUCUCUCUUUUGGAAGUUUCUCUAGGAUGCAUUACUUACUUAAAAUGGUGGUACGCUUCAUCGAAAACAGAAUUAGAAAAGGUAGAUUUACGAAUCCACCACCUUGUUGAAAUGUCUAGGGCUGCUUUCACGUGGAGUUUCUGAGCAAGAUUACCGAGUGAUGGCUAUGAACUUUCUCAAACUUUCCUCUGGUUUUCUGCGAGAUUACCAUGGGGUUUUCCAUGGUUUAUCGAUCGCCCGAAUGUAGAUUGCGAAAAGGAACAAAAAGACUUUUUGGUGUUUUCUUUGCAGAACCUAGACUUGUAUACAAUAUUCCAUUUGGAAUCAUCAACACGGACCAGAGGCAGAUGCCGCGUUCUGUGGUGUCAAUAAAAUUACCACCAUUAUUUUCUUAAAAUACGAAAAAGAAAAUCAGAUGUUAACUCUUAGCUGAUUCUAUAAACCUUCACCAUAUAAUAAGUAAUCACUCACAUCACACAUGUACAAAAUCAAAAUGAUAGUAGUGGAAUCUGUCCAACUGUAAAAAGGGUCCACUUACCUCUAUCUGCGUUUUUCAAAUAAAAAUGAGGUUGGGGCAAUGGGACAGUAGAUACUACUACUAGUUAUGAGUUGUACAAUUAUGAUUUGGGGAGAAAGGAGAGGUCUCUUCUGCCGACAUGGCACGCAUAUUACUACUUAAAUGUUCUAAAGUCAAAUCCGUUUAUGCAACUUGGGUACGUUGUAGUUGGCUAAACAAAGCAAGUUGAUGACAUUUUUUUUCGUUUUCUUCUGUUGCAGAUAAACACUACUCUGAUCUUCUCCCUUUGUCUUUGCCCUCAGGGCAGUCCACUUCUAGACCAUACGGACAUAGUUACCGCCACUAGCUGGUUGAUAUCACUGAUGAUGAUGACUUUUUCAGUGAAGUCUCAUUUAACUUUCGUUUAGUAGUAGUAAGUAUUUGCAGGUGCAUGCAAGAAUGUUGGAAUAAAAAGAUGGGAACCAAAAAAAUUUCCAAGUUUUGUGUUGAUUUUCUUACCGUUGAACAAAGAAUGUAUUUGAGAGAUCUUUUCUUUUUUUAACUUACUUCCGCGAACAGUUGUUUUCAAUUAGUACUACAGUUUCCUGGCAAACACACUACUAUGUGAAACAAAAAAUUAUUGACAAAAGUGGAGUCAGGCAACCAAGAACAUGGAAGACUUGGCUUUUGCAUGUAACGAGGUCAACAAAGUCAAGAAAAAAAUGCAAAAUAAAUUAUAUAUAUAUAUAUUUGCUCUGAUUGGCCACAGAAGUGGACUUGUUCUUAGCCCUUGACGCGGUAACGAUGCCCAUCAUCACUUGUUUUUGAAACUAGGAGCGUUUUUCUUUGUGCAAGUCGUUGUUCAAUACAGGUAAUAAAUAGGACAUGUAUAUUGGGGCAGAAUAAUUUCUUGGAGCCUGUCUCCCUCAAUUUGCUAUGGAGCAAGGAGGUCGGUCAACUAGUUGAAUUUGCAGCAAGAGACCUGAAAUUAAACAAACAAGCAAGCAGAUCUGGAAUUGAUUGUCAUGUGAGCAGAUUCUAGUGGUUAUUUCCUGUUGAAUUUUCUGUACACAAGUUGACACAUUGUCACACGCUUAUCGUACAGUACACAAAUGUGUGUGUGUAUAUAUUUUUCUGAAUUUUUUGUAGAAAAAUUACUGAAGCAGUUUGACAUAUGUGAGGUAAAAAGGUAAUUGAAAAAUGUAUUUAUGGGAAACGUAGCAAUUUGCUCAAAAAGGAAGGAUCAUCCUUCCUUUGGUUUAAAUUUCAUCACACAAUAUGGAGGAAAAUUUGACUUGUAAUUAGAGUAUAGUGAUUUUUUUUUUUCUGGUCUACCUUAACCAACAAAAAUGUCUUAGUAAAACUCGUUGAAAAAUAAAUAAAAAGAAAACUCAGUAUGUUUUUCAUAAGUACGUAAUUUCUAAGAACUAGAGAGAGAGAGAGGUUGGUGAAGUUCCCUGAUUUUUUGUUCAACUGCAAAAGCAACAGGAAAUAAAGGAAAAGUAAAAGAAAAGUUUGACGAUAUCAAGAAAGCAAAAGCCAUGCUUGGGUAAUUAGGUCCAUGUAUAUAUAUAUAAUAUAGGAUUCACUCCAUGUAAGAGUAAUAAAUUAUGUUGUGGUAAUCUGAACAACUACGUGGCUCAAUCUUCACACUUCAUAGCUAAUAAACUACAAUAUCACUUCCUUAACAAAUAGAUUACGACAUAAACACUUUUCUUUUCUUUCUUUCUUUUUUUUUUUUGAAAAAAAAAAGUUGUAUUUCAACGUUAACAUCUAUCUGAUAGUACUCUUGCAUUAAAAUUAAAAAAAAAAAAAAGAAAGUUGGCAAGUUGGAUUUCUAGUGGGCUAUAUAUUUUAUGUGCAUGGUGGAGUCAAAACUCAAAGUUAAGUAAUGAAUGUGACUAGAGUCGUGGAAUUAUCACAAGGAGCCAUAAAUAGAGAAAUGGUUGGGUCGAGUCUUAAUCCGUGAAACAGUAGUGUAGUGUUCUCUCAUCUUAAUUCUAUCUAAACUGUCCUCUCUCCAAUGACCAAGUCUUCUUCUUUGAAUGAAAGAAAGAAAGAAAGAAAGAAAGAAAGGUGCACAUGAGAAAGAAGACAAACUGAGGAAAUGGGUUGAGACCUGAAAGUUACUCAAUAAGUGACAAAAACAUCCAAUGUUCAUCGAUCUUGAAAUUUUUCCAACCCACAUCACAUUUAGACCUAAAUCAUCAUUAAUUAUAAUUGUGGUCACCAAUUAAAAAGGCAAUUGAGAUCAAGUGAACCGUUUCUGCCCCAUAUAAUAUAUCUGAAGUUCAUGAGAAAUGGUCCUGAAUCAUUGCGCGCGACUGAAGAACCUGGUAAAAAAAAUCAUCAUUAGGAUCUUUGUAUCAUUGCAUGUGGAACGAGCAGUAGUGUUUUAGCAUUGGUACGUAACUUCUGAUCUAAAUCUGUCUAUAUCGAGACAUAUAUUCCAAUUCAUCUAAGCCGAAAAGUAGUACGUAGCUGUUUUAUUCCAAGUCUUUGCGAUACGAUGCGCUCUGUCUGCAAAGUUCUUGUAUGGUUUUUGACAUUUCAGCAGUAUCAAAUGUGAAACCAGACUGAUUCCAAACGUUCGGUCUGGUUAGGCAGAGUUGAUUCCAAACAUUGGCAUGCAAUUUAACUAAUAAGACUUUACUUUGUAAGCUAGAAUUCUCUCCCUCCCUCUCAUUACAAGUACUGUUAGGUUUCUAAAUAUUCCUCAUUUUAUUGACUUUGUAAGCUUCUGACUCCGCUUCACCGUCAAGCUUUUGCAAUGUUAAUCAAUUUAAGUCUUCUCCAUUUUUAAUUCUUCGUCUGUUAGGUGAAAUUGGUUUCUGAAUUUUGUGAUAGAGAUGAUGGAUUCUCACGCUAAGCUCUACGUGAUCUUCUUUCCCACAUUUCAAUGGAAACGAUGCAAAGCAAAGUUAUGGCACCUUUUACUUUCUUCUCGAUCAAUUGGAAAUUAAUUAAUUUCCCUAAAUUUAAGAAUUUCCUUCUCUGAAGUCCAAGUCAAUGAAAUGUGGCAGAAAUGGUUGUCAAAUUUCACUAGGGCCCUCCAUACAAGGGUUGAUGAAGACGACAUAGAAUGAAGAUACAUAUAUAUAUGUCCAAGCAUCACAGUUUCCUUCAUUUCCCUUGCCAUUCGUGUAUGGUGGCACCCGAAUAUGCCAUAGCUUUGUGGUCCAAAUACAACUCAAAUCUGGCAACACCGGGAUGUGAAGGAGAGUACCUAGUCACUGUUGCUUGUGUUCUUAUUGGCUUCUGAGCUGAAAAUCAAUUUGUUUGAUGAGUUGUCAAUUUUCCGUGAACCACCCAAAAAAAAAAAAACUAAUAAAUUGCUAUAUAUACUCGUGACUCAAGAAGCAUAGAGACAAAACUGGGAUGAAUUAUUGGACAAAUUUGGAGCCUGUCAUCGGAGAAAUGCAUCAAGCCUGCAGUAAAUGUUGUAGCCCACAACGACGAUGUACGCAUUGAGGGAGGGACCAGAUGAAGCAAAUAAUGCAGCAAAUGGGGUGAUGGGACCGCCAAGAAAAGAAUAAAUGGUUUUUAUCUACAAUCUGAAUUCACAUAAUAUGUUUCUUCAAAUGCCGAAAAUUGGGUAUAAUACAUCGGGGGCAUUUGCUCUAUCUCACUCGCUGUCUGUCUGUCUUCUUCUUUUAUCUAUGUUCUCUCUUUUAGGGGGGAUUUUAGGGGGCUCUGAUCAAAUGAAUAAAUGAAGAUACAUUGCACUCUACAAAACCAUGUGGUUUUCCAGGACCCCAUUUCAAUACAAAUUGUUGAGAAAAAGCCAAAACAAGUCACAUCUUUGCCAAGCCAUUUGCAUGUCAACACGUAUCAUAUCCGCCGGUCUCCGCCCACUGUGUCGACACAGCUGAGGUCCCCUCCGUUUGCCCUCUUGGCAAGCUGUGGUCUGUCUAAAUCCUAAUGUUCCACUACACUACUCGUGAAAAUGCUCUGUCAAUUUGAGCUGUAAGUUGGUAUGAAUCCUUUGGCGUGUUGGCUCUCCAUUUCAAGAGCCAUCAAAGAUUUCUGCCUUUGAUACCUGUUUCUUUUUGCAGCCAAUGCUGGAAAAGGAAAAGCAUUGAAAUAACAACAUAAAUCAGAGUAUAAAAUCCGAUGUUUAGCAAGUUCAGGAACAGGACUAUCGUAAUUUAAAAGGUGUGAAUCUUGAACUCGAUAUUAAAUACACAUGAUUUCAGAAAGUGUGCAGCAGAUUGAUGUAAAUUAACUGGAGGAAAAGAAGGCUUCGAGGUUGAAGGCAGACCAACCGUAAUGUUGGGUAAAAUCUGGAGAUAUACACGUUAUCAGGUGACACAAUUUACAACUAACUAUGUAUCCACACAGAGGUACAACCACACUAGUUGUUCUGAAACUCCAAGCUCACUGAAGUAAAGAGUCUAUCAAGGACAGAUCACCUUUUUUCUUAAGAAAAUGUUACGAUGAGCAUCAUGUGAUGAAUUCAAUGCAAGACGAAUAAUGUUCUUUUAAUGAAUUUCAGCCAGAGAGUAGGCAUUGAAGGCCGUCAAAAGAGAGUGUUACCGCAGAAGAUAGAUCAAACGAACAUCAAAUAGAUUAACCUUUCUCUAGAAGUUUAAUUUCACCGGGUCAUAAGACAUGAGUAGAUGAUGAAGCACGUUUUCAAAAGGCUAUUAGCCUGCCAAAUUUCCAAUCCAUUGCUUAAAAUGUAAUAAUGGGUAAAUCAACAAUAUUCAAAUGCAAAGGAACAACAAACAUUAGAAGAAACCAGAAGCAAAAUUUUGUAAGAAUUACUUACACAUCAACUCGUGCGGUAAACCAAAAUCAUAGUCAUUGCGCCGUCUCUUGAUGCACAUGUGUAUCGCAAGCAGCAACAUGCAAAAGACAAAAAGACAUGAUAGACCAAUAGCAACUUUACCACCAGUAGAUAAGCCAUCCUUUCCCCAGAAUAAAGGACAAUCACGCAGGGGAGGUACACCACAUAACCCCUUGUUACCAGAGAGACUGAAAUACAGAUAAAUUCCAUGAUAAGCCAAAGAUAAGCAAAAUAAUCCAAAACAUAACAAAUAGGAUUAGCAAUUAUUAGUAACAAGAUUCAAUGAACAUGUGAUACAUCUUCAAAAUAACAGUGGAACUUCCCCAGCUUGUGUUAUCCAACAGCAGAUUGUUCCCUAAUUUAGAACAUCUGCUAAGUUACAGGAAUCUCGAUUCGCAAGAAAAUUUUUCCGUGCCAGGCUAGAGUUCAAUAGCCUAAUUAUAAAAGACCAGGACGAUAGGCAUUAAACACAAGAUCUUCAGAAUUGUUAUCACCAUAGGUCCUUGAAAAUGUUGUCUGAUGUAUCCUACGCUCAGCUCGAUAGAACUUUGUCAAAGCCUCAAUUUGAGAUGAAUGACUUAAGCUUCGGAAUUAAGUGACAAUGAAUUGCAAAAAUAGAAAGAAAUUGUAACAAAGUCAGCCUUUCCCACCAAGAAUUGAAUGGCUUCACCUGAAUGAUGAAACUUGACCUAAUUUGCACCUCGUUCGUUAUCAGUCUUUCUUCAGACAGCUCAUUCUGUUUUAACUUUGAAUUUGACUUCCUUGCCAUGAGUUUUACAUUUCAUAUGCCUCAUGAUUAACAUAAUCAGUUCCCAAUCUAAUGACGAGUUUUGAUCAUAAUAUAACUAUGGAGAGCUUAAGAACAGGAGAUGCUCUUAAGGAACACCAUGACUCAUAACAAGUAAUAUUCUAGCUUAAACUGUAACAGGUUUUUUGUUUUGUUUUACGAUUUCAACAUCUGCUAAAACAUGUCCAACCAUAGAUAACAAAUCCUGCAAGUUUUAUUCAUCCAAAUAACUAGGUUAAUUAUCAUUUUGGACUGAAAUUCAACUCCAUAUUUGUCUAUGCUGGUGAGUUAAAAUUUCGAAGUAAAUACUCAAACAUUCACUCCUUGUCCCAAAUUCCAUUCUCAUAAUCAGAGGAAAGUGAAUCUUAAGCAACAUAAAGAAUAAGAAAACUGUUGCUCUGAAAAUAGUCGUAUUGAGGGUGCAACAAAGCAGAUGAGAUUUGGAAAAUUUUGGUGAAUCACUUAUGAGAGGAUAAAAUCUCUAUCUGCAGUAUUACUCUUCUGUAAAGCUUAUAUCAGUCAUCAUGCUUCCAGUACCUCGUGCCCUUUAGCAUAAGCAUCACAUAGCUUCCAUCAGUGUUUCUCAAGUGGGGGAAUGUGCUC